CGUCUUCAAGGUUGGCACAGAAAAUGGUCCUCGGCUGUUGUUAUGGAAUCGAAGUCCCUUAGCCAAGUUAGAACAAGUAAUCAUGUUAACAAAUUUCAUUUUAUGCUUCAAUUCACAUAUAGAACCUCACAUGCAGUCUUCCUGAAAGUGAUUUGUCAUUCAGCCUUUGCCAAAGGAGAGGACAAUGCCAAAGGUUGCACAGGACUAAAACACCACAUGAGAAGAGGUCGUUUUAUAUCAAGAAUCCUUUGAAGAGUAUUAACAACACGGAGCACAUGAUAAGCGCCAUUAGCAAGGAACUUCAGGAUGCAUUUCCAUAAUGACAUAGCUCAUUCCUGCAGUAUUUUGGGACUUUCUCCGGGUUUCAUGGAAUGCAGCUACAAUCUACACAAGGAAGAUAGCACUGACUAAUUAUCAAUAAAUGAAGAUAUCCGAGAUCCUAGCAUCACAAUUUACACCAUGAGAGAUAAGGUACAGUUGUGUAAACAUCAUUGACACCAAUUGCAGUUGGACAACAAUGAACAGAGACUUCAUUAGCUAGCCGAUGAAAAAGAAACCAACAGGCUCAAAAGAAGUAAGCAAUUAGCAACACUUUCCCUGUUUGUGUUUAGGAACGGAAUUGAACUUAAUAAAAUUAUGUUAAAAAGGUGAAGUGCCUAAACUAUAGAACAGAAAGAUGUAUUUGCUACUUGGUUAUUUUGUAAGAUCCAAUUAGCAAAAUCAGCAAUACAUGAUAGUUUGUGAGGAGGUCAAUUUCAACUUUACAAAUCCAAUGCCGCAUACAUGAGAGCUGAGCCUAUCAAAUCAGAAACCUAUCUGAGAACAUUUAGAGGAUAGUAUCACACUAGUAAACUGACAGGAAUGAGGAAAUUGUCAUCAUGCAUACUUGUGUCCUAAUUUCAAGUGAAAUUCCACAGCUCAUAAAGUAUCAGCACACAAGUUAGUCUUUCAUGGUACAACUAGCAGUGCAUACCUCCCCCUUCAGAACCUCAUCAAGUUCAAGAGUGAUAUCAUUAGAAUGCAACUGUAUCAAGCAACUCUGUGUCAGGGUAACAUAUAAAAAAUCAGAAGCUGUGUUUGAUUAAUGGAGAGGUAGAACCUAAUGAACAUACAUAAAGCCUAUUUAAUUAAAAUAAGUACAUUUACAAUCGUUCAGGUAUGUGUUGUUGAGACAAGAUCAAAUGUUUGAACAUUCACACAAAUCAAACCUUCCUUUGGACACUCCAGUUGCACCUAGAACGUCUUCAAGGUUGGCACACAAGAUGGUCCUUAGCUGUUGCUGAUGCUUCCUCCGCAAAAUCUAUUUUCUUCAUUUUGAUUGGUCUCAAGUAUAGAAUUUGAAGUUCCUCAGCCAAGCUAGCCACACCCAAAUCAAAUGAUAAAACAAUUCUAUGGCAGCAAUAGGAUCAAAUGCGAUGCAAACCAAUUAGCAAAUUCUUGAGCCCCUCAUCCCACCUUGUUUCACAGACCAGGAAAAAAUUGUCUAAUUAUGCAAAAGGUCAUCGACACGGUUGACUGAAUUGAAGUCCCAAAGUAAUUCUUGAUCAUUGCAUAGACCAACCAAACCUGUCAUAGAAGCAGCACAAGUUUACCUUGCUUGAUAAUAUUUCAAAACAAUAGUAUGACUACUGGUAAUGUUAAGGGGGUCUACAUUCAUAUAUGAGAGACUAGCCAAAACAACUUUCAACAUUUUCUUUGUCACCAAACAAAAACACUUGAACCUUGAAUUUUAUUUUAUCUCAGUUCAUCAUAUUCCAAGAAGCGAUGCUCUUCUUAUAAGGUUAAUGAGGGACAUCAAGAGAACAAUAAGAAACUUGACGGGGGUUUCGUUCAUCACAUAAAAUCAAAAGGCGUUUGUCCCAAACAGGAUAUCUGUCAUUAAUCAAAUUUGACAUACAAAAGAACUUACAAAGGAACUCAAAAUGGCCAAGGAUUUUUUUCAAAGAAAAUAUGAACAUUGGACAUUGGGAAAUUCUGGGUGUAGUAUACAAUAACGAGUAGUAGAAGUUCAUCAGCCUCUAGAUGAAAAUUUCAAAUCCCACCUUUUUCGAUAAGGGAAAUGUUAAUUAUAUGUUUGCAGUCUACAGAAGCUAGCAACAGAAGAAUAAACAAAAAACAUUGCUAUAAUGUAAUCAACAACAAUUAUAGAGAGGCAAAUCCGGAGUUUCCAAAAUCAAUCAAAUAGAUACCCAUUGUACAGCAAAUCAUUCUAAAAAUUUCUCUUUUUGCUCAUGCCGGCAUUUCAAGGAUGAAGAAUCUUACUAUGCCUUCUAUUGGGUUUACAUUUUGAUCUUGGCUGAAGCAUCACGUCAGCUUUUGGCCAACUCCCCCACUCCUUCAAUUAUGUAAGACUUGCAAUUUAGACCCCGUCAUGGAAAGCUUUCUUGUCAGAAGAAGAUGGUGAUGUAAAGUUGGUCAUGGAUCUCAGAAGAAAAAUGAUUAUUCAUUGCUUAUUUACCUUUGUUGAAGAAACAUUACUCCUCUCACGUUGUAAUAAGGUGUAAGAUUUAUUACAUCAUUAUCAUCGCGAGAUAAUGUUUCCAAAGAGAACUAAAACUUUAACCAAGGACGUAGUUCAUAAUUUCUAUUGACGCGCGUUCUAGAUAAGUUAGGUAUUGCUUCCAAUGAGUCACAACCAGAAAUAUCCAAAUAAGUUAAAUUCAACAAUUCAAGUCCUCGAAGCUGAGCAAGUUUCUUGCAGUCUCGAACUAUUAGAUAUCGUAGCUUCUUAAAUCCUGUCAAAUUUGGCAAAGCCUCCAUUAAUUUGCAUCCUGUAAGAUCUAACACUUCUAAGAACUUCGCACGGUCAAGACCUUGAAUUUCAACUAGGUUGCCACACCCAGAAGCCUCGAAUGUCUUCAAACGCUUGCAUUCAUAUAAAAAUAAUUUAGGUAUUGCUUCCAAUGAGUCACAACCAGAAAUAUCCAAAUAAGUUAAAUUCAACAUUUCAAGUCCCCGAAGCUGAGCAAGUUUCUUGCAGUCUCGAACUAUUAGAAAUCGUAGCUUCUCAAGUCCUGUCAAAUCUGGCAAAGCCUCCAUUGAUUUGUAUCCUGUAAGAUCCAACACUUCUAAGUCAACUAGAUUGCCGUACCCAGAAGCUGCGAAUGUCUUCAACCACUUGCAUUCAUCUAAAAAUAAUUUAGGUAUUGCUUCUAAUGAAUCACAACCAGAAAUAUCCAAAUAAGUUAAAUUCAACAUUUCAAGUCCCUGAAGCUGAGCAAGUUUCUUGCAGUCUCGAACUAUUAGAAAUCGUAGCUUCUCAAAUCCUGUCAAAUCUGGCAAAGUCUCCAUUGAUUUGCAUCCUGUAAGAUCCAACACUUCUAAGAACUUCGCAUCGUCAAGACCUUGAAUUUCAACUAGAUUGCCGCACCUAGAAGCCUUGAAUGUCUUCAAACGCUUGCAUUCAUAUAAAAAUAAUUUAGGUAUUGCUUCCAAUGAGUCACAACCAGAAAUAUCCAAAUAAGUUAAAUUCAACAUUUUAAGUCCCCGAAGCUGAGUAAGUUUCUUGCAGUCUCGAACUAUUAGAGAUCGUAAUUUCUCACAUCCCGUCAAAUCUGGCAAAGUCUCCAUUGAUUUGAAUCCUGUAAGAUACAACUUUUCUAAGAACUUCGCACCGUUAAGACAUUGAAUUUCAACUAAAUUGCCGUACCCAGAAGCCUUGAAUGUCUUCAAACGCUUGCAUUCAUAUAAAAAUAAUUUAGGUAUUGCUUCCAAUGAGUCACAACCAGAAGUAUCCAAAUAAGUUAAAUUCAACAUUUUAAGUCCUCGAAGCUGAGUAAGUUUCUUGCAGUCUCGAACUAUUAAAGAUCGUAAUUUCUCACAUCCUGUCAAAUAUGGCAAAGUCUCCAUUGAUUUGCAUCCUGUAAGAUACAACUCUUCUAAGAACUUCGCACGGUCAAGACCUUGAAUUUCAACUAAAUUGCCGUACCCAGAAGCCUCGAAUGUCUUCAAACGCUUGCAUUCAUAAAAAAAUAAUUUAGGUAUUGCUUGCAAUGAGUCACAACCAGAAAUAUCCAUAUAAGUUAAAUUCAACAUUUCAAGUCCCCCAAGCUGAGCAAGUUUCUUGCAAUCUUGAACUCUUAGAGAUCGUAAUUUCUCACAUCCCGUCAAAUCUGGCAAAGUCUCCAUUGAUUUGCAUUCUGUAAAAUCCAACUCUUCUAAGGACUUCACACUGUCAAGACCUUGAAUUUCAAUUAGAUUGCCGCACCCAGAAGCCUUGAAUUUCUUCAAACACUUGCAAAAAUAUAAAAAUAUGACCUCCAAGGACUCCAAAUUAUCACAGCCCUUAAUUUCAACUAGGCUAUCGCAAUGCUCAAUGCGUAAUCGUUUUAGAUGAAUAAAUCCUGAAAGGCCUAAUGUUUUAAUGGAACUGCACUUUUUUAUUGAAAGCUCUUCCAAGUGCGUGAGUCCACUAAGCGAAAGUGAUGUCAACUUAUCCCACUCCUCAAAACAGAGUUUCAAUGUUAUUGAGGAAAGCUCGCGGAUGUCUUCAAGUAAAUGGCGUACCUCAAGAUCGAGUUUUUCUAAGUGGAUGAGGCGAAGGAGCUGUGGUAGUCCAAGACUCUGACAAGUAACCGACAGACAUGUUAAUCCCGAAGGAAGCUCUGGCAGCGACCAGAGCUUGUAACAGCCCCUUAGGUCAAGGCUUUGGAGAGAAGAAGGAAGCUUUGGCAGCAACAGGAGCUCCUUACAGCCCCUUAGGUCAAGGCUUUGGAGAGAAGAAGGAAGCUUUGGCAGCGACCGGAGCUCCUUACAGCCCCUUAGGUCAAGGCUUUGGAGAGAAGAAGGAAGCUCUGGCAGCGAUCGGAGCUCCUUACAGUCCCAUAGGUCAAGGCUUUGGAGAGAAGAAGGAAGCUCUGGCAGUGACCGGAGCUCCUUACAGUCCCAUAGGUCAAGGCUUUGGAGAGAAGAAGGAAGCUCUGGCAACGACCGGAGCUCCUUACAGCCCCUUAGGUCAAGGCUUUGGAGAGAAGAAAGAAGCUCUGGCAGCGACCGGAGCUCCUUACACUCCCAUAGGUCAAGGCUUUGGAGAGAAGAAGGAAGCUCUUGCAGCAACCGGAGCUCCUUACAGCCCCUUAGGUCAAGGCUUUGGAGAGAAGAAGGAAGCUCUGGCAGCGACCGGAGCUCCUUACAGCCCCUUAGGUCAAGGCUUUGGAGAGAAUAAGGAAGCUCUGGCAGCAAUCGGAGCUCCUUACAGUCCCAUAGGUCAAGGCUUUGGAGAGAAGAAAGAUUCCGGACACUUUUUGGCAGGUCAGAUAUCCGUGUGCAACCGAUAUCGAGACCCUUGAGGGAAGGCAAGUCACCGACUUCACUUGGAAUUGCCCCUUUCAGACUACUGCAACCUAAGAGACAUAGAAACUGCAGAUUUUUCAACCCUCCAAUAGCACUGGGAAGCUUUUCGAUCACAGUUUCUUGCAAGUGAAGGUCUUGCAAAUUCUGUAAAUCCCCAAUUGAGCUGGGGAUUUCUCUCAGUGACUUACAUUUGUAGGCACUCAGUGUCUUCAAUUUACUCAAAGAACCAAUAGACGAAGGAAUUGCUGUAAUACCAGAUUCAUGUAAAAGAAGUUCUUCUAAAUCUUUUAAUCCACCCACCUCCUCUGGUAGCUCCUUGAGAUCUAUACAGCAACUCAAGUCCAAGGUAACGAGGCUUGUGAGUUCGCCAAUAGAAGGGUGGAGAUGCUCCAAUCCAUAACAAUGGCUCAAUAGGAGAAUUUUCAACUGCGUGAAAGUUGAGAGUUCAGGAGUACAUCUUAAAUUAUGACAACCUUGAAUGGCAAGAACUUUAAGCUGCUUUGAUGCCUAAUAAAAAAGGAGAAUAAUCCGUCAAAUGAGUUGAUUGGCUAAACAAAAAACAAACCUCAAGAUCGCAGAGAGGAUGUAUUCUUUUCCCAAUCUUACCAUAAAUGAAUUCCAUCCUUCCCAAUCCUCUGUGAUUCUUACCCAAUUCUCUUCACUCUCCCACCAUAAGUCUAGCACCGAUAAUUUUGGCAAAUGCAAGUUGAUUGUCGAAAGAGACGCAUCGUUUCCAGGAUUGAUCCACUCAAACCAUCUCACUUCAAAAAACUUGGAAUCUCCACUAGAAGCUGCCCCAAAAAGUUGUGGAACCAGGGGCGUCUCUGCAAGUUUUUUCACUUUUUAGUUUUUGCUUUUUUUAAAUCUUGAAUUUGCACAAUUACCUUUUUAUCCUUCCCCUAUACAUGUAUGGAUAUGUAAACUCACAUUUUUUUAAAAAAAAAAAUUUAUGACCUUUUGAAAGUUAAACAAAUGACGCAAAGAUAACGAAAAAAAUAAUUAUUGCUUUAAAACAACUGAGGCAAAUGCACCUCAAUGUUUUAUCUCUUGCUUCUUCUUAUUUUUCAAAAUUUUGCAGCGCAUGGAUUUUCACUUUCAUUUAAGAAGAAAUACAUAAAACCAGUUUACAACGUACAAAUGUUUACUUGUAAAUUUUUAAAUGACUUAUGUAUAAUUUUUUAAAAGAAUUUGCUAAAGAGUGUCGACGGGCCACCUGUAAUUAGCUAAGGAAGCACCCUAUUUUCAUUUCAUUAGUUAAAUGUAAUAAUGUGGAAGAGAAAAGAAAAGGGGAAUUUUUAAUAUAUUCAGAUAUAUAGAAAAGUUUAUGUGGAGGGAAAUUAAAAGAAAUCAAAUAUGAUAUGCAUUAUCAAAAUAGAUAUAGAAAAUUAAAAGAAAUAUCCUUAUCUCUAGAAGGUAUCUAAAUAUCUUUAACGUCAUUAACUAUUUGCGUGGAGUGUUUACUCAUUUCUUUGACAAUCGAAACGUUUGUUUUUUUUUUUUUUGGGUAAAACUUUUUUUAAAAAGUGACGUGGUGACAUUGGUUAGCAGUUUUGACCAGGAUUGAAAAAAAAAAUAAUAAUAAGUCGCUUUUAGAAUAACUAGAAAAUGAACCAAUUAACUAAAAAGUGCCGUGGUAACAUUGUUUAAUCAUCACAUGUCGGUUCCAUAAGAAUGGCAUCGUUUCUUUUUCCAUCUUAUAAAUCAAAAAACAUACUGUUUAACUCCCUGCUAAAACAGAUCAUUUAAUUCCCUUAUGGCUUUAUUUGACUUUUAUAAUAAUACCUUUAUUUUCCCCCCAAAAGUUUAAUUGGCUAGAAAUUCACUUUUAUGGUUAGACACAUUUGUCGUUAUAUCUGCUUUAAAUAUUAACCAGUGAAAUGCAAUGGGUAUAAAUUCUCUUAAGUCUGUUUGUCUGAAAAGUAGCUAAAUUGUUGUAAUCAUAUCCCACACUAUCUUUAAUAAUUUUCGCUUGUAUAUCGAUCUAUACUAUGUAUUACAUAAAUAUAUAUAUAUAUAUAUAUAUAUAUAUAUAUAUGUACUGUAUGGAAAGGAGAUUUCAAUCCUCAAACUUUCAUCAAAAGUUUCCACACAAUUCGCAUAUAUCUCACCAAAAUGAACUAAAGAAAUAGGAUAUAACAAAAUAGGCAUAAUCAUAUUUGAAAUAGUCAAGACAAUUGGAAAUUAGUCCCACAAGCAAUUCAAUUUCCAAAAUUAAAUCAAAAUCUCUCAAAUCGUACAAUCAUUUCAUUUUUCUUCGACACUAUUUAUCAUCUUUCAGCAUUUUUGUCCAUUCAAAACAGAAUUGACCUUUCUUUUUCAUUGUUCCAAACACCUGUAUGGUGUGGUUUUUUUUGCUAAUGCUAAGAAGUUAUUGGAUCAACAAAAGAGUGUGAUAUUAAAUCAUAGGAACGAACUAUUUGAAAUUAUAUCAAGAAUAUAAGGCUGCUUUGUUUGCCCAACAUCCCUUGGUCAAUUUCUAGGGUUAAUUCCUUGCCGUUGAUCAGCCAUGAAACUGUAAAGCUUUUCAAAUGGACAAUAUAUAAUAAAAUGACAUGAACAUUGACAAUUUAAGUUAAAGAUAAAACAUAGUUGAAACAAUUUGCUUCAUGCUGAAAAUCAUAUAUAAUGAAUACAAGGUUAUGGAUAUAAUAGUAAGCAUGACAUUUCCUCCGAUUAGUCAAGUUUUCAUUUUUUAUCUUCAAAAUAGUCAAGUUAGUCUAGCNNNNNNNNNNNNNNNNNNNNNNNNNNNNNNNNNNNNNNNNNNNNNNNNNNNNNNNNNNNNNNNNNNNNNNNNNNNNNNNNNNNNNNNNNNNNNNNNNNNNNNNNNNNNNNNNNNNNNNNNNNNNNNNNNNNNNNNNNNNNNNNNNNNNNNNNNNNNNNNNNNNNNNNNNNNNNNNNNNNNNNNNNNNNNNNNNNNNNNNNNNNNNNNNNNNNNNNNNNNNNNNNNNNNNNNNNNNNNNNNNNNNNNNNNNNNNNNNNNNNNNNNNNNNNNNNNNNNNNNNNNNNNNNNNNNNNNNNNNNNNNNNNNNNNNNNNNNNNNNNNNNNNNNNNNNNNNNNNNNNNNNNNNNNNNNNNNNNNNNNNCAUCUUAUUGCUUUGGGUUAUUUAUCGGUUAUUAUACUAUCUCCUUCUUUUUUUUCUUAACCAGGAAAUCUUCAUUUAUUUGAUCUAUGAUGUUUAUUCUUCGUCUUCAUUCAUAAUUAUAGUCCUUCUAAUUAUCAAUAUUUUCAAGACAAUUGCAUGCUUUAAGUAAAUGAGAUUUCUAGUCUAAAAUUGUAGUUAAAGGAUUUUGAAUUGAUUGCCAAACAAAUUUUUACAUAUGUAAUUUACAUCGAUGAAAUUGAAUCAAUGAUAUAACUUUUUCAUCCUUGAGAUACUUAUGAUUUAUUUAGUGUCACAAUUAAUCUACGAUGUACAUAAAUGGAUGUUUAAAUAGAUUUUUUUUCCUAGAAAGUAAGAGCAUCUUUUCAUGCUCAAUGAUUUAGUAGAAUAGAUCGGAUUAAGAGGGAGAGAAAAAAAAAAAAGAAUGCCAUAUUUUACCUCUGGAUGUCUUACUACUCUUGGGACUCCCUCAUAGUCAUCAUCCCAUGGUCCAUUACAUUUCUCAAGCAGUUGUCCUCGGCAAAAAAUGCUCCAAGAUCUCUUAGUUGAUCAUGCACCAUAAAUUCACCAUGAUCUCCAAUUUUAAUUAAGCACCUCAACUUCAACUCUUCAAUUCCUUGAUUUGGAGAAAACCCAAGGUCCUCCCACAUGUAUAUGGCAAAUCGUGCAAAUUGGCCAUCGCCAUGUACGCCAAUAAAGAAACAAACAAUAUCGAGAAAAAUCUGCUUAUGUUCAUCUUCUAAUGCAUCAUAACUUAUUUGCAAUAUUUUUUGGACAUCUCUAUGUGGUUGGCUUUUUAAUUGUUUCCGCACAUCUUCCCAUACUUUUCGAUUCGGUUUUUUAUACAAGUAUGAACCUACGACCUUAAGUGCCAAGGGAAGCCCACCCAUGGUGGAUACAAUAUCACGAGAUAGACCCUCAAAGUCCUUCGAAGAAUGGUCCAUGUAAAAUGCAUGUCUAUUAAACAAAAGCAAAGCAUGCUCCCAAUCCAAUUCAUUCAAAUCAUACUUGUGUACAUUGAAUUUAGAUUGAUCGAGAAUGGCUUCAUAUCUGGUUGUAACAAUAAUAAUACUUCCUGCCAUAAACCAAUUACGCUCUCUAGCCAAAGCAUUUAAUUGAUCCUCAUGAUCUAUAUCAUCCAGAAGAAUGAGAACAUUUUUUCCUUUGAAUCUAGAUUUGAUCAAACUAAUUCCACCAUCAACAUUCCCAAUUUGAGAUUCGAUUUGUAGAAUGUCCAUAAUUAGUUGCUUUUGUAAAUGAACAAUAUUGUUGCGGCAAGUUGUUUCUCGAAUAUCUACAAGGAAGCUAUGAUGCACAAAGUCAUUCGACAGCUGAUUAUAGAUUACCUUGGCAAGAGUCGUUUUUCCAAUCCCACCCAUGCCAUAGAUUCCAAUCAUUCGAGCAUUAGUGGCAGGAGUGUCUACCCAUUUCAUGAUUCUGUUCACAUGAUCAUCAAUUCCAACUAAGUGCUCAGUAACAUCAAGCUGAAAAUCUUGUUGCAACUUGCUCAGAACAUUUUCGAUAACUUUUUUAACUAAUUCUCCUUCAUGCCUGUCCAGCAAAAAAAACCUCAUUGAUAAUUUCGUGAUUAUACUUAAUCUCAUCAAAAGGCACCGACAGACGUGAAGAAUAGAUGGGACCAAUUAACAUGCAAGAUGUUUUGGUUUUACAAAUAACAAUGGAGGAUGAUGGCCAGCGGUCAUUUCAUUUUUUCUUCUCUCUUCUGCUAGAUGGAUCUUGUUGAAAGAAAAUAAGGCAGUGCACCUGGCUCGUUAAGAGUCUUUAGAAGCGUAAUGUUUGUUACAAGGCUUAAGAUUGCUGCUAGUUAAAUGAUAGGAGGUCAAUUUUGUUUCAAUUAAAGAAGUUUAGGAGAAAAGUAUGUUACUCCACUCUAAGGCCAGGGCAUCUCACAUACCAAAAUUGAGGACUUAUAGUCGAUUUACAAAUCGCUACCGAUGGGGUCCACUGACAAUGGAAAUCAAACCUAGACAUGGUAAAUGUGAAGUGUCCAGUCCUUUCCACCUGAGCCAACUUCCAUUCGCAUUAGGAGGUCUAUUUUAUCUGGUGGUGAUAAAGCUUUGAAAUACUGAGCAUUCGAGUCCUUUCUAAGCUUAUUGUUUGGUGAUUGACACUAUUGGCCGGAGGGGUUGUCAUUUCUUUGAUUUUUGCUUUGUUGGAGACAACUGUAAUUCAUCUGUUUCGAAUGAACAAGAAAAUUUACAGGAUAAUUACUAAAAAAAAUUAAAUUUAUUAUAAUUAUGUUAAAUCAAUCUUUAAUUUUUUUUAUAACCAAUUUAGUCCUACACAUUUUGAAAAUAUGCUAAUGUAGUCCAUCUAGUUAACUUUGGCUAGAAAUCUCUAACAUGGACACAAGUCGUUCUAUGAGAUACCGUCGAUAUUGACGUAGAGUAUUUUUAUAAUUUUUUUUAUAUUUUUUUCUGAACUUUGUUGAAUUUGCUUAUAUUUUUUGUUUUUUUCUUUCUUUCUUUCUUUUUUCCUUCUUCUUCUACGGUCAGUGGCCAUAGAUGAGGGCUGCCUCGCCAUGAGGGCUGACCUCGCCAGAAUCUGGUCCUUCUAGUGGGUCCUAUAGAGAAUCGCAAGGAGGGAGAGACCGAGAGUUUUCCCAACAAGAGAGGGCCGUCGUUGGGUCAGAUGAGGAGGUUCGCUAGCAGCCAGAACGUGCUGGCAAACUUCGACUGGACGGCGCAGGUGGCGCCGAUGGAUGCAGCGGAGCAGAGGAACUGUUACUUUGACGACAAAGACAGAGACAAAGAAGAGCGAGAUGACGACGACGGCGACGAAGUGGGGAUUCCAUUUUCGUCCCCCAUUUUUGGUAGGUGGAGUGGAGUCGAAGGCGAAGAAGGAAGUGAAUCUGCGGAAGAAAAGGACAAUGGCUCCCCCUCAACCACUUCGCUUGCGACAUCCCCAUUAAUUCUGCAAAUAUAAUCGUGUUCUCGAAUGAUUGCGUUCCUGGAUUCCCGAUUUCUGAUGUUCUUCCUUCUUUUUUUAGGGUUAUUAGUUUGUGUUGGCCUGACCUCUUUAGAAGGACCAGAUUCCGGCAAGGUUGGCCCUUGACAGGGAGGGCGAGCCUCACCAACCCUAGUAUGUGGCCUGUUGCCGGCCAUCAAGGAGGCCAGCAGCUGGAGAGAAAGAAGGGAUUUCUAGCUAAAAUCAGCCGGAAGAACUAUAUUGGUAGAUUUUCAAAAGAUUUAUGAUUAAAAUGGCUAAAUAAAAAGUCUAGAACUAAAUUUUUACUGUUAUAAUAGGUUUAAUAUGUUUUUUUUUUUUUUGGUAAUUUCCCCAAAAACUUACUUAUAGAAAAGAGAAGUUUAGGUAGAAGCUAAGUACCCGUCAGCAACUUUCCGAGACUCCCAUCCCUGUAAAUGACUCACUUUUUCGAGUGCUUCCUGCACUUUCUGGAUGUCCUCCUCACCAAAAUACUUCUUACAUGUACGAAAGGCCUUCCUACCAAAGUUUCCUCUUUUUAGAUGCCCCACAUCCGAUGGGUCCACUUUAUAAAAGAUGGGCAAAACUGUGUGUGAUGGGCUCUUCGCACGAUCCAUGAUAUGAAUAAGCUCGCGGAGGCACCAUUUGCUUGAAGCAUAAUUUUCGGAGAUGAUGAGAAUCGAAAUUUUAGACCGAGCAAUGGCAUUGAGAAUUUCUGGACCAAAUUCCUCGCCAAUUUGGAUGCUCUUAUCAUCCUUGAACACAAAAACUGGUGUAAUCCCUACCUUGACUAGACUGUGAUAGAGGUGAUCAGUGAAUCCCUUGCGGGUAUCUGACCCUCUAAAGCUCAAGAACACAUCAUAAUGAUCAUUACAUAUUCCUUCACGUAUUCCUUUGAGUGUUGGAGAGAUUUUCGAAGGUGCGGAUGCUCUCUUCUUCUUGACAAGAUAGAAUGCAAGCAUACUAAAAAGAAUCGUCGCGGCAAGCACUGCGGGCAUUAUUAAAGGGUGCAUCCCUUCGUUUGUUUCAGUGUAACUCCGCCCUUUGUCGAUGGCAAUCUGAGAGGGAAAGUUGGAGAGAAAGAUGCUCUCCUGCUGCAUAAAAAGGAUUGAUAAUUAGUCUCUAUGAAGUAUGAACAAGUAUGAACAUGAAAUCUUUUACCAAGCAAGAAAAGAUAAACAUGAAAUUAUUAAUUAAUUAUUAUUUGAUUGACUAGGAGCAGUCGCUGAUGCUUUCAAUCCUUGCUUUAUCUUCUUUUGGAUAUCAUCCUCUAGUCAAGUCAAUCUUGCCGGGUUCGGUCCCCUUACGUAUAACGCGUACAUUAAUUUCUUAAUUGGGCUAUAGAAUAAUGGAAUCUAUGUACAAGCAUAUUGCAUUCGUUCAAAAUUAUAUGUAGUGGUUCAGUUUUUAUUUGAUUAUUGAAAAUAAGAUUUUGAUAAAUCAUUUUUUGUCAAAGAAUUUGAUAAAUCAUUUAAAAGCUGAUAAUUGAGCUGAGACAAAAUUGGAAAUGUGGGGAAGGCGUGAAGAAAGGACCUAGCUAGUAAUUAUGAAUGUGAUUUUAAAUUUAAUUUGGCCAUAGAUUUCUCCUCCUGCACAGCACAAAGCCUUCCUUCUCCUUGUAAAAUAGAGAUAUAAUUUGUUAGACGGUACCAAACGGAGAAGCGGAUGCUCCCUCAGUGAUCUCUUUUUAUGCACUCUUUUUUUUCUUCAUGUUAGUCUGAACAAUUAGAAAUUAGGUACUUAUUCAAUGGAAGAAAAAGAAGAUAAAAAAAAGGUCUCCGGAUUCAAGCGAAAUAUGACAAUUAAUAGAGUCUGGCGUGCUUGCAAACCUACUCGUUCUAGUUCAAAAAGAGAUCAGUACUGAAUUACGAUACAACUAACAACAUGUAAUAAGGUCAUCAUAGGAUUAUUUACAUCUAAAGUCGAAAAUACCGAAGUCGUUAACAGGCAACAACAAUUCCAAAAGAGAGAAUAAAAGACACCCUCCUCAGCUAUUCCGCAGCCACCCCACAUCCCCAGUAGACAAAAAGGGCCCAGAAGACACUAGUUCAGACUAUUAUUUCAAUAAUAAAGCGAUGAAUCAAUAGAAACGACACGGUAGUAAGAGAUGAAAAAGUGAUUACCUUCCGCGAGCUAAGAUACGAAGAGAGGCGCGAGAAACAGCACGGUAGUAAGAGAUGGAAAAAGUGAUUACCUUCCGCGAGCUAAGAUAUGAAGAGAGGCGCGAGAUCGGUGAGAGAAGACCCUAAGCAAGCCUGGGCAGGAACUUUCAAAGGGGGAAAAAGAACAAAGAAAGCGAGUGAGGACUGACCAGUGGACGACAGUCUCAAAUUGUUCUGCGAGAGAGAGGCCGAAUGCGAAAGAUAAAGUGAGCAAUGAGAGAGAGAGAGAGAGAGAGAGAGCGGGGGGAUCAAUCAAUAGUAGACGACAGUCUUGAAUUAUUAUUGACCAAUCGGUAGACGAUAGGUUGAUUGACUGGCAGCAAUAAAAAUUCUUUUCAGAUGGCAAGCAAAGUCAAGCCACACAAUUUGGACCAGAGUACAGAAUGACCACUUCCAUUCAUAUCCACUUAAAAACCAUUUUGUUAAACAGAUAAAUGUGGCUCUAACUAGCUUAUAAAUCUUCCAUUAUAUUAUUAUCAAAGGCAUUCUUACUCCUGUAGGUGCUGCAUUUUCCUCCCACCAUAAAGAUGCAUAAAUCAUAUUGUCAAAUCCAUUGUAAGCCAAUAAUUUUCUACGCUAAAUAUACGUAAAAGUCAUGUCUUUACUGUAAGCAAUAAAAUCGCAUGAAAAGCACAUUUUAGGACAAGUUUCUCUAAUUCAAUCCACAAAGAUAAAGUCCACCUAAAAAUUGUCUACAUAAUAAAUUCGUGCGAGUGCAUUGAAACCAGCAGCUUUGCUCACUUUCAAGUUUUCCAUUGUAACCAGUACCAAAAAGAGAAAAAAAAAAAAAAAAAGGUACAAUGGUGAAUUUUUCAUAAUUGGAAAACAUUUGAAUUUUCUAUCAUUCUUCCAAAAAUAUGAAAAUCGCCAAUAUAAUGGGAAAUGGUUUUGUGUACAACCAGAAAUUAUCUAGCUGAUCUGAUAUGUUUAGAUAAAUUUUUGUUGUUGACAAUUUUGAUCGGUAACCUAUGAAAGGUUUUGUGCAUUAUUGAAGAGAAAAGACUAGCAUGAUCAAUAUUUGGAAAAAUAUCUUUAACAGUUUUCAAGAAACAAAGAAUUAUUUUUGCAAAAACCGAGUAUUUUGGAUGUUUUAGGCUUUAAGUAAUUUUGAACAAGUAGGGUAUGCAUAGGGCUAAUGGACCCAAAAUCGCGUCUAGAAGGAUAUUUUGGUAAUUUUCAUUCCCAAGGGAGUUCAAUCAACCAUUAAUGUUUAGAAAACAACACCAGGAUAAAGGCUGGCAUGCGAUUCCACUAGAUUCAAUCAGUCUUACCAUACAUAACCAAUUAGUUUAAUGGGAAGAUUGUAGUAAGGAAACUAGCAAUAUAUAUGUAAUGAUGAUUUUGGAAAAGGCGAGGGAACUUCACGAGUAAUGUUUCGUAUGCCUUAAAGGAUAUCGGGUGUUAUGCAAUGAGUAAUAAUCAAAUGUAUUUUUGUCCUAUCAAUUGUAAUAGACUAGAGAAUGAAAGUCGGGCUUACCUGGAGGAGUGAUGCAGAGAUGAAAUUCUUGUAAUGGGUUUUAGUGUUUGAGAAGAAGUUGCCUUGGACAGAUCAAGUUGUGUUUGAGUCCCGGAAGACAGUACAAUUUGAGGAUCACCUUCACGCCUCAACUUGGAGCUAUCAAUACAAAUAUAUCUCAGAAAAAAAUGAGGAUCUCAAUGAUUUAUGGUGAUUGGUGUUUCUCCUCUUCAAGCACAAGCAUUUGGGACUUUAUAUAAAGCUGUACUUCUCUUGCCCCAGAGGAGACGCGACAUCUUGUGGUGGAUGGCAUUUCUUAGAUGAGGCAACUGCACUUCUUUUGAUUCUAACCUUUUUGACCAAGACCACUAAAACAAUCCCUUCCUCGAAAUUGGCAAGACGACCCCUAUAGACUUCACUUAUUAAUUCUUUUUGUUAUUGGAUUCCACGGCCAAGCAAGUCACAGUGGAAAUUAAAUUUUUUGACACAAUGCUAGUCCUUAACAGUCACGGAAUCAUCUCCUUUUUUUGUCAAACGAAAUUAUCUCCUUUACUUGGGAACUUUUGCAAGGUGUUCGUAUUGAAAAUUACUUCUUCUCUUGUCUUGAAAAGUGAGCCCAAUGUGCUAGGGACACACACAAUCUUACCAUGGAUUUGCACGUCCUUGAUGAGAAAAUUUACUUUUUUUACUGACUAACGCUCGCCAUUUGUUAGUUCUCUUUGUAAUGGAAUCACAUGGCCGCACAAAUCAAAGUGAAGAUGGACAACAUUUUGCUUUCCCUUCCUAUUGAAAUAAAAGCCUCUCACUACUGGAGGCAUUGAAAUGGUCAAAAAUCUAUUUGUUAACUCAUAUUUAGUGACCUGACUCCUAUAUGGAUUGGCUAAAAUUGAAAGAGUAGGUUGUUAUGAAUUUAAAGUAACAAGAUUCAAUUCAAUAUAUAAUAUAUUUUAAUGAGUUUGAAUCAUGUCUAUAUGCAAUUCAUGUUAAAAAAAAAAGAAGAAUAGAAAAGUAAUGAUCUUUUCAUUUGCUUUCACAUGGCUCUUCUUAGGGGAACUCAUGCUCGAGUGUGGUAUGCCUCAACACGUGGAGCCCAUUGUAUGUGACACAACAAUUGCAUGAGAUUUUUCUUCACUUGCCCAUUGCUUUAAUCAAUGAUUGAGUGACCCGUCAUUCAUUCCCUAUUCAUUAUCGAUUGUUUAAUCUAGUGGGACUCAUGUAGAACUUAUAUGGCUCCGGUCAUUUUUAGUUUUCCAAAUGUAAUCUUUCCCACAUUAUCAUUUAGCUCCACAUCUAGACAACGACGUCAAUUAGGGCCAAUUCAGCCAAAUCUCCUAUGUACUCUUAAGGAUGUAAGGAAUUAGAUUGAUAUCGUGUGCUUAAUAUGACACACAAAAUUUUAUCUUAGGUAUUUAGGGAUCGAAGUUAUGGUGAAAAAUAAGGGAAUGAAGAAAGCUAGGAAAACUAUCAAAAAAGUCCUAAACCAAUUGCAUUUGUGUUAAUUCAGUCCUAAACCUCUAAAUUUGAUCAAUUUAGUGUUAAACCUUUUGAUAAUUUGUCAAUAUAGUCUAUCCGGCCAAUUUUGAUAGGUUUAGGUUGCUUUGGAUGGUGGUUUUGCUUGGUUAUUAGCCGCAUUGCAUCUUAAUGGGCACUUAAAUGUCAAAAAUACUCUUCAUCAGCUUAUCUCACCAUAUGAUACAACCGUCACAUGAAAUAUCUGUUAUUCUACCACAUCAUUUCUUCUCUCUCUCUCUCUCUCUCUCUCUCUCUCUCUCUCUCUCUCUCUCUCUCUCUCUCUCUCUCUCUCUCUCUCUGCCCCCACCACCGCGAAUUAAUGUCACCAUCCUAUAGUCACUUGCCCAAACAACACCAACCAUGCCCUCCACAACUUAGGCCCCAUCUCUCUCUCUCUCUCUCUCUCUCUCUCUCUCUCUGCCCCACCACCGCGAAUUAAUGUCACCAUCCUAUAGUCACUCACCCGAACUAGAGGCGUCUUGCUCAAAGCUACAACGACACUUGACUAGACCUAGCGUCGCAUUUGAGUAAUUUUGGCAUGCAUUGAGCUAGACGCAGCAUUGGAUCUCUACUAGAUCUAAUGUCGAGCCCAACACUGCAGUGGACCGUCAUUGAGGACUUAUAACUCUAGGAUAAAUAUGUUGUUGCAACAGUCAAGCGUGUCACCAAAUUGGGUCGAUGGGAUAUUUCUUUCACAUAGCAUGAUCAUGCCAGUAUAUGCAUUUUGCAAAAGAAAUCUUUAUCAUGAAAAAAAAAGGACGUUUUCAAAACUUCUAUAUCAAAUUUUCUAUGAAACCGAGUUAAUUACCUUUUAGAAAAUUGUCUAGCGAGGGAAAGCAAGUCAAAGUCUUCCACCAUCUCCCUUGCUCAAUUGCAAAGAAAGUGGUAAGGCAAAAGCUGACAAGACCUAAUCAACAUAAUUUUAUUUUUGGGGAGGGGGGGGGGGGGGGGGGGAGGACUGGCCAGAAAACCCAAAUUAAAAUCUUCCCACCUCUUUCUUGCCCGGGUGGAAAAAAAGUGAUAAGGCAAAUGCUGACAAGACCUAAAAGAAGAGAGUGAGGGUGAGGACGAGGGUGAGGGGGAGGGGGGGAGGACUAGCGAGGAAAACCAAGUCAAAGUAUUCCACCAUCGUGCUUGCUUUGCAAAGAGAGUGAUAAGACAAAAGCUUACAAGACCUAAAAGAAGAGGGGGAGGGGGGAAGGACCGGUGAGGAAAAGCAAGUCAAAGUCUUCCACCAACUUGCUUGCUUAGUUACAAAGAAAGCGAUGAGACAAAAGCUGACCAGACCUAAAAGGAAGGGGGGGGGGGAUGGACUAGUGAGGAAAAGCAAGUCAAAGUCUUCCAUCAUCUUGCUUCCUUAGUUACAAAGAAAGCGAUGAGGCAAAAGCUAACAAGACCUAAAAGAAGGGGGAAGGACUGGUGAGGAAGAGCAAAUCAAAGUCUUCCCCCAUCUUACUUGCUUAGUUGUAGAGAAAGUGAUAAGGCAAAAGCUAACAUGACCUAAAAGAAGAGAUAGAGGGAGAACUGGCAAAGAAAAGCAAAUCAAAGUCUUCCACCAUCUUGCUCACUCAAUUACAAAGAAAGUGGUAAGGCAAAAGCUGACAAGACCUACUCAAAAGAAGGAGGGGGUGGGCGAAGAAAGCAAAUCAAAGUCUUCCGCCAUCUUGCUUGCUAAACCAACAAGACCUACUCAAAAGAAAUGGGGGCAAAAAGAUUCUAGCAAUUGAAAGCAAGUCAAAGUCUUCCACCAUCUUGCUUGCUUAGUUACAUGGGGAGAACAAAGACCAUUAUUUAUGGUGAAAAUAUUGUCUAAAUUUAAUUUAUAAAUGAUGCAACGGGGCAAAUCAAUUAUGAUAUAAUAAUUGUACUGAAAUUUGUAUUUUGCGGCGAGGGCUUUGUAUAGGGUUUGCAUGGUUUCUCUUAGGUGUUUUAUUAAAAUCUAAAUGUCUGACAAUACUACAUAAAUAUGUUAUACAUCAAACUGUCCAAUUGACUCUAAACAACUUAUAUUUAUCUAAUAGCACAUGUGGUAAUAUUAUUGUUCUAUAAUUAUGCUCUUUUUUCCUUUAAAUUGACAAGAGUGAGCUAAUAUAGAUCAUGGUCCAUGAAUGUGAACUCACGAAUAUUUGAUACAUGUAAUCCUAAUGCUAGUCUGUCAUUGAGUGUUUGGCAAGAGUUGAAAUUGACAUGUGAAAGCUAUCUGUUACUUGAAUUACAUCAACAUAUCCAAAAGUAGCUACCUAAAUAAAGUUUGUCAAAUUUUCAUCAUUAUUUAAAUUCAUAAAAUCAUUUUUCCUCUGCCCUGCUUGCUUCACUUUUGCUGCUCAUGAGUUGUUUUGUUUUUGAGAUUUACAUUAGAUCCAACAUUUUUUUUUGGUCCGGAUACAAUUCAGCACAUAUAUAAGAUUAAAAAAAAAACAAUUGCUCCGUAUUAUGAGAAUGCUGUUAAAAGGAGUAACAUGUAAAAUAAGUAAGAUUUUUGCCUUCUGAUGAGGAACAUCCUUGUCGUUUUAGGGCUUAACAUGUUAACAGAUAAUGGACUGUUAAACUGAUCUGAAAAAUCCAUUGCUGGCUUUUAUUGGUCAUAAACCACAGGAAUCAAAGGUAUCUUGGUACUCUCUUAAGGGUCUUCUAGAGCAAUAGUUGGAUAAAUGGAAUAAGAUUGUAUCUUUGACUCUUCCCUCUUUCAUCAGUUGACUAAGAUGAGACAUCAGUGGCCCAAAAUGGAAAAGAACAAGAAGGAAUAACACACCCAUAAUCUUAGUACCACCAAAUAUUAAGACUUCGAAACGAGGUUAAAAAUCUUGGGUUCUAUUGCUCAAUAGACGGUAAAAAAACGCUUCAAGUGCCUUAACUUUGCACAAAAUGACACUUAAGUGCCAUAACUUACGAAAGGUGCACUUAAGUGCCUAAAUCGAAGUAAAAUGAAUCACUUGAGUGCCAAUCCAGCCAAAAUCCAGCCAAAACGCUAACGUGUCAAUUUUCCAGCAAAGCGAGUGCGAAACGGCGUCGUUUUAAUGCUGACGUGGCCAAAAAUUUAAUAUAAAAAUUAAUUUAAAUUAAUUUAAAACUAAAUUUAUUUAAAUAUUAAAAUUUUAAAAUUUUAAAAUUUUUUUAAAAAAUUAAAAUUUAAAAAAUUUAGAAAAUUUUGAAAGAUUUAGAAAAUUUUAAAAGAUUUAGAAAAUUUUAAAAAAUUAAAAAAAUUAUAAAAUUAUAAAAUUUAAAAGAAAUUUAAAAAUUUAAAAUUUAAAAAAAUUUAAAAAUUUUAGAAAUUUUUUUUUAGGAAAAGGAGGCGGGCCUAGCCAACCCUCCCCCACCUUCCGGCGAUAGCGGGGAGGCGGUAGCAUCGAGGGCUCUGCCCUCAGUCGUUGGCUGCCUUUUCUCCUCCUCCUCCUCCAUUUUUUUAAAAAUAAAUAUAAAUUAUAUUAUUGUUUUAUUUUAAAAUUUAAUUUAAUUAAUUUUCAUAUUAUAUUAAAAUUCAACUUAUACCAAAACGUUGUUUUGGCCAAUUUAAGUGCUCUAUUCUGGCCAACACCCGAAAUGAUGUUAUUUUGGUGCUGACAUGGUAAAAAAUUUUAAUAUAUAAAUUAAUUAAAUUAAAUUUAAAAAUUUUAAAAAUUAAAAAAUUUUGCAAAAUUAAAAAAAGUUACAAAAAUUUAAAAAAUAAAAUAAAAAGGGAAGCUGUUGAGGGCUGAAAAAUUUUGUAAAUUUUUUAAAUUUUUGUAAAUUUUUUGUAAAUUUUUUGUAAAUUUUGCAAAUUUUUUGUAAAUUUUAGAUUUUUUUAGCAAUUUUUUAAUUUUUUUUUUUGUAAAUUUUUUGUAAUUUUUUGUAAUUUUUUAAAGUUUCUAAAUUUUUAAAAUUUUUAAAAUUUUUUUAAAUAAAUUUAUUUUUAAAAAAAUUAUUUUAAAUUUAAUUUAAAUAAUUUUUAUAUUAUUAUAAAAUUCAAAUGAUACCAAAACGACGUCGUUUUGGCCGAAUUCGAGCUGACUCAGCUCUCCGGUGAGACACAUCAAUGAGAAAUAUUAAUAUUUUAAUGCCACGUAUGAUUUUCAAUCAGGAGAUGGCACUCAGGUGAUCCAUUUUUCUUAAAAUGUGACACUUAAGUGUCCCUUUUUGCCAAAUUAUGGCACUCCAGGGGUCCGCAUGUCCUCAAUAGACAAACGCAAAGGAUCGACGCAUGAAGAGAACAAAGAAUAUUGUUUACCUUCACCAGCCAAAAGAUUGCAAGGUCAACAGCAAAUGCAGGAAAGAAAUAGAAGAAAACCGUACAAAACCUUUUGUUACUUACAAACACAUACCAUCCUAGAAACAGUAUGCAUGCCAUCAAGGGGAAGAGCUGAAAGAUUGUCUUCAACACAAAAUAACUAUAGUCAUACCUCAUCUUUUUUAACAUGUAAAAACGACCAUUUCAUUCGGCAAAAUUUACCACCCUAGUCAUGAAGAGCAUGAUAUUCAAAAAGCACAUCACUCUCAAACGUACUUUUCAUGCACAUGGCAAGGUGCUUAUAUCAUAAAAAUUAUUGCUUAUAUCACUUAACGUAAUUAGCCAAUAAAAAAUGUUUUUAUUAUCGACAAAAAUUUAGGUCCAAACAUUUUCAUGAGUCAUAAAAGUAUCUUUUGUUCAUUUGUUAUUGUUAGCGAUUUUAGUGGAAAUGUUUGUCAAAUUCAUUUUCCACAAGACAAACACACCCGUAAUGUCAAAUAGCUUCAAUGUUUAAAACUAGGAGAGGGAAAUUUGAAACAGACGUUUUACUUUAGUUUUUGCAUGUGUGAAAAUGAGAAAACACCGUCUCUGUCUUCCGCGGUGUUGCUGGGUCAUUGGAUGUGGGAACCAAAGAAGAUUUGCGUAAAAAAUUGAAUGCAGUUCUAGCGGAUAGUUUUCAAUUUUCACCCAUACUACGACUUAACAGUGGAUUAAAUUACAAAAAAGGUAAUAAAAUCAUAGCAGCUUGACAUAUUUCAUUCCAUAUAUAUAAUUUGCAGCUUGCUUAAAUUAUAUUUAAAAGAAGGUAAUGAAGGAGGUGAUGUAUACUCAUAUUUAAAUCAAUCUCAGUUGGUUAUUUCUGUGGAAAGCAUAAAACUUCCAAAUCAUGAUCGUUAGCUAAUCAUAUUUCAUAGCGUGAGGCGAGGGAAAGCAAGUCAAAGUCAUCCUUCAUCUUGCUCGCUUCAUUGCAUUUCCCAAGUCCUCUCUUUUAACCAAAGAAAGGGACAUGACAAAUGCGGACGAAACCUACUCCAAAAAAUUAAUAAAUAAAUAAAAGACUAGUCAACGUUCAACUUUGGACUGAUUCUUGUUCUUCCCCUAAAUUUCCUCGAAAGUGUGUGAAUGUGAGGUAAUCAUGUAUACCUAUCUCUAGGGGACAUCAUAAUUACAAACACUUAGGUUAUGUUCACGGCGAGACAAGAGACGGUCUUUAUUGUGGAAAUGUUGCAUAGGAUUAAUUUAUAAGUGACACCAACGGACAGUGCUAAUCAUAAUUUGGAGCUUUUGGAUGAAAGUGUGGCUACUUGUGUUUUCUAGUAAGACUUGAUAUAGGGUUCUCAUAGUUUUUCAUAGAUAUUUUAAGAAAUUUUGAUGUUUGUUGUAAAUUUGAUAUGCACUGAACUUUUCAUUUUGUUUAUUAACUCCAAGUAACUCUUAUUUAUCUAUACAUUUGCUGCUCUAUAACUAUACUUUUUUCUUUUUCCCCUUGAAAUGAAAAGGAGUGACCUAACAUAAGUCAUGAUACAUGAAUGUGAACACAAGAAUAUGUGAUGCAUUCAAUUGCUAGCCUCAUGAAAGGUUUGAAGAGGGUCGACAUUGAUUUGUCAAGCUAUCGGUUGCUUGGAAUAUACAUCAAUAUCCUAAUAAAAUUCGUCAAAUUUUCAUCUUUGUCCUAAUUCAUAAUGUGCUUUCUUCUCUCAUGCUUGCUUUGCUCAUGGUGAGUUUAUUGAGUCCACGUUAGUCCAAUUAUUUUCAUUGAUCCAGGGAACAAGAGUAUGAGAAUGCUAUUAAAAGGAGUAACAUGAAAAACUAACAAGAUUUUUGCCUUUUGCCGAGGAUCAAACUUGUCAUUUUCCGGCCUAACAUAUAACGAACCGUUAGACUGAUUUGGAAAAUUCUGAUUUCAUCGGCUUUUAUUGGAUAGAAACUACAUAAACCAAAGGUAUGUCGGUGCUCUAUCACGUGUCUUCCGGAGCAAUACUAAGAUAAAUGGAGUACUAUUGGCUCUUUGACCCUUCCCUCUUUCAUCCAUUGACUGAGAUAAGACAUCAGUGGCCCAAAACACAAAAGAACAAAAAGGAAUAAAUUCAGUGACACCCGUACCAACAUAUAUAAGACUUCAAAAUGAGUUUAAAAAUCCUGGGUCCUGCUGCACAAUAAACAAAAGCAAAGGAUCAACACAUGAAGAAAACAGAUCCUUUACCUUCACCAGCCAAAAGAUUGCAAGGUCAGUAGCAAAUGCAGGAAAGAGAUCCAGAAGAAAACCAUAUGAAACCGUUUAUUACUUACAAGCAUAUACCAUCCUGGAAACUAUAUGCAUGCCAUUAGCGGGAAGAGCUGAAAGAUUGUCUUUAACACAAAUUAACUAUAGUCAUGCGUCAUCUUUUAACAUGUAAACACAAUGAUUUCAUUCGGCAAAAUUGGCCACCCAUGUCAUGAAGUGCGUGGUAUUCUCAAAUUGGAGAGUCGCAAGCUGACAAAGCCAUUUAAAGGAUCGCAGCCUUCAGCCACUAAUCAUAUGUGAAAGACAGCCAAAUGUCAUGUGAAUCAGCAACUACUGUCCUAUUCGGCAAUACUAACAUUUCAGCCUUCCCGUUGUUCACAUGAAGAGCACAGACAAUCAUAAUGAAAUGAGAGAAAGCAGUGUGCGAUGAUAUACUCUAUCUUCAAGCCAACUUUGAAUGGUAGUUGCAGAUCACUUCUUUUAGGAACACUCUUGGAGAAAUCGAGCAUUUGAUGAUGUUAACCUACAUUCUGACAAAUACAGGUCAUUGUCUUCAUUUUCAGAGUCUACAGCAACCCAACCAUCAUGAUUCACUUCACCAUUGGAUUGCACAGCUGCCACAUCACUAUUAUCCUCUUCUGCAAGGAAAUGGAGAUCCACAAACAUUGAAGACACAUUCUGUGAGAGAGUAGUUUCUAAAUCUGGAUCGGCAUGGUGAGUAUAACUGAAAUGGAAUGGAAGUCCUGAUCUCCAACCAUUGAAGAGGGGAGAGACUGUGAACUUCUAAUAACUCUGUAGAGAUUUUGCUGACUACUUGCAAUUUUCACUAAAGACAUGGAACUACCCUGAACAGGAUAAGACUCCUCAUUAAGACAUGCUAGUCGGCAAAAGCACUCAUAAUUAGAGGCAGACAACAAGAUGGCUCAAAAAGAACAUAAAUGUUCCUACAGUUGACAGCAACAAGGUAUUUUAGUAACUAAAAUAUCACCUUUCCUGGAAGUUGAUUGAUCAAACCAUUUGCGAUUCAAAAUAUGAAUCUGACCCCAUCUUUUAGCGACCUUGUAUUUAUCUUCUGGAGCUUACAGCCAGUCAAGGGCAUCGUAGUGGUACACACAGUGCUACAGAGCAUCAUAUAUGAGGCCAAUAGAAAGAUUCAAUGGUAAUAACAUUGCUGAGCAAUGUGCUUUGAGCAACCAACAGGCAGUCCUAACUCACACUGGAAAAGCGAGAACUGGCUGAGGAUCUUUUAACAAUUAGCGGUUCAAAUUGUACGUUGUUUAACACCUUGUUUCCUUGAACCACAGAACACAAUUCUUUAGGACUGAUUUAGAAGUCAAAGUCAAUGAUAUUGUCAUGCCAGGAAGUUUCACUGUUUCUCAUCGUAAUCAAAUUCCCAAGUAAAAGGACAUUACCAAAAACCAAGAUUAAAUCAAGCAUAGCUAUUUCCUAUUUCAAACUAUAAUCAUCACUAAACCUUGAAAUGAUAUAGAUCUUCUUUUCAAACUCUUAAAUGUGUUUUCAUAUGCGAAGACAAGAUAAAGAUAUGUGCAUUUUGACACAGUGAUCUGAUAUCAAAAGGAAAAUAUGCAAGCAAAUCACUGGACCUUAAUCUUGAAGAAGAAAGGAUAUUUCUGCAAUUAAAUGAGUGCACUUCCUGGUCAAUUCUGCAGAAUAUCUCCCACCAUUUUGUGUAAUAUGCUUCUGAAUCUCCUUCCGUGCGUCUAAGAUCAUGAAGGACAUAAAAAUUGAAGAACUGGAGGACAACCAACAGCAGCAGCUAUAUCAAACAAUCAGUACCUGCAGGAAUUCCUGCGAAGUUCAUUGUCAAUCCAGAAAAUGGAAGAACUCUAUAAGACUCUUGAGGUACAACACGGUGCUCAAUACGGCAUUGGUAUAACCAAUUAAUGGUGACAACAGGUCACUUCAGAACAUUUAAAGCCCACUGUACGAUGACAACAUUAAUUGAUAAAUACAAUUUAUCUCUCAAGAUGGGAUUCAUAAAAGAAUUUGCACAGAGAAUAUUCAAAAAUAUAUAUAUAUAUAUAUAUGAAGGAAACUCUUCCUACGUUCAGCCAACUCAAUCAGAGUACUACCCAUGAUGCUUCCCAUACUCAGUGAAAAAGCAUAAUGAAUCUCAUUUAAAGUGAAUUUAACCUUAACAAGAUACAACAAAUUUGCAACUUUUAACUAAAUUCAAAUUAUAAACUCCAAGACUUGAACCUUGUAUUUUGCAGCCAAAAUAUUCUUCGCAAUUACGAAGCUAACAUCUACUGAAGUUUUGGUUUGUAGAACUCCCCCCAUUGAAGCUACCGAUUUCUCAAUCUCAGCCUGCAGAUUCGCGGAAAUGGUGAAACAAUAAUAGAGACGACAAGCUGCCACCAUAUUUGUUCAGACAAAAGCAUGUCUGAAGGCACAACAAUCAAGGGUCACAUUGAAGGAUACAUGGAUAAGGAUAAGUGACGCUUCACACUGAAGUUUUGGUUUGUAGAACUCCCCCCAUUGAAGCUACCAAUUUCUCAAUCUCAGCCUGCAGAUUCGCGGAAAUGGUGAAACAAUUAUAGAGACGACAGGCUGCCACCAUAUUUGUUUAGACAAAAGCAUGUCUGAAGGCAAAAGAAUCAAGGGGUCACAUAGAAGGAUACAUGGAUAAGGAUAAGUGACGCGUCACACUGAAUUCGAGAGACAAGUUACGACAAAGAUUACACGCUAAAAAAUCAUACAAGGCCAGGCUUAUCUAGGAACAGGCAUACCUCCUCAUCCACCUCAAAUCCAGAUGCAAGGACUUCGACAUUAUCUAUCGCAAGACAAACAAAUAUACCCUUUUUGAGGUAGAAGUCUCCGUUCUUUCGCACACGAAACCACCACACACUGCGGACCUGCAAGAAAUAUCCCCCAUCAAAAGUCAACAUUUUUUUCCCAGGCAGAAGAACUCCUCUCGACUUGCUUGACCAGCACAUUGACCCCAAUGCCUCCGCUUUCGUUUCUCAACUACAAGUCCUGGUUUAGCAUUUAGCAGCCUGGAGGAAACACCAGAAGAUAAGACUAGGACGAGAACAAGAUCUUUACCGACUAGCUUACAACCCUUUCGCCUGAAGAUCCUCGAGCUUCUCAAGACGUAAAACAACGUCAAACCCAAUUUUCAAAAUGAACCCAAAAGCCGUUAGCGCCGCCCAAUCCCAACGUACUCACGUGAUCGGGGAGAAGAAACAGCUUGAAAAUCGCGGGGCCCACUCCUGGAAGGGUCGCGGCGGAGGAAGGCCUCAGCUCCGUUCAGCUUGAGCGCGUCGAACGGCUCGGGAGGCACUCAAGUUCCUCGACACGAACACGGUCGCCCCCCUGAAACGGCUUCAUCUUCGCCAUUUCCUAUCUUCCUUCGCCGGCAGCGACUUCCUCAACAGAUGAUCGGUCUCGUUGCUAAGGAUUUCUGCGAAAUCCAAAUGCAUGUGAGAGAGAGAGAGAGAGAGAGAGAGAGAGAGAGAGCGACGAUGAAGCGCGAAGGGAAUCGGAAGUUGGAAGAGGAUGAAGGAGGAGCGACUUGGGGAAGAAUUGAGUGGAGUGAGCUUUUUCUGAAUUCUUCCCCAAAUUGGGAUGGAUUAGGGUAUGAGAAAGCGAGGGAAUGGGGUUUUUCUUGCGCUCUUUUCGGAUUUUCCUUUUUAAUUCCCCUUUUUUGUGCUAUUAAUUUUGUGGAUAAUUUCUCAAAAACCCCCCAGCUUUCACGCCGUUGCAUGACUGCUCUCGAACUGUGAAAAAGUUACGCACUAUGCCCGCGCCGGCGACACGAGCCAUGAAAGAAAAUAAAAGAAAAGAAUAAAAGCAAAGAAUUCAAAAAGAAAAAAUUUUAAAUUGCAAAAACUUAUCCAUGUCAACAUUGACAUGAUAAAUGAUCAAUAUUCACAUUAGCAAUUUUCAAUCAAAAUUAGUCAAAAGAAUUACAUUAACGAUUUGUCAAAAGUUUUAAAAUUAAAUUGACCAAAUUAAAAAAUUUAUAAUCGAAUUGACAUCCGUUGAUGAUUAUUUUGUCAAUUUUCCCUAAGAAUUUAGUCACAUGUCUAGAUCAAAACUUCACAUGAAGUUUUUAUUGUGGACCCAUAAGUGCCGAAAAAUUACAUUGGAUCAUGGAUAACACUUUUUAUCAUGUUUCAAGAGCAGCCAAAAAUUAGGGCUUCUUGGCGAUAAAUCUUUUUAUAGGUUUUUUUUUUUUUUUUGGUUGAUAUCUUUUUAUGGAGUUCAACUCUACAUUAUAUGACCAACCAAAAGAAUUUUAGAGACACUUUCAGAGCAAAUCCUAAUAUUAAUUAUAACAAUAAACGUGAGUCAAAACUUUCAUUUCGUACAUUUAAAUCCCAAAAUUUGUAACUCCAACAUAUGUGGGUCCUUUUGUUAAUUCUGUCAAUGGAUGGAUAAUAACAAGUGGAUUUUUUCUACUCACGGGUCAUUUUCUGUCUGCUAAAACCUAAUAGGACUAAUGGGAAGACUAAAGUGAGGGCUCAACCUAAUACAACAAGUUGAGGGCUCAGGUGCACGAAAUGAAAGUUUUAAGACCCAAAUGUAUCGUCGUGACGUCUUUUAAAUUGACUUACAAAUUCAUCAUGCUAACAAAACUUAUGAUCAUUCCUUAUACUUGACUUUGGAAAUAUGCUUGCUAUGUUUGCACAUAUAAUCUUGGGACAAAUAUAAUAACUACAAAAAUCCAAUGAAUCAAUCCAUGACAUCUUAGGUUGGACAUGAGUAUCGCGAUAUUGGACAGAGCAUUCAGAGCCCCUUAAAACUUGCAGUCUUACAAGAUGAAAAAGGAAGCCUGGUAGUAGGAGUAGAUGUACAAUUAGAUCCAAUCUAUACUUUGGGACUUCGGAAACUAUAGAGGAGGUGGGACCCCUAAAUUCCAACACACCUCGUACAAAGAAGAUUUUGAAUGAGCCAUCAAGCUGCAUAUAAACAAUUUCCAUAUAGGUAUAUUGGUUUAUAUGAUAUGCAUUCAUUUAAUUAACCCUACGGCUAUAUCCAUGUUGAGUUUGUGACGCUACUCUUCUUGAAGUACCCUAUGAUAAGUCUACUAUUCAUGAGAAAUGUCUUUGACCUCAGUUUCUAAACAAGUUUGUAUUAAGGUUUCUACGGGACUGCUAGACUAAUUCAUCGGUGUGUCCAUGGUCAGCAUUAAUAUAGGAGCUGACCAAUGGAAUCAACUAGGCUCCACGUGAUCAAACAGUUAAACACCGAAAAGUUUCGAGAAAUCUCGAUUUGUUUCCCUUGUCACUCCCAACUUAUGCACCUCGUAAGGUACUUCAUUACAGAAUAACCAAGAGUACCUUGUCCACCAACUAACAAAACUUAUCGGUAAUUGCCGCUCUAUAUUGAUGACACAGAAGACGAUCUCCAAAAUAAACUCAAAAAAGGCAACUAAUUUUAAGGCAAAUAGGAAUUUACAGCUCUUGCCCCAAAAAAAUCAUUGCUGGAGAUAUGAGGCAUCCGCAUUGCCAAUUAACUACAAAGGCAAUGACAACCAGUCAAUCAAAUGAAUUCAAUUAGCUAUUGAAAAGUUCAACAAAAGGAAAAUGAACUUAUGUCGUAAGGCACAUCUUAAAGGUAAAUGCUUUUUAAUUCUCGCUAUGUAGCAUUAACUAGACUAUUCAAAACUUGGAUGUGCAAUUGGUUGAAGGUUUAUUUUAGGGGAAAGAGAGGGAUUGGAUUUGGUAGAUACGAGUCUUUCCUCUCUGGACUUCUUUAAGUGGAAAGGCAUUUCAUUCAAAUCCACCUCCGAUUUUCUCUUAAUCUUCUUCUACGGCGAUAUCGCCUUUCCUUGUCUUGCAUCUUCCGAGAAGGUGCUCGAAGUUAUCUUGAUUUCCUCUUGCUUAAUUCUAUCUGAUCUGUAAUAGGUUAUUAUGAUUCUUUUAGCACCAAAUGAUGGUGAUGAUAAUGAUUGAUUACAGCUACUUUUAUACAACGAAAGGGAGCUUUUCUUUUCCAUCCAUUCCUUUGUUUGCCGUUUCCGAUGCGGAGCACCACAUGUAAUCAUGGCAUACAAUUAAAUAUGCUCAGAUUGGAGAGAUGGAACGGCUGGGAUUCUGGUCCCAGAAUCAGGUCAACAUGGUAAGGAUCGAAAGCCUUUUUGCAUAAAGGAAUUCUGGGCAAUGAGUCAGCCCUCACUCCCCACCUUUCUUAUAGAUCCAUCACAUCUUUACUAAAUUAGGGCAACGUUGUUGUUACUAUAGGUGCAAUAAUUUUGAAGAGAUGCCCAAAAAAAAAAAAAAAUCGCCAGGCCUCCACGGAAUGAAGAGUUAUUUUCUUGCAUCAGCUUUAGUCUUGAGGCCCGCACUGCGUGCAUGCAUGAUCACAAAUGGAUAACGUAUGAAGAGAAAAGUAUUUUUUUUAUUGAGCGGAUGUGGAGUGCAUGCUAAUUACACACAGGUAUAAUUUGGUGAUUAGUUGGUAAGGAGACGGUGUGUGAUUUUAACUUUCAACAGGAAGGGCAAUUUUGGAAAAAAAAGAGAUCGACAAAAUAAUGUUAUGGUGAAAACAAAGAGGUGCAAGUGUUGUGAGAUUCAAACCUAGGACCACGAGCGAUAAGGAUUGAAUGGUGAUGAACUUGUUUUGCCGUUUGGAGAUAGAUCUUCAUAUAUCCCUCAAAAGCAUGUUUCGGGUUGGUUUUUGAACGGGUCAAAAAUAGUUCGGCUCAAAUAAACUCAUUUUAAUCCGUUUAAUCCAUUUACAUACAAUAUGUAUAUAGUGACUCAGAUCCAACAAUGUCCCGUGUUGCUAAAACAUGUCUUUAUUUAACCCAAAUCUAGGAAAAUUCACACCCAAAAUCGAGAUGGGUUGGGUCAUAAACCCAUUUAGUACCUCAUCAUUUAUUUAUGGAAGAGGGAGGUGAGGGGUUCAAAUCCUCACAUUCUCGGGGGGAUGGGGUGGGGACGCGUAAGUUUCAGAAAUGGGUUUCGACUCCCACGCCCUGCAAGAGGCAAGGCAAAAGUCUAAGAGUGAGUGUAGAGUAGGAAUAGAGUAGGAAUAGAGUAGGACUAAUAAAAAAAAAUAUUCAAGAGAGAUAAAAAGACAAAAACACGCCCGGAUCGGAUUCGCACUCAGCACUGUUUUCGUAGCACCGAUUGCAACGGGCAAAUGGCCCCUUUCCUCGCCCGACCCACGGUCCAUCCCCCACAUUUCUCGUCCGUGGCAUGUGACUCGCAGGUGCAGAGACAGAGAGAGAUUCGACCAUGUGACCCCACCUCCUCGAAUGCCCAGAUCCGCCAGCUUCGGCGCUUUGACUUCAAAGGAAAAAACGACGACGCAGCACAAACCGUUCGGCGUUCGACCUCGGCAGUUCUUGGCAAAGGGGAACGUCAUUUCGCUCUUCCAUCCCCCGUUUUUUAACUUUUCAUCUUUUCUUUAUUUCAGAAAAAAAAAUAAUUUCUUUAUUUCCUUUUUUUUUCCUUCUUCUCGAAUAUGGUUAAAGGCCAAAUCGAAUAUUUCUAAGAAGGCAAAUCCCUAUUUUUCCCCCUCCUCCCCUUUUCCGAGUUUUCAUACAUUCUUUUUUCUGCUCCGCUUGGGACUUUUAUGCAGGACGAAAUUUCCUUUCCUUUUUUUUUUUUUUUUUGUUAAUUAAAUGAAAGAGAUCUUGAAAAGGGAAAGUCCGUCAAAUUGAAGCCAUGUGUAUCCGGGUAAACUUCUUGUUUUCCAUUUUCAGUUUUUGGCAAUAAAAUUAUUUUUGAAUAAUGGAGAAACCUUAAUUUUUGCAAAAAACGAGAACGAAUCUCUCGAGAUGGAUUAGAUGCGUUGUAUAAAAAGAAGUAAUACAAAUGUUUUGGCCACUUAUUAGGAUUUUGACUUAUGUUUUAUUCGGUUUACAAUGUUAGAGGGUUAUUCUUGGGGAUUUUUCUGAAAUUGGAUUAUCACCAAGAAAGAAGUACGAGUAAAUUAUAAUUUAUAAGACCGGAUCAAUAGAUUUCAUGCAAAGUCUUCUUUCGGUUUUUUGGUCAAAAAAUUUAUGCAGAGAUUUGAUGCUGUAGAGCCUGAAUAUCUGGCGGAGAAUGCAAACUUUGGUAAGCAAUGCAAUAACACAAACCACAAUUAAGGAACCAACAAAAUGCAAAUUCUUCUGAACCCCUUGCAUCAAAUAUUAAUAAAUCUGGUAAAAAAAGCCAUUAACAAGUCAGUCCCGUUGCGCAAAGAAACCGUUAAAGAUGACAAAUCAUUCAAAUUUGCCUAGUCAUGUGCACCAGCAGUGAAAGCCAUGAAAAGAAGAGGGCAGUGAAAUAGCUCUGAGCUUCAUGGCUGAUAAGAUUCAAAGAAAUCAUAUCACACAGUGUCACUCUCCUCCCAUCAGCUGAACCCAAAGAAAAAAAAAAAAGACAAAAUAAAAACGGAAGGAAUUGGAGAGAAAGGAGGUGGGACCCAAGAAAAUGAAGGGAAGUGCUUGGAUCAAUGCUUCAUAAGAGAGCCUGGCAACAAGGCAGUUUACAGCAUCUCAUGUUGAAACAAAGCAUAUGUGAAAUUCAAAUCCAAGAUCUAACUGUGACUUUUAGAAAAUACGAUUGCUGAAAUAGCUACGUGUUAGGGAAAAGUCUACGAUACAAAUAAAAACUGCCAAGUUCUGAAGAAAAUUAUGUGACAUGACCAAUGAGGCCUUUCAAUUGUCAAAAACACGUUAAUUUCCAUUUUCUUUAGUGUGGCGCAUGUGUUUGAUUAAACCAUCACAUCUUACUAAAUUAGGGCAACGUUGUUGUAAUUAUAGUUGCAAUAAUUUUGAAGAGACACCCAAAAACAAAAAACAAAAAUCGCCAGGCCUCCACGGAACAAAGAGGCAUUUAAUUGCAUCAGCUUUAGUCUUGAGGCAUGCACUGCGUGCAUGCAUGAUCACAAAUGGAUAACGUAUGAAGAAAAAAGAAUUCUUUUUAUUGAGCGGAUGUGGAGUGCGUGCUAAUUACACACGGGUGUAAUUUGUUGAUUAGUUGGUAAGGAGACGGUGUGUGAUUUUAACUUUCGACAGAGGGCAAUUUUGGAAAAAAGAGAUCGAUAAAAUGAUGUUAUGGUGAAAACAAAGAGGUGCAAGUGCUGUGAGAUUCAAACUUGCGACCACGAGCGAUAAGGAUUGAAUGGUGAUGAACUUGUUUUGCCGUUUGGAGAUAGAUCUUCAUAUAUCAAUCAAAAGCGUGUUUCGGAUUGGUUUUGAAACGGUUCGAAAAUGAUUCGGCCCAAAUAAACUCAUUUUAAUCCAUUUGCAUGUAAUAUGUAUAUAGUAACUCAUAAGAUAACCAACAUGUCCUCUAUUGCUAAGACAUCUCUUUAUUUAAUCCAAAUCUAAGAAAAUUCAUACCCAAAAUCGAGAUAGGCCGGGUUAUAGGCUGGGUUAUAAACCCAUUUAAUACCUUCUCAUUUAUUAUUUACGUUUACGAUCUAGUUUGACAUGUCUAGAUCUUCAAUAGGGAUAAAAAGACAAAAACACGCCCAGAUCGGAUCUGGACUCAGCCCGUUUUCGCAGCACCGAUUGCAACGAGCAAAUGGCCCCUUUCCUUGCCCGACCCACGAUCCAUCCCCCACGUUUCUCGUCCGUGGCACGUGACUCGCAGGUGCGGAGACAGAGAGAGAUUCGAAAGCAUCCGGUUUCCAUGUGAACCCCCCAUCGAACGCCCAGAUUCGCCAGUUUCAGCGCUUGGAGUUUAAAGGAAAAAAUGACAACGCAGCACACGAAUCGUUCGACCUCGGCAGUUCUUGGCAGAGGAAAACGUCGUUUCGCUCUUCCGUCCCCCGUUUUUUUUUUAACUUUUCAUCUUUUCUUUAUUUCCUUUUUUUUUCCCUUUUUCUCGAAUAUGGUUAAAGGCCAAAUUGAAUAUGUCUAACAAGGCAAAUCCCGAUUUUUCCCCCUCCUCCCAUUUUCCGAGUUUUCAUACAUUCUUUUUUCUCCUCCGCUUGGGACUUUUAUGCAGGAUGAAAUUUCCUUUCCUUUUCUUUUUUUUUUUUUGCUAAUUAAAUGAAAGAGAUCUUGAAAAGGGAAAGUCCGUCAAAUUGAAGCCAUGUAUAUCCGGGUACCCUUCUUUUUUUCAUUUUCAGUUUUUGGCAAUAAAAUAAUUUUUGAAUAGUGGAGAUACCUCAAUUUUUACAAAAAAAAAUGAGAACGAAUAUGAUGGAUUAGAUGUGUUAUAUAAAAAGAACUAAUACAAAUGCUUUGGCCGCUUAUUAGGAUUUUGACUUAUGUUUUAUUCGGUUUACAACUUAGAGGGUUAUUCUUGGGGAUUUUUCUGAAAUUGGAUUAUUGCCAAGAAAGAAGUACGAGUAAAUUAUAAUUUAUAAGACCGGAUCAAUAGAUUUUAUGCAAAGUUUUCUUUUGUUUUUUUUUGGUCAAAAAAUUUAUGCAGAGAUUUUGAUGCUGUAGAGCCUGAAUAUCUGGCGGAGAAUGCUAACUUUGGUAAGCAAUGCAAUAACACAAACCACAAUUAAGGAACCAACAAAAUGCAAAUUCUUCUGAACCCCUUGGCAUCAAAUAUUAAUAAAUCUGGUAAAAAGCCAUUAAAAAGUCAGUCACGUCGCGCAAAGAAACCGUUAAAGAUGACAAAUCAUUCAAAUUUGCCUAGUCAUGUGCACCAACAGUGAAAGCCAUGAAAAGAAGAGGGCAGUGAAAUAACUCUGAGCUUCAUGGCUGAUAAGAUUCAAAGAAAUCAUAUCACACAGUGUCACUCUCCUCCCAUCAGCUGAACCCAACAAAAAAAAAAAAAAAAGACAAAAUAAAAACGGAAGGAGUUGGAGAGAAAGGAGGUGGGACCCGAGAAAAUGAAGGGAAGUGCUUGGAUCAAUGCUUCAUAAGAGAGCCUGGCAACAAGGUAGUAUACAGCAUCUCAUGUUGAAACAAAGCAUAUGUGAAAUUCAAAUCCAAUAUCUAACUGUGACUUUUAGAAAAUACGAUUGCUGAAAUAGCUACGUGUUAGGGAAAAGUCUACGAUACAAAUAAAAACUGCCAAGUUCUGAAGAAAAUUAUGUGACAUGACCAAUGAGGCCUUUCAAUUGUCAAAAACACGUUAAGUUCCAUUUUCUUUAGUGUGGCGCAUGUGUUUGAUUAUAUGGUGGAGUGGGUGGGUGUGCAUUGGGGUUUAGUGGAGGAAACUUGAAGCGAAAAGGUUCAAAACAAUGUGAACCUGAAAAGCCUAGCCCCUCUAACCCAGGGGUAUCAGCAAGAAAAAUUCUACAGCCUUGACCCCCCUUAGCCUAUCCCAAGCAAAGGUGGCAAAAAUGGGUCAAAGACUAACUUUUUAACUCACACUUAGUGGAAUCAUUGGAUUUGCCCCGGUGGCUAUGUUUCUCACAUGAGAAGGGGGAGGCGGGGAGUUCGAAUCCCCCAUUUUUAAGGAGUCGAAGUAAAAACGAUUUAGUUUUAAAUGUAGGUUUCGAGUUCCACACCUUGCAAUGAGGUAGAGUAAAAGUUUGAAAGUGAGAGUUAGAGUAAUCAACUCUUACUUAGUAGGCUGGGUAUUAUUUGUGCUGGUUUAAAUUUUAAGAGCGUAUUAUUAUGCUUCAGAGUAGCAAAGCCCAACUUUGUCUUGGCCCAGCUAGCUAAUCUUCAAAAGUGUAUCCGCAGCCCACAUCCCUAAAUGGAGUUGGGAACGUGAGGAUGUGAUAAAUAAAUGGACGUCACCGGGGUUGUAUUUAUUCCUCGCUAGUUCCACACGCUAACGAUUUCAUCUAAAUCCAAUAUAUUAUAAAAUGAUACGACAUCACUGGUUUAUUCUCUUGAACCUUUAAAAUUUUAAAUAAUUGAUUGAUAUAUAAAGCUAUAAAUGUUAGAUGACACCAAAGAAGAAGCGGAUGCUCCCUCGAUGCUCCCUUCUAUGGCGCUCUUGGUUUUUCGUCUUGAGAUGAUUGAAUACAAGGAUAGAAAGAAGAACUAGUGUAGUGAGCACACACAAAGGAAUGAUGUGUUGUGAAAUGAAAUAAUGUCUCUUUCUUGUUUCCCUUGCUCUGGCUUUGCCCUUUUCUCCAUGGAAGUGGUGGAAAAGUAUUAGACAAUAUAAAAAAUAAGAAUUAGUGGAAAUUUAUUGAAAAAGAUAUUAAAAAAAAAAAAAGAUCGAUUGUUUGAGACAUGCGAGUACUAUUCUUGAGGAUAAUUCCACCUCUCGAAGUAUGAAAUUCAGUACAAUAGGCUCUAGAGGUUAUCCUCACAAGAUAUAACUCUAGACAGAAUAAUAAAUGAAAUGGGAACAUAUUAUGUGUAUAGCAUAGCCAAAAAAAGGGAAAUAUAUUUGAAUUAUGCGAAUUCAAUGUAUCUCAUAUGAUUUUGGUUUAUAGUUUAAUCUUGUAUUCGAAUGAAAGAGAGAGCUAUUAAUAAAUGAUUAUAAAUUAAUUGAUAUUAAUAAAACGAUGACCGUUAUAAAUUAUAAUUUGAUCACGUCAUAAACGAAAGAGAGAACCCAUAAUUCUCCUUUGCACUUGGUAAAGUCUUGUGAUCUUUGUCUUGGUAAAUUUCCUUACUCAUCGCAACUUUUCUUAAUCAAAUGAUAAUUUGAUUACGUCCAUAACUUUCCUUUCAUGUAUUGAAGUGAUGACUGAAAAUCGAUUUUGCAAAAUAGACUUGGCAGAUCAUGUUUUAACCCUUUCUAUCCAACGGUCUGUGUUGAAUGUAGGACUAAUCCCAUAAAAGAGAGUUUUGACUUGUGAAAUUCCCGUCCCCAUCGGGAGGUUUUGCCCAUAAUAAAGUAGCUUUUUAUUAUUAUUUUUGCCAAACAGUCAAGUAGUGUUUGGAAAUGCUAUUUUUCUUAAAGUUUUGAAAAUCAUUCCACUGUAAUAUUUAUAUUUAUAUGUAAAUUAAGGAAUAGUGUUACUUUGUCAAUGUUGUCUUUCACUGACGCACAGCAACAGACAAGUCUGUAACUCUAGUUUGAUAUGCAAGUCUUCCGUUUCCAGAAUAACCUUCACACAUAAUCCUAUCUCCCGAGGUUAACGAUGAUUUAACCCCAAGCGUGUCAAAUGAAGCCCGGGGUGCAAAAUAGAGCUUAGACAAACUUCAGGGGCGAAAGAGGAAAUUUCGAAAAAAAAAAUUGAAAAAAUAAGGCUCAAUCUCUCCCAUUCUCCGGCGUAUAUAUAAAAAUAGGUAGCGGAAAACAUCACCAUUCCCGCCAUCGCUGGGAACGUCUUUUGAAAAGAGCACUUCGAAGCACGCGGUCUCUAGAGAGAUUAGCGAUCGUCUCGAUUCAACUGCGGCUCGUGCAUCAUCGAUCGAUCGAUCGAAUUGUUCGAACAAGUUGAGACUCCAUGGAGGAUCGGGGCUUGGAAGAGGUAGAGAAAGCUCAGGGCUGCUGAGCUUGACUCUCGAGUUCGGCUUCGGCGAGCAGUCCGCCAGCAAGUGCUUGGGACCGUCUCGUUUCCCUCUACGGUAACUCGAAUCGUUAUUUCAUCGCCCAUUUUUUAUGCCGAUUAGCGUUGCGGAGGUUGUGUAGGUAUUUUGGCGAUUGAUUGUGUUGCGUGGAUGAUUCGUGAAUCGAUUGAUUGUGCAGUCCUGAAUACGAAGAUUUAUUGGGGAUAGUUGUCAUUCUGAUGAUGGCUGUGGAAUGGUCUGCCUGUUGGAUGUGAAUGCACCAGAGCUAGUUAAAUGUAGUUCAUUGAUCUCGUCCCUAUUUCUCAGUGGUUUUUGCGGAGCAGUCUUAUUGACUUGCGAAAUGUCUCACUUAUUUCUAAACUGACUGCAAAUUUACACAUGGUGUCUUGCCUACAUAUAAAUAUGGUGUCUCACUGAACUAAGUGCAAAUAACAUAUCGUAGAUUGUGUUUAUUUGAUCUCUUGUUUUCCAUGGAACUUGCAAAAUCAUCUCUUUCUUCUUUUGGUUUUCUUAACAUGAGAAGGUCGAGAGUUUAUCAAGUGGAGCACUGUGGCGAUGGCUUCCUAGCAAACUUGCUGAAAUGAUGCAAGAUUCUGAGGAUUGGGAUGAUUUACAAGCUGCGAAAAAUCAAAAGCUUAUGGAGGUUUGAUUGUAUGUUUGGCCAAGACAUUCGUAAUGGCAGUGAAUGCAACGUUUCGCACUAUGUCGAUAUUUUAGAAGAUUCUCCACAACCUGAGGAAAACCAAACUUUUCUUGAGGUGGAUUCCUCUACCAAUAGUGAAGACGAGGACAACAUAUUUGGCGGCAAAAUGGGUAGGAAAUCCACAUGCUAUAUUCCUGACCAAAGUAGUACUUCAGGCGAUUCUUCCACUCAACUUCUGGCGAGACAAUCUCUAGAAUCCAUGUUAUGCUUCUCCCAUUGACAUAGACAACACACGCCAAACCACUUAAAUCACUUUAUCACUAUUCUUUUCUCAUAUAAGAUGUUCUCUCCUCGAUCUUGCUUGUGAUUCCGCACACAGCAAAGGACCUACACUAUGUACAUGUACAAAAGCAUUAAUUACUCAUGGGCCCUCUCAUACAAUCAAAUGUCGAAUAGACACCCCUAGCGUUUGCCAAUUACUUCCACAAUCUUCAAGAUCCAAAAUGACAUAUUGGAACUCCUUGGUCAAUAAAGAAGUUGAUUUUAGUUUUGGAUGAUGUACGAAUGCCUAUAUUUCGCAAAUGCUUUGAGAGUAUAGCAAAUCAUUAAAGUCUGGACUUUAGCAAUCCACCAUUAUCGGUAGGAAUAUUUUGUGUAAAUGAAGGCUUGUGAUUUCUUUGUGUACAUUCACCACAAACAUAUAGGACAAGUUGUGUUGACACCUAAAUUUUGACGGCCCAUUUAUUUAUUUAGUGCAUAGAAAAUUAAAGGUUAAGUUUAUCCCUAAAAAAAAAAAUCAAUUGCAUAACAUAUAGUUUAGAAGCAUUUUACAUUAUUCUUUUAUCACUUUUGCAUUUGAUCAGCGGCGGAUGAGCUUCACCUUUACGAGUUGACAUAAAGGAUUCAUAUUAUUCUUCCAAUAUUCGGUAAUUAUUUCAUAUAUUCAUAUUAGGCGAUAUAUUACAAAAGAUUGGAAGUUUAAGCAUGAAAUAUCAAGAAGAAUAUCACACAUGGGGAUAUUUUGAGCGAUAUAUUCUAUGUCUCAAGACAAGAAAUAUUUCCUAAUCAAAGGAGAUUUCGUGCGUGAGCUGAGAAAGGAAGUGAAAUAAUCCACGAAAAUCAAAGUUAUUCACCUAUAUAAGAGCCGCGUACGGAGAAAAAGAAAAGGAGGCCACACACUUCGAAUAUACGGCCGCACAAGGGGUUUUCUCUCGAGUAGGAAGUUAGGAAAUUCAAGAAAAGAAAAGUCAAAAAGACUUCUUCGCUUUUGCUGAAAGGACGACAGAGAGAACUGCCGAGAGAAGAGAGGGGGAAACGUGGGAUGUGACGUACAGCAGGAUGUGAGGGCUUCAUUCAGCAAAAAAAAGAAUAAUAAAAAAGGAGAAAAGAGCCCCUGUUCAUCUUCAUCCGCGAAGCCGCACACUGCCGGCCUCCCCGGUAGCGCCUCCACCCGCGACGCCUCUGCUCCGACGCCACGCCCACACCACGACGACGCGGUCGCAACCACCAACCACAGCACCCGCACCGCCGUCACGCCCGCCUUGCCUGCAAUCCACUCCGUCUGCUGCGACCCGAGCGCCGACACCGGAGCCGCUCCUGCCCUGCUCCGCCACUCGUCCGCGAUCGCCCAGCGCAGAUCUAUGUUCGCCGAGCCCUUCGCUGUGCCACUGAGACUCCGGUAGCCUGUAGCCCCGCGAAGCCGAAGCCCACUGCGAUUUCGCCCUGCUGCUUCGCCGUUCCGCCCCACGCCGUAGCGACGCCAGCAGCUGCCGUCGCCUGUCCGCCUAGCUCCGUCUCUGCUCCAACCAGCGACCGACGCUGCUCCUGCCCGGGUGCCGUCCCUGUCGGACCCCCCUCACCGGACCGACGGCCGGCUUCCCCUUGGAGACCUACGAGCAAGCCGUGCUCGAGAAGGCAUAAGAAAGAGAAAAAACAAACAAAAGAAAAAAAGAAUUUUUUUAGGUAGUUCUUUAUCCUUUUUUUUUACUUAUUUGCCUUAUUUUGUUAUUUUUGUUAUUUUAUUGCUUUAUUUUAUUUGUUCUCUUGUAGUUUAAUUAUCCUUUAAUGUGAAAUUGAAAUUCCAUGAUAUGAAAUUGCCUUGAAAUUAGUGAUUGUCAGUUCGAUUUUCGAGCUCGAAGUCCGACUCGCAAUUACUUAAAAAAAUUGCAAAUCCGAUCUCCCGCUCGAGAUCCGAUUCGUGAUUUAUGUGAAAUUGGCCAACCCGAUCUCAUGCUCGAGAUAUGGUUCGUCGAUUUGGAUAUCAAUAUGGCUUGAUUUGCUGUGGUGUUACUUAAAUUAGUUUUCUUUAAAAAAAAAUCAAAAAAUGUAGUUUUAGGGUUUGCAUGUUCAUAAUAGGUAUUUUAUUUCGAUUUUUCAAAAAAAAAAUUAAAUCAAUUAAUUUAGGUUGCUAGUUUGUUUAAAACUUGGAUUGCAUGUUUAAUUAUUUGGCAAUUAUUAAUUUCGAAAUUUAAAAAAAGGGAAAAAAGGAAAAACACAAAAAAAGUCAUCAUGCAUUUGUCAUGUAAAAUUAAUGCAUCUUUUGCACUGUCAUUGCAUAUUAGAAUAAAUUGCAUGCUUAUUUAGAAUAAAAACCAUGUGCACGUCAUAUAGAAUUAUGUUCACACAAUGCACGUCAUUUAGUGAUUUUUGUUAGGUCAAUUUAAUUAGAAAUUGUCAGUCAUUAGAUUAAUUUAGAUUGCAUAUUUAAAUGUUGCAUUUCUUUAAUUUUGAAUCUCAUAGAAAAUACAAAAAAAUUAUUUAGAAUAAAUCAUCUCAUGCUUAUGAUAGACUACAUGCUUAGUUAUGUCAUAUUGCUUAGGUCAUAUAGUUAAGUCAUGUGCCAUGUCAUAUCAUUUCAUGUUAAAUUAGUGGCAUGCAUCGCAUAUUGCAUGAUUUUCAUUAAUUAAGUGAAAACAAAAUAAAAAUUGCAUGUUAAUUAGAAAUCAUAUUUAUGAUUGCUGAUGUGAAUUUUAAACUAACAACGCAGAUGCUUUCGUUGCUAUGAGGUAAGUCCUGCAAUUUAUUCAUUUGCUUUCUUGAAUGUUAAAUUGGUGGUUUGCGUACUUGCAUGGUCACCUCACAUGUUAAGGAAUUAAAAUUAAUUCAAGUUUGCUUGCCAAACAAUUUUUUCGAAAUUAAAAGAAUGGUACCGAAAGGGCGUUAGAGAAAUCUAGCGUAACCAAGUCCCUGUACCCAAAUCUCUGGUUCGUAGGGGUAAAGUAAAUCUCCCAUUACUUUACUUGGGUUUCUAAUCGACCCACCAAAAAUAGAUUAGUGGCGACUUCUAAUUAAAAAUCAAUUGCAUGUUAAGAAUUUGAACCUAAGUCGCGAAUUGGUAUGGGCUUGGGAGAGCCCAAGUUAAGUCUAGGCUUAACAAUCCAUUAGUCAAACCCUAGGUGGUUCACACCCGAAAAAAAUUGGUCGCGACAAGUUGCAACAUUGUUUUCAUAAAUUAAUGAUUUUUGUCCAAUGUUACACUUAAAUAGAUUUUGGGUAUCAAUUUAAAGGGAGGUUUUCACCUAAUAAUUUUGUUGGAUAAAUUGGAGUCUCGUAUGGUUUUUACUCUCAAAGUUAGUUUUUCCUAUAUAUGCACAAACUUUUUAGAGUUUGAAAUCAGGUUUUGAUUCAAUGUUAACAUCUCAAUUUUUUAAAACUCGAAGACAAAUUUUCAAAGCUGGCGUUUUAAGUUGGUUCGUAGCAAGAAAAAUUUCUUGUUAAAUAUUUAUGGGUUGUUGAAGGCGUGAAAAUGAGAAAACAUGGUAUUCGUCUUCUGCAGUAUUGCUUGGUAACUGGAAUUAGUUGUUGAAUAUGGAAAAAAAAGAAAUAAUAUUCAUCGUCAGUCGCAAAAAAAACAAUAAAAGAAGAAGAAGAAGAUUUUGAAUAGAAGGCGCAGUUUAAGAAAUUGUUCAAGAAAUUAUGGUCUAUUAUUAAAAGAUAUGCCAAAAAAAAAGGAACAUUAUUACUGUCCAUUAUUAAAAGAUUUGCAUCUUGGAUAAUGUUCCAUUGGUCCAUGAUCAAUGAUUUUUCAAAAAUAGUCACGGGAUUGUUCCGUCUAAGAACCAUAUAUGGGGAUUAUUUUAUUGAUGGCCAAACUUUCGUUUUAUAUUGAUCUAGUCCGAGGAGCACUAAUAAGUCCAAUUUGGCUGAAAAAAGAAAAAUUAAUAAGUUUACCUUACUAGUCACUGAUUAUUUGUCUUGGUACUUUAUAAUGGUUUGAGUGUUGGUCUUUGUUUUUUAUUUUUUCCUCUAGAAAGACCCUUGGUCGUCAUUACAUCUUCUAGUUGGCUAACAUGGAUGUGAGCUUAGAUUGUGACAUUCUUCCCAAGAUUAAGAAUUAAUAAUUGCCUUUUAAAAGUUGGUCGCAACGGAACAAUAAAAAGAACAAAGAAGAUUUCUAAAAGAAGGUAGGCGGUUUAAGAAAUUGUUCAAGAAAUUAUGGUCUAUUAUUAGAAUAUAUGCCCAAAAAUGGAACCCUAUCCACUACCCAUUAUAAAAAGAUCUGCAUCUUGAAUAAUAUUUUAUUAGUCCACAACCUUUGACUUAUCAAAAAUAGUCACAAGACAAGUUAUUGAAGCCAACUAGAUUAUUAUGUGGAAGGGGAUUAUUUUUUUAUAGCCGAUCAUGAUCAAACUUUGUCAUUAUUAUCGGGGCAUGCCUGAGCAGGCACGGCUUGGGCAUGGCUCGCAUGGGCCUAGAUAUUUUAAAAAAUUAAUUUAAGAGAAAUUAAAUUAAAAAAAUUGCAAUACUUUUUUUCAAAUUAUGUAAUAUAAUGAGAAAUUAUUUGAGGGAAAUUAAUAAGGAAAAACACUCGAUUCUUUUAAACCAAAUUGAAACCCAAGUACAUCUUCAUAUAAUUUGAGAAAAAAAUUACACUUAGUGGAGCUCUACUAAUGAUUUCACUCCAGCAAUCGUGUUCUUAGGCACUGUUAGUCGGAAAUCAAUAAUUGUCUAUUGUCCAUACGCCUUGCACAUGCCUCAAAACUGACUUGAUGAUUCUUAUGUACCAUUGGGUCAAGAGUGUUUUACCUGAUUCUUUUUGUGUUUGUGUUUGUGUUUUGCAUCUACGAAUUCCCUUACGUAGAUAGCCAAUAAUUGUAUCAUAAUGAUGCUCAUACUUUAGUCUUUAUCUUAACAUUAUCUCCUCAGCAAAAUGGAUUCUGCUCGAGAACGGCACUCUAAAGAUCAAUGUGGAUGGCUCGUAUGUGAAGGGAGAGAGAAGAGGAAGCAUCGCCGGUGUUUGUAGGGACGAGUCUGGAACACCGUCGCUGGAUUUACCAAGAAAGUGCGGGUUAACUCGAUGGAGCAAGUGGACGCUCUAGCGUGCACACAAGCCCUACGCUUCUCCUCUGCUUAUGAACCCAAGUAUUCUCUAGAGUCAAAUAAUUGGUCAAUGAAAUAUGCAUUUUCAAAUCAAGAAGAGCCGACGUGGAGUAUCCAGCCUCUUAUCUCUAAAGGCAAAUGCCUGCUGGCCCAAUACGAAAGCACCCGUUAGCCCACUGCAGGAGAGAAGCGGACCAGGUAGCUGAUUGUAUCUCUAGGGCCCAUCGGCAAAAAUCCCUUCCCACCAAUUGGGUUUCUUAUCCCUAAAAAAUAUUAUGCGAUCUAAUUUAUUCAGAGGCCCAUUUAGUUUGUAAUCGCAGAGCUACUUAAAGUAUGAAAGAAGUUUAUUUCGAUGAAAAGAAGAUGAACAUUUAGAUUUCUCCACCAUCUCCGAAAUGUCAAAGAACUUACAAAAAUUUUGUAGAAAAACUUAAGUGCAGAAGUUUUCAGUGAUUGGGGCUCUUCUUGAAAUUCUAAUAACUUUAAGAUAACCUGAGUAGAGCUUAAACUUGCACAUCAUCAAGGAACUCAUUGAAUUAGUUAAUUUCAUCCUCUCCAAACACUAUUUUAUGAAUAUGCGGAUUCACGAAAAGACAAGAUUGGCCUAAAUGACGAGAAUACAUCAAUUUGUGCUUCUGCUCUUUGAUUUGAUGGUCUUGUUUGAGAAUCUAGUUAUCUCAUUGAACCUCUCACUUAUCUCCCCCUCAGUGUCUUUACAUCAAACCAUUUUUUUUUUCGCGUGGCUCUCACACUUGCCCAUCCACCACUGCGAGCGAUUGAUUCCAUGAAUCGCUCCGAGUCUUUGCCUUUUUGUGAUAAACAAAUGCAGAAAUGGGGGAUUGCUAUAAGGGCGACGGUGCUUUAUUCUGCUUGAAGUGGAUGAUUAGGAUAAGCCCUUUGCCUUCACCUGCCUAUUUCACGCAACUCCUGGAGGGAUCGUGGAGAAGAUGAAGAAGCAUUGCGCCCCUGCAACUGGCACGACCCGGUCGGAUAAAUUUGAAGGGAAUGACCCCCAACGAUUUUAGCCUUUGCAUUCUGGUGAAUUGCCUCUACCAAUUGAAAAGGUCCAAUCUUGGACUCGAAUGCACAACCAGGAGCUUUAAUCCUUGACAGAUGGCUUAUCUUGCAUCGGCAAAUGGAAAAUAAAGCAAUGAUUUUGUUGAUGAAUACAGCACGAUUUAGUAUCCAUUAUUAAAAGAUUUGCAUCUUGGAAAUGUUUUAUUGGUUGACAGUCAUUGACUUUUCAACUCUAGUCACAAGAAGAGUUAUUGAUGGAAUCGAAAAGACUCAAUGGAGUUUACUUUUUUUUUUGUUAAUCGCUCAUAAUGAAAUUUUGUCUCACUUUCAUUUUAUAUUGAUCUAGGCCAAGGACAACUAAUAGAUUUUAUUUGGCUGAAGCAUCUUCCAGCUAGGUAACACGGAUGGAACCUUGGGCUCCAUAUGUUUCCGGAAAACAUUAGACCAUGUGAUUGCAUCAAGGAGCCAUGAAUUAAACCCUUCGCCAAUAGGGAGGCUGUUAUCAUUCGUGAAUGCAAAUAUUGGUACAAUUCCUUCAUUUAUGAGAUUGGCGUAGUCUCAAAAUCUCAGGAAUACAUCAUAGGGAUCACUUCCCCCCUCCUGUUGGUGUUGGAGAGACGAAUGUAGAUAUAGAUGCUCUGGUAGUGCUCUUAUUUUCGGCAUGCAGUAUUGCUUCUGCUGUUUUUUCUUGUCUUGAGAAGAUUAUAAGCGCACGGCGAAAGAAGAAUUGGCGCGACAAGCACCGCUAAAGGGGCACCCCCAAAACCGAACUGUUGGCACUUCGUUAUUUUCGUUAUCCGGCUCUUCCCUUCAAAAGAAAGGCCCUUCCUGUAGUGCAAAAGGGAUAGAUUAACAUAUGAACUAGACUUAUGCAUCAACUUGAAACGACUGCCACCACACGCUCAACAGUAAAGUGCACAACUUCUUUUACCCAAAGAAAAAAAAAAUUACAGACCCAAGGGUGUCAAAUGAAACCAAGAAAAACUUACAGGGGGCAAAAAGAGAGCUUAAACAAACUUCAGAUGCGAAAACGGAAUAUUCAAAAAUAGAAAGGGAAAACAUCAAUCCCGCCAUCGCUGGCGAGGUUUUUUGAACAGAGCACUUCGAGCGUACGCUCUCCAGAGAGAAGCUAGCGAUCGAUUCGAUUCCGGCUCGUGUAUCGUCGAUCGAUCGAAUCGCUCGAACAAGUUGGAAUUCCAUGGGGGAUUGGGGCUUGGAGGAGGUAGAGAAAGCUCGGGUUGCUGAGCUUGGCUCUCAAGUUCAGCUUCGACGAGCAGUCUGCCGGCAAGUGCUUGGACCGUCUCGUUUCGCUCUACGGUAAAUCGAAUCAUUACUUCGAGUUAUGGAGCCCAUCUUUGAUGCUGAUUGGCGUGCCAAAGCUUCUGUAGGUAUUCAUCGUCCACCACGGUGAUGAUGGCCGUGGAAUAGUCUGCUCUAGUUUUGAAUAGAUCGGAGCUGGUUCAGCGAAGUGGUCUUGCUGACGAGCGAAAUGUCCGGCACGGUUCUAGUUUGAUGUUUUAAGGUUGCUUCGGAUGGUGGUUCUUGGUGAUUAGGGAAUGAUGUAAUUGCUUGUGUUGUGUGGAUAAUUCGUGAAUCGAUUGAUUGUACAUUCCUGAAUGAGGAGAUUUAUUGCAGUUAGUUGUCAUUCUGACGAUGGCUGUGGAAUGGUCUACCUUUUGGAUUUGGAUGGACUGGAGCUGGUUAAAUCUAGUUCAUUGAGCGUUAAUCCUGUCCCUACUUCUCUGUGAAAUGGUCUACCUUUUGGAUUUGAAUGGACCGGACUAGCAAAAUGUCUGACUUCUUUUCUGAACUAACUACGAAAUUACAUAUGGUGUCUCACCUUCAUGUAAAUAGGGUGUCUCACUGAACUAAGUGCAAAUUCGCAUAUUGUAGAUUGUGUUUAUUUGAUCUCUUAUUUGCCACGGAACUUACAAAAUCAUUUCUUUCUUCUUUUGGUUUUCUUAAGGUGACGAAGGUCGAGAGUUUAUCACUGUGGAGCACUGUGGUGAUGACUUCCUAGUAGAACUUGCUAAAACCAUGCGAGAUUCUAAGGAUUGGGAUGAUUUGCAAGCUACAGAAAUCAAAAACUUGUGGAGUUUUGACUGAUAUGUUUGGCCAAGAUAUCAGUAGUGACGGUGAAUGCAAUGGUAUACAAAAUGUCGAUGUUGUAGAAGAUUCCCCACAACCUAAGAAAAACCAAACUUUUCUUGAGGUGAAGAUUCCUCUACUGAUAGUGACGAUGAAGACAAUAUAUUUUCAGUAAAAUGGGCUGGAAAUCUACAUGCUAUGUUCGUAACUAAAGCGGUACUCCAAGCGAUUCUUUCAUUCAACUUCUGGCUAGAUGAUCUUUAGAAUCCAUGGUAUGCUUCAACCAUGGACAUAGCCAAUACAUGCCAAAUCACUUAAAUCACUGAGCCACUAUUAUGUUCUCAUAUAAUUUAUUCUCUGCUUGAUCAUUUGCAAUUUGCUUGCAAUUUUGCACACAGCAAAGGACCUACAUGAUGUACAUGUACAAAAGCAUUUAGUAAAUUGCUUAUGGGGCCUCUCAUCCAAUGAAAUGUCCAAUAGACAGUCAUAACUUUUGCCAAUUACUUCCACAAUCUUCAAGGUCCAAAAUGACAUAUUAGAACUCUUUGGUCAAUAGAGAAGUUGACUUUCGUUUUGGAUGAUGUACAAUUACCUACUUUCUCAAAAUACUUUGAGAGUAUAAUAGAUCAUCAAAGUGUGGAACUUAGCGAUCUGGCGUCUUUGAUAGGAAUGUUUUGCAUAAAUGAAGGCUUGUAAUUUAUUUGUGCACAUUUUUUCAUUUUCCAUGACAAUCCAUGUCAGAAACUAUUACGGUGCUGAAGAGGUUUAUUCCUGUUGAAGGACUGUAAGAGCACUAUCACUCAAGGUUCAAUAUCAGUUUCAAAUGAAAAUGGCCAAUGUUGUCAUAUUCGAAAAUAGGGCAUUUUGACCAAUGUGGGCAUCAGGCAUGUAAAGCUUAUGUAGCCAAGCAAUUGCUUCAUUCUCAUGCCCACUAGAGGUGGUAAAAGCUUAUGUUACUAGGUUAGUGAAUGUUAACAUCAUUUCAUUUGUAUAAUGAUCGAAUGUAGACGUAAGAGCACUGUCACUCAAGGUUCAAUAUCAGUUUCAAAUGAAAAUGGCAAAUGUUGUCAUAUUUGAAAAUAGGGCAUUUUGACCAAUGCGGGCAUCAGGCAUGUAAAGCUUCUGUAGCCAAGCAAUUGCUUCAUUCUCAUGCCCACUGGAGGUGGUAAAAGCUUAUGUUACUAGGUUAGUGAAUGUUAACAUUAUUUCAUUUGUAUAAUGAUCGAAUGUAGAUGUAUGUGUGGAGACAAUGUUUGGAGCACAAGCCCUGUGCACUUUGCUCAAUGGUUCCACUGAUUAAAUACUAGACGGAUAGACUUGUACAUUGAAAUUUAAGAUUUAAAAUGAUCUUGUAAUCUGCUUUGUUAGCACUGUUGCGAAGUUUGUGCUUAAACUUAAGUUUGAAAAUGUUUUCCAAAUGCAAAUUAAGCUAAAGGAAGUGAUUCAGGUAUAGAACCAUGGGUCCAAUGUACAAGAUCUGACUAGGUUGGAAAAGAAUAUUAUAUUGGACAUUCUUGUUCUACCUUCGCACAUUUCUAUCUAUUCUGUGAUUUCUAGAAUUUGAGGUUUGUGCUAUGCUUCUAGGACCUUCUAAUUACUUACUGAAAAAUUUAUCUUGUUUUGCAUGUAAGUGUUGUUGUCAGUCAUAGUUAAGGUCCAAGUCAAAAGGGUUAUUAAGUCAAAGAGGAAUAAGUUUUUAAAUUACUUGCACCAAAUACGGAUUUAGAUCUCUAUAUUUCCUGCAGGUAAGUGCUAUGUUAUCAUCUCAACUGGGGUGAUCAUGUAAGAUGGAUCUUGGUAGCAUGCAACAUAUCUGAUCUACUGAAUCAUGAAAGAAGAUAUUAAUAUGAAUUUAUUAGUUUGAGUUAUCCUGAAGUACUUUCUGUUGAGUCUUGAAGUAGAUGAUAUGUGUUUCUAGUUGAAGUAAAUAAAAGACAGAUAGUGACAGCUAGUGCUUUCUGAUCAGCCGAAGGUGAAUGAAAGGAUAAUUCCUUCAUCCCAUCCUCUCUUCAUGUGCUCUUUUGAUGUUUUUAUCCUUCAUUUCAGCUGCCAACUACUCUUAAACCAAGUGUCACAUUCAUUAUAUGUCCCAUGGUAUCUAUCAACCAGGAUAAAAUAAUUACCCUAACCCUCCAUAUGUUGCAAUGGAUGCACAUUUUUUUAUGUAUUUAAUGAAAAGAUUCAUGCCUAAGAUGUUUGCCUCAAAUAAAUUUUACGAUCUCAGUGUUCCUAGAGAAGUACAUCAUACCAUACAAUUAUCAUUUUGCCAUAAAAUGUUGGGCUAUAAUUGUUGCUGUGAGGUUUCUAUUGGACUUUUAAAACUUUUUUUUGCUGACUGUUGUGAUUAUCAAGUCAUUAAUACAUAAAAAAGGUGCCUUUUCAGGAAAGUUAAUCCAUCGUGCAAGCUAUUGUAUGUAACCCUUGAAAGGAUUGUAGGAAACCCAUCAUUUCUUUUUCACUUUUUGAUGCUCGGCUGCCGUGCAUUGCAGGCACAACUAGCUGGUUUUGUUGUUGAUAAGACACAUUAAGUGAGGUAUGUUCUUUGGCAUCCUUGCAUCUGAAGCAAAGUUAAUGCUAAAGUUACUUCAAAAGGAAUAUGUAUUUAUGAUGUUGCCACUGCAAAACUACUGUCCUUGUCCCAGAUAAAGAAGUUAACUUUUAUAUACGCUCACUCAAACUCUCUUUUUUGAACAUUUUUGCAUAUUAUGUAUUUCUAGCCUAAGUACAUUGUUGGUGUUACACUGAACCUUCUGAAACCCAGACCUUCUUUGACGAUCUAGUAUAACAGAUGCAAUGUUGAAAUAAGUAAUUUUGGAAAUGAUCUAGUUCCUUCUUGUGGGAAAAGUCAGUAGCACAUUGUUAAUCAAAUAAAGCAAAAUGCACACAACUAAAAUGAGCUCCAAUGGAUAUUACUUUCGGAAGUAAUUGGAAGUGUCCAUGUUUGGCUUGGUAGUCAGGUCUCUUAAGGUGGUUCUUGUGUCCCUAUUUAUUCUUUUAACCUUUUUGCUAUAUAAUAACAACGUGGUAUAUAAGGCAAAAGUUCGCCCAUUGGAUCAUUGGUUGUGUUUCUUAUGAGGUCUUUACUGGAUUUGUGCUGCCAGUGCCAUCUCAUGAAAGAAACAUAUUGCCGGUUUGAGCUUUUCUCGUAUAUUUGAAUGAUUGUAAAUGAGGAAUGCUUAUUCAUCAUUACUUUCUUUGUUGUCAUUAUUGCAGUCCAUGGGGACGUGAAUUUUGUCCAAAUUAUAGAGGACUGGAAUGUCUCAAGCAAAACUUUCCAUAUGUCCCAGCGAUGGCCUUAACUGCCAUUGCCACCUGUUCGUGAGGUAUGAAUUGCACAUUAACCUCGAAAUUUUGCUGAAAUAAUCAUUUGGGACUGAUUGAAAUCCUGAAAGCUCUCAGGAUCCCCCAUGCUCUUGUUCUUGAGACAGAUUUGACAGACCAAAUCUAAUGUCUGAGGUCACAGCUAAGACCAAAGAACCAAUGAAGCAGCUUGAAGAGCUGUUAAAGAAUCAUUUUGCUAAUUUUUGUGGCAUAGUAUUUUGCCUCUCAGAGAGUAAAUGUGUUGAUGUUACAAAAUUCUUGAAUGAUACGUGUGGUAUAAAGACGGUGUACUAUCAUGCUGGAUUACCAGCCCAUCAAAGAGUAGCUGUUCAAACGAAAUAACAUGCUGGAGAGGUCCAGGUUGUGUGUGCUACCGUUGUUUUUGGCAUGGAAUAGACAAACCUGAUGUUGUAGGUUGAAAUGGACUUUGUGCCUUUGUCUAUUUUUAGUUUUAGAAUCAAACUGACACGUUGGCAAAAUACUCAAUUGAUCCACUUUUCUUCAAAUGUUUAAGUAUCGCUAAUUGGUUUCUUAGUGUGCUUUGAAGUAAACUUUGCUAGUUGCAUGGUUCAGUGGCCUGCUAAAUUAUCAUUCUUGGCUAUUUUUCAAGCCAAAUUCUUUCUUCCAUGCAUGGAACUUUGGUGUGCUGAAAUUAAGUUAAACUAGGAUAAAGUUCUUUUCUUUACUGUAAAAGUGGCAAAUGACUCUGAUCUAACUUGACCUUCAGUUAUAAUGUUUUUGUCAUAUUUUAACUUUUUUUUUAAUUGGUUCGGUAAUUAUAUUUUAUGGCAUGUGGUCAGCAUUUUGUCAUCCACAACACAAUGUUGAAGUCAAUCGAAAGCUAUUACCAAGAAUCAGGGAUGCAGGAAGAGAUCUACCAGCAAUUUUUCCACUUAAUUUCUGGCCAAACGAUCUUUAGAAUCCAUGGUAUGCUUUAACCAUGGACAUAGUCAAUAUAUGCCAAACCACUUAAAUCGUUGUCACUGUUCUGUUCUCAUAUAAUUUAUUCUCUGCUUGAUCAUUUCCAAUUUGCUUGUGAUUUUGCACACAGCAAAGGACCUACACAAUGUACAUGUCCAAAAGCAUUUAGUAAAUUGCUUAUGGGGCUUCUCAUCCAAUCAAAUGUCCAAUAGACAGUCUUAACUUUUGCCAAUUUCUUCCACGCUCUUCAAGAUCCAAAAUGACAUACUAGAACUCCUUGGUCAAUAAAGCAGUUGACUUAAGCUUUGGAUGAUGUGCAAAUACCUAUAUUUCUCAAAUACUUUGAGAGUAUAGCAGAUCAUCAAAGUGUGGAUUAGCAAUCCAGCAUCUUUGAUAAGAAUGUUUUGCAUAAACGAAGGCUGGUGAUUUAUGUUGAGUGUUGUGACUGUCAAAUUAUUAAUCUCCACUUUUGCUUGGCCUGCCUUUUCAGAAAAGAUAAACCAUCGUGCAAGCUACUGUAUGUAACUGCUGAAAGGAUUGUGGGAAACCCAUCAUUUCUUGAGAUAUUGUAACGCUUGCUUAGAAAGGGAUUGUUUCUGAUGCACCAUAACUUUUUCUGAUAGGUUCUUUGUAAAUUUAUUAUAUUCGACCAUCAUGCAUUGCAGGCACAACUAGCUGGUUUUGUUAUUGAUGAGUUACAUUACGUGAGGUAUGUGUAAUAUUUGGCAUGCCUUGUACAUGAAGAAAGAUCAUGCUAGAGUUACUUCAAAAGGAAUAAUUAUUUGUGAUGUUGCCACUGGAAAACUAUUGUCCUUGUUCCUGAUAAACAUAAGCAAGUUAACUUUUAUAGAUGCUAACUUAAAACUCUUUUUCCAAACUUUUCUGCAUUUUCUGGGUUUCUAGCCUAAUUAAAUUGAUAAUGUUAAACUAGACCUUCCGAAGCCCAGAACCCUAUAAAGUUCUAAUAUAACCGAAUGCAGUGUUCCUUGUUUGAUGAAAAGAUUUAGGUUCCAUUAUUUGGGAACACUUAGUGGCACAUCGUAUAUUAUAUUGAGUAAAGAGGACACAACUUAAUAAAACUGCAAUGGAAAGUACUUCCUAGAGUAAUUGGAUCCAGCAUAAGCUUGGAUAAAGAUCCAAUCUCCUCUUUAUGUUUGGCAGGACACUCAAUCUCUUGAGUUGGUUCUUGUAUCCCUAUUUAUUCCAUUAACGCUUAUAGUUUAUGUUAACAACUUGAGAAAGGUAAAGGUUCAACCAUGUGAUCAUUGAUUGUGCUUCUUAAAAUGUCUUAACUGGAUUUGCUCUGCUAGUUUGAUCUAAUGAAAGGAACGUACUGCUGAUUUGAGCUUUUCUUGAGCAUUUGACUGAUUAACAUUGAAAGCUCAUAAUUGUCACUUUUGUGGUUGUCAUUAAUGUAGUCUAUGGGUACAGGAUUUUCAUCCAGAUUACGGACUGGCAUGUCUCAAGCCUAACUUUGCAUAUGACCCAGUGCUGGCCUUAGCUGAAACUACCACUCACUCAGUUCGUGAGGUACUAAACUUAUAUAUUAACUUCCUCAUCAUUAUGUUGAAAUAAUUUGUUCAUUCUGAUUGAAUUAUUCAUCCAUUGCAGGAUAUCCUAAAAUCUCUUGGGAUUCCCCAUGCUCUUGUUCUUGAGACAAGCUUUGACAGACUAAAUCUAAAAUAUGAGGUCAUAGCCAAGACCAAGGAACCACUGAAGCAGCUCGGAUAGCUGCUAAAGAAUUGUUUUGCUAAUUUGUGUGGCAUAGUAUAUUGCCUUUCAAAGAGUGAAUGCGUUGAUGUCGCAAAAUACUUGAAUAAGAAGUGAUGUAUAAAGACAGUGUACUAUCAUGUUAGAUUACUAGCCCGCUAAAGGGUAGCUGUUCAAAAGAAAUGGCAAACUGAAGAGGUCCAAAUUGUAUGUUAUAAAAAGAAAUGGCAUACUAUCAUUCUCGUGUUAUUGACUAGCUAUAUUAUAAAUUAUAUAAUCAAUACAUUGACUUUACUAGCAACUUUUCUCAUGUUAUAUAUAAUCAGUAGGCUCAAAAUUAGAUUAUUUCGUGUUUGAUAUAUUUAACUAAUGUUUUGACUUGUUAGUGCGGCCCGCAUUACGUAUGAUUUAGUGCUUGAAUAUGCAAACUUGGCUUAACAAGUUAGUUAAAGUUUUGGUAAACAACGACUAAAUUUGAAUAUAUGAUUAUCUUGUGAGUAGCUUUUAACUACUAAAGUUCCACUGUUGUAAUGUAGUAUGAUGAAGAGGAACAUUUGACAGUACUGGCCCCAAAGACAAUGGUUCAAUUGAAAGUUGAAUGCAUGACCAAUGACUAUAAUUUGGUGUAGUAGAGUCCAAGUACUAACCAAGUAGACGACCGGCUUGGUCCAAACCAAAUGGAUAUAAAUUUCGGGAAGAUUUAACAUUUUCUUUAUCAGUCAACUAUAGCCAACACCAAAGAAAAUUUGGUUUCAAGUAUGAUAAUGUAUGGCUGUGUCUACACUGCUUUAUAGGCUCAUGCUUAAAGGAAUCAAGUUUGAGAUUAUACUAUCAAAGUGAUUGCAAAAUGCCAAUACAUGAACUUCCUAAAAUCCAAGAGCUGAAUGUACACUAACGAACACUUUUAUUUUGCGCUCAAAAUUCUUUCCAGUGAGAAACUAUUGUCUUUGUGGAACUUUUUACUGAAAAUCUUGCCUGNNNNNNNNNNNNNNNNNNNNNNNNNNNNNNNNNNNNNNNNNNNNNNNNNNNNNNNNNNNNNNNNNNNNNNNNNNNNNNNNNNNNNNNNNNNNNNNNNNNNGAUUGCAGCUUGAUCUACGCGAGAAGGAUAGGAUUUACUAAUUAUCAAUAAAUGGUGAUAUUUGAGAUCGGAGCAUCACAAUUUACAUCAUGAAAGAUAAGGUACAAAUGCACAAACAUCAUUUGCACCAAUUGCAGUUGGACCGUAAUGAACAGAGACUUCAUGAGCUGGCCGAUGAAAACGUAAACAACAGGCUUGGAAGAAGUAACAAUUAGCAACACUUUCCUUGUUUGUGUUUAGGAACAUAAUUGAUAUCAAUAAAAAUAUGUUGAAAGGUGAAAUGCUUAAACUACAUAAUAGAAAGAUAAAUUUAUUAUUUGGUUAUUUUGCAAUAUCAUAUUAGCAAAAUUAGCAAAACAGGAUAGUUUGCUAGGAGGUGAAUUUUAACUUUACAAAGUCAACGUCGCAUGAGAACUGACCUUAUCAAAUUAAAAAAUUCAGAAACCUAUAUGACAACAUUCAAAGGAUAGUAUCACAUUGAUGAACUGAUAGAAAUGAAGGAGAUUGUCCUCAUGCAUACUUGCAUACUUUUUCAGGUGCAAUUCCAUAGCUCAUAUAGUAUGAGCAAACAAGUUAUUUUUCCAUUGUUAUGGUACGACUAGUAGUGCAUACCUCCCUCUGCAGAGCCCUAUCAAGUUCCGGAAUGAUAACAUUAGAAUGCAACAGCAUUAAACAAACAUUUCUGCAUCAGGGUGACAUACAAAAAAAUCAGCAGCUACGUAUUGGAUUAACAGAGAGGUCGAACAUCAUGAACAUACAAAAAAAGACUCAACUCAAAAUACAACAUCAAAAUCAUUCGAGUAUGUGCUGUCGAGACCAGAUAAAGUGUACUAGAUCCUCACAAGCAUAAAAAAUUCCCCAAGUAACAUAGAGAAUCUCAAGUGAAGACAAGUCACCGAUUUCACCUGGAAUUGCUCUUUCAGAUAACAGCAUGAUGGGAAGCUUAUAGUGCACCAAUUUUUCAACCUUCCUAUAGCACUAGGAAGCUUUUCAAUACCAAAACCACUAAUGUCUAGAUGUUGCAAAUUCUGUAAAUCUCAAGUUGAGCAAGUGAUAUCUGUGAGCGACUCUCAACAGCUGGCACUCAGUUUCUCCAGCUUCCUCAGAGAACCGAUAGACAUAGGAAUCUCAGUAAUAUCAGCAAAAUCUAAUAUAAGUUCUAAUUUGAUAGAUUCACCUCCUUUCAGUUCUAACUCACGUACCCAUCCGCUCUUGGUCCAGUCCGUUGCCACAUUCUUCUUCCAUGAUCCUAAAUCUCCUGUGAAUCCUAAGAUCACCACACUCUCCCCAAUUUCAACUUGGCGAUCCAGCCGAACGCUAAGAUGCACCUUCUCCCAUCCCAGCUAUGAUAUGAUCUUCUUUGCUUUCUUCUCCUCUUCUCUGCAAUGAACACAUUAUUUCAUAGCUUCUACCAAUAGCCUCCUUCUUUGUCUAAACAACUUAAACAACAAUUUUCACUUGAACCACCGAUUCAUUGUUUGUCAUUUAACUCCACAUUCAAAGAGAAACCUCAAAUCAAGACGGUGUCAAAUAAUCCGUGCUGCUAGCUUUUAUUGCAAGAAGAACUCGAAAGAAAAACAAAAUAACUCUUUUUUCCUCACCGAUUCUUGUUCAAGUAAUAAACCCCACAUAAACUCCAUCCAUACUAGAGACUCAGACAAACCUUUGAUCGAGAAUUCCAUAAAACAACUCAAUACUUCACUCCAAACCCCAGUGCUUGAUCAGACUGACAUAAGUGCGCUAGAACAAAUCCAGAGAGAGAGAGAGAGAGACCUGGUUGUAGUGGUGAAAACACCACGAACAACCAUGAAGGAGCGACUCUGAGCUGCAUGUGUCACGCCCCGAUCCUCGGGAUCGCAUCCAUCCCUCUACUUGGUCGAUUUAUUAAUGCGAUACCCCAGGACUAUGUAUCGCCGACCCUUUUAUUUUUAUUUGCACAUGCGGAAGCAGUUAUAAAUCCCCAGACAAUAGAACAAUGGGAUAGAAAAGCAGGCCAUAUUUUUCAUAUUGAAAUUCACAACCACACUUUUAUACACACGCACCUCAUAGUAUCUUACAAUACUAUUAACAUAGGUCUAAUCUAACACCUAUCCACAAGUACACAAGGUUCACAUAACGGGAUGGGAUCUCAGUCCUCAUCUGGGUCAUACUCGGGAUCAUCAUCCCGAUCCUCUUGAGACUCUUCUUCACUAAGUUCGUUUUCUUCAAGCUCUUCAUCCUCUGCUGGCUCGUCAUCAGGGUCAUCCAAUAGAUAAUCCUCCUCCGGUCCCUCUACGGACCUGAAAUGGUUAUUCAAUAACCAAUGAGAUCACGUCUCAGCGAGUUGUACCCCCUAAGACCCGAUUAGUAAACCAAUACGCCAUAUGGUUGCCUAAGCACAACACAAGUCAGAUGACUUACCUUGGCCUCAUUUCCAACCUACAAUUCAAGGUUAAACACAGAUGCUUCAUAUAUCACAUCAAACAUUCAAUCAAUUCACGACAACAGAUCAAAUCACAUAUCAAUCGACUUGGUCGAUUACAUGUCAUUCGAACCACCUCUAGGUCAUUCCCACUCAUACCAUAAUUUCCCAAUGGUGUAUUCAUUCACCAAAUCACAUAUGUUUCUCGGGCGUCGUUUUCGCCAAUGACAUACCGAUCACCGAUACCGUGCGUUCUUUAAGGCGCCGUUUUCACUAGUGAUAUCCUCGAUCACCGAACCACGUGUCCUUUCUAGGGCGCCGUUUUCGCCAAUGUGACAUCGGCUAUCGACAACAUCGUGAGUUUUUUAAGACGUCGUUUUCACCAGUGAUAUUUCCUUAAUCAACGUGUGUCUAUAAGUCAUUUACGUGCGUUUUUUAAGGCGUCGUUUUCGCUAGUGAUACUUCUAAUCACCGAACCACGUAUGUCCAAUAACAUCGUACCUGAUUGGUCUCAGCCAAUAAUGUUCUCAGUUAGCUCUCACCAUUCUCCCUACUAUAUAGCCCAUCAACGUACUGGCGCUAUAUACCCAUGCUCGGCCAUUACCAAUCAAAUAUUCAAUAACAAACAAUUUAGGACAAUUCCUCAAAUUUCACAAUUUAAAUCAAUUCCAUAAAAAUUGAAGCUCAAUUAAAUAAACGGACUGCACCACGACAAUCGACACGAAAUUCCGGUCAACGGCCAUCCCGGUUGAAUUUCCGGAAAAAUAAUUAAUUAAAUAAUUAAUUUCGAAAAUUAAAUAAAUUAAAUAUUAAAAAUCCAAUUUAGGCCCGUAUUGCCUGAUUGGAGCCCGAAACGGGUCGGGAAAAAUCCCGAGAUGCAUUCAAUAAAUACUAGAGCAUUUCUACUCCCUAAUGGCUAUAGCUAACCACCUAACAUGCAUCCUUAAGUCACUAAUUUAAUUGUUCUAACCUAAUCUAACCACAUAAUUGCACUUAAUUAAAUUUAACCAACCCUAAGCAUAAUUAGCAAACUAAGAAAGUAUUAGUGAGUAAAACUCACUUGGCAAAAGCGGAGACCGAAUCACCGCGACGGCGACGCGACGGUGGCCGAAAUCGGGCUUUCAACAACAUCGGCAGGCUUGGACCGGGCCUUGACCUUGGCCAAACAAAUCUCAGCCCAACUGAGAUUUGUUCUUGCUUUUGGGCUGGACCCAAGUUGGGUUGGGCCUGCUGAAAUUCUAGGCUGAUUUCACUUGAGCUUCAAAUUUGUGGGCUGGACUUCAAUUGAUUGCUGGAAACUGGGCCUCAAAAAGACUGGGCUGAGUUAUUAGAUCUCUGGGCCGAAUUUGGACUGAAAUGGGCUGCUGGACCAACAAAUUUCGCUGGGCUUGAAAUUCAAUGGGUUGAAGACACUUGCUGGACUUGAAGACUUCAACUGGGCUGUUGCAAAUUAUUGGGCUGAGCUGCUGCAAAGAAGAUGGGCCGAAGACACUGGAAUCUGCUGGCUUUGCUGGGCCCGAAGACUGAAUUCUGUUGGGCCAAGGAAAUGCGUGAACUGCAGGUGACGAUGGUGAGCUGGCGGAGAAGAAGUCGUGGACUGCUGCUUCGUUCGAUGUUGCCCGCGUGAGGAGGAAGCGCGGGUCAACAGAGGCGUUCGGCUGGUUCGCUUGUUGACCAAGAGGCGGUAGGCCGUGGACAUGUGGCACUGCAACAGGGGAAUUGGUGGCGUCGGUGGCGUUGAAGAUGCUGAAGACGCGCGGCCAAGAAGAGAAACGUGGACUUCGCUGGGGUCUUCAAGUCGCUGAAGUCCACGGACGUGCGGCUUCUUCAGUGGAAGGAGAUGUUGACCGAGAUGUGGGCGUGCUGGCGUGGAGCUGAGGAAUCGCACGAAGAAGUUGCUGGAAUUUACUCGAUGAAAGACUCAAGCUGGGACUGACCGAACAAGAUGAAGACUUCACUGGGUUCGGUCAAUCGGCUUUGCGAUUGACUGACGAAGACGUGUGGAGAAGCUGGCGGAGAAGGACGUGUGGCGUGCGGACGUGAGGAGCUACAACAACUGGUGAGGCUUCGCUCGGUGGUCAACAAAUUGGAAGAAAACCUGCUGCUGUUGACUGAAGCAGCCCAUGUAGUCGGCAGGUGGCAGCUCGGUAGAUCUCACGGCUUCACGGCAAGCUGUUUCGAUGGAAAGAGAUGCGGCGUGCGUUCGUGGAUGACCGAGAAGAGGCAGAUGGAUUCGAGGCAGCUGGAGUUGAAUGGCGUGUUGGCAGCGUGAGAGAAGGCAUGGCAGCAGCUUGCAGGGAACUUGGUGGCCGACCAAAGAUGGUGCAAGCGAUAUUGCUUUCUUCGGCUGGGUCUUCGAACGUGCGGCAGGGGAGAGAGAUUGGAUGGGGGCUGUUUCGUGUGAAAGAAAAAUGAAAGCAGAGGCAGGAACAACGAGCGGAUGGGGGAGAAGGCGUGCGUGAGAAGCCGGCUGUGGGGCACAAAGUCAAUUAAAAUAUCUAUCCUCUUCAAUGCUUUGUCCCCCCUUAAGCUUUCAUGUUUAUCCCUUAUGUCCCCUAAUUCUUUCUUACUUAGAUAAUGCCACAAUUUAUAUCACCAAUUAAUCCAAAUUGAUGCCAAAUUUCCAGCCCUUUGCCAAGCUCCUAUUUUCUCAAAUUAAACUUCAAUUUCCUCACCGAACCUCCAAAUCAGUCUAAUUUCAAUGAAGAUAAAUCCCAUAAAAUUUUAUGUGGGUCCCCGACACCCAAAUGCUUGGCUUGACAAUCCAAACUCACUUCAAUUCUGUCCACACUAAUUUCUGUUAAUUUUCCGCGACGUCUGAACUAUUUUCCGUAAAAAUUUCGGAAUCUCCGAAAAAUCUUUUGAGACUGACUCGACGUUCCUAGAAUUUAUUGUGAAAUGACAUAAUUUUCAAUUUCUGAAAUCGGACUCGAAUUGGCGGUUAAUUUCCAUUCGACGCGUGUUUAGCGUAACCUAGGUUACCGGGUAACUUUCAGAAAUUUUUAAGUGUAAAUGACUCGUGGUCGAUUUUCUUCGAGCCACUAUGAACCCACUCGACUCAUUAGCGACUCUCGAUUGUCGUGAAAAUCUCGAGGAUUCAAAUACGAACACAAAGUCCCAAAACAAUAGGAAAAUCAGUCUAGUGCCGGUCGACGGGAAUUUUCCAAUUUAGUGGUGUCACCCACGAUUAGCCACACAUCUUAGUCGAACCAGCCUAUCUCUGAUUUCGAAUCGAUUUUAUAUUGUGCCGUAUUGACCUCUAAAGAUGAACACGGUCGAAAAGCCGAUUCCUGAUCGAAUUCUCAAGUCUAUUUACCUUAAGAUCCUUAAUGGCUUCCUCAAGUAGUCUAGUUAUCUCAAGAGUGAUCAGCUUUGAGAACAGCCCUAUAAGCGCGUCAAUGAAAUGCCCGAUUUAUUCAAUAGAAAACAUGGUUGAAAAUCUGGAAUGUCACAGCAUGAGCUCCAUGCAUCCACAUAAGAGAAUCUCGAAGGAGAGAAGUAAUGCUGCUCUUCAAGAAAAAAACCGGUCUCUUUACUUGGUUUUAGGUAUGAAAAUGCACAUGGCUGUGUCUCUUCUGCUUUUAUAUUCAUGCUUAAAUAAAUCAAGUUUGAGGUUAUAUGACCAAAAUGAUUGGAAGAUGCCUACAUAUGAAUUUUCGAUGUAACCAGACCAAACUGAUGAUUUUAUAAUGCCAAUAUUUUGGGUUCAAAAUUCUUCCAAAUGAGAAACUACCGUCUUCUUGGAAACAUUUUCAUUGAAACUUUUGGCUGCAGUUGACAGAUUAUUUUUUGAUUCCACGGCAUUUGCUUUUUCCACAAAAAAAGUCUCUCCCGGUCAUAAAACUGUAGCUUGAAGUGGACACCUAAAUGGUAAUCUUGUUAACAAAUCUCAUUUUAUGCUUGACUUCACAUAUAAAACCACCUGCACAUGCAGUCUUCCUCCAAGCAAUUUGUGAUGCAGCCUUUGCUAAAGAAUAGCACGAUUUCAACCUUGUAAAGGACUAAUACACCACAUGAGAAGAGGUUGCCUUAUAUCAAGAACCUUUGAAGAGUAUUAACAACAUGGAGCAAAUGACAAACGCCAAUGGCGAAGAACUUCAAAAUGCCUUUCUAUAAUGACAUAGUUCAUUCUUGCCCUUAUCUAAACCCCGUGGUGUUUGGGGACUUCCUCCGAAUUUCAUCAAAUGCAGCUUUAAUCUGCACAAGGAAGAUAGCACCAAGUAAUUAUCAAUAAAUGAAGAUGUCCAAGAUCGUAGCAUAAUAAAUUACCUCAUGAGAGAUUAAGGUACAAAUGCAUAAACAUCGACAUCAAUCAGAGUUGGACCACAAUGAAAGGAGACUUCAUUAGUUGGCCGAUGAAAACGAAACACACAGGCUUAAAAGAAGUAAGCAAUUAGCAACACUUUCUCUGUUUGUGUUUAGGAACAGAAUUGAAAUUAAUAAAAUUAUGCUGAAAAGGUGAAGUGCCUAAAUUACAGAACAGAAAGAUGCAUUUCCUACUUGGUUAUUUUGCAAGAUCCAAUUAGCAAAAUUAGCAAUACUAGAUCGUUUGCAAAGAGGUCAAUUUCAACUUUACAAAUCCAAUGCCACAUACAUGAGAACUGAGCUUGUCAAACCUAUAUAAUAACAUUAAGAGGAUAUCAUCACACAAAUAAACUGAUAGAAAUGGAGGAGCCUAGCAAUGCAUACCUCCCUCUGCAUAGCAUCAUCAAUUCCAUAGUGAUAUCAUUAGACUGCAACUGCAUCGAACAACUCUGCAUCAGGGUAACAUACAAAAAAUCAUCAACUUAGUUUUUGAUUAAAGGAGAGCUAGAACCUAAUGAGCAUACAUAAAGCAUAUUUAAUUGAAAAAAAAAUACAUUUACAAUCAUUUAGGGAUGUGACAUUGAGAUCAGAUCAAGUGUUUUGGAUCUUCACGAGUAUCAAAACUUCCUUAGGACACUCCAGUCAGCCCCAAAGCCUCUUCAAGUUUGGCACGCAAGAUGAUCCUUAGCAGUUGCUGAUGCUUCCUCUGCAAAACCCCUUUUGUUUAUUUUGAUCAGUCUCAAGUAUGGAAUUUGAAGUUCCUCAGCCAAGUGAGCCACGCCCAAAUCAGUCAUGUAAUAAAGCAAUUCCAUGGCAACAAUAGGAUCAAACGGUAUGCAAACUAAUUAGCAAAUUCUUGAGCCUUGAGCUCCUCAUCCUAGCUUGUUUCAUGACGGGCAAAACAUUGUUCAUUAAUGCAAAAGUCAUCAAUACAAUUAAUCGAACUGAACUCCCAAAGUAAGCCUUGAUCAUUACACAGACCAACCAAACUUGUCAUGGAAGCAGCACCAAUUUACCUUGCUUGAUAAUAUUCAAAACAAUAGUUUGACUACUAGUAAUGUUAAGGUGGUGUACAUUGAUAUAUGACAGACUAGCCAGAACUACUUUAACAUUUUUUUUUUUAAUCACAAACCAAAAACACUUGAUAUGUUUUAUUUUAGCUCACUUCAUCAUACUUAAUGGGAAUUGAUGCUAUUCUUAGAAGGUUCAAGAGGGACAUCAAGGGAACAAUAAGAAAUUUGACAGGGUUUCUGUUCAUCGUGGAAAACCAAUAUGUUUGUCUCAAACAAGACAUCUGCCAUUAGUCAAAUUUCACACAAAAGAACUCACAAAGUAACUCAAAAUGGCCAAGGAUCUUUUCAAGAAAUAUUAAUUCUGGACAGGGAAAUUCUGGGUGUAGUUUAUAAUAUUGAGUAGCAGAAGUUCAUCAGCCUCGAUUUGAAAAUUUCAAAUCCUAGGUUUACUUAUGGAAGAACUGUUAAAUCACUGGGGAAUUCUUGUUUACCUUUGCUUGAUAUUUUCAUCCUUGCCUNNNNNNNNNNNNNNNNNNNNNNNNNNNNNNNNNNNNNNNNNNNNNNNNNNNNNNNNNNNNNNNNNNNNNNNNNNNNNNNNNNNNNNNNNNNNNNNNNNNNNNNNNNNNNNNNNNNNNNNNNNNNNNNNNNNNNNNNNNNNNNNNNNNNNNNNNNNNNNNNNNNNNNNNNNNNNNNNNNNNNNNNNNNNNNNNNNNNNNNNNNNNNNNNNNNNNNNNNNNNNNNNNNNNNCUUACUAUGCCUUCUAUUGACAUUUGGGUCUAUAUUUUGAUCUUGGCUUAAGCAUCAUGUAUGACCAACUCCCCCAUUCCUUCAAUUAUGACAGAAUCUUGUCAUGGAAAACCUUCUUGUCAAAAGAAGAUGGGGAUGAAAAGUAGGUCAUGAAUCUCAGAAGAAAAAUGAUUGUUAACUGCUUAUUUACCUCUAUUGGGGAAACAUCACUCCAAAAGUCAAAAGACAGCUCUCGCUCAUAAUUUCUAAAGACGCGCGUUUCGGUAUUGCUUCCAAUGAGUCACAACCAGAAAUAUCCAAAUCAAUUAAAUCCAACUUUUCAAGUCCCCAAAGCUGAGGAGGUUUCUUGCUGUCUCAAACUCUUAGAGAUCCUAACUUCUCACAUCCUAUCAAAUCUAGAAAGUCUCUAUUGAUUUGCAUCCUGUAAAAUCCAAGUCUUCUAAGAACUUCGCACCAUCAAGACCUUGAAUUUCGACUAUAUUGUCGCACCCAACAGCCACUAAUUUCUUCAGACACCGUGAUUCUGGAUAGAGAAGCCUUUUAAUGGAAUUGCAAUCAUAUAUAAUUAUGACCUCCAAGAAUGCCAAAUUAUCAUGCCCUGAAUUUCAACUAGGCUAUCGCAAUGCUCAGCGUGCAAUCAUUUCAGAUGAAUCAAUCGUGAAAGGUUCAAUCUUUCAAUGGAACUACACUUUUCUAUGGAAAAUCUCGACAGAAGGCAAGUCACCAAUUUCACUUUUCAGACAACAACACGACGAGAUAUGUAGAGUCUGCAGAUUUUUCAGCCUUCCAAUCGCAUUGGGAAGCUUUUCAAUCGCAGAAAAACUCAAAUGAAGAUGUUGCAAAUUUUGUAAAUCCCCAAUUGAGCUAGGGAUUUCUCUCAGAGACUCACAACCAUAAGCGCUCGAUUUCUUCAACUUCCUCAGAGAACCAAUAGACGUGUUCAUGGUCAUCAAGUGAGAAAAAAAAAUCCUUCCCAUCCGAGAAAGGGGAGAGGCCGAGAUAGAGAGAGAUUGAGGACACGGAUGGACACGUGGUCGCCGAGCAACCGAUCCCAUGGAGUUGGCCAGAGUCUAGAGAUCAUGACGAUUCAAACUCUUAACCAAAACCAGAUGUACGUAGCCAAAUCCCGGCCUCGCAUGCUCGAACACACUUCACCCCCGCACAGACUAGACAACGCGAAGGAGUUGGCGAUAAAAGCAUCGUGGUGGAAUGAUCCGGAGAAGAAGAGGAAGAGGAGGGUGGCCAGAUACAAGCUUUAUUCGGUCGAGGGCAAGUUCAAGGCUUCUUUCAAACAAGGGUUCCGAUGGUUGAAGCGCAAAUGCUCGACCUUCGCACGUCGAUUCUAAUUAGCAGAAAUUACGGAAUACCGUGUCAUCGUCAUCAAGAGAGAAAAACGGUGAGAAAGAGGAAACAGAGAGAUUUGCUGUGCUCUUUGGGUGUUCAUCUUUAUAUGUAUCUAAUGGUGAUCAAAUAUUCAGAAGGGUGCUGCUAAUGUUCAAUCUUUCAGAUAUAAUGUUCAUCUGACUCAUUGUUUCAUUCAUUGCUCUCCAGCAUUCAAAACAUAGGCAAAUGAGACGACUCGGACGUGAUAGUAAUAUAUAUUUGUAUUUGCCGAUUUUUCUUGUUCUUUUUUGAAUUUUCUUACCUUCUAAUACAUUUGUAACAGGAUUCUGCAUCCAUGCCCAUGCAAAGUAGAAUUGUCUGAUUUGUUCAAUUCUCUUAUUUUCUGUAAGCUCUUUUCCUAAUAAAUGUGAUGCUGAUUGCAAAUGAGAUGACUCGUACAUGUAGGAUUGACAUUACCAUCUAUUUUGUGGUCGAUUUUGUUGGGUACAAUUUUGUUUUGGCCAAAUGUUGUUUACGCCUUGUUUCUGGGGUUCUUUAACCCCCUAAUUUCCUCUAUUUGUCUAGUUUGAUUCCUCUUUGUUGUACGAUUCAUCAUAUGGCAACAUAUAUUGCUGAAGUAGAUAUUCUAAAAUGACAUGCGCCGGUGCUAAACAAAACAAAAGGCUUUCGAUGGUUCCAUUUUGAUUUGAGGAUAAUUUUCAUAUUUCGAAUGCCAUCCUAUUGAGACCAGAGUUACGAAAAUGUGGAAAAUUGAAAAGCCCAAAGGGAACCUUCUUUAAUUCUAUCAAAACUUGCGUAGUUAUUGUUGAAAUGGUCGUAAUUUCAAGGAUCUUGAUGUAUAAUGUGAUAGAACUUUCAAAAAAAUGGUCAAAGCAAAUCUCUUGCAUGAAAUCGAAGGAGGAGAAGAUGAAAACCCAUAGCAGAACCGAACUGGUUCACCAGGUUUAACACCUUCAUCCAGUUAUCCAGUCGAUUCACAGUUUUCAAAUUUUAAAUCAAUUCAGCCGAUAUGGUUGUGACUAAAAUUCUAAAAGUAGUCAAAACACGUAGCCAUUGCCCUUUGGAAUAAUGGCUUAGACACUGGUUAAGCAAUUUAGUAAAUAAACUGUAGACUCAAUACAUCGACUUUACUUGUGAUUUUUCUUGUGAAAUGUUCAAUCAGUAUUCCGAAAAUUUAAUUAUUUCACAUUAAGUAUGUUUAACAAGUAUUUCAACACGCCCCACACUAUAUUUGUGUUAGUAAUUAUAGAUUUGAACUUGGCUUAAAAAGCUACUUGGCCUUACAAGCUACUUGGCCUUGUAUUGAGCUCUGGAAAAAUUGAGUAUAAGUUCAAGUAGACAAGCAGGGAAUCAGACAGAGUACCUUGCCAGUAGCUUUCAGCCUUUCAAUUACUAAAAUUCCACCAUUGUCAUCUAGUACACGGGUUCAGGAAUAUCAAAGAGUGACCUCAAAGAAAUUGCUUCGAUUGAGGCUUCAAUGCGUGACUGGUUAACACAAUUUGGUGUAGUAGAGUCUGAUUAUUAACCAAUAAGAUGACCCUUUUAAAGUUUUUUGUUCAAACCAAAUGAGUAAAUUUUGGGAAUGGCCCUUUUCACCUUUCCAAAAAUUUCCCACAUUUUUCGAUAGUCUUCAAUCGUAGCCUACGCCAGAGAAAAAUAGGUUUCAGAUAUGAAAAUGUACAUGGAUGCGGCUCUUCUGCUUUUAGAUUUUUUUUUUUUGGUAAGUUCUUCUGCUUCUAGAUUCAUGCUUAAAUAAAUCAAGUUUGAGAUUAUACUAUCAAAACGAUUGCAAAAUGCCUACAUAUGAUUUUUCAAUGUAACCAGACUAGGAAGAUGAUUUUACAUUGACGAGCGCUUUAUUUCAUGUUCAAAAUUCUUUCAAAUGAGAAAACUAUUGUCUUCUAGGAAACAUUAUCAUUGAAACUCUUGCCUGCAAUUGACAAAUUAUUUGCUAAUUCCAUGGCAUUUGCUUUUUCCACGACAAGAAUCUCUCCGCCACAAAAUUAUAGCUUGAAGUGGACAUCUAACUGGUAAUCUUGUUAGCAAAUCUCACUUUAUGCUUAACCUGCAAAUGCAUUCUUCCAGCAAGCAAUUUGUGAUUCGGCCUUUGCUAAAGAAUAUCACGAUGUCAAAGCUCCCCAAGGCCUAAUGCACCAUAUGAGAAGAGGUCGCCUCACAUCCAGAAUCCUUUGAAGAGUACUAACAACACAAACGCCAAAAGGAAAGAACUUCGGGAUGACUUUUCAGAAUGACAAAGCUCAUUCCUACUCGCAUCUCCAUCCCAUGGUGUUUGGGGACUUUCUCUGAGUUAAAUGAAUUGCAGCUUGAAUCUACACAAGCCAAAUAGCACUGACUAUAAUCAUUGGUAAUGAAAAAAACCAAGAUACGUAGCAUCACAAUUUACCUCAUCAAAGAUAAGGUACAAAUGCAUAAACAUCAUUUCACCGGUUGGACCACAAUGAACAGACGCUUCAUUAGGUGGCUGAUGAAAUAGAAAAGAACAGACUUGGAGAAGUAAGCAAUUAGCAAUACUUUCCAUGUUUGUGUUUAGGAACAGAAUUGAUGCUAACAGAAUGAUGUUGAAAAGGUGUGAGUGCCUAAACUACAGAACAGAGAGAUGUAUUUGUUACUUUGGUAUUUCACAAUAUCCUAUUAGCAAAAUCAGCAAUAGCGGAUAGUUUGCAAGGAGGUCAAUUUCAACUUUACAAAUCCAAUGCCACAUCCACAUGAGAGGUGAGCCUAUCAAAUCAGAAACCUACAUGAGAAUAUUUACGAGAUAUUAUCACACUAAUAAACUUAUAGAAAUGAAGGAGAUUGUCAUCAUGCAUACUUGCGUACUAAUUUCUGGUGAAAUUACAUAGCUCAUAUAGUCUAAGCACACAAGUAAGUCUUUCAUGGUACAACUAAGUAAGUCUUUCAUGGUACAACUAGCACUGCAUACCUCUCCCUUCAGAGCCUCAGCGAGUUGAGGAGUGAUAUAUUUAGAAUGCAACUUUAUCAAACAACUCUGCGACAUGGUAACAUACAAAAAGUCAGCAGCUACGUGUUUGAUUAACAGAGAGAUAGAACCUAAUAAGCAUACAGAAAGCAUAGUUAAUUGAAAAAAAUACAUUUACAAUCGUUCAGGUACGUACUGUUGAGACAUGAUCAAGUGUUCGAAUAUUCACAAGCAUCAAAACUUCCUCAGGACACUCCAGUUGGCCCCAGAGUGUCUUCAAGGUUGGCACAGAAAAUGGUCCUCAGCUGUUGUUAUGGAAUUUGAAGUUCCUCAGCCAAGUUAGAACUAGUAAUCAUGUUAACAAAUCUCAUUUUAUGCUUCAAUUCACAUAUAGAACCACCAGCACAUGCAGUCUUCCUGAAAGUGAUUUGUCAUUCAGCCUUUGCCAAAGGAGAGGACAAUGCCAAAGGUUGCACAGGACUAAAACACCACAUGAGAAGAGGUUGCUUUAUAUCAAGAAUCCUUUGAAGAGUAUUAACAACACAAAGCACAUGAUAAACGCCAUUAGCAAGGAAUUUCAGGAUGCAUUUCCAUAAUGACAUAGCUCAUUCCUGCAAUGUUUUGGGACUUUCUCCGGGUUUCAUGGAAUGUAGCUUCAAUCUACACAAGGAAGAUAGCACUGACUAAUUAUCAAUAAAUGAAGAUACCCGAGAUCCUAGCAUCACAAUUUACACCAUGAGAGAUAAGGUAUAGUUGCGUAAACAUCAUUGACACCAAUUGCAGUUGGACGACAAUGAACAGAGACUUCAUUAGCUGGCCAAUGAAAAAGAAACCAACAGGCUCAAAAGAAGUAAGCAAUUAGCAAAACUUUCCCUAUUUGUGUUUAGGAACAUAAUUGAAGUUAAUAAAAUUAUGUUGAAAAGGUGAAGUGCCUAAACUAUAGAACAGAAAGAUGUAUUUGCUACUUGGUUAUUUUGCAAGAUCCAAUUAGCAAAAUCAGCAAUACAGGAUAGUUUGUGAGGAGGUCAAUUUCAACUUUACAAAUCCAAUGCCACAUACAUGAGAGCUGAGCCUAUCAAAUCAUAAACCUAUCUGAGAACAUUUAGAGGAUAGUAUCACACUAGUAAACUGACAGGAAUGAGGAAAUUGUCAUCAUGCAUACUUGUGUCCUAAUUUCAAGUGAAAUUCCACAGCUCAUAGAGUAUCAGCACACAAGUUAGUCUUUCAUGGUACUACUAGCAGUGCAUACCUCCCCCUUCAGAGCCUCGUCAAGUUCAGGAGUGAUAUCAUUAGUUAGCGACUGCAUCAAGCAACUCUGCAUCAGGGUAACAUAUAAAAAGUCAGAAGCUAUGUGUUUGAUUAAUGGAGAGGUAGAACCUAAUGAGCAUACAUAAAGCCCAUUUAAUUAAAAUAAGUACAUUUACAAUUGUUCAGCUAUGUGUUGUUGAGACAAGAUCAAAUGUUUGAACAUUCACACAAAUCAAACCUUCCUUUGGACACUCCAGUUGCCCUUAGAACAUCUUCAAGGUUGGCACACAAGAUGAUCCUCAGCUGUUGCUGAUGCUUCCUCCGCAAAAUCCCUUUUCUUCAUUUUGAUUGGUCUCAAGUAUGGAAUUUGAAGUUCCUCAGCCAAGCUAGCCACACCCAAAUCAGAUGAUAAAACAAUUCCACGGCAGCAAUAGGAUCAAAUGCGAUGCAAACCAAUUAGCAAAUUCUUGAGCCCCUCAUCCCAGCUUGUUUCACAAACCGGGCAAAAAUUGUCUAAUUAUGCAAAAGGUCAUCCACAUGGUUGACUGAAUUGAAGUCCCAAAGUAAGUCUUGAUCAUUGCAUAGACCAACCAAACCUGUCAUAGAAGCAGCACAAGUUUACCUUGCUUGAUAAUAUUUCAAAACAAUAGUAUGGCUAUUGGUAAUGUUAAGGGGGUCUACAUUCAUAUAUGACAGACUAGCCAAAACAACUUUCAACAUUUUCUUUGUCACCAAACAGAAACACUUGAACCUUGAAUUUUAUUUUAUCUCAGUUCAUCAUAUUCCAAGAAGCAAUGCUCUUCUUAGAAGGUUAAUGAGGGACAUCAAGAGAACAAUAAGAAACUUGACAGGGGUUUCGUUCAUCAUAGAAAAUCAAAAGGUGUUUGUCCCAAACGGGAUAUCUGCCAUUAGUCAAAUUUGACAUACAAAAGAACUUACAAAGGAACUCAAAAUGGCCAAAGAUUUUUUUCAAAGAAAAUAUGAACAUUGGACAUUGGGAAAUUCUGGGUGUAGUAUACAAUAACGAGUAGUAGAAGUUCAUCAGCCUCUAGAUGAAAAUCUCAAAUCCCAGGUUUUUCGAUAAGGAAAAUGUUAAUUACUUGGUAAUUCCUGUUUAUCUUUGUUGGUAUUUAUAUUCUUGCCUCACAAGCUGCUAUAUGUUUGCAGCCUACAGAAGCUGGCAAUGGAAGAAUAAACAAAAAACAUUGCUAUAACGUAAUCAACAGCAAUUAUAGAGAGGCAAAUCCGGAGUUUCCAAAAUCAAUCAAAUAGAUACCCAUUGUAGAGCGAAUCAUUCUAAAAGUUUCUCUUUUUGCUCAUGCCGGCAUUUCAAGGAUGAAGAAUCUUACUAUGUCUUCUAUUGGGUCUACAUUUUGAUCUUGGCUGAAACAUCACGUCAGCUUCUGGCCAACUCCCCCACUCCUUCAAUAAUGUAAGACUAGCAAUUUAGACCCUGUCAUGGAAAGCCUUCUUGUCAGAAGAAGAUGGAGAUGUAAAGUUGGUCAUGGAUCUCAGAAGAAAAAUGAUUGUUCAUUGUUGAUGUACCUUUGUUGAAGAAACAUUACUCCUCUCACUGUUGUAAUACGGGUGUAAGAUUUAUUACAUCAUUAUCACCACAAGAUAAUGUUUCCAAAGAGAACUAAAACAUAAACCAGGGACCUAGUUCAUAAUUUCUGUUGACGUGCAUUCCAGAUAAGUUAGGUAUUGCUUCUAAUGAGUCACAACCAGAAAUAUCCAAAUAAAUUAAAUUCAACAUUUCAAGUCCCCGAAGCUGAGCAAGUUUCUUGCAGUCUCGAACACUUAGAAAUCGUAAUUUCUCACAUCCCAUCAAAUUUGGCAAAGUCUCCAUUAAUUUGCAUCCUGUAAAAUCCAACACUUCUAAGGACUUCGCACCGUCAAGACCUUGAAUUUCAACUAGAUUGCGACACCUAGAAGCCUUGAAUUUCUUCAAACACUUGCAAAAAUUUAAAAAUAUGACCUCCAAAGACUUCAAAUUAUCACAGCCCUUAAUUUCAACUAGGCUAUCGCAAUGCUCAAUGCGUAAUCGUUUCAGAUGAAUAAAUCUUGAAAGGCCCAAUGUUUUAAUGGAAUUGCACUUUUUUAUUGAAAGCUCUUCCAAGUACGUGAGUCCGCUGAGCAAAAGUGAUGUCAGCUUAUCCCACUCCUUAAAACAGAGUUUCAAUGUUAUUGAGGAAAGCUUGCGGAUGUCUUCAGGUAAAUGGCAUACCUCAAGAUCGAGUCUUUCUAGGUGGAUAAGGCGAAGGAGCUGUGGCAGUCCAGGUCCAAGGCGCUGACAAGUAACCGACAGACAUGUUAAGCCCAAAGGAAUCUUUGGCAGCGAUUGGAGCUUGUAACAGCCCCUUAGGUCAAGGCUUUGGAGAGAAGAAGGAAGCUCUGGCAGCGACCAGAACUCACUACACUCCCAUUGGUUAAGGAUUUGGAAACAAGAAAGAUUCCAGAUGCUUUCUGACAGGUCAGAUAUCGGUAUCACAUCGAGAUAGGUAGUCUGGGGGGAAGGCAAGUCAUCGAUUUCACUUAGAAUUGUCCCUUCCAGACUACUGCACUGGUUGAGAUUUAGAAACUGUAGAUUUUUCAACCCUCCAAUAGCAUUGGGAAGCUUUUUGAUCGCAGUACAUUGCAAGUUAAGGUAUUGCAAAUUCUGUAAAUCCCCAAUUGAGCUGGGGAUUUCUCUCAGUGACUCACACAUGAAGGCACUCAGUGUCUUCAAUUUCCUCAAAGAACCAAUAGACGAAGGAAUUGCUGUAAUACCAGAUUCACCUAAAAGAAGCUCUUCUAAAUCUUUUAAUCCACCCACCUCCUCUGGUAGCUCUUUGAGACCUCUACAGGAAUACAAGCCCAAGGUAACGAGGCUUGUGAGUUUGCCAAUAGAAGGGUGGAGAUGCUCCAAUCCAUCACAAUGGUUCAAUAGGAGAAUUUUCAACUGCGUGAAAGCUGAGAGUUCAGGAGUACAUCUUAACUUAGGAAAACCUUGAAUGCAGAGAACUUUAAGCUGCUUUGACGCCUAAUACAAAAGGAGAAUAAUCCGUCAAAUGAGGAGUUGAUUGGCUAAACAAAAAACAAACCUCAAGAUCGCAGAGAGGAUGUAUUCUUUUCCCAAUCUUACCAUGAAUGAAUUCCAUCCUUCCCAAUUCUCUGUGAUUCCUUCCCAAUACUCUCUGAUUCCUUCCCAAUCCUCUUCACUCUCACCCUCCAAUAAGUUCAGCACCGAUAAUUUUGGCAAAUGAAAGUUGAUCGUCGAAAGAGACGCAUCGUUUCCAGGAACGGCCCACUCAAACCAUCUCACUUCAGAAAACUUGGAAUCUCCGCUAGAAGCUGCCCCCAAAAAGUCGUGGAACCAGGGGUGUCUCUGCAAGUUUUUUCACUUUUUAGUUUUUGCUUUUUUUAAAUCUUGAAUUUGCACGAUUACCUUUUUAUCCUUCCCCUAUACAUGUAUGGAUAUGUAAACUCACAUUUAUUUCUUUCUUUUUUUACGACCUUUUGAAAGUUAAACAAAUGACGCAAAGAUAAAGAAAAAAAUAAUUAUUGCUUUAAAACAACUAAGGCAAAUGCACCUCAAUGUUUCAUCUCUUGCUUCUUCUUCUUUUUCAAAAUUUUGUAGCGCAUGGAUUUUCACUUUCAUUUAAGAAGAAAUACAUAAAACUAGUUUACAACGUACAAAUGUUUACUUAUAAAUUUUUAAAUGACUUACGUAUAGUUUUUAAAAGAAUUUGUUAAAGAGUGUCAACGGGCCACCUGUAAGUAGCUAAGGAAGCACCCUAUUUUCAUUUCAUUAGUUAAAUGUAAUAAUGUGGAAGAGAAAAAAAGGGGGAAUUUUUAAUAUAUUCAGAUAUAUAGAAAAGUUUACGUGGAGGGAAAUUAAAAGAAAUCAAAUAUGAUAUGCAUUAUCAAAAUAGAUAUAGAAAAUUAAAAGAAAUAUCCUUAUCUCUAGAAGGUAUCUAAAUAUCUUUAACGUCAUUAACUAUUUGCGUGAAGUGUUUACUCAUUUCUUUGACAAUUGAAAGACCAGGAUUGAAAAAAAUAAGUCGCUUUCAGAAUAACUAGAAAAUGAACCGAUUAACUAAAAAGUGCCGUGGUAACAAUGUUUAAUCAUCAUACGUUGGCUUCCAUAAGAAUAGCAUCGUUUCUUUUUCCAUCUUAUAAAUAAAAAAACAUACUGUUUAACUUUCCUGCUAAAACAGAUCAUUUCAUUAGUUGCAGACGGUGAAAGAAAUUUCCUUAUGGCUUUAUUUGACUUUUAUAAUAAUACCUAUAUUUUCCCCCAAAAGUUUAAUUGGUUAGAAAUUCACUUUUAUGGUUAGACACGUUUGUCUUUAUAUCUGCUUUAAAUAUUAACCAGUGAAAUGCAAUGGGUAUAAAUUCUCUUAAGUCUAUUCGUCUGAAAAGUCACUAAAUUGUUGUAAUCACCAUCCCACACUAUCUUUAAUAAUUUUCGCUCGUACAUUGAUCUAUACUAUGUAUUACAUUAAAAAAAAUCUAUUGUAUGGAAAGGGGAUUUCAAACCUCAAACUUUCGUCAAAAGUUUCCACACAAUUCGCAUAUAUUUCACCAAAAUGAACUAAAGAAAUAGGAUAUAACAAAAUAGACAUAAUCAUAUUUGAAAUAGUCAAUUGGAAAUUAGUCCCAUAAGUAUUUCAAUUUCCAAAGUUAAAUCAAAAUCUCUCGAAUUGUACAAUAAUCAUUUUUUUCAAUGUUAUUUAUCAUCUUUCAGCAUUUUUAUCCAUUCAAAACAGAAUUGACUUUUCUUUUUCAUUUUUCCAAACACCUAAAUGGUGUGCUCUUUUUGCUAAUGUUAAGAAGUUAUUGGAUCAACAAAAGAGACUGAUAUUAAAUCAUAGGAACGAAAUCUCUUGGUCAAUUUCUAGGGUUAAUUCCUCAUCAUUGAUCAGCCAUGAGCCUGUGAAGCUUUUUAGAUGGACAAUAUAUAAUAAAAUGACAUGAACAUUGAUAAUCUAAGUAAAAGAUAAAACAUAUUUGAAAAAAUUGGCUUCAUGCUGAAAAUCAUAUAUGAUGAAUACAAGGUUAUGGAUAUAAUAAUAAGCAUGACAUUUCCUCCAAUUAAUCAAGUUUUCUUUGUUUAUUUUAAAAGAGUCAAGUUAGUGUAGUGAAUUCUGGUACAAAAGAGGCAUUGUCCCAAAAGAUAUAAAUAAUAUAAAACAACUUAUAGCGGAUAGAAAUGUCCGUUAUAAUGAAAUCCACUCUUUCUUAUACACCUAGACCUGACCUAAUCCAUGAAAUGAGCAAGGUCAAUGCGAUAAAUCCUUAGAAAACAGUAAGAUUUUCUCGUAUAUAUUUUUUGCUAUCUAUUAAGAGGAAAUAAGAAUGAAAAGAGAUAGAUCUAAAUAACUAGCACAGGGACGGUAUCUUCCAAAUCAAAAUGGAGAAAAAAAAUAUCAAACAUUCGAUUCCUAAAUCACAAGAGCACCACAAUACAUUCAGCCGUAAUAGAAAGCAAACAUAUGUGACAAGUGUGAAAUUUUUUUCCAAUCUUAUUUUUGAAUUAAUUAUCGGUUAUUAUACUAUCCUCUUUUUUUUUUAAAAAUCAGGAAAUCUUCAUUUAUUUGAUCUACGAUGUUUAUAUUUCAUCUUCAUUCAUAAUUAUAGUCCUUGUAAUUAUCAAUAUUUUCAACUAGUUAUGACAAUGGCAUGCUUUUAGUAAAUGAGUUUUAUAGAGCAAAAUUGUAGUUAAAAGAUCUUAAAUUGAUUGUCAAGCAAAUCUUUACAUUUGUAAUUUAUAUCACUGAAAUCGAAUCAAAUGGUAUAACUUUUUCAUCCUUUAAAUACUUAUAAUCCAUUUAGCUGUCACAAAUAAUCUAAGAUGGACAUAAAUGGAUGUUUAAAUAGAUUUUUUUUCCUAGAAAGUAAGAGCAUCUAUUCAUCAUCCUAGAUGAAAUAUUAGAAUAGAUCAGAUUAAAUAUAUUAAAAUAAGAGGGGAAGAAAAAGAAAGGAGUGCCAUAUUUUACCCAUUUAUAGGUUCUUAGUACUUUUGGGACUCCCUCGUAGUCGUCGUCCCAUGGUCCGCUACGUUUCUCUGGCGGUUGUCCUUGGCAAAAAAUGCUCCUUCCAAGAUCUCUCAAUUGAUCAUGCAUCUCAAAAUGACCAAAAUAUCCAAUCUUAAUUAAGCACCUCAACUUCAACUCUUCAAUACCUUGACUUGGAUAAAGCCCACAGUCCUCCCACAUGUACAUGGCGUAUUCACUCGUUUCGCCAAUAAAGAAACAAACAAUAUCGAGAAAAAUCUGCUUAUGUCCAUCUUCUAAUGCAUCAUAACUUAUUUGCAAUAUUUUUUGGACAUCUCUAUGUGGUUGGCUUUUUAAUUGCUUCCACACAUCUUCCCAUACUUUUCGAUUCAUUUUUUUAUACAAGUAUGAACCUACGACCUUAAGUGCCAAGGGAAGCCCACCCAUGGUGGAUACAAUAUCACGAGAUAGACCCUCAAAGUCCUUUGAAGAAUGGUCCAUAGAAAAUGCAUGUCUAUUAAACAAAAGCAAAGCAUGCUCCCGAUCCAAUUCAUUCAAAUCAUACUUGUGUACAUCGAAUUCAGAUUGAUCAAGAAUGGCUUUAUAUCUGGUUGUAACAAUAAUAAUACUUCCCGCCAUAAACCAAUUACGUUCUCUAGCCAAAGCAUUUAAUCGAUCCUCGUGAUCUAUAUCAUCCAAAAGAAUGAGAAUCUUUUUUCCUCUGAAUCUAGAUUUGAUCAAACUAAUUCCAUCAUCAACAUUCCCAAAUUCAAGGUCAAUUUGCAGAAUGUCCUUAAUUAGUUGCUUUUGUAAAUGAACAAUAUCGUUGUGGCAAGCUGUUUCUCGAAUAUUUGCAAGGAAGCUACGAUGCACUAAGUCAUUCGACAGCUGGUUAUAGAUUACCUUGGCAAGAGUCGUUUUUCCAAUCCCACCCAUGCCAUAGAUUCCAAUCAUUCGAGCAUCAGUGGUAGGAGUGUCUACCCAUUUCAUGAUUCUGUUCACAUGAUCAUCAAUUCCAACUAAGUGCUUAGUAACAUCAAGCUGAAAAUCUUGUCGCAACUUGCUUAGAACAUUUUCAAUAACUUUUUUCACUAAUUCUCCUUCAUGCCUGUCCAACAAAAAAACUCAUUGAUAAUUUUAUGAUUAUACAUAAUCUCAUCAAAAGGCACCGACAGACGUGAAGAAUGGAUGGGACCAAUUAAUAUGCAAGAUGUUUUGGUUUUACAAAUAAAAAUGGAGGAUGAUGGCCAGUGGUCAUUUCAUUUUUUCUUUUCUCUUUUGCUAGAUGGAUCUUGUUGAAAGAAAAUAUGGCGGUGCACCUGGCUCGUUAAGAGUCUUUAGAAGUGUAAUGUUUGUUACAAGGCUUAAGAUUGCUGCUAGUUAAAUGAUAGGAGGUCAAUUUUGUUUUAAUUAAAGAAGUUUAGGAGAAAAGUAUGUUACUCCACUCUAAGGCCAGGGCAUCUCACGUGCCAAAAUCGAGGACUUAUAGUUGAUUUACAAAUUGCUACCGAUGGGGUCUACUGACAGUGGAAAUCAAACCUAGACAUGGUAAAUGUGAAGUGUUCGGUCCUUUUCAGCUGAGCCAACUUCCAUUCGCAUGAGGAGGUCUAUUUUAUCUGGUGGUGAUAAAGCUUUGAAAUACUGAGCAUGCGCGUCCUUUCUAAGCGUAUUGUUUGGUGAUUGACACUAUUGGCUAGAGGGGUUGUCAUUUCUUUGAUUUUUGCUCUAUUGGAGACAACCGUAAUUCAUCCGUUUCGCUUGAACAAGAAAAUUUAUAAGAUAAUUACCAAAAAAAUCUUAAAUUUAUUAUAAUUGUGUUAAUUCAGUCUUUAAUUUUUUUUAUGGCCAAUUUAGUCCUACACAUUUUGAAAAUAUGCUAAUAUAGUCCAUCUAGCCAACUUUGGCUAGAAAUCGCUAACAUGGACGCAGGUCGUCUUACGAGGCACCGUCAAAUCAACGUGGAGUAUUUUUAUAAUUUUUUAUAAUUUUUUUCUGAACUUUGUUGAAUUUGCUUAUAUUUUUUUGUUUAUUCUUUCUUUCUUUUUUAUCCUUCUUCUUCUACGGUCACCGGCCAUAGAUGAGGGCUGCCUCGCCAUAAGGGCUUGGCCUCGCCAGAAUCUGGUCCUUCUAGUGGGUCCUAUAGAGAAUCGCAAGGAGGGACAGACCGAGAGUUUUUCCAACAAGAGAGGGCUGUCGAUGGGUCAGAUGAGGAGGUUCGCCAGCAGCCAGAACGUGCUGGCGAGCUUCGACUUGACGGCACAGGUGGCGCCGGUGGAUGCAACGGAGCAGAGGAACUCUUACUUUGAUGACAAAGACAGAGACAAAGAAGAGCGAGAUGAGGACGACGGCGACGAAGUGGUGAUUCUAUUUCCGUCCCUCAUUUUGGUAGGUGGAGUGGAGUCGAAGGCGAAGAAGGAAGCGAAUCUGUGGAAGAGAAGGACAAUGGCUCACCCUCAACCACUUCGCUUGCGACAUCCCCAUUAAUUCUGCAAAUAUAAUCGUGUUCUCGAAUGAUUGCGUUCCUGGAUUCCCGAUUUCUGAUGUUCUUCCUUCUUUUUUUAGGGUUAUUAGUUUGUGUUGGCCUGACCUCUUUAGAAGGACCAGAUUCCGGCGAGGUUGGCUGUGACAUCCAGAAUUUUCAAUAUUGUUUUCUAUUAAAUUAAUCGGGCAUUUCAUUGACGUGUCUAUAGGGUUGUUCUCAGAGCUGAUCACUCUCGAGAUAACUAGACUAGCUGGGUAAGCCAUUAAAGAAUAUUAAGGCAAUAGACUUGAGAAUUCGACCAGGAAGCGGCUUCUCGACCGUGUUCAUCUUUAGAGGUCACUACUGCACAGUUAAAGAUCGAAUUGAGAUCAGAGAUAGGUCGGUUCGACUGAGAUGUGUGGCCGAUCGUGGGUGACUCCACUAAAUUGGAAAAUUCUCGUCGACCGACACUAAUUUGAUUUUCUGUCGUUUUGGUACCCUGUGUUGGUAGUCGAGCCCUCGAGAUUUUCACGACAAUUGAGAGUCGCCAAUGUGUCGAGUGGGUUCAUUGUGGCUCGAAGAAAAUCGACCACGCGUCAAUUGCCCUAAAAAGUUCUGAAAACUACCCGGUAGUCUAGGUCACACUAAAAGCACGCCGGAGUGAAAUUAACCGUCGAUUUGAGUCAGAUUUCAGAAAUCGAAAGUUCAGUGAUGUCACAAGCUAUUUUAGGAACGUCAACUCAGUCUCAGAAGAUUUUUCGGAGAUUCGGGAAAUUUUACGGAAAUUGGGUUCGGACGUCGUGGAAGUUUGGCCGAAGUUCGGAUUGGCUAAAUUAAUGGGAAAUUUGACUUUCGGGUUGAGCCGUUGUGUGUCGGGGAAUUAUAGAAAAUCAUUUGGGAUUUUUCUACAUCAAAAUUGGACCUCAAUUUGGAGAGAAUGGUUGUGCAAAUUAAGCCAUCUCUCCCAAAAUUCGUGUACCCCCACCUAGCCACAACCUUUGGACCACUUGGUCUUCUAGAAGAGAGUGUUUUGAUGGCCUAUUGAAGGCCAAGUAUUCUUACAUGGCCAAGAUUGAUUUUAGAAGAUAUUUUGUGAAAUAUCCAACCAAGUGGAGCCCAACUCUUCCUCAUCCUCUCCAUCUUGCUGCCGUGAAUUGCUUCUCUCCUCUUUCCAUUUUUCUCUGGCGUGCGACACUUCUAGCAGCAAUUGAAGAAGACCCGGCUGCUUCCUUUGAAAUUUUCCGAGCGUCCACCAAGCUGCCCGAGGAGCUCAGCAUCCGCCGAAUUCUCCACCGCUUCGUGUCUUCAGCCAGCUCACGCUCGGUCAAUAGCGAAGCCAGAAGAAGCCCCGUCGUUGACUGAAGAUCCUCACCGCACGAAGCUUUGAAGACAGAAACUCCACCGAGUGAAGCCACGAUCCCACCGAGCUGGUCGGCCACUCACGCCAGCGAAGACCCCUACAGCAGCUCCACCGAAACUUUUUUAUUCUGCUUCGUUGAAGAUUGAUCGUCCACGAAGCUACUCCAAGCACCCACGCGGCCAGCGCACGCCAGUCAACUCCAAGCUUCUCCUCUUCAAUCUGUUGACCAAGCUGCUGCCACGUUGAGCCAGCGAAGACUCCACCAAGCGAAGCUGCUCCUCCUCCGCAACGGUCCACGGUUCUUCAGUCAACCAAACCAGCGAGCUCCCCCGUGAUUGACCGAAGCUGCCAGCGAAUGCCCUUCUCCACUAAGGUUGGUCGGCCAUUUUCACGGUUCUUCAUCAACCUGCGCUUCCUUCUCACGCGGGCAACACCGAGCAAAGCCAGCAGUUUCCAAUGUCUUCUUCAGCUCGUACGAAGCAGCCCAGCCCAGCUCCUUCGUGAGUUCAGCCGCAAGCCCAUUGGAAGUCCAUGAUUUCAGCAAUUCGGGCCCAGCAGAAUCAGCUCCGAAGCCCAUCAGUCCAGCAGUUCUUCAGCCAAUUUAAUUCAAGUUGCAGCCCAGUAAUUUGAGGCCCAAUUCAGUAGAAUUCUUACUGAGGCCCAUCUCCUGCAGUCUUCAAGCCCAGUCCAAUCCAAGUGAAGUAAUUAGUCAAGCCCAGUUCAGCAGCCCAUCAACUGAGAUUGGAGGCCCAAUUUCCAGCAAAGAAAUUUGAAGCCCAAGUGAAUUCAGUCCAGAAAUUUCAGCAGGCCCAAUUCAAUUUGGGUCUGGCCCAAAAGCAAGAAACAAAUCUCAAUUGGGCUGAGAUUUGUUGGGGCCAAGUCCAAGGCCCGGUCCAAGUACGCUGGUGUCGUCGAAAGUCCGAUUUCGGCCGCCGUCGCGUCGCCGUUGCGGUGAUUCGGUCUCCGCUUUUAUCAAGUGAGUUUUACUCACUAAUGCUUUAUUAGUUUGCUAAUUAUGCUUAAGGUUGGUUAGAUUUAAUUAAGUGCAAUUAGGUGGUUAGAUUAGGUUAGAACAAUUAAAUUAGUGACUUGAGGAUGCAUGUUAGGUGAUUAGACCUAGCUAUUAGCAAGUAGAAAUGUUUGGUUAUUUAUUGAAUGUAUCUCGGGAUUUUUCCCGACCCGUUUCGGGCUCCAAUAAGGCAAUAUAGGCCUAAAUUGGAUUUUCAAUGUUUAUUUAUUUAUUUUUCGAAAUUAAUUAUUUAAUUAAUUAUUUUUCCGGAAAUUCAACCGGGAUGGCCGGUGACCGGAAUUUCGUGCCGAUUGUCGUGGUGCAGACCGUUUAUUUAUUUGAGCUCUACGUUGUGUGGAAUUGAAUUUAUUGUGGAAUUUUAGGAAUUGUCCUAAAUUGUUUGUUAUUGAAUAUUUGAUUGGUAAUGGCCAAGCAUGGGUAUAUAGCGCCAGUACGUUGAUGGGCUAUAUAGUAGGGAGAAUGGUGAGACCAAUCAGGUACGAUGUAAUUGGACAUACGUGGUUCGGUGAUUGGAAGUAUCACUGGCGAAAACGGCGCCUUAAAGAACGCACGUAAAUGACUUAUAGACACACGUGGUUCGGUGAUUAUGGGAAUAUCACUGGUGAAAACGGCGCCUUAAAGAACGCACGAUGUUGUCUAUAGCCGAUGUCACCUUGGCGAAAACGGCGCCCUUGAAAGGACACGUGGUUCGGUGAUCAAGGUUAUCACUGGUGAAAACGGCGCCUUAAAGAACGCACGGUGUCGGUGAUCGGUAUGUCAUUGGCGAAAACGACGCCCGAGAAACACAUGUGAUUUGGUGAAUGAGUACACCACUGAGAAAGCGUGGUACGAGUGGGAAUGACCGAGAGAGGGUCUAAUUGACAUGUAAUCGACUUAGUCGAUUGGCCAAUGUUUGAUCGUAUGUCGUGAAUUGUUUGAAUAUCUGUGUUUAACCUUGAAUUGCAGGUUGGAACUGAGGCUAAGGUAAGUCCUCUGACUCGUGUUGUGCUUAGGCAACCGGAUGGCGUAUUAGUUUAUUAAUCGAGUCUUAGUGGGUAGGACUCGCUGAGACGUGGUCUCAUUGGUUAUUGAAUAACCAUUUCAGGACCCUGAGGAAAAGCUGAGGAAGGAGAAGCUGAGGAAGGAGAAAGUAUUUUGAAGUAGAAGAUGAUCCAGAGAGGGAUCUUGAAUAUAACCCGGAUGUGGAUUGAGAUCCCAUCCCUUUUGUGCACCUUGUCUUAGUGUAGAUAGCAGUGAGACUUUUAUGCUGUAAAUAAUAUUGUAAAUAUACCAUGAGUGGUGAUGUUAAUGAAAGUGUGGUUGUGAAUUUCAAUAUGAAAAAUAUGGCCUACUUUCCUAUCCCAUUGUUUUAUUGUCUGGGGAUUUAUAACUGCUUCCGCAUGUGUAAAAUUAAAAGAAAGGGUCGGCGAUACAUAGUCCUGGGAUAUCGCAUUAUAAAAUCGACCAAGUAGAAGGAUGUGCGCGCGUCCGAGGAUCGGGGCGUGACAUUGGCCCUCGACACUUGACAGGGAGGGCGAGCCUCACCAACCCUAAUCUGUGGCCUGUUGCCGGCCAUCAAGGAGGCCGGCAGCCGGAGAGAAAGAAGGGAUUUCUAGCUAAAAUCAGCCGGGUAGACUAUAUCGGUAGAUUAUCAAAAGGUUUAUGAUUAAAAUGGCUAAAUUAUCACUGUUAUAAUAGGUUUAAUAUUUUUUUUGGUAAUUUCCCAAAAAAUUACUUAUCAAAAAAUAGAAGUUUAGGUGGAAGCAAAGUACCCGUUAGCAACUUUCUGAGACUCCCAUCCCUGUAAAUGACUCACGUCUCUGAGUGCUUGCCGCACUUUCUGGAUGUCCUCCUCAGCAAAAUACUUCUUACAUGAACGAAAGGCAUUUCCAAAGUUUCCUUUUAGAUUCCCCGCAUCCGAUGGGUCCACUUCAUAAAAGAUGGGCAAAACUGUGUGUGAUGGGCUCUUCACACGAUCCAUGAUAUGAAUAAGCUCGCGAAGGCACCAUUUGCUUGAAGCAUAAUUUUCGGAUAUGAUGAGAAUCGAAAUCUUAGACCGAGCGAUGGCAUUGAGAAUUUCCGGACCGAAUUCCUCGCCAAUUUGGAUGCUCUUAUCAUCCUUGAACACAAAAACUGGUGCAAUCCCUACCUUGACUAGACUGUGAUAGAGGUGAUCGGUGAAUCCCUUGCGAGUAUCUGACCCUCUAAAGCUCAAGAACACAUCAUAAUGAUCGUUACGUAUUCCUUCACGUAUUCCUUCGAGUGUUGGAGAGAUUUUCGAAGGUGUGGACGCUCUCUUCUUCUUGACAAGAUAGAAUGCAAGCAUACUAAAAAGAAUCGUCGCGGCAAGCACCGCGGGCAUUAUUAAAGGGUGCAUCCCUUCGUUUGUUUCAGUGUAACUCCGCCCUUUGUCGAUGGCAAUCUGAGAGGGAAAGUUGGAGAGAAAGAUGCUCUCCUGCUGCAUAAAAAGGAUUGAUAAUUAGUCUCUAUGAAGUAUGAACAAGUAUGAACAUGAAAUCUUUUACCAAGCAAGAAAAGAUAAACAUGAAAUUAUUAAUUAAUUAUUAUUUGAUUGACUAGGAGCAGUCGCUGAUGCUUUCAAUCCUUGCUUGAUCUUCUUUUGGAUAUCAUCCUCUAGUCAAGUCAAUCUUGCCGGCUUCGGUCCCCUUACGUAUAACGUGUACAUUAAUUUCUUAAUUGGGCUAUAGAAUAAUGGAACUAUGUACAAGCAUAUUGCAUUCGUUCAAAAUUAUACGUAGUGGUUCAGUUGUUACUUGGUUAUUGAAAAUAAGAUUUUGAAAAAUCAUUUUUUUUGUCAAAGAAUUUCGUAAAUCAUUUAAAAGCUGAUAAUUGAGUUGAGACAAAAUUGACAAUGUGGGGAAGGCGUGAAGAAAGGACCUAGCUAGUAAUUAUGAAAGUGAUUUUAAAUUUAAUUUCGCCAUAGAUUUCUCCUCCUGCACAGCACAAAGCCUCCCUUCUCCUUGUUUAUCUGCUCCUCUCGCCGACACAUUCUCUCUUCCCCCUCUCUCCUUUCGUUUUUUUCUUUCUUUUCCUCUUUCUCCUUUCUUUUGCUCCUUUCUUUUCCUUUCUUUUCCUUUCUUCUUUUCCUUUUUGACUCUAAUGUAUUUUCUUCUUCUUUUUCUCAUCAUUUCAAACUCCACUUCACCUAAUAUUACUACCUUUCCACCAAAUCACUUUUCACUUUUGACCGCAUUUUACUGUUCACUUUGACUGUAUGUUCCCACAUGUAAUUGAUCGGAAGUGACCGAGUGAGUGUCAGGGAUAGUGAAUGAAAAGUUUUUAUUCUAUUAAAUUAUAUUAGAAAAUUAAAAUUUUAGAAUGUUACAGCAGAUGUGGAAACAAUUUAUUAAGGAGAUAUUCCUAUCAAAUAGAUAAAGUAAUGAGAUUAGAGAAUAGAAGAAUAUGUCUAUAGAUUUAUAAGAGUUCAACUCAUAUUAAAUCUACAUCCACUUUCUCAAAGUAACAACCAGCAGUAUGGCUUUUUUUAACAGAAAGAAUCAAAUGCAUGCUGAAACAUAUUGUGAACGCAUGAAAGAUCGAGGCAAUUUAGAGAUUUGAAUCUUUCUGAAUUUCCGCCUAGUCCAUUGGCAUCCUCUAAAUCCUUUUAUAAAAAACUAACCGUUGGAGAAUAAUUUUACCUGUAAAACAUCCUUUCAUAGGUUUUCUUUGGAGGGUGCCCUUUUUCUUUGGAGGUCAUAAAUACCAAACCUAUGUCUGGUAAAAUUCCACAAAAAUAAUAUUUUUAUUCAGUUAAUAGUAAAUUUCUUUUGUCUAUUUUCACUAAAAUAUGUAAAUUGAUCAUAACUCUCCUUUGUACUUGGUAAAGUUUUGACACCCAUGUCUCAGUAAUUUUCCUUACUCAUCGUAAGUUUUCUCAAUCAAAUGAUAAUUUGAUCAUGGUUGCAUCUAACUUUCUUUUAAUGUUCGGAAGUGAUCAUAAAAAAUCGAUUUUGCAAAAUAGAUUUGACGGUUCACCUUUUUUACCCUUUUUAACCAACAGUCCACGUCGAAUGUAGGACUCAUCCUAGAGUUUUCACUUAUGAAAUUUCCAUCAUGAUUAGCAUGUUUUAGCUAUAAGAAAGUUGUUUCUUCUUUUUGCAAAGGAGCCUUCACACAUAUUCCUUAUCUACCGAGGUCAACAAUGACUCAAACCAGAAGAACUGAUGGGGGUGCAAUAUAGAGCUUAGACAAAUUCCGAGUGCAAAAACGGAAUUUAAAAAAAAAAAAAUUGAAAAAGUAUGUCUCCAAUCUCUCCCAUUCUCCAGCAUAUAUAAAAAUAAAUGGGAAAACAUUAAUCCUGCCGUCGCCCUAGGAAGAUUUUUCGAGAAGAGCACUUCGAGCGUGCGCUCUGGAGAGAGACUAGCAAUAAUCGAUUCUGACUUGUGCAUUAUGGAUCAAUCGAAUCGCUCGAAUAGGCUGGACAUCCAUGGAGGAUCGGGGCCCGGAGGUAGAGAAAGCUCGUUUACUGACUUUGGCGCCUAAUUUCGGCUUCAACGAGCAGUCCGCCAACAGGUGGUUGGACAGUCUUGUUUCGCUCCACAGUGUCCGAAUCAUUAUUUUGUCGCGCAUUUUUUGUGUCAUUUUCCGGAAAUUACGAAAAUUGCCAAUGUAAUGGAAAAUGAUUUUACGGACAUCCGAAAAUUCUCUAGUCGAUAUGAUCUGUUCAGAUAAAUUUUUGUUGUUGACAAUUCUGAUUCGUAGCCUUUGAAAGGUUUUGUGCAAUUAUUGAAGAGAAUAGACCAGCACCAUUGAUAUUUGGAAAAAAUCAAUUUUUAAAUGUUUUUAAGAAAAAAAGAAUUAUUUCUGCAAAAACAGAGUAUUUUGGAUGUUUCAGGCUUUAAGUAAGUUUGGCUCCGACCAAAAAAAAAAAAAAGAGGUAAUUUUGGACAAUCGGAGUGCAUAUAGGGCGAUGGACCCAAAAUCGGGUCUAGAAGGGUAAUUUCAGUACUUUAAUCGAGCGGGCUUUUCGUCCCGAGGGAAUUUCACAUGUAUUAUUCUGUUGCCCUAGAGGAUGUUAGGCGAUGAGCAAUAACCGAAUGUAUUUUUGUCCUAUCAAUUGUAAUAGACCGGAGAAUGAAGGUCGGACUUACCUCGAGGAGGAGAUAUUCAGAGAUGAAAUAACCGUGAUGGGUUUCAGUGUUCAAGAAGAAGUCGGCUUGAAGCAGUCCAAGUCCCAAACGUCAGUGCAGUCCCGAGGAUCACCUUCACGCCUCGACCUAGACCGGCUUGGUUAGGAAAGAGACGGAGGCAAAUUUGCAGAUCAUCUCAGGUCAGAACGUCGCGAGAAAGGACGAGUAGUGGCUACGAAAUCACCAACUACAGACGAGGAACUUACUGUCUUUCGAUAAAAUCCAGAAACGACCCUCGUGUUCCGCCGAAGACCCCACAAAUCCAAGAACCCUAAUCACCUCAGCGGAGUCCAUUAUCAGAAAUCAUAGCAAGCGGAACACUAAAAAGUUCGAAACUCGACACGAUUCAAGUUGAUUUUACCUGCCGAUUGGUGCCCGCCGAAAAACCAGUCCUUUGAAGCCGGUGGUUCGGAAGGAGCGACUGCAGGUGCUCUUCGCGACGGCCUCGGGUGUACUGCUUGGGUGGAUUCGCGAGAAAGAAGAAUCGCUGCUUCCUCCGCCGAUUCAAGUCGAAGCUCUCGCUCUGGUCGUAGAGGCUUCGAUGUGCUUCAGAUCUGGAAGUAAGAGAGAACUUGUACCUGGGGAGUCGGACGACGCGGUUCUGUGUUGACUUUCUGCCGCGGGAACAUGAUCACGUUCCAUGUUUAGGUGGAGGCACGUGUGUUGGACGCCCGAGCCAAAGUUGGCUAAAUUUCAAAAGAACACCGACGUCCCACCGUGGUAAAACGGUGAAUCAAAUAGUUGAUUGGCAGGUCAAGGGCGAGGGCUCGCUGCCCUCAUACGCGGCAAGCAGGAGCCGAGAGCCCUCUAUGGUUAGGCCAUCGUCGAAAUCAAUAAUUCCCGAUUAAAUUAUCCAAAUAAAUUACAUUGGAAAUUUGUUAAUAAGUUGAAGAUUAAACUGGCUAAAUUAAAAAAUUUAUAACUGAAUUGGCAUAAGUAUAAUAAAUUUAGAACUUCCUAAAUAAUUUUUCCCUAUUAAAAUAAUAUGGAAACCACUCUAAAUGAUGAGUUUCUCUAAUACAAUCCACAUAUGUCUUCUUAGAAAUUUCCUACACAUUAAACUAUUUUAGAAUGAAAGAAGGUCACCUUCCUCCCAUGAAGUUCACAAUGGGUUCUAAAAAACAAACAAUACACUAGGGACCACCUCAUGGUUAGAAUAGUUUACAAUAGAGCAUUUUAAUAUAAUAUUUAAAUAUAAUUUGUGGAAGAAGAAUUUUAACCAAACUAAAUUAGUGGAAGACUGGAGAGACGUUUCUGUCAUUCACAAGUAAUGACAGAUUUAAAUUGCAAUUGUCAAAUAUGGUGUGUCACCUAAGUCAAGAAUGGUGGGUGCCUUCUUUUUCAAAAUGGUCUCAUGCAAUCAUCCAAACCACUACAAUUGUCAAAUAUGGUGUGCCACCUAAGUCAAGAAUGGUGGGUGCCUUCUUUUUUAAAAUGGUCUCAUGCAAUAAUCCAAACCACACAACGAUUAACCUUUAUCGCAAUGAGAUUUAAUUAAUUAGCAAUUGAGGGACAAUGAGCAGUUGCAAAUGCUUUUAGUCCUUGUCUUUAUCUUCUUUGAGACCUCACCCUUAAGUCAAUUCAAACUUGUUGGCUUGGUCCACUUCUGAUUAACGUGUACGUUAAUUUCUAAGUUGGGCUGUAGAAGAAUUAGAAUACGUUUUCAAACAUAUUCCAUUCGUUUAAAAAUAUAAGCACGAAUUCAGUUGUUAUCGAUUAUUGAAGAUCAUAAUUUCAUAAAUCAUAUCAAGUUAAAACAGAUUUGGAAAUGGAUGGAAGAUGUGAACAAAGGAUCUUGUGAGUACCUGAGCCGCUAAAACUCAAGAAUACAUCAUAGGUAUCACUUUCCUACUCCUGUUGGUGUUGAAUAGAUGAACAAAUAUAUAGAUACUCCAUCGGUGCUCUUACUUGCUUGAUUUGUAUCGCUUCGACUCUUUUUCCUCUUCUUGAAAAGAUUACAAGUGAAUUUAGAGAGAAGAAUGGGUGCAACAAGCACCCCAAAAGAAUGCCCUAAAAUGAACUGAUUUCAUUAUUUGAUUUACUAUGGCUCUUUCCUUUAUUUGAAAUAUUCAAGUAGCUAAUUGGCUUGCUACCCUCACACGUUGCAGGUGAGGCCACAUACCCUUGUGGACCACUAGGCGAGGGCUUGCUGCCCUCACACGCAGCAAGCAAGAGCUAAGAGCCUUCCCUGAUAAGUGGGCAACAACUAUGAGUCCUUGCUAGCCAUGCCACAUAGGACGUAUGUCGUCCACAUCAGCAAUUUUCAAUCAAAAUUAGCUGAAUGAAUUAUAUUGAUAAAUCGUUAAUAAAUUGAGGACUAAACUAGCCAAAUUAAAAAGUUUAUGGCUAAAUUGGCACAAAUACAAUAAAUUUAGGACUUUUUUUUUUUUAUCAUUUUUCCCAUUAAAUCACACGAAAACCAUACUAAAUGAUGAGUUUCUCUGAUCCAAUCCACAGACGUCUUCCUAGAAAUUUCCUGCACAUUAAACUAUUUUAGAAUGAAAGAAGGUCACCUUCCUCCCAUGAAGUUCAUGAUGGGUUCUAGAAAAGAAACGAUACACUAGGGACCACGUCAUGGCUAGAACAGUUUACAAUAGAGCAUUUUAAUAUAAUGCUUAAAUAUAAUUUGUGGAAGAAGAAAUUGAACCAAGCUAAAUUAGUGAAGACUGGAGAGACAUUGCUGUUAUUCACAACUAAUUAUAAAUUUAAAUUGCAAUUGUCAAAUAUGGUGUGCCACUUAAGUCAAGAAUGGUGGGAGCCUUCUUUUUCCAAAGGGUCUCAUGCAAUCAUCCAAACCACACAACGAUUAACAUUUAUCGCGAUGGGAUUUAAUUAAUUAGCAAUUGAGGGACAAUGAGCAAUAGCAGACGCUUUUAGUCCUUGUCUUUAUCUUAUUUGAGGCCUCACCCUCUAGUCAAUUCAAACUUGUUGGCUUGGUCCACUUCCAAUUAAUGUGUAUGUUAAUUUCUAAGUUGGGCUAUAGAAGAAUUAGAAUCUGUUUUCAAACAUAUUCCGUUCGUUUAAAAAAUAUAAGCAUAAAGUCGAUUGUUAUCAAUUAUUGAAGACCAAAAUUUCAUAAAUCAUAUCGAGUUAAAACAGAUUUGGAAAUGGAUGGAAGAUGUGAAGAAAGGAUCUUGUGAAUACCUAAGCCACUAAAACUCAAGAAUACAUCAUAGGAAUCACUUUCCCACUCCUAUUGGUGUUGGAUAGAUGAACAAAUAUGUAGAUGCUCCGUCAAUGCUCUUAUUUGCUUGAUUUGUGUCGCUUCUACUCUUUUUCCUCUUCUUGAGAAGAUUAUAGGCGAAUUUAGAGAGAAUAAUGGGUGCAACAAGCACCCAAGAAGAAUGACCUAAAAAUGAACUGAUUCCAUUGUUUGAUUUACUUCGGCUCUUUUCUUUAUUUGAAAUAUUCAAGCUCAACUCAACUACUUCUUGUGAAGAAAAAUCAUGAAAUGGAUGCGUACGUGGUAACUUUUUUUUUUUUUUUGGCCGGUCUUACUCUAUUCCUACUCUAACUCUCACUCUCAAACUUUUGCCCUGCCUCUUUGCAGGCGCGUGGAAGUCGAAACCUACUCCUAAAACUAAAUCAUCUCCACCCCAACCCCCUGAAAAGAUAGGGAUUUGAACCCCCCACCUCCUCCUUCCAUGUUCGAAGGGUGGCCACUGGGCGUACGUGGUAACUUACUAUGUGGAAAAUUAGUAGGUAAUUUGUGAAUACCAAAAAUGAAUAACCAUUAAUUAGAUGGGAUCUGGUCUCAUUUUCCCUUGCGAAUCUUUAGGUGGCUCUGGGUUGCGAAAAACAUAUGGAAGGAUUUGUUCUAGUCAAAGUACCAUGUCAUAGCUCUCUUUCUUUGCUUUUUUAUCUCUGUAUAGCCGUGGUGUAUGCUUAGCAUUUUAUGAUUUUUUACAUGAAGUAACUGCCGUAUGAUCAGCUUAUGUGAUUUUAUUGCUAAAUUUGCUCACUCCUGCAUAACAACCACUCAUGGGGAGGAGUCGUUGCUUGAGAAAUCUGUUACUUUCAAGGGAGUCAUCAUAAGUUAUGUAGGUCAUAUGAUUUGUAAUAUUCCCCAAACUAUAGUAAUCUGCCAAAGUUUUGGGUAAAUUUCUUUAUCUUUGAUUAGUAAAUUAUCUAAAGGAUCGUAACUUUCCUUUUGGCGACGAAAUUGUCCUCGUUAACAGUAGUUUUACUCGUAAAACAUCCUUUCACAAGUUUUCUUUGGAGUUUGGAGGGUGUACUUUUUCUUUGGAGGUCAUAAAUUCUCCGGAACCUUUGUUUGGUGUAAAAACCACAAAAAUAAUAUUUAUUCAGUUAAUAGUAAAUUUCUUUCGUGUAUUUUUACUAAAAUAUGUAAAUUGAUCAUAACUCUCCUUUGCACUCGGUAUAGUUUUGAGACCUAUGUUUUAGUAAUUUUCCUUACUCAUGGUAACUUUUCUCCAUCAAAUGAUAAUUUGAUCACUUCUGUAACUUUCCUUUAAUGUUCAGAAGUGAUGAUAGAACAUCAAUUUUGCAAAACAGAUUUCAGGGAUCACCUUUUUUUUCCCUUUUAUCCAACGGUCCACGUUGAUUCAACGUCGUUGAAUGCAGGACCGAUCCCAUAAAAGAGAACUUUGGCUUGGGAAAUGUCCAUCACAAUCAGGACGUUUUGGCCAUAACAAAGUAGUUCGUUAUUUUUUGCCAAACAGCAAAGUAGUCUUGGAAAUGCGAUUUUUCCAAACUUUUGUAAAUCGUUCCAUUAAAACAUAUAUACAAAGGUAAAAAUGUAACUAAGAAACCAUACUACCUUGUCAAUAUUUUCUUUUGCUGAUGCACAACAAUUGAUAAAGGAAAUUUGAAUAUUUACUCUUUGCAUCCGAAUGUGGGACCUUCCCCCUCAAUCAGGGGUCGUUGGACUUUGGUAUGGCGAUGGCGGGUCGACUUUGUCGUGACUUAAUUACUUACGACUUUGUCGUCCUACCUUAACCUGAUUUAAUAAACUAAACUCAAACGUAUUACAUACGAGGAAUUCCCGCAUCUGGAAAAUACAUGUCCACCUUAACUUGCUCUUUUCCAUAUUCUAAUGUUUAAAUCUUCACCUUGUUCAUCCUUGACUCGUAACCAUUUUUAACGCUCUUUUAUCUCUCCAUCUCUUCUGGCGUUCUUUGGUAUUUUCUGAUUCUCAAUGUGAUUCUGAUGGUGAAGUCAAUGCGGAUGGUCGUAUCAUCCGUCGCCAUCGCACUCGUUGAUCUUCUCUUCUUUUCUUUGGGUUUUUACCACAUGGGUUGUGUGCGAAACGAAGGAACAGCAGCAAUGAAAAUAGAAGAAAGAAAUGGAUCGCUCUUUCAAAUCUGUGUAAAUCAUCAUCAUACGACCUCAGCCCACGAAAGCAUUAGACUCGCUAGAGCUUUGUGCCAAUUUCCAAGCCCCCUCCGCCCCCCCAAAACCCCNNNNNNNNNNNNNNNNNNNNNNNNNNNNNNNNNNNNNNNNNNNNNNNNNNNNNNNNNNNNNNNNNNNNNNNNNNNNNNNNNNNNNNNNNNNNNNNNNNNNNNNNNNNNNNNNNNNNNNNNNNNNNNNNNNNNNNNNNNNNNNNNNNNNNNNNNNNNNNNNNNNNNNNNNNNNNNNNNNNNNNNNNNNNNNNNNNNNNNNNNNNNNNNNNNNNNNNNNNNNNNNNNNNNNNNNNNNNNNNNNNNNNNNNNNNNNNNNNNNNNNNNNNNNNNNNNNNNNNNNNNNNNNNNNNNNNNNNNNNNNNNNNNNNNNNNNNNNNNNNNNNNNNNNNNNNNNNNNNNNNNNNNNNNNNNNNNNNNNNNNNNNNNNNNNNNNNNNNNNNNNNNNNNNNNNNNNNNNNNNNNNNNNNNNNNNNNNNNNNNNNNNNNNNNNNNNNNNNNNNNNNNNNNNNNNNNNNNNNNNNNNNNNNNNNNNNNNNNNNNNNNNNNNNNNNNNNNNNNNNNNNNNNNNNNNNNNNNNNNNNNNNNNNNNNNNNNNNNNNNNNNNNNNNNNNNNNNNNNNNNNNNNNNNNNNNNNNNNNNNNNNNNNNNNNNNNNNNNNNNNNNNNNNNNNNNNNNNNNNNNNNNNNNNNNNNNNNNNNNNNNNNNNNNNNNNNNNNNNNNNNNNNNNNNNNNNNNNNNNNNNNNNNNNNNNNNNNNNNNNNNNNNNNNNNNNNNNNNNNNNNNNNNNNNNNNNNNNNNNNNNNNNNNNNNNNNNNNNNNNNNNNNNNNNNNNNNNNNNNNNNNNNNNNNNNNNNNNNNNNNNNNNNNNNNNNNNNNNNNNNNNNNNNNNNNNNNNNNNNNNNNNNNNNNNNNNNNNNNNNNNNNNNNNNNNNNNNNNNNNNNNNNNNNNNNNNNNNNNNNNNNNNNNNNNNNNNNNNNNNNNNNNNNNNNNNNNNNNNNNNNNNNNNNNNNNNNNNNNNNNNNNNNNNNNNNNNNNNNNNNNNNNNNNNNNNNNNNNNNNNNNNNNNNNNNNNNNNNNNNNNNNNNNNNNNNNNNNNNNNNNNNNNNNNNNNNNNNNNNNNNNNNNNNNNNNNNNNNNNNNNNNNNNNNNNNNNNNNNNNNNNNNNNNNNNNNNNNNNNNNNNNNNNNNNNNNNNNNNNNNNNNNNNNNNNNNNNNNNNNNNNNNNNNNNNNNNNNNNNNNNNNNNNNNNNNNNNNNNNNNNNNNNNNNNNNNNNNNNNNNNNNNNNNNNNNNNNNNNNNNNNNNNNNNNNNNNNNNNNNNNNNNNNNNNNNNNNNNNNNNNNNNNNNNNNNNNNNNNNNNNNNNNNNNNNNNNNNNNNNNNNNNNNNNNNNNNNNNNNNNNNNNNNNNNNNNNNNNNNNNNNNNNNNNNNNNNNNNNNNNNNNNNNNNNNNNNNNNNNNNNNNNNNNNNNNNNNNNNNNNNNNNNNNNNNNNNNNNNNNNNNNNNNNNNNNNNNNNNNNNNNNNNNNNNNNNNNNNNNNNNNNNNNNNNNNNNNNNNNNNNNNNNNNNNNNNNNNNNNNNNNNNNNNNNNNNNNNNNNNNNNNNNNNNNNNNNNNNNNNNNNNNNNNNNNNNNNNNNNNNNNNNNNNNNNNNNNNNNNNNNNNNNNNNNNNNNNNNNNNNNNNNNNNNNNNNNNNNNNNNNNNNNNNNNNNNNNNNNNNNNNNNNNNNNNNNNNNNNNNNNNNNNNNNNNNNNNNNNNNNNNNNNNNNNNNNNNNNNNNNNNNNNNNNNNNNNNNNNNNNNNNNNNNNNNNNNNNNNNNNNNNNNNNNNNNNNNNNNNNNNNNNNNNNNNNNNNNNNNNNNNNNNNNNNNNNNNNNNNNNNNNNNNNNNNNNNNNNNNNNNNNNNNNNNNNNNNNNNNNNNNNNNNNNNNNNNNNNNNNNNNNNNNNNNNNNNNNNNNNNNNNNNNNNNNNNNNNNNNNNNNNNNNNNNNNNNNNNNNNNNNNNNNNNNNNNNNNNNNNNNNNNNNNNNNNNNNNNNNNNNNNNNNNNNNNNNNNNNNNNNNNNNNNNNNNNNNNNNNNNNNNNNNNNNNNNNNNNNNNNNNNNNNNNNNNNNNNNNNNNNNNNNNNNNNNNNNNNNNNNNNNNNNNNNNNNNNNNNNNNNNNNNNNNNNNNNNNNNNNNNNNNNNNNNNNNNNNNNNNNNNNNNNNNNNNNNNNNNNNNNNNNNNNNNNNNNNNNNNNNNNNNNNNNNNNNNNNNNNNNNNNNNNNNNNNNNNNNNNNNNNNNNNNNNNNNNNNNNNNNNNNNNNNNNNNNNNNNNNNNNNNNNNNNNNNNNNNNNNNNNNNNNNNNNNNNNNNNNNNNNNNNNNNNNNNNNNNNNNNNNNNNNNNNNNNNNNNNNNNNNNNNNNNNNNNNNNNNNNNNNNNNNNNNNNNNNNNNNNNNNNNNNNNNNNNNNNNNNNNNNNNNNNNNNNNNNNNNNNNNNNNNNNNNNNNNNNNNNNNNNNNNNNNNNNNNNNNNNNNNNNNNNNNNNNNNNNNNNNNNNNNNNNNNNNNNNNNNNNNNNNNNNNNNNNNNNNNNNNNNNNNNNNNNNNNNNNNNNNNNNNNNNNNNNNNNNNNNNNNNNNNNNNNNNNNNNNNNNNNNNNNNNNNNNNNNNNNNNNNNNNNNNNNNNNNNNNNNNNNNNNNNNNNNNNNNNNNNNNNNNNNNNNNNNNNNNNNNNNNNNNNNNNNNNNNNNNNNNNNNNNNNNNNNNNNNNNNNNNNNNNNNNNNNNNNNNNNNNNNNNNNNNNNNNNNNNNNNNNNNNNNNNNNNNNNNNNNNNNNNNNNNNNNNNNNNNNNNNNNNNNNNNNNNNNNNNNNNNNNNNNNNNNNNNNNNNNNNNNNNNNNNNNNNNNNNNNNNNNNNNNNNNNNNNNNNNNNNNNNNNNNNNNNNNNNNNNNNNUGCAGAUGGUUAGAGGCUCUGCUAGCACGUGGCUGCCAUUCUAGUUCAGUGAAUAUGCAUCGCUAGAAUCAAGGACCUACAAAGAGGUGUCGUGGAAAGAGAAGCAGUUUUCAGGUCUGUGAAUGUGUGACAGCAUGAUUCGUGAAGUUUUCUUGGCUCCUGUCAUUAUGGAUAUCAUCAUUUCUCUUUUUUAUUGGCUGGAAACCAGGAUGGUCCAGGGAUGAUCACGAGAAUGAUCCAGGUAAAAUGACAUUUGAUGUUAUGUAUCUUUCACGUGUUACGUGAAACCAUCUGAAUGAUGCUUCUGUGUUUGAGGACCAGAAGGAGAUCAUGGAGAAAGCAAUGUUAGAAGGGCACUUGUUGGAUUCAUCCCCCCCCCCCCCCCCAACCCAUCCCAUCCCAUCCCAUUCAAUUCAAUCGUGGCCACUCCAUUAGCAGGCACGGUUGCUGCGGCCCGUCCCUAUUCCAUGGUCAGCUUCGGAAAGGAAAGGUUGGAUCCCCAUCAGCACGCCACCCCCGUCCAUCACAAACAACAAAUCUAUAUCCAUUGAAGUUGCGGUUAAGCGAGCGAAUCCCGCCCGCCCCCAAUAUGAUAACUCGACAUGUGUAUUUGCCAGUAUCAACGAUCCAAUCGGCCCAACCAACGCAUUGAGCAAUCGGGCUUUCCAAGCCCAUGCUUGUCUUCAUAUAUCCUGAGUUUCAUUUGCUAUGAUGAUUCGGCUCAUGAUGCCAAAUUUUAAGAAAAUUCGCAUUUUCCCAAAAAAAAAGACAAAAUUAGAACGUUCAGCAUAGACCGGUCAAGAACAUAACCAUCGAAACUUUAUAAGUUUGAGAUGCAAGUCUUCUCCUAUAGAGGGGGGGGGGGGGAGAAAAAAGCCUUGAGUAAGUAUUUUACAUGAUAGUUAAGUAUUAACGGUGACAAGAGGGGGGGGUUUAUGUAAUUUGAGAUAAGGCGUUAGGUUUAUGUAGUUAUAAAUUCAACAUAUGAAGGAAAUAAAGGAUGUCACUAACACAAAAAGAAAAAAAAAAAAGAAAAAGAAAAGGAAGGACAACCCUAAAAGAACAGGAAAAAAAUAUGCCACAAAGAAAGGAAAGAAGAUCUUCUUGGAUUCCAUGUUAUAGAUGUCAAAAAUCGGAGUUUAUAUAACUCGAAUUUAAAAAAAAAAAAUAGUAAAGCUGCUUUGUCGGUUGUAAGAAAAAUUACCCAAUCAAUCAUAAAUUUAUUGUACAUAUACCAAUUCAAUUUUAAUUUUUUUUAAUUCCGUUGAUUUAGUCAUAAAUCCUUGCGAAAAAUUUCAAUAUCAUCAUUUCGAUCAAUUUUCGCCAUGAAUUGUUGACGUUGAGAUCCAAUCACUGUCGACCAUUUACGUGGCAUAUUGCAAUGUCAACAAUUUUCAGAGAAAAUUGAUCAGAAUGAUUAGCAAAGAUUUCAAAUUAAUUUAGUAAAAUUGAUAAGUUUAUAACCGCUUGCCUCUGUACUUGAUUGGACAAUCUCCCUGCUAAUUGUAACCCAUGGCCACUUUGUUAAAUAACGCUUGGCUUGACGUAUCACGUGGAUGAUAUACCUGUAACUCUCGCAUAUAAUACUUGCUCUUCUUCUAAUACUUACCCAGACCCAACCCAAGGGUGUCAAAUGAAACCCGGAAAACUUAUGAGGGGGGCAAAAAUAGAGCUUCCAACAAAAUUCAGGUGCAAAAAUGGAAUUUUUUAAAGAAUUGAAAAAACAAUGUGGCUCCAAUCUCUCCCUUUCUACAACCGGUAAAAAAGCAGAGCUAAGAACAUCAGUCACGCCAUAGCUGGCAUGGUUUUUCUUCGAAGAGAGCGCUUCGAGUGCCAGCUCUCUCUCUCUCUCUCUCUCUCUCUCUCUCUCUCUCUCUCUCUCUCUCUCUCGAUCAAUUCGAUUACUACACUUGCAUCAUCGAUCGAUCGAUUCAAAUCGCGUCGAACAGGUUGAGAUUCCAUGGAGCAUCGGGGGUUGGCGGAGGAGGCAGAGAAAUCUUGGUUUGCUAAGCUUGGCUCUCGAGUUUGGCGUCGACGAGCAGUCCUCCAGCAAGUGCUUGGGAUCGUCUCGUUUCGCUCUACGGUAACUUCAAUCGUUACUUUGUCGUCCAUCUUUUUUUUUUUUUUUUAUAUGCUGAUUAGCGUUUGCAGAGGUUAGGUUGUGUAGGUAUUUCCCAUCCACCACGACGAUGGUGAUGAUGGCUAGGCAAUAGUCUGCUCUAGGUUUGAAUAGAACGGAGCGGGUUUGGUGAAGUAGUCUUAUCUCUGAUGAUAACUAGGCACGCGGCUAAGUUUUUCCUGCUUAUUGACCAAAAUGCGGUAUGUGGUCAUUAGGGAAUGACAUAAUUGCUCGUGCUGCGUGGAUAAUUUGUAAAUCGAUUGAUUGCGCAUUGCUAAUAAGGAGAUUUGUUGUGGUUAGUUGCUAUUCUGAUGAUGGCUAUAGAAUAGUCUACUUUGGAUUUGAAUGGACUGGAGCUGGUUAAAUUUAGUUGACUGAGCCUUAAUCUCGUCCUUGUUUGGCAGGGUAGUCCUAUUGACUGGUGAGCUGUCUGGCUUACUUCUGAACUCACUUCGAAUUACAUAUGGUGUCUUGCAAUAAUACUAAUAUCGUGUCUCACUGAACUAAGUGCAAAUCUCAUAUUGUAGAUUGUAUUUAUAUGAUCUCUUUUUUGCCAUGGAACUUGCAAAUUCAUCUCUUUUUUCUUUUGGUUUUCUUAAGGUGACCAAGGUCGAGUGUUUAUCAUUGUGGAGCACUAUGGCUAUGACUUCCUAGUAGAACUUGCCAAAAAUAUGCAAGAUGCUGAGGAUUGGGAUGAUUUGCAAGCUCCGGAAUAAGAAGCUUGUGGAGUUUUGACUACUGUGUUUGGCCAAGACAUCCAUUAUGGCAGUGAAUGCAAUGUUAUACAUGGUGUCGACAUUAUCGAAGAUUCUCCACGACCUGAGGAAAACCAAACUUUUCUUGAGGUGGAUUCCUCUACUGAUACUUAAGACAAAGACAAUAUACUUGGCAGUUAAAUGGGUAGGAAAUCUACACGCUAUAUUCCUCACCAAAGCAGUACUAGAGCAAUUCAUCCACUCAACUCCAGGCCAGACAAUGUUUAGAAUCUAUGGUAUGCUUCUCCCAUGGACGUAGAUAAUACUGCCAAACCGCUUAAGUCAGUGUGUUGCUAUUCUUUUCUCUUAUAAUUUGUUCUCUCCUUGAUCGUUUCCAAUUUGCCUGUGAUUUUGCACACAGCAAAGGACGUCCACAAUGUACAUGCGCAAAAGCAUUUAGUAAAUUGCUUAUGGGGCCUCUUGUGACAUCCUGAAUUUCAUGUUCUGAUUUCGAUUGGAUAAGAUGGGCCUUUCGUCAACGUGACUAUAGUGUUUUUCUCUGAGUUGGCCACUCACGAGAUAACUGGCCUAUCCGGUGAAGCCAUUCAGGGAUUUUAAACGCAAUAGACUUGAGAAUUCGACCAGGAAUUGACUACUCGACCGUGCUAGUCUACAAGGGUCAUUACGGCAUUGUCAAAAUCGAUCAGAGAUCGGAGAUAGGUCGAUUUGACUGAGAUAUGUGAUCAAGUGUGGGUGAUGCCACCUGAUUGCAAAAUUCUCAUCGAUCGGCACUAAACCAAAUUUCUGUCGUUUUGGGUACCCUGUGCUCGUAUUUGAAACCUUGAGAUUUUCAUGAUCAUCGAGAGUUGCUAAUGAGUCGGAUGGGUUCAUUGUGGUUCGAAGAAAAUCGACCACGGGUCAAUUGCGCCAAAAAGUCCUAGAAACUACCCGGUAGGUAAGGUCACACUAAAAACACGUUUGAUUGAAAAUAACCGUGAAUUUGAAUUCAAUUUCAGAAAUUGGAAGUCCUGUCAUGUCACGAGUCAUUCUGGGAACGUCGACUCACCUUAUGAGGAAAUUCCGGCAAGUUCGGGAUUUUUACGGAAAACUGGAUCGGACGAUGCGGAAAACGAAUGGAGAUUCAGAUUGGCCGAUUUGAAGGGAUUUUUGACAUCUGGUGUUAGUGAAUUAGUGAUUGAAAGUUGUUUGGACUUUUUCUGAAUUCAAAUUGGAUUUCGACCGGAUUUAUUUGUUCAGAAAAUCGGAUUCCGAAAAAAAAAUGAAUUAAAAUUCGGAAUUGAAGAAAAUAGCCGUUUUGUUGCCCUAAAUUUAUUGUUCGAGGGAAAUUUGAUGCAAGAAAGCAAGUGAGGAUCAAGUACCUUAGUCUGGGAAUUUUCAGAGAUCAAAUUGGACUAAACAAAAGCAAGUGAGACCAAAUUUGAAUUAGUUUGGGAGGUUCUAUAUAAUUUUUCUUCCUCUCCUUCGGUCCCGCAGGCACUCUUUCCCUCCCUCUCUCGCACACAUUCUUCCCUAGCCGACCAUCCCCUGCGAAUUGGUCUCCAUUGCUUUUCAGUUUUGAUUUUUAGUUUGAUCUUAUCCCAUUCCCUCUCUCAUCAUUUCUCUCUCAUUCGUCUCUCUUUCUCGCAAAGCCUCUCUCGUCUCUCUCAAAGACCCACGCGAGAAGGCCCCACCACCUACCGACAACCUCUGCUUGGUCUUCAAAUGCCCCAUCUUUUUUUACUGUACACUGCAUUCUUAUCUUUCUCUCUCGUCUGUCUCGCACGAAACCCCCUGCAGUCUUCAAUUUCUUCUUUUCCUUUGACCGGUCUCCUCUUAUCACUUUCUCUAUUUUUCUUCUUCCAUACGUUGCCCACCGGAGCUUCUGCAUCUCUCUCUCCGCUCAGCCCUCAUCCCACGAAGCUGCUUCUCCACGCUGCCACUCGGCCGCAUCUGCUCUUUGUUUGGUUAAUGAAACCAGCCGCUUCACCAUCUGGUAGACUGAAGCCAGCGAAGCCGGAGCCGCACGCGUCUUCCCUAGCUCGGCGCUGCUUCCUCUCCAUCACGUGGUCUUCAGUCCACGCUCGAUCGACCUUUGCUGCUUUUGCUCGGCCCAUCACCCCACGCCCUCUGCCCCUCACGCUGAUGCUCCACUGAUCUUUGCCCCCACCAAUUAUGGCGCUAGCGAAGCUACCCAGGCCAGUCAACCCAGCAGCAAACCGAAGACCGCCCUUGCCACCGAACAGCGAGCUCCCAUCUUCGUCCGCUUCUCCUUCCCGUGAAGCAGAAUCAUCGCCCACCGAAGCCCCACGCUGCCAGCUCACGCCAUUCUCCAGCUCAGUCAACCGAAGCAGCUCUUGCGCCAUCUUCAGUCCACGUCUCCAGCGAAACCAUCUCAGCCGAAGCAAGUUUCGAAGCCCCUCUUCAAUCAGCAGCCCACAGUUUGGCCAGAGGCCCAGCCCGUGAGCAAGAAGUCCACGCAGCAAUCCAGCUCAGCCCACAAACUAAUGGAUUUCAGCCCGCGAGCUCAGCUCCAUUCAAGCCCCACGAGCCCAAAUGAAAUCAGUCCAUCAAAAGCCCAGCGAAUUUUUGAGGCCCAAGCCUGUGAAGUCAGGCCCACCGAAUCAGUGGACUUAGCCCAGCUCGAGCAGCGAGCUUGUAGCCCGAUUUCGGCCCCGGUUUGACCCCUGUUGGCGGACCCGCUUUGGACAGGAUUGACCCUUGUCGCGUGCUCGUCGAUUUGAUCCGAUCAAAUCGUUAAUCAAGUGAGUUUUACUCACUAAUGCUUUCUUAGUUUGCUAAUUAUGCCUAAGGGUUGGUUAGAUUUAAUUAAGUGCAAUUAAGUGGUUAGAUUAGGUUAGAACAAUUAAUUUAGUGACUUAAUGAUGCAUGUUAGGUGGCUAGACCUAGAUAUUAGCAAGUAGAAAUGUUCGGUUAUUUAUUGAAUGCAUAUCGGGAUUUUUCCCGACCCGUUUCGGGCUCCAAUAAGGCAAUAUGGGCAUAAAUUGGAUUUUUAUUAUUUAUUUAUUUAAUUUUCGAAAUUAAUUAUUUAAUUAAUUAUUUUUCCGGAAAUUCAACCGGGAUGGCUAGUGACCAGAAUUUCGUGCUGAUUGUCGUGGUGUAGACCGUUUAUUUAUUUGAGCCCUACGUUGUGUGGAAUUGAAUUAAUUGUGAAAUUUGAGAAUUGUCCCAAAUUGUUUGUUAUUGAGUAUAUGAUUGGUAAUGGCCGAGCAUGGAUAUAUAGCGCCAGUACGUUGAUGGGCUAUAUAGUAGGGAGAAUGAUGAGAGCUAAUUGAGAACAUUAUUGGUUGAGACCAAUCAGGUACGAUAUUAUUGGACAUACGUGGUUCGGUGAUUGGAAGUAUCACUGGUGAAAACGGCGCCUUAAAGAACGCACGUAAAUAACUUAUAGACAAACGUGGUUCGGUGAUUAUGGAAAUAUCACUGGUGAAAACGACGCCUUAAAGAACUCACGAUGUUGUUUAUAGCCGAUGUCACCUUGGCGAAAACGGCGCCCUAGAAAGGACACGUGGUUCGGUGAUCAAGGAUAUCACUGGUGAAAACGGCGCCUUAAAGAACGCACGGUGUCGGUGAUCGGUAUGUCAUUGGCGAAAACGACGCCCGAGAAACACAUGUGAUUUGGUGAAUGAGUAUGCCAUUGGGAAAUUAUGGUAUGAGUGGGAAUGACCUAGAGAUGGUCCGAUUGACAUGUAAUCGACUAAGUCGAUUGACCAGUGCUUGAUCGUAUGUCUUGAAUUGUUUGAAUACCUGUGUUUAACCUUAAACUGCAGGUUGGAACUGAGGCCAAGGUAAGUCCUCUAACUUGUGCUGUGCAUAGGCAACCUAGACGGUGUAUUGGUUUACUAAUCGAGUAUUAGGGGGUAGAGCUUGCUGAGACGUGGUCUCAUUGGUUAUUGAAUAACCAUUUCAGGUCCUUGGAUGCAGUAGACUUGGAUUUUGAAGAUCUCGAAAGUCCAGUGCAGUCUGCUGAAGGCUCCAAUUAAAGUGUAGAGGAUGAUGGAGAGGAGGACAGGGACCCGUAGUUUGUAGAACCCCACUCUUGUUUGUAGACCUUAUUUCUACACUGGCUUAAGUUGAAUUUGACUUAAUAGUUCACCUUGUAUAUAUAUGUGCAUUGGUUUGCAAUGUAUAUAUGAAUGAACGUUUUAAAGGUUUGAAAUUUAAUCCCACUGUGUUAUCCCAAUGUUUUAUUGUCUGGGGAUAAUUUAUAUGCUUCCGCAUGUGCUUAAAGAAAUGAAAGGGUCGGUGAUGCGUCCUGGGACAUCGCUAUUAAUCGACCAAGGUAAGGGAUGUGUGCGUGCCUGAGGAUCGGGGCGUGACACCUCUCAUCCAAUCAAAUGUCCAAUAGAAACUCAUAACUUUUGCCAAUCACUUCCCCAAUCUUCAAGAUCCAAAAUGAGAUAUUAGAACUCUUUAGUCAAUAAAGAAGUUGAUUUCAGUUUUGGAUGACGUACAAAUACCUAUAUUUCUCAAAUACUUUGAGAGCAUAGCAGAUCAUUAAAGUGUGGAACUUAGCAAUCUAGCAUCAUUGAUAGGAAUGUUUUGCGUAAAUGAAGGCUUGUGAUUUUUUUGUGCACAUUUUUCAUUUUCCAUGACAAUCCAUGUCAGAGACUAUUACGGUGCUAAAGAGGCUUAUUUCUGUUGAAGGACUAUAAGAGCAUUAUCACUCAAGGUUCAAUAUCGUCAGUUUUGUCAAUUUCAAAUAAAAGACAUUGCUCCUGGAUUUCAACUUCCAACCAAGGGACUCUUGAGUUAUGAGGAAUUGCAAGCCUUGGAUGACAUAGAAUUGGCAAAUGUUGUCAUAUUUGGAAACAAGGCAUUUCGAUCAAUGCAGCACCAGGCUUGUAAAGCUUGUGUAGCCAUGUCAAAUUGCUUUAUUCUUAUGCCCACUAGAGGGGGUAAACGCUUAUGUUACUAGGUUAGUGAAUGUUAACAUUGUCUUUGCUAUGUAAUGAUUGUAUGUAGAAGAAAGUGGAGAUAAUGUUUAAAGCACAACCCCCGUGCACUUUUGUCAAUGGUUCCACCAAAUAAAUGCAAAAGGGUGGACCCAUAUGUCAAAAUUUAAGCUUUAACAUGAUCUUUCUAAUAUGCUUUUUUUAGCACUGUUGAGAAGGUUGUGAACUUAAGGAUGACAAUAUUUUUCAGAUGAAUAUUAAGCAAUAGGAAGUGAUUCUGGUACAUAUCCGUGGGUUCCAAUGUAUGGCAUUGGAGAAAAUUAGAAAAAAAGAAAAUACAGGACAUUCUCGUUUUUUCUUCGCAAAUCUCUAUCUAUUGUGUAAUUUCUAGGAUUUAAAAAUCGUACUAUGCUUCUAGGACUCCUAAUCACUUGUUGGGGUAUUCAUCUUGUUUAUGCUUGUAACUGUUGUGCAAACUCCAACUUCGGUUUGAGCAUGAGUUUUCUUAGAUUUAAUUAAAUAUGAAAGGGUUUUAAUAAUAUGAGUCAGGUCGAAUAUGAGUUGAGUAGUGAUCGGGUUGGGCAUGGAUCUAUUUGGUUAUUUCAUAUGAAGAAUCACAAACGCUCUCUAGGCAUACACCACCACUAUACAAAGAGAAAAAGGCGAAGAAAGAAAGAAAGCUAUGGCAUACCAUUUUAAUUAGAACAACCAUACUCUUCGCAACCCAGGGCCACCUAAAGAUUGGCAAGAAUCAUUUGAACAGUCAAUGACGACCACAUGAGAAGGCAAAAUGGACUAGAUCCAUCUAAUUUAUCAUGAUCUUUCUUUAGUAUCUGUAAUUUUCCUAAUUAAUAAUAAUUUACUAAUUGAAGAAUUUUUUUUUCUUUUGUUCCUUAAAUUUUGUGUAUCUUAUGAUUUGGAAUAUAUCACCAAAAAAAAUUGUCUAAGUUUAUGAUAAAUUUUUUCUUAGAUUGUUAGUAAAUUACUUAAUAGAUCAUAAUUUUCCUAUGGCAUAUGUAGUUGUUUUUACUGUAGUAAUUUAUUUAUAAAAUAUCCUUGGAUAAAUUUUCUUUGGAGAGUGUAAUAUUUGUUUUUGUAGGUCAUAAAUCCUAUGAGCGCUAUGGUUCACAAUAUUCCAUAAAAAUAGUAGUCUACUUAUUAAUAGUAAACUUUUUGUGUGUACUUCAGUAAAAUACUAAAUUGAUUGUAACUUUAUUUACACUUUGUAAAGUUUUUUUUUUUAUUUUUAUGGUAAGAGUAAGCAAUAUAUUAAGAGGGGUCAAACUGUACAACCAACACGACACCAAAAACUUACACUCAAAAUGAACAUGCUUAUUAAGAGUGGAAGGAAGCCGCGGAAAGCAACAACACAACCAACAGAAAGCCAAAGGCAAACAAGCCUCGCAAAACACCCAAGCAACCACUGAAAAACCUAAGUCAGACUACGAUCAGAGGAAGCGAAGAUAAUGGGGUCCACAUCCCACGAGCGUUGCAUCCGCCUGUUCCUUGUAGAGUCCUCAACAUUCUUAAAGGUAAGGGCCUUAUCCUUGACGACCUUGAGGAGAUGCUCCUUCAUGGCCGAAAUAGAUAACGGCUCCUCCCUGAAAAGAAUAUUGUUCUUGUUCCUCCAGAUGAUGUGACACAGUGCCCCAAAGGAGAACCGGGCAACACACUUAUAAAAAUCCUUGCCGACGAGUAAGGUAGUAGCCCAACUGAGAGACUCCUCCCAAGGCCUGUUGGUCCAGGGGAGAUUGCAUCUAGUAGCCCAGAAGAAGGCAAUACUUGAGGUAAUGCGUCAACCAAAAAAGAGAUGAUUGAUAGAAUCAGGCACCUCGUUGCAAAAAGGGCAGGAAGCAGCAUCAAUCCUACCAUAAGACAUGAGAAGAGACUGAGUAGGCAACCUCCUCUUGGUGAUAAGUCACAAGUUCAAUUGGUAUUGAGGUAGGAUGGCAUUACUCCAAAUGAAACAAUGCCAAUUGACUCUAGCCUUCUUCCGCCUUAUGGCCUCCCAAGCCGAGGCCACCGAGAACAAACUGUCGAGUCCUCCCUCCAACAGAAUCGAUCUUGGGUUCCAAACAAGGAAGGAAGCGGCGAACCCCAAGACUCAAUCUCAGACCUGAUAGCUCGUCCAUCCUUAGAGAAGAGGUCGGCAACCAAAGCCUACCUAGAGAGACCGGAGCUAUAGAUUUAGGGAUUUGUGAAAUAUAAAUUCAAAAGACCCCUGGGAUGCCAAUUAUCGAACCAGAGCGACGUUGAUAAGCCAUCGCCCAAUCUCCAGUGGAAGCGAAGCUGGCAAUCUGUCCUAAGUUGUAGAAUUUUUUUCCAUGCCUAAGAAUAACAGGUUGGCUUCUUAACUACCUAGAAGUUCUUGGUUUUUAAGAAGAUCGAGUGGACCCACUUAGACCAUAACGACUCCUUAUUUGCAAAUAAAUUCCAUAUAUGUUUGAGCAUAGCCGCCUUAUUACACUCACGCAAUCUCCGGAUACCAAGACCUCCCUCUACUUUAGGAAGGCAAACAUCUUCCCAUGAGACUUUGGCAGCCCCCUACCCAACUCAGGUCCCUUCCAAAGGAAUUGUCUGAGAAUACGCUCUAUCUGGUCCAGUACAGUUGCAGGAAGAAUAAAGACACUUGCCUAGAAAGCCUGAAUGGCAUGGAGGACUGACUUGAUUAGCUGAAGUCGGCCAGCAAAAGAAAGAAACCAACGAGUCCAAGACUGUACCUUAGAGGUGAUGCGCCUCACAAGCUCAACACAAUCUGCCUUCCCGAGCCUCGAUGUGAUGAUUGGGACUGUGAUGAUUGGGACCCCAAGAUAUCGGACUGGAAGGUUACCCUCAACAAAGCCAAGCUCCAGGAGGAUUUGAUUUCUUAAGGCUGGCAGGCCUCCCGAGAGGAACACCUCGCUUUUCCUUGGGUUUGGGAGAAGUCUACUCCAAGAAGAAAACAUACGGAGACCAUCCCUGAAAAGCUUCACGGAUGGCAAGUGGCCCUCACAAAAUAGGAAAACAUCAUCCGCGAAGAACAAGUGCGAUAGGCAAGUAGACCUACAUCUCCAAUAGAAUCUGAAAUCCGGCUGUAGCGAGCACCUCCCAAGAAUUCUAGAGAGCACCUCCAUAACCAACGUGAAUAAGUAGAGAGAGAUGGGGUCUCCCUGACGUAGGCCACGCCCACUAGGGAAGAAACCAUGUACUCCCCAUUCAAAGCGAUGGAAAACCAAGGAGUCCUCACACAGGUCAUGAUGAGGUGAACCAAUCGAUGAGGAAAUCGAAAGGCAAGUAGUACACUCUCGAGAAACCGCCAGUCCACGGUAUCAUAUGCCUUUCUGAAGUCAACUUUAAUAGCACACUUGGGAGAAUAGGGUUCGACAUGGAACCCAGAGAAAAGUUCCUGCACCAAGAGAAUAUUAUCCCUAAUUCGUCAUCCCUUCAUGAAGGCACUUUGAGACGGAUUGACAAGGUCUUUUAGCACGGCUGCAACCCUAUUCGCCAACACUUUGGUAAUAAUCUUGUAGACCGUGUUGCAACAAGCAAUAGGCCUGUAGUCAUCAAUAGUAGUUGCAUUGGGAAUCUUCGAAACCAUGACCAAGAUGGUGUUAUUGAUUUCCUUAAGAAGUCUCCCCGAGGUGAAAAAGUCCUUCAUGGCUUCUGUGACCAGCUGACCCACUGUAUCCCAAUUCUCCUUGAAGAACUCAACCGUGAAGCCAUCCGGACUUGGUGCCUUACCUCUGGCAAGGGAAAAAAGAGUAUCUUGAAUCUCAAGAUCAGCCAUAGGGCGAGCAAGAAAAGUAAUCUGAUCAUCAUUCAACUGAGUGCGAAUAAUUUCCCGAAUCUCCGAUACCUGAGGGGUGUCCAGCUCCAUCCUUGGCAUAAGGAGAUCAUGAAAAUGCUCCACAAAAUGCUGUUGGACCAAUUGAGGCUCAGUAAUUUGGUUACCUGAGGAAUCCACAACAGAGAGAAUUAUGUUUCUCAGAUGUCUCUUACUAACAUACUGGUGAAAGAACUUUGUGUUCCGGUCACCUUCCUUGAGCCAUCUUAUACAAGCUUUCUGUCUAAAGAAUUACUCUUCCUGAGACCUAAGCUCCACUAAAGUAUGCCGUUGAACUCUCUCCAGGUCCAUGAGGACCAUGCUGGUAGGGUCAUUGAGGAGGCCCACUUGAGUUUGCUUUAAGGCUUCCCUCGCUUUAGCAGUCCUUACAAAGAUGUUGGCAAAGGAAUCUCUAUUUAACUGCUUGAGCCAACCCUUCAAGAUAUUUAGUUUGUGCACCAGCCUAAACUUGCUUCACAAUUGAGUCGAAAUCUGAGUGCUACAUCUAGAAGUUGAAGAACUUGAACGGCCUUUUCCGAAGGAUCGGGUUCUCCACCUUUACACCAUAGGUAAGUGGUCGAAAAUCCCAGGCACAAGGAAAGAUGCUUCCGAAAAGGAAAAAACCUGACUCCAACAAGGGUUUACGAAGACUCUAUCAAUCUUUCUCAUCUUCCGAGAGGGCCCUGAAGAGGUCGACCAAGUGUAUCGAAACCCCACAUACCAAAGGUCAUCCAGCUCCGCUUGAUCCAGACACUGCUGAAAUUCAUCAAAGCACGGUAACCAAAGGUCCGAGCCACCCAAUCUGUUCGAGGGAUCCUUUAUAGCAUUAAAGUCUCCCAAAACAAGCCAAGGCACGUCCUGUAGAGAAUAGCUUCUCGCCACCAAAUCCUCCCAAAGAGGUCAACGAGUAGAAAAAGAAUGCUCAACAUAAAUAAUAGAGAUAUAGCAGGCCACUCCGGUCUCCAACCAGCAAAGCUUCCCAAGAAUCAUCUGAUCCGAGACCGAUAAAACUUCAAAGGAAACCACAGUAGGAUCCCAACCAACCCAAAUCCUACCCCGAUUAAAGUACUCAGAAUUAGCCUGCCAGCACCAAUUCGAAAUUAAGUUCCCGGAAAUGGCAUUGAAGAGGUUAUGAGGAAUUUUAGUCCCAACUACCCCGAUCAAAGCCAACCGGUUCGUCAAGGCAAAGUUCCUCACUUCCGCUUGCUUGAGAGGGGCACCAAGCCCCCUAAUAUUCCAGCAACCUAUAUACAUAUAUAUACAAAAGAAGAGGGCAAAAGCAUUACCUCCUUUUAGAGGAACUACGCCUAGUAGUAGGCGGAGCUGUCCGGAUCGUCGAAGGAGGAGGAUCCGGGGCAAGAGCAAGUAGGUUGUCCUGUAUAGUCGAAGGAGGAUGCUCCGGCGUCUCAGUAGGCCUCUCCUCCUCUACAGAUGCCUUUGGUGAAGUGUAAAGGGAGAGGAGGUCAUCCUCCGACAAAGAGAUGUCUAUGCCCCCCUACAACCUCCAGGUGGGGCACCGCAGUGUCUACCGGCACUGAAGUGGUGAUAGCUUUAGCCAAAGUAGUUGGAACAGCAUCACCCUGCUCCGAGAUAAUCAAAGGCCCCCUAGGGGGCCUACGUAAAUAAGUACCAGGCAGCCUCUUCUCCACAGCCACAGUCUUGAGAUUUAAAGACCUCUCUCCUUCGCUCAGACUGCCCGGAUUGGGUGAAAUCCGCUCCAAAGGUUGAGCCUUGUUCUUCUUGCUCUUCACUUGCUUCCAGCCUUGCUCUGGGUCUUCAGGAAUCUCAGAGGGUUGGUCAAGGGGGCGAGCAGUGUCCAAAGGAGCAGGAAGAGGCCGAAGAGGGGGAGGGGCAACAUCACAUUUAUGUCCAAGACCCCACACUUAGAGCAUUCAAGGGGCCUCCAUUCAUAGUCCACAAUAAUGAACCUAGUGACCCCAUCAACAUUCGCUUCAACCGUUGAAACUCUCGGCUGAUUAGCUUGGAUCUCCACGUAUACUCUGGCAAAGGAAAUCAUCAUCAUGCCCUCGGUUCAUUGAUCCACGUGAAGGGGUUUGCCAACGGAGCUGGCUAUAACACUAAUUGUCGGUGCGGACCACAAGUCGAGGGGAAGGUUCUUGAGUCUUAUCCACACCAGAACAGAGGUUUGCUUAGCCUUCUUCAACUCCAUAAGGGGUUUCCAUUGUUGUAAAAUAAGGGAAAUCCGAGUAACAGUGAUCGGUCCCUCCUCUAGGAUCUUCCUCUUGAACUCCGGAUCUGGGAUAUGAAAAUAGUAGAACCCAUGGUCAUCCGCCAGCAUAUCAACUAGCUUUGUCCCUCAAGUAUUCUUCAAAGUCUGUUCUAUCAUCUGAAAAAGGGAGCUUUCUCCCAACAAAAUAUCCUACCAAGAACUCCUUCCAUUUGGGAUCUGCAGCCUGCAACGCUUCUCCCGACAGAUUUACAACUGCUUUAUCCCCCACAACAGCAGCAGGAGGAAUAUAGGAAAGCUCGUAGCCCUUUGUGGCCAACCGUGCCACAUUGGCCCACAAACCGGCUUGGAGGGGCCUUGAUGAGCUUGCUAGCUUGCUCGGGGCCCUCUUAGUAGGAGCCUGAACUUGACUUCAACCCCGAGAACUGCCUUCCCGAAGAGGCCGAGAGAUCGGCCCACGUCUCGAGCCAUCCCUGCCACAGAAGACCCUCCUACGGGUUGGGAUUGCUGGCACGACUUGCUAGCUUGCCGGUCCACAAACUUGUGAGAAGGGGAGCUCGGCCCCUUACCCCCACUACCACCUAGCCGAGGUUCUGCUGAAGUAGAGGCCAUCGAGCCACUAAGAAAUCAACAAAACUCAACAGCCAAAAAGGAGCUCCAUACUAGGCCAAGCUUCAAAGAGGAGGGAUACUCUGGACCACCCCCGCCGCCUCAAACCAAAGUCAAGCAAGCCACAAUCCCAAGCAACUCCCGCAAGUCUCGAACCAGGGCCGAGUAGGACUCCAGCAAGCGACAACCGACCAAAGCUUAGACGAGUCCGAGCGUGAGCAGCUCCCACAAAGACUACGAACUAGAGCCGUUCCAAUCCAGAGCCGAGACGGGUCCGAGCAUGAGCCGAGAGGGACCCCCCAGUCGUCCCGAGCCAGAGCUGAGACGGGUCCGAGCGUGAGCAGCUCCAGCAAAGACUGUCGAACCAGAGCCGAGGAGGAGCUCCAGCUCGUGACAGUCAAAACAGAGUCGAGGAGGGUAGCAGGAAACUCAUCUCGAGGGAGAAAAUGAGCUGAUCCACUCACCGGGAAGAUGGAGGAAGGAGAGGGGAAGAAAACCCCCAAAAAUCGGAGCAAGAGGGAGGCCGAAUCGUCCAGGCCGAGCAGGGAACCAGUCGGCGUGAACAGUGCACGAUCGCCUGCCUUGAGAAAGGAGAUGAACAGUAACGCGAGAAACAGAUAACCCCCCACUAAGUCUACACUUUGUAAAGUUUUGCAACCUAUUUGUUAGUAAUUUUCUUUAUUUUCUCAUAAUGUUUCUCAUGUAGAUAUAUUUGAUCACAUUUGCAUCCAUAACUUUUCUUUAAUGUCUGAAAGUUACAAUAGAAAAUUGAAUUUGCAAAACAGGUUUGACGGAUUGCGUUUUUACGCCCUUUAUCCAACUAUCCACAUUAAAUGUAGGAUUGAUCCCAUAAAAGAGAGUUUUAAAUUAUGAAAUGUCCAUUACAAUCAUGAUGUUUUGAGCACGAUAGAGUAGUUUUGUUUUUUUUUUUGCCAAACAAUAAAGUAUUGUUGGAAACUCUAUUUUUCCAAAAUUUUUAAAAUCAUCCUAUUGAAAUAUGUAUAUUAAUAUAUAUAAAGGUAAAAAUGUAAAUUAAAGAAAAAAGCUAUUACUUUGCUGAUUGUUUGUUUAGUAGAUAAAUAGAAUCAGAAAAGAAAUUUGAGAUCCGUCUUGGAAAUUUGAAACUUCUAAUACCACAUGCAAGUGUCACGGGCCUAAAGAGAGUCGACCCGAGAAGUUCCCCAGAGUCGACCCCGACUCGCCCAUGGACCUCCUGCUUUCACUCGGAUUCCCACCAAGGCUUCUCUCCGAAGUUUCCAUGGGCGGGCGACACCGUCAUUUUGCCUGAUUCCAGAAGUUUCCUUUCAUUGAUGUCGGUAGACGGUAGUUAAGUAUUUAUGGCGGUUGUUGAGGUGGUGCGAUCUGGCCCGUCGAAUGAAAAGUAGAUCAAUGGAUGUAAUCUGAGGCCCUCAACUAUAAAAGGGGUGUCCUCCUUCAGUUGUAAUCAAUCCAUUCCAUUUCAGAAAUAUCAAAGCUUUCCUUUCCUUUCAGAGCUCCUCUUUCUAACUUUCUCUCUCAACGAUCUGAGUAAGCGAGCGGGUAAGCAUUCGAUCGAGCAAGGCUUGGCUUGGGUAAUCCAGAGUUGCCCGAGUCACCACACGGUCACGAUCCCAAUCGAUCGGCCCGUGACACAAGUCUCAUGUCUGCAUAGGGAGCCUUCACACCAAAUGAACCCAAGGGGGUUGAAUGAAACCAAAAAAACGUAGAAGAGGUGGAGAAAAAUAGAACUUAAACAAACUUCAGGGGAGGAAACAGAAUUGUCAAAAAAAAAAAAAGAACUGAAAGAUAUGGCUCCGAUCUUCCCUGUUCUCCGGUGUAUAAAAAUGGAAAAUGAAAAACAUCAAUCCCGCCAUCGCUGGGAAGGUUCUCGAACAAGAGCACUUCGAGCUCGCUCGAAUUCGAUUCAAGACUACGGAUCGAUUCGAUUCGAUUCCAACUCAGCCACCGUCAAUCGAUCGAAUCGCUCGAACAGGUUGAACAUUCCUUGGAGGGAGCAGGGCUUAGAGGUAGAGAAAGCUCCGCUGCUGAGCUCAGCUCUCGAGUUCGGCUUCGACGAGCAGUCCACCAGCAAGUGCUCGGACCAUCUCGUUUCGCUCCACGGCAACUCGAAUCGUUAUUGCGUCUCGCGUUUUUUGUUGCUAAUGAGCGUUUUCGGAGAUUGCGUAGGUAGCUCUCAUCCCCACGAUGAUGAUGAUGAUGAUGAUGGCUGUGGAAUCGUCUUGCUUUAGGUUUGAAUGCAUCGGAGCGGGUUUAGCGAAGUAGCAGUCCUACUGACGAGCGAAAUGUCCGGCACUGGUCCAGCUUGAUGUGCUUAGGUUACUUCAGAUGGACGGCGGUUUUUUCUUGACUAUCGGCCCAAAUUGCGUGAUAUCUAGUCAUCAAGGAAUGACUUUGAUUGCUUGUGUUGCGCGGAUAAUUUGUGCAUUUGAUUGAAUGUGCAUUUUCUUAAUUAAGGAGAUUCAUUGCGUUUAGUCAUUCUGACGAUGGCUAUGGAAUAAUAGUCUACUUUGGAUUUGAAUGGACUGGAGUUUGCUUUGUUGAGCGUUAAUCUCAUCCCCUGUUUCUUUGUGGGUUUGGCGGAGUAGUCCUAUUGACAAGCGAACCAUCUGGCUUUUUUCUAAAUUCACUGCAAAUUGCUUAUGGGUGUCUUGCCAUAAUACCAAUAUUGUGUCGCACUGAACUAAGUGUAGAAUACUUAUUGUAGAUAGUAUUUAUUUGAUCUCUUGUUCGCCAUGGCUCUUGCAAAAUCAUCUCUUUUCUUCUUUUGGUUCUGUUAAGGUGACGAAGGUCAAGAGUUUAUCACUGUGGCAAUAUCUUCCUAGCAAAACUUGUCGAAACCAUGCAAGACUCUGAGGAUUGGGAUGAUUUGCAAGCUGCGGAAUCAGAAGCUUGUGGAGUUUUGACUGAUAUGUUUGGCUAAGAUAUCUGUAAUGACGGUGACUGCAAUGUUAUACAAGACGUCAAUAUUAUAGAAGAUUCUCCACAACCUGUGAAAAAUCAAACUUUCCUUGAGGUGGAUUCCUCUACUAACAGUGAAUACGAAGAUGAUGUUUUGGGUAGUAAAGUUGGUAGGAAAUCCACGUGCUAUGUUCCUAACCAGAGCAAAACUCUCAAAUUGUGGCCAGAUGAUCUUUAGAAUCCAUGGUAUGCUUCUUCCAUGGACAUAGACAAUGCUGCCAAACCACUUAAAUCAGUGUUUCACUGUUCUUUUCUCUUAUAAUUUUUUCUCUGCUUGAUCGUUUCCAAUUUGCUUGUGAUUCUGGACGCAGCACAGGACCUACGCAAUGUACAUGUCCGAAAGCAUUUAGUAAAUUGCUUAUGGGGCCUUUCAUCCAAUCAAAUGUCCAAUAGACAGUCAUAACUUUUGCCAAUUACUUCCACACUCUUCAAGAUCCAAAAUGACAUAUUAGAACACUUUGGUGAAUAAAGAAGUUGAUUUCAGUUUGGAUGAUUUACAAAUUCCUAUAUUUCUCAAAUACUUUUGAGUGUAUAGCAGAUCAUCAACGUGUGGAUUAGCAAUCCAGCAUCAUUAAAAGUAAUGUUUUGCAUAAACGAAAGCUUGUGAUUUAUCCUAAGCAUUGUGACUGUCAAAUUAAUGAUCUCCGCUUCUGCUUUGCCUGCCUUUUCAAAAAAGAUAGACCAUUGUGCAAGCUGUUGUAUGUAACUCCUGAAAGUAUUGUGGGAAACCCAUCAUUUCUUGAGAUAUUGACAUAGAAAGGCAUUGUUUCUGAUGCAUCAUAACUUUUUCUAAAAGGUUCUUUGCGAAUAUUUUAUAUUUGACCAUCAUGCAUUGCAGGCACUACUAGCUGGUUUUGUUACUAAUGAGGCACAUUGCGUGAGGUAUGUGUAAUCUUUGGCAUGCCUUGUACAUGAAGAAAGAUCAUGCUAGAAUUACUUCAAAAGGAAUAAUUAUUUGUGAUGUCAUUGUAAAACUGUUGUCCUUGUUCCAGAUAAAUAUAAGCAAGUUAACUUUUAUGUAUGCUAACCUAAACUCUUUUUCCAAACUUUUUUGCAUUUUUCUAUGUUACUAGCCUAAUUGAAUUAUCAAUGUUACACUAGACCUACUAAAGCCCAGAACCCUGUGAAAUUCUAAUAUAACAGAAUUCAGUGUUCCAUGUUUGAUGAAAAGAUUUAGGUUCCAUUGUUUGAGUACACUUAGCAGCACAUUGUUCAUUAUAUUGAGUAAAGAGCACACAACUUAAAUAAGCUCCAAUGGAAAUUACUUCCUAGACUAAUUGGAAUCGGCAUAAGCUUGGAUAAGGAUCCAUUAUCCUCUCUAUAUUUGGCACGAUACUUAGUCUCUUAAGCUGGUUCUUGUGUCCCUGUUUAUUCUAUUAACGCUUAUACUUAACGUUAACAACUUGAGAAAGGCAAAGGUUCAACCAUGUGAUCAUUGAUUGUGUUUCUUACAAGGUUUUAAAUGGAUUUGCUCUGCCAGUUUGAUCUCAUGAAAGGAACGUACUGUUGGUUUGAGCUUUUCUUGUACAUUUGACUGAUUAACGUUGAAAGCUCAUUGGUUGUCACUUUUGUGGUUGUCAUUAUUGUAGUCUAUGGGGACAGUUAGUCCAGAUUACAGGUGUCACGCCCCGAUCCUCGGGCACGCACACAUCCUUCUCACUUGGUCGAUUUUAUACUGCGAUAUCCCAAGACAAUGUAUCGCCGACCCUUUCAUAUUUAAGCACAUGCGGAAGCAAUUACAAAUCCCCAGACAAUAAAACAAUGGGAUAGAAAAGCAGGCUAUAUUUUUCAUAUUGAAAUUUAUAACCAAACCUUUAUACAUAGCAUUAGACAGAGCACUUCACAAACUAUUCGCAACUUUAGUCUCACUCUAUCUACACAUAUACAAAAGGGUUCACAAAGAGAUGAGAUUUCAAUCCUUGUCUAAGUCAUACUCGAGAUCAUCCUGAUCCUCCUCUGAUUCCUCUUCACUCAGAUCAUUCUCUUCCUCAAUUUCACCUGCGAGUUCUCCUUCACAAAUUCCUCCUCCUCAGCUCCUCGUCGGGAUCCUGAAAUGUUUUCCCCAAACUGGGAUGAGACUACGUCUCAGCGAGUUCUACCCCACUAAGCCCGAUUAGUAAACUAUUAUACUAAAGGCUGCCUAAACACGCAUAGCUCAGAAGACGUACCUUAGCAUCAGAUCCCACCUGCAAGUCAGUACAAUUUACAAUAGACACUCAAGCAAUCAUAUCACCGAUCGAAGCAUCGAUCAAAUCGACCUAGUCGAUUACAAGCCAACAAGACCACUCACGGUCAUUUCCAUUCAGUCAAUCAAUUCACAACAUCAAAUCAAAACAAUUAUCAAUCGACCUCGUCGAUUACAUGUUAGAACACAGACAUUCUGGGUCAAUUCGAUUAUUCCAUCUCAAUCAUUAAUUACGAACUACGAUCCUCAUAUCACAUCUUAAGCAAAGGUGGAAGACACAGUCCCACUCGACAACAUUCAAUAUUUAUUGGCUUUACGGUCCCACUCGACCACUUUCGAUAAUCGAUACACAGAGAUACGGCCACGUAGGCACAAUCUACGCCACACAGGCAUGAUCAACUAUCGCCACACAGGCAUGAUCACUUAUUGCCACACAGGCAUGAUCAACUAUCGCCACACACAGGCAUGAUCACUUAUUGCCACACAGGCAUGAUCAACUAUCGCCACACACAGGCAUGAUCACUUAUCGCCACACAGGCAUGAUCAACUAUCGCCACACAGGCAUGAUCACUUAUUGCCACACAGGCAUGAUCAACUAUCAACAAUUUACGAGCAUUCUCUAAGGCAACUUCUUCGCCAAGAUGACAUAAUCAACCACUGAAUACACGUGCAUUCUCCAGGUGAUAUUCCGAUUCACCGAGCCCACGAAUUUCCUUUCAGGUGAUAACCAAUACCCAACGAUUUCUCAAUCAAAUAAUUAAAUCAACUCAACAAGCAUUAUAACCGCUGAAUAACAUACUUGGCCAUUUACCAAUCAACAAUUCAAUCUCAAUCAAUUUCAAUCAAUUUAGGGUAAAUCCCUAAAAUAUCACAAUUUAUUCAAUUCCAUACAACGUGGAGCUCAAAUGAAUAAACGGACUGCGCCACGACGAUCAGCACGAGAUUUCGGUCGUCGGCCAUCAAAAUCUUAAUUUCCGAAAAAUAAAUAAAUAAUUUAUUAAUUUCGAAAAUUACAUAAUUAAUAUUAAAAAUUCAAUUUAGCUCAAAAUCAAGCCCGAUUAAAUAAACGGACUUCACCACGGUCAUCAGCACAAUAUUCCGGUUCCAGGCCAUCUCAGUUGAAUUUUCGGAAAAUAAAUAAUUAUUUAAUUUAAUUCCGAAAAUUAAUAUUUAAAUACUAAAAAAAUCCACUUAGGCCCGAAAAAGCCUAAUUGGAGCCCACUAAGGGUCGGGAAAAAUCCCGAGACACUUCCAAUAAUUAGUAGACCACGUCUACUUGCUAAUUGCACGAUCAAUUUAUCUAAAUCGCAUCACAAUUGACUAAUAAUUGCUAAUUUAUUCUAAUCUAACAACCUAAACAUAAUUAAUUAAAACUUAACCAACCUUAAGCAUAAUUAGCCAACUAAUCCUGGAUUAGUGAGAUUACUCACCAAAUCGCGCACAAAUCGGAUCAAUCCGACGGCGGCGACGCGAGGAACGAAACUUCCCAAAGCACGGCUCGGGUUCGGGGCCCGGAAACGGCCCAAAAGCGGGCCCGAAGUCGCUGAAACCCACUCCGCAACUUGCUGGGUUGCUGCAAAACAGAGGGGAAAAAGAGAGGGUUGGGGGCGGUAAGAGGUCGGGAGAGCGGGCGGUGCUCCGGGGAGGGCCGGUGGAGGUCCGGCGGCUUCAAUCGGCAGCCGGAGGUGGCCGGACGGGGUGGAACGAAGGUUGAGCAGAGGCUGAACCGUGCGGGGGAGCACGCCUGGGCGCGAAGGACGGCCGGCGGAACACGCGGUGUCGCGCGGGUGGUGCGGACGGCGGCCCGGCGGCGAGCGACGGCUUCAGCAAGCGGCUGCUCCUGCUCUUCUUCGGCUUCUGGUUCGCUCGCACGAAGAAGAAAGAAGAAGAGAGAGUGACGAGAGAGAGAGAGAGAGCGAGAGAGGAUGAGGAUUGACCGGUCAAAAUGAAAAGAGAGAGAGAAGUCGGUGGGGGAAAGCUGUCCGCACGAAGGGGGAGGGGAGAGGAGAGAGAAGAGAGAGAAAAGAAAGAGAGAAAAGGGAGAGAGAGAAAAAGAAAAAGAAUAAUACUAUUCUAAAUUUUCUUUUCUCUUUCCAUUUCCUUUUCUAAUUUCUUCCGGUCUUCGAUUUUUCCUUCGAUAAUUUCUUUCUUGAAAUUUCGGACUCGUCAAUAAAUUGAUAGACGAUGAGACGGUCCUAAAAAUGAAUUGUGACACGCUCGAAUAUUCAAUUCCCGAAACCAAUUUAAAUUCCAUGGUUAAAAUCGACCGGACGUGAUUUUAGUCCAAUCCAACCAAUUAGGUAGCUUUUAGGGAUUUUACCAUGGAUAUAUCCCUUAACAACUUCACCCAAUAGGUUAGUUAACUCGUGAGUGAUCAGCUCAGAGAAAAAGAACCAUAGGCACGUCGACGAAAUGCACAUUUCAUUUUAUCGAAACGAGGUCGAAUUUCAGGAUGUCACAACUCUUCCCCUCUUAUAAAAAUUUCGUCCUCGAAAUUUAAACCAUUAUACACUUUGCUCAAAAAGGCGGGGGUACAAUUGUCUCAUCGACUCUUCAGUCUCCCAAGUCGCUCCUUUAGUACUGUGGUGUUGUCAGACCACUUUGACCAACGGAAUGGUCUUUGUACGCAGAACUUGCUCUUUGCGAUCGACAAUCUGAACUGGGCUUUGCACGUAUGACACACGGUCAUCCACGUCCAAUUCAUAGCUAAGACCAAGNNNNNNNNNNNNNNNNNNNNNNNNNNNNNNNNNNNNNNNNNNNNNNNNNNNNNNNNNNNNNNNNNNNNNNNNNNNNNNNNNNNNNNNNNNNNNNNNNNNNNNNNNNNNNNNNNNNNNNNNNNNNNNNNNUCAUGCUGGAUUAGUAGCCCGUCAAAGAGUAGCUGUUCAAAAGAAAUGGCAUACUAGAGAAGUCCAGAUUGUAUGUGCUACCAUUGUCUUUGGGAUGGAAAUAGACAAACCUGAUUUCGGAAGUCAAAAUGGACUUUGGCUUUGUCUAUUUCUUACAUUUUAGAAGUCGAUAAAGGUGUCGCGGUGGAAUGACCCCGAGACGCAGAGGAAGAGGAGGCUGGCCAGAUCCAAGCUUUAUUCGGUCCAGGGCAAGUUCAAGGCUUGUAUCAAACGAGGGUUCUGAUAGUUGAAGCACAAAUGCUCGAACAUCGUGCGUCAAUUUUAAUAUGUAGAAAUUACGGAAUCUCAUGCUCAUCGUAAUCAAGGGAGAAAAGGGUGGGAUCAGUUGAGAGGAAACAGAGAGGUUUCGUUUGUUUAUCGGGUUUUCAUCUUGAUAUGCAUCUAAUGGUAAUUAAGUAUUCAGAAGAGUGCCACAAUGUUUGAUCUUUCCUAUAUUAUGUUUGUUUAAAUCGUUCAUCGAUCUCCAGCAUUCCAAAAAUAGGAAAAUGAGACAACUCAUAUUUGAUAUUCAUAAAUAUGUAUAUUUGCUGAAAGUUUUCUAUUUUCUCCAAAUUUCCUUACCUUUUAAUUUAUCUGCAACAUGAUUCUGCAUACAUUGCAUUCCCAUGCAAAGUGAAAAUUGUCUGACCUACUAAUUUCUUCUCUUUUCCAUAAGCUGUUUGCUCAACAACAAGAUGCUGAUUGCAAAAUAAGAAGACUGCUUUCAUUGGUAGGAUUUGACGUUUAGCUCUACUUCGUGGUCGAUUUCUUUGUUUAAAACUUCUCUUUUUUUUUGGCUAAAUGUUGCUUAAGCCUCCGUUUUUGGGUUCUUUAACUCCCUAAUUUCCUCAAUUUGUCUAUUUCAAUUCCUCUACGUUAUAUGAUUCAUCAUAUGACAAACUCCCGAAGCUAUAUAUCCAAACAUGCAGUUCGCAGGUGUUCAAUAAAUUGAAAGGCCUUUAACAUUUCCGUUCUGAUUUGAGUCACAACUUUCAUAAUUCUCGAGCUAUUCCAUCAAGCCUGGAGUGUAAAAAAAUUCAGGAGAGCCAAAGAACCUUCUCUUGUCCUUUCGAAACUUUUGUUGUUAUUGUUUUUUAAUAAGACCUCAAUGUAAUAUGGGAUGGAGCUAUCGUAAACAAGCUUAAACCAAAUCAUUAGCAUGUAACCAAAAUAAAAGAGGAAAAUGGGAGAAACCCAUGAUCAGCACCAAAUGGUUCGAUCGGUUUAAUACAUUCAUCUAAUCAUUUGAUUGACUCACGUUCCAACUUCAAAUCACUUCGAUCGAUAAGGUCAUGACUAAUGUUGUAUAAGUAGUCAAACACAAGGCCAUUGCCCUUUGAAUUAAAUGCCUAGGCACUGGUUGAGCAAUUAAAUAGUAAAUUAUACAGUCAAUCGUUGACUUUAUUUGCGACUCUUCUGGUGUUAUAUUUAAUUAAUAUUUUGCAAAUUAGAUUAUUUCAUGUCCGGUAUGUUUAACUAGUGUUUUGACUCUUUAACGUGGCCUGCAUUUUAUGUGAGUUAGUACUUAAAGAUUCAAACUUAGCUUAACAAGUUACUCGGCCUUGUCUUCAGGUCCGUAAAGUAUUGACUUAAAUUUCAGCUAAACAACGAGCGAAUCAGACACUAUGAUGCGAGUAGCUUUAACUACUAAAGUUCCACUAUUGUAAUAUAGUACGAUAAAGAGGAACAUCUGAGAGUGGCUCCAAAUAAAUUGCUUCGAUUGAAACUCGAAUGCAUGACCAAUGACCACAAUUUGGUGUAGUAUAGUUCAAGUACUAACCAAUUAGAUGACCCCUUACAGUGUUUUUGUCCAAAGCAAAUCAGUAUAAAUAUUGGGAGGGACUACUUUCACCAUUCCAAAGAUUAUUCUUGACAUUUUUAUCUAUCUUCAACUGUGGCCAACGCCAAAGAAAAUUUGGUUCCAGGUGUGGAAAAUGUAUGGCCAUGUCUACUCUGCUUUAUGGAUUCAUGCUUAAAGGAAUCAAGUUUGAGAUUAUACACUUAAAAGUGAUUGCAAAAUGCCAAUACAUGAACUUCCCGAGUCCGAGAAAUGAUCGUACACUGACGAACACUUUUAUUUCAUGCUCAAAAUUCUUCCAAAUGAGAAACUACUGUCUUUUGGGAAUCUUUUCGCUGAAAAUCUGGCCUGCAAUUGAUAGAUUAUUUGCUGAUUCCAUGACAUUCGCUUUUUCCAUGAAGAAGUAUCUCACAUUGACAAAUUCGUAGCUUGAAGUGGACAUCUAAAUGGUAAUCUUUCUGAUAAACCUCACUUUAUGCUAAAUUUACAUACAGAACCACCUGUGCAUAUGCGGUCUUCUUGCAAGCAUUUUGAAAUUUGGCGUUUGCUAAAAAAUAGCACAAUUUCAAAGCUUGCAAAGAACUACUACACGUUAUAAGAGAUCCCUUUAUAUCAUGAAUCCUAUGAAGAAUAUCAACAACAUGGAGUACAUUAUAAGCACCAAUAGCGAAGAACUUUUGAACGCCUUUCCAUAACGUCUCAUGACAUAUCUCAUUCCUGCCCACAUCUCCUUCCUGUGAUGUUUCGGGAUGCUAUCUGAAUUUUAUGAAACGCAAGUUGAAUCUACACAAGAAGGCUAUGAUUUACUAAUUAUCAAUGAAUGAAGAUAACCAAGAUCAGACCCACCCUGCGGUGGAAGCGUUGGUUUGCGCCCUGCCCCCUCAUUCGGGUGGGAAGGGGUUUGAAACUUCGUGCCCCCAUUGCGCGACUAAAGUGGAGUGCUGUGGGAGGUGGGUCCCUGCGCUAGUGCUCCCCCUGGUUUAUGCUGCCGGCUGCCGGUUGUACGGUGAUUCUAGGGUCAUCAAAAAAAGAAAAAAAGAAAAGAAAAGAUAACCAAGAUCGGAGCAUCACAGUAUACACCAUGAAAGAUAAGGUACAAAUGCACAAAGCAUCAUUUGGCCCAAUAGCAGUUGGACAGCAAUGAACAGAAACCUCAUCAGCUGGCCAAUGAAAAAGAAAACAACAGGCUUAGGAGAUGAAAGCAAUUAGCAACACUUUCCUUGUUUGUGGUUAGGAACAUAAUUGGUGUUAAUAAAUUAUGCUGAAAAGAUGAAGUGCCUAAACUGCAGAACAGAAAGAUGAACUCAUUACUUGGUUAUUUCGCAAUAUCCCAUUAACAAAAUUAGCAGUACAAGAUAAUUUGCUAGGAGAUGAAUUUCAACUUUACAAAGUCGACGUGGUAUGAGAACUGAACUUAUCAAAUUGAAAAAAAAAUCAGAAUCCCAUCUGACAACCUUCAAAGGAUAAUAUCGCAUUGAUAAGAUGGAGGAGAUUGUCCUCAUGCAUACUUGCUUACUAAUUUUCAGGUGAAAUUCCACAGCUCAUAUAGUAUAAGCACAUAGGUUAUUUUUUCAUUGUUAUGGUACAACUAGUAGUGCAUACCUCCCUCUGCAGAGCCUCAUUGAGUUCAGGUGUGAUAACAUUAGAAUGCAAUGGCAUCAAACACCUUUGCAUUAGGGAGAUAUACAAAAGAAUCAGCAGCUACACAUUUGAUUGACAGAGAGGCUGAACCUCGUGAGCAUACAAAAAGCAGACUCAACUGAAAAUACAAAAUUUAAAUCAUUCAGGCAUGUGCUGUUGAGAUCAGAUAAAGUGUUUUGGAUCCUCACAAGCAUCAAAACUUCCUAAGCAUACUUCGGUUGCCCAUGAGCCUCUUCAAGGUUGGCAUGAAAGAUGGUCCUAAGCUGUUGCUGAUGCUUCCUUUGCAAAAUAUAUCUUCUUCAUUUUGAUCGGUCUCUGGCAUGGAAUUUGAAGUUCCUCAGCCAAGUUAGCUAGACUCAGAUUAAUCAUGUGAUAAAAUGAUUCCAUGACAACAAUAGGAUCAGAUGGGAUGCAGACUUAUUAGCAAGUUCUUGAGCUCCUCGCCCUGCUUGUUUCAAAGAAAGGGCAAAAAAUUUGUCCCAAUUAUGCAAAAGAUCAUCGAUACAGCUCAUCAAAUUGAGGUCCCAAAGUAAGCCUUGAUCAUCACAUAGACCAACCAAACCUAUCGUAGAAGCAGUGCCAAUUUACCUCGCUUGAUAAUCUUUCAAAACAAUAAUUUGACUGCAGGUUAAGAAUAGGCAGUCUAGAAUCAUAUAUGAGAGACUAGUUGCAAAUACUCCCCAUUUUUAUUUUUAUUUUUAUUUUUAUUUUUAUCACCGACUAGAAAUACUUGAACUUUGAUUUUUAUUUUAGCCCAAUUCCUUAUACUUACUGGAAUUGAUGCUUAUCUAGAAGGUUCAAGAGGAACAUAAAGGGAACAAUAAGAAACUUGAAAGGGUUCAUCAUGGAAAAUCAAAAUGUGUUCAUCCCCAACGGGGUUAUUUGCCAUUAUUCAAAUUUGACACAUAAAAGAGCUCACAAAGGAACUCAAAAAUGGCCAAGGAUUUUUCAAAGAAAAUAUGAAUUUUGGACAUAGGGAAAAUGGAUACUUGCCAUAGUUUACUAUAUUGAGUAGCAGAAGAUCAUCGGCCUCUAGAUGAAAAAUUCAAAUUCCAAGUUUAUAGAGAGGGGAACUGUUAAUCACUAGGUGAUUCUAGUUUACCUAUGUUGACAUUUUCAUUCUUGCCUCAAAAGUUGCCAAUCUGUUUGCAGUCUACAAAAGCUGCCAAUGGAAGGAUAAAUGAAAAGCAUUGCUAUAACGUAAUCAACAUCAAGUAUAUGUUGGAAAAUCCAGAGUCUCCAAAAUCAAUCAAAUAGAUACCCGGUGUGGAGAAAAUCACUAUUAAAAAAUACAGCUUCAAGAAAAGUGUUACUCCAUUCGCUCACGUUGGCCAUUCAAGGAUGGAGAAUCUUACUAGAAACCAAUGCCUUCUAUUGACAUUAGGGUCUAUAUUUUGAUCUUGGCUGAAGCAUCAUGUCUGCUUCUAUGACCAACUACCCUUGCUCCUUCAAUUAUGUAAUACUAGCAAUUUAGGGAAGUGCAAAACCCUGUCAUGGAAAACCUUCUUGUCAGAAGAAGAUAGUGAUGAAAAAUAGGUCAUGAAUAUUAGAAGAAAAAUGAUAGUUUACUACUUAUUUACCUCUGUCAAGGAAACAUGUUCCGUCCCACUGUUGUAAUACAAGUAUAAGAUUCAUCACAUCAUUAUCACUGCAAUAAAAUAUUUCAACAGAGAGAACGAGAUAGAUCUCUUUUUUAAUUUCCAGUGACGUGUGUUCUAGAUAGUUUCAGCAGCGUUUCCAAUGAGUUGCAACCGUGAAUAUCCAAAAGAUCUAAAUCCAUCUUUUCAAGUCCCUGAAGCUGAGUAAGUUUCUUCCGGUCUUUAAUUACUAUAGAUUGUAACUUGUCACGUCUCGUCAAACUUGGCAAAGUCUUCAUUGUCAUGCAUUGUGUAAUAUCCAAUUUUUCUAAGAACUACACACCAUCAAGACCUCAAUUUUCGACUAGAUUGUCGCACUCGAUGGCCCAUAAUUCCUCCAAACACUGUGAUUUUGGACAGAGAAGCCUUUUAAUGGAAUUGCAGUCAUAUAUAAAUAUACCCUCCAAGAACUCCAAAUUAUCAUGGCCCUGAAUUUCAACUAGGUUAUUGCAAUGCUUGGUGCAUAAUCAUUUCAGAUGAAUUGAUUGUGAAAGGUCCAAUCUUUCAAUCGAAUUGCACUUUUUUUAUUGAAAACUCUUCCAAGUACUUGAAUCUAUUGAGCUUAAGCAAUAUCAGCUUAUCACACUCCUUAGUACAGAGUUUCAAGGGUCUUGAGGAAAUCUCAGGGAUGUCUUCAAGUAGAUGGCAUGCCUUAAAAUGGAGUUUUUCUAGGUGGAUUAGGCUAGAAAGCUGUGGCAACGUGGGACUCUGACAAGAGAUCAACAAAUAUGUCAAGCCUGAAGGAAGCUUUGGCAGCAACCAGAGCUUGUCAUAGCCUAAUAGGCUAAGGCAUUGGAGAGAAGAAACAUUUCGAAUGCUUUCUGGUAGGUUAGAUAUCGGCAUGCAAGUGAUAUAGAGAACCUUGAGCAAAGACAAGUCACCGAUUUCACUUAGAAUUGCUUUUUCAGACAAGGCAUGAUAGGAAACUUAUAGUGCGAAGAUUUUUCAACCUUCCAAUAGCACUAGGAAGCUUUUCAAUCCCAGAACCACUAAUAUCCAUGUGUUGCAAAUUCUGUAAAUCUCAAAUUGAGCUAGGGAUUUCUCUGAGUGACUCAUAACAGCCGACGCUCAGUUUCCCAGAUUCCUCAGAGAGCCGAUAGACAUAGGAAUCUCAGUAGUAUCAGCAAAAUCUAACGUAAGUUCUUUUAAUUUGACAGAUUGAGUCUAACUCACAUACCAAUCUGCUCUUGGUCCAGUCCGUUGCCACAUUCUUCACCCAAGAUCUCAAUUCUCUUGUGGAUCCUAAGAUUGCCACACUCUCCCCAAUUGCAACUUGGUGAACCAACCGAACACUAAGAUGCACGUUCUCCCGUCCCAGCUUUGACUUGAUCUUAUUCGCCUUCUCCUCCUCCUCUGCAAUAAACACACUAUGUUAUAGCUACUAACAAUAGCUUCCUUCCUUUCCAAACAACUCAAACAGCCAUUUUCAUGUGAACCACCGAUUCUUUCUUUGUCAUUUAACACCACAUUCAAAGAGUUCAAAGAGAACCUUAAAUCAAGACGGUGUCAGAUAAUCAAUGCUGCUAGCUUUUAUGCAAGAAGAACUUGAAAGAAGAACAUAAAAAACUCUUUUUUCUACACUGAUUCUCGUUCAAGAAAUAGAGCCCACAUAAACUCCAUCCACACUAGAGACUCAAACAAACCUUUGAUAGAGAAUUGCAUAAAACAACCCAAUACUUCACUCCAGAACCCAGUGCUUGAUCAGACUGACAUAAGUGUACUAGAACAAAUCCAGAGAGAGAGAGAGAGAGAGAGAGAGAGAGAGAGAGAGAGAGACCUGGUUUUAGUGGUGGAAACGCUACCAACAACUGUGGAGGUGCCACUCCGAGUGGCAUGAGCUCCAUGUGUCCACCUAAGAGAAUCUCGAAGGGGAAAAGUAAUGCUGCUCUUUAAGAAAGAACUGGUCUCUCUCCUUGGUUUUAGGUAUGAAAAUGCACAUGGCUAUGUCUCUUCUGCUUUUAGAUUCAUGCUUAAAUAAAUCAAGUUUGAGAUUAUACGGCCAAAGUGAUUGCAAAAUGCCUACAUAUGAAUAUUCCAACAUAACCACACCAGAGAGAUGAUUUUACACUAACAAAUGCCAUUCUUUUGUGUUCAAAAUUCUUCCAAAUGGGAAACUACCGUCUCCUUGGAAACUUGUUCAUUGAAACUCUUGGCUGCAAUUGACAGAUUAUUUGCUGAUUCCUCGGCAUUUGCUUUUUCCACAAAAAAUGUCUCUCCCAGUCACAAAAUUGUAGCUUAAAGUGGACUGGUAAUCUUGUUAACAAAUCUCAUCUUAAGCUUGAUUCCACAUAUAGAACCAUCUACACAUGCGGUCUCCCUCCAAGUGAUUUGUGAUGCAACCUUUGCUACCUCCUAGCAAUUUGUGAUGCAGCCUUCGCUAAAGAGUAGCACAAUUUCAAAGCUUGCAAAGGACUAAUACACCACAUGAGAAGAGGUCGUCUCAUAUCAAGAAUCCUUUGAAGAGUAAUAACAACACGGAGCCAAUGACAAACGCCAAUAGCAAAGAACUCCGGAAUGCCUUUCCAUACUAACAUAGCUCAUUCUUGCCCGUAUCUCCAACCCGUGGUGUUUGGGGACUUUCUCCAAGUUUCAUCAAAUGCAGCUUUAAUUUGCACAAGGAAGAUAGCACUAACUAAUUAUCAAUAAAUCCAAGAUCGUAGCAUCAGAAUUUACCCCAUGAGAGAUAAGGUACAAAUGUGUAAACAUCAAUACCAAUCAAAGUUGGACCACAAUGAACAGAGACUUUAUUAGAUGGCCAAUGAAAAAGAAACCAACAGGCAUAAAAGAAGUAAGCAAUUAGCAACACUUUCCCUAUUUGUGUUUAGGAACAUAAUUGAAAUUAAUAAAAUUAUGCUGAAAAGAUUAGUGCCUAAACUACAGAACAAGAAGAUUUAUUUGCUACUGGGUUAUAUUGCAAGAUCCAAUUAGCAAAAUCAGCAAUAUGGGAUUAGUUUGCGAGGAGGUUAAUUUCAACUUUACAAAUCCAAUGCUGCAUACAUGAGAACUGAUCUUAUCAAAUCAGAAACCUAUUUGAGAACAUUCAAAGGAUGUCAUCACACAAAUAAACUGAUAGAAAUGAAGGAGCCUAGUAGUGCAUACCUCCCUCUAUAGAGCCUCAUCAAUUCGGGAGUGAUACCAUUAGAAUGCAACCACAUCGGACAACUCUGCAUUAGGGUAAAAUAAAAAAUAAAAAAAAUCAGCAGCUUAGUAUUCGAUUAAAGGAGAGCUAGAACCUGAUGAGCAUACAAAAAGCAUAUUUAAUUGAAAAAAAAAUACAUUUACAAUCAUUCAGGGAUGUGAUGUCGAGAUCAGAUCAAGUGUUUGGCAUGCAAGAUGGUCCUCAGCUGUUGCGGUAGCUUCCUUUGCAAAAUGCCUUUUCUUUAUUUUGAUCAGUCUCAGGUAUGGAAUUUGAAGUUCCUCAGCCUAGUUAGCCACACCCAAAUUAGUCAUGUGAUAAAGCAAUUCCAUGGCAACAAUACGAUCAAACGGGAUGCAAAUUAAUUAGCAAAUUCUUGAGCUCCUCAUCCCAUCUUGUUUCACAGACGGGCAAAAAAUUGUCCAAUAAUGCAAAAGGUCAUUGAAACAAUUAAUUGAAUUGAAGUCCCAAAGUAAGCCUAAUCAUUACAUAGACCAACCAAACCUGUCAUAGAAAUAGCACCAGUUUACCUUGCUUGAUAAUCUUUCAAAAGAACAGUUUGACUAAUAAUAAUGUUAAGGUAGUCUACAUUCAUAUAUGAUAGACUAGCCAAAACUACUUUUUACCAUUUUUUUUGUCACCAAACAGAAACACUUGAACCUUGAAUUUUAUUUUAGCUCAGUUCAUCAAAUUCCGAGAAGUGAUGCUCCUCUUAGAAGGUUAAUGAGGGACAUCAAGGGAACAAUAAGAAACUUGACAGGGUUUCGUGCAUUAUGGAAAAUCAAAAGGCGUCAGUAUAUCUACCAUUAGUCAAAUUUGACAUACAAAAGAACUUACAAAGUAACUCAAAAUGGCCAGAGAUUUUUUCAAAGAAAAUAUUAACAUUGGAUGUUUGGAAAUUCUGGGCAUAGUAUACAUUAAUGAGUAGCAGAAGUUCAUCAGCCUCUAUGCCUACUGACAUUAGGGUUUGCAUUUUGAUCUUCGCUAAAGCAUCAUGUCAGCUUCUACGACCAACUGCCCCACUCCUUCAACUAUGUAAGACUAGCAAUUUAGGGAAGUACAGAAUCCUGUCAUGAAAAACCUUCUUGUCAAAAAAAAGGCAGUGACCAAAAGUAGGUCAUGAAUCUCAGAUGAAAAAUGAUUGUUCGCUGCUUAUUUACCUCUAUUCAAGAAACAUCACUCCACGAAUCAAAAGAUAGCUCUUGUUCAUAAUUUCUAAAGACGUUAGUCCCAGAUAAGUCCGGUAUCGCUUCCAAUGAGUCACAACCAGAAAUAUCCAAAUCAAUUAAAUCAACUUUUCAAGUCCCUGAAGCUGAGUAAGUUUCUUGCAGUCUCGAACUCGUAGAAAUCGUAACUUCUCACAUCCCGUCAAAUCUGGCAAAGUCUCCAUUGAUUUGCAUCCUAUAAAAUCCAACUCUUCUAAAAACGGUGCACCGUCAAGACCUUGAAUUUUGAUUAGAUUGUUGCACCCAACAACCAUUAAUUUCUUCAAACGCCGUGAUCUUGGAUAGAGAAGACUUUCAAUGGAAUUGCAGUCAUAUAAAAAUAUGACCUCGCAGGGCUGUUGAAAGCCCUGAUCAAUCACCGGGAAAAUGAGAUCCCCAGGAAGCUGGAUUUCCACUAGGCUAUCGCAAUGCUCAGCACGUAAUCAUUUAAGAUGACACAAUCCUGAAAGGUCCAAUUUUCUAAGGGAACUGCACUUUUUUAUCAAAACCUCUUCCAAGUGCGUGGAUUCACUAAGCGAAAGUGAUGUUAGCUUAUCCCACUCCUCAAAACAGAGUUUUGAGGUUGUUGAGGAAAGCUUACGGAUGUCUCUAAACCGGAGAUGGAAUUCUUUUAGGUGGAUAAGGCUAGAAAGCUGUCGUAGUCUGAGACUCUCACGAGUGACUGAUAGAUAUGUUAAGCCCGAAGGAAGCUCUAGUAGUGACCCGAGCUUGUAACAAGCCUCUAGGGCAAGGUGCUGGAGAGAAGUAGGAAGCUCUGGCAACGAUUGGAGAUCGUUACAGCGACUGAGGUCAAGUUGCUGGAGAGAAGAAGGAAGCUUUGGCAGCGACCGGAGCUUGUAGCAGCUCAUUAGGUCAAGGGAUUGGAGAGAAGAAGGAAGCUCUGGCAAUGACUGGAGCUUGCGACAGUCGCUUAGGUUAAGGUGCUUGAGAAAAUAAGGAAGCUCUGGCAGGUCAAGGUGCUGGAGAGAAGAAGGAAGCUCUGGCAGCAACCGGAGCUCUCUGCAACUCAUUAAUUGAAGGGACUGGAGAGAAGAAGGAAGCUCCGGUAGCGAUUGGAGUGUGUAACAACUGUUUAGGUGAAGGUGCUGGAGAGAAUAAGGAAGCUCCGGCAGCGACUGGAGUUGGCCACAGUACCCUAGAUAAAGGUGCUGCAUAGAAGAAGGAAGCUCUAGCAGCGACCGGAGGUUAGUGCAACCGUAUAGGUCAAGGCAUCAGAGAGAAGAAAGAUUACGGACGCUUGGCAGGUCAGAUAUCGGUGUGUCAUCAAGAUUGAGAACCUCGAGGGAAGGUAAGUUAUCGAUUUCACUUGGAAUCGCCCCUUUCAAACUUUUGCACGAUGAGAGAUCUAGCGUCCGCAGAUUUUUCAACCUUCCAAUAUCAUUGGGAAGCUUUUUGAUCCCACAACCAGCCAAUUGCAGAAGUUGCAAAUUCUGUAAAUCCCCAACUGAGCUAGGGAUUUCUCUCAGUGAAUCACAACCCUUGACAUUCAAUUUCUCCAUCUUCCUCAGAGAACCAAUAGACAUAGGAAUCUCCAUAAUACCAGAAUAUUCUAAUAGAAGUUCUUCUAAAUCUUUUAAUUCACCCACCUCCUCCGGUAGCUCCUUGAGACAUGUACAGAAACUCAAAUUCAAGGAAAUGAGGCUCGUGAGUUUGCCAAUAGAAGGGUGGAGAUCCUUUAGCCCGUCACAUUCAGACAAGAUAAGAACCUUCAACUGUGUGAAAGCUGAGAGAUCAGGAGUACAUCUUAAAUUAUCGCAUCCCCGAAGGACGAGAACUUUAAGCUGCUUUGACGCCUAAUACAAAAAGAGAAUAAGCCGUCAAAGAAGUAGUUAAUCGGCUAAACAAAAACAAAAUCCUAAAAUCGUAGAGAAAUGUCUUCUUGUUCCAAUCUUACUAUGAAUGAACUCCAUCCUUCCCAAUCCUCUGUGAUCUCACUCCAUGAUAACUUCAAUACUGAUAAUUUCGGUAGAUGCAAAUUGGUUGUCCAAAGAGACAAAUCAGCACGCCACUUAAGCCAUCUCACUUCAGAAAUGAGUUGCAUGGAGUGUCCGCUUGAAGCUACCCCAAAAAAGUCGUGGAACCAGCAGCGUUGCUGCAAGUUUUUUAACUUUUUAGUUUUUGCUUUUUUUAAAUCUUGGAUUGGCACGAUCUGAUACCCUUUUAUCCUUACUCCAUAUAGAACACAUGAACUCACAUUUAAUUCUUUUUUCUGACGACCUUUCGAAUGUUAAACAAAUGAUGCGAGGAUAAAGAAAAAAAUUGUUAUUGCUCUUAAACAACUAAGGCAAAUGCAACUCAAUGUUUUAUCUUGUCCUUUUUCCUUUCAAAUUUUGUAGCGAGUGCACUUUGACUUUUAUUUAAUACGAAAUGCAUGAAACCAUUUUACAACGUACAAAUGUUUACUUGUAAAUUUUCAUGACAUUUGUAUAAUUUUUCAAAAGAAUUUGUUAAGGAGUGCCGGUGGGCCACCUGUAAGUAGCUAUGGAAACACCCAGUUUUCAUUUUAUUAGUUAAAUGUAAUAAUGCCAAAAAGAAAAAAAUAGGGGCAAUUUCAAUAUAUUUCGAUAUAUAGAAAAUAUUACAUGGAGAGCCUAUUUAUAAACUUUAUUAUAGGACUAUCUGCGGAAAUCAAAGAAAAUCAAACAAGAUAUGCAAAAUCAAAAUAGUUAUAGAAAAUCAGAGAAAAUAUUCUAAAUAUUUCUAGAAGAUAUCUACAUAUCUUUAACAUCAUUAACUAUUGUUGUGAAGUGUUUAAUCAUUUCUUUGAAAACUAAACUUUUUUUUGUUAAGUAUGUUUAAAAAGUGACGUGGUGACAUUGGACAAUAGUGUAUACAUCAUAUCAUGAGGCGGCCCAAAUGGACAAUAUAUAAAAAUAAAAUGACAUGAACAAUGAUAAUUUAACUAAAAUAUUGCUUCAUGCUGAGCAUCAUUAUACUCAAAGGUAUGGAUAUAAUAAUAAGUAUGGCAUUUCCUCUAAUUAGUCAAGUUUUCAUGGAUUUUUUUUAUGACAAAUAAUUGUAUGUGUUAUAAGUAACUUACAACGGAUAUAAAUGUUUGUUAAAAGAAAAUCCACUCUUUAUCAUACAUCUAACCUAAUCCAUGAAAUGAGAAAGGUCGACGUGAUAAAACCUUAAAAAACAGUAAUUCCUAAAAAUACUUUUAAGGGGAUUUUUGCUAUCUUAUCUAUUCAAAGGAAAUAAUAAUUAAAAGAGAUAGAUAUAACUAGUAGAGUAGAGAGACGGGUAUCUUCAAAUUCAAAUUGGAAAAAAAAAAAGUUAAACAAUGGAUUCCUAAAUCAUAGGACUACGACCAAUACAUUUGGCCGUACCAGUAAGCAAGAACAUAUGAUGAGCGUGAAAUUUUUUCCAAUCUUAUUGUUUUGAAUUAAUUAUCAGUUGUUAUGAUUGGCACAUGCAAUCUUUUUUUUUUUUUUUAAUCAAGAAAUAUUCAUUUAUCUGAUCUAUGAUGUUUAUACUUCAUCUUCUUUCAUUAUUGUAGUCCUUUAGAUUAUCAAUAUUUUCAACUAGAUAUGACAAUUACAUGCUUCUAGUAAAUGAGAUUUAGAGAGUAAAUUAUAGUUAAAGGAUCUUUAAUUGAUUGUCAAUCAAAUCUUUACAAAUGUAAUUUAUAUCAAUAAAAUCGAAUCAAAUGCAAUAACUUUUUAGUCCUUUAGAUACUUAUAAUCCAUUUAGCUGACACAUUAAAUCUAAGAGGGACAUAAAUGGAUGUUUACACCUAGAAAGUAAGAGCAUAUGCCAAUCCUAGAUUAAAUACUAGAAUAGAUUAGAUUAAAUGUAUUAAAAUAAGAGGAAGAGAAAAAGAAAGGAGUACCACAUUUUACCAUUCUAUUGCAUCUUAGUACUUUUGGGACUCCCUUAUAGUCGUGGUCCCAGGGUCCGCUACGUUUCUCAAGCGGUUGUCCUUGGCAAAAAAUGCUCCUUCCAAGAUCUUUCAAUUGAUCAUGCAUCUCAAACUUACCAUGAUCGCUAAUUUUAAUUAAGCACCUCAACUUUAACUCGUCAAUACCUUGACUUGGAUAAAGCCCACAGUCCUCCCACAUGUACAUGGCGAAUCUGCUCUCUUUGCCAAUGAAGAAACAAACAAUAUCAAGAAAAAUCUGCUUAUGUCCAUCUUCUAAUGCAUCAUAACUUAUUCUCAAUAUUUUUUGCACAUCUCUAUGUGGUUCGUCUUUUAAUUGCUUUUGCACAUCUUCCCAUACCUUUCGAUUCGUUUUUUUAUACAAGUAUGAACCUACAACUUGAAGUGCCAAGGGAAGCCCACCCAUGUUGGAUAUGAUAUCACGAGAUAUACCCUCAAACUCUCUCGGAGAAUUGUCCAUACGAAAUGCAUGUCUCUUAAACAAAAGCAAAGCUUGCUCCUUAUCCAAUUCAUUCAAUUCAUACUUGUAGUCUACCUCAAAUUUAGAUUGAUCAAGAAUAGCUUCGUUUCUAGUUGUAACAAUGAUCACACUUCCUCCCAUAAACCAAUGACGCUCCCUAGCCAAUGCAUCUAGUUGACUCUUGUCAUCUAUAUCAUCCAAAAGAAUAAGAACCUUUUCCCGUUUGAAUCUAGAUUUGAUUAUACCAAUUCCAUCAUCAAUUCUAGACACUUGACUUUUGUACUUUAGUAUAUCCUGUAUUAGUUGACUUUGUAGAUACGUAACACCAUGGCGCUUGGUAGUUUCUCGAACAUCUAGAAGGAAGCUGACAUACGAAAAUUUAUUUGAGAGUUGAUUGUAGAUGCACUUGGCAAGAGUUGUCUUGCCUAUCCCGCCCAUGCCGUAAAUUCCAAUCAUUCGAGCAUUGAUGGAAGAAUUGUCGAUCCAAUUCAUAAUUUCCUUCAUACGAUGAUCAAGUCCAACUAGCUGCUCAGGCACAUCAAGUUGAAAAUCUUCCUGUAACUUGCUUAUAACAGUUUCAACCACACGUUCUAUUAACUUUCCCUCAUGCCUGUCAAACAACAAAAACAAUGAGAUGUUAUGAACCUAGAUAUAAUCUAUGCGAAGUAUUCAAUCCUUAUCAACUGAGCUAACCCUUGUUGGCUAUAGGAGGUCGAUUUUAUCCGGUGUUGAUCAAGCUUUGAAGACCGAGCAUUGGAGUCAUUUGGAGGCCUAUUGUUUAGCGAUUGAUACUAUUGGCUGGAGGUAUUGUCUUUUCUUUGUUUCUUUGUUUUUCUUUUUCUUUUUUUUGUAUUUUUGUAUUUUUGUUGUUUUGUUUUUUUUUUUUUUCGCUCUAUACCAGAGGAAAAUUUAAAUUCUUGGGCACUAUAGGAUGCUUUGGUUUCAGUUGUCAUCGGUUUAGUUUUCAGGGACAUCUUGGGGCGUACUGGUGUUUGUUGUCUCCGAGGCAUUGCGACUGUUUAUUUUGGGGAUCUUUUUUGAGCUUGCAGUAAAAGUAAUUCAUUUGUUUCAUUUGCAUUUCCUCGAUUCUACCAAAAGAAGAAAACUUACUUAUCAAAAAAGAAAAGUUCAGUAAAAUACCCGUUCGCAAUUUUUUGAGAUUCCCAUCCAUUUAAUUGACUGACUUCAUUUAGUGCUUGUUGCCCUUUAUGGAUCUCCUUCUCAUCAAAACGCUUCUGACUCGAAUGGAAGGCGUUUCCAAAAUUUCCUUUUAGAUGCCGCACAUCCGAUGGGGCAACUUUGUAAAAUAUAGGCAACACCAUGUGCGAUGCACUCUUCCAACGGUCCAUGAUUUGAACAAGCUCGCGGAGGCACCACUUGCUCAAAGCAUAAUUUUCGGAGAUGACGGGAAUCGAAAUCUUAGACUGUGCGAUGGCAUCGAGAAUCUUUGAACCAAAUUCCUCACCAAUUUGGAUGUUGUUCUCGUCCCUAAACAUGUAAAACGGUACAGUCCCUGCCGUGAUCAGACGGUGAUAGAGGUGAUCGGUGAAUGUAUUGCGGGUAUCCGAGCCUCUAAAGCUCAAGAACACAUCGUAUUGACCGCUACCUACACCUGUGGCUUCUGGAUAGAUGAAUGAAGAAGUGGAUGCUCCUUCAGUGCUCUCUUCCUCUGCCUUCUUUCUCUUUCCCUGAGUCUGCCCUCUGUCCAUGGCAAUCUGAGGUAUGCUUUUUUUGCUGCUUAAAAGGAUUGUUGAACAACAAAAGACGCUUUUAGGAUGCGUUUCUGCAAAAGCUUGUUGGCUUCAAAUAACGUGUUCGUUAAUUCCCUAGGUAAUAAAGACAAAACCUUCAGUUAAGUAAGCUAACGUUGUUUCACUGCAAAAGAUUAGGUGGCCCUUAAGAGGCCCCCAAAAAGCCCACAUCAUUUACUUGUUUAGAAACACAUUUGAAAUUACACAAAUUGCAUUGUAAUUAAUCGACUUACUUAAAGCACAUUUGAACAAUUACAGAACUUCAUGCAUGUACAUGAUACUUAAAGGCGGAUUCUUUCAGUUCAAGGUAAGAUAUUGAUAUUAUAUGUAUGAAACUUUAUGGAUGCAUCUUCCUCUGAAUAUCAGCUCACACGAUGCCUAAUUCUUGUCAUGAUCUUCGACCUUACUCUUAUUAUUUUUAUCCAAAUAUAUAAACAACCCUAACUAUCCCCACCACCUCAUUUUCACAAUCCUUUCUGUCUAAUCCCAUGUCCAUUGGCCAAACUAAUGAAGUGUCAUGUAAUUGUUACCCAAUAAACCACAUCCUCUAGAUGUGUGCACUUUCCUGAUUGGAGGGAAUUUUCAUCAAUCACGUUUUUAAUUUGGCGGGUUUCAAGUUUUAGGCAUUGUUAGAUGGCACCAAAUGGAGGAGCAGAUGCUCCCUCAGUGCUCUUUUUUUAUGCACUCUUUUUUCUUCUUAUUGAGAUUAUUGAACGUGGUUAUUUAUCUUUUAUCUAUUUUAUGUUGGCACCCCAUGCUACAAUUUCAUGUAAAAUGAAUUUAUUUUGAAUUAGUAUGCUAUCACCAAGCCUUUCAUUUCAAAUUUUCAAAUCUAUAAAGUUGAUUGAUAUCUUGUCUAUAAAAUAGAGCUAUAAUUUGUUGGAUGGCACCAAAUAGAGGAGUGGAUGCUUCCUUAGUGCUCUCUUUUUAUGCACUCUUUUUUCUUCUUAUUGAGAUUAUUGGAUACAAGCACAAAGACACAAGAAGCACCGGAAAGGAACAACUUGAAAUGGAAGUAGAAUAGGAUAAUUGGGAAAAUUUGUGAUAAUUCAGGUUAAAUUGAUUAAUCACAUUUUGAAGAAUGAAUUCAUUGUUUGUAAAGAAAGAGGUGCGAGAAAUGAGUGAUAUAAAGCUAGGUGACUCUCCUAAUAUGCGUGUAUGGCCCAAUUUAUUCGAUUGUUUUCAUGAGUGUGUCAUAAGAUCAAUUUAUAUUUUUUUCUUACUAUUGGAUAUCAUGUAAAAGAUCCUAGGAAGUAUCAUACUAUGGACUUUGGUAUGUUUUAUAUUGCUAUGAUUGAAAUUGUCAUGAGUUGUGAGCAAGUAAAAAGUAGUGAUAUAGUUAAAAUGCUCAAACUCUCACCGUACUUUUUAAUUCCUCAUUUACUUUUCUUUUUUUCAAGUAAAGACUCAGUCAAUUUUUGAAGCUUUGAAGUGAGAAAAUGAUUUUUCUUUUCUUUUUUCUUGCUAAAGAAGGGAGAAAAUGAAUCAGAGGUGAAAGGGAAUAUACUUUCUAGGAUUAAUGGUCCAACAAUUCGAGUAAAACAGGAUAAUACUCAUUUGGAAUGUUCUAGAGGGAGUAAAAUUAUUGAAUUAAGUCUUCUUAAGAGAAGACUUACUCUUAGGAUGAUUGGCUUCAGGAUAAAUGGGUUCUAAACAAAGAAUUAGGAACUUAUUAUGUAAUGAUUGGUUCUCCUCUUUUAUAACCGAUAACCAAAAUAGUUGACCCAGAACCAGCCUACUUUUAAUUUUUUGAUUUAUUUUUCCAUAAAUUGAUCUAGGAUCUUCAAACAUAGAGAAACCUCACAAUGCAUAAAAAAAUAGAAUGGUCUAUGAAUUCAAAUGAAAUGUGGCAAAUUUACAUGCAACAGAGUCUAGUGUACUUGCAGAUCUACUCGCUCUAGUUCAACAAAAGAUCAGUACUAAAUUAUGAUGCAACUAAGAAUCAGAUAGGAAGGGCAUCAUAGGAUUAGCCACAUCUAAAGUCGAAAACAAAAGGCUUUCUUUUUUUCACUGAAGUCAAAUCUAAGCUGGGGACAUACCUCGUCAAUAGGCAAUAGCGACUCCAAAAGAGAGAAUAGAAGACCCUCCUCUACUAUUCAGCGAACACCCCCACAUCCCCAAUAGACAAAACGGGCCCAGAGCACACUUGGUUUAGCCAAUUAUUCCUAUAAUAAAGUGACAAUCAAAAUAAAUGGGAUGCUAAUAAGAAUGAAAAAGUGACUACCACAAGCGAGCUGAGAUGCGAAGAGAGGCACGAGACUCGAAAGAGAAGAGAUCAUAAACAAGCCUUGGCGAGAACUUUCAAGAGGGAUAAAGAAUAGAGAAAGCGAGUGAGGACUAAUCAGUAGACGAUAGUCUCGAAUUGUUCGUCAAGAGAGAGGCCAAAUGCGAAUGAUAAAGUGAGAAAUGAGGGACAGAGAGAGAGGACCAAUUAGUAGUAGGCGAUAGUCUCAAAUGAUAAUUGAUGGACCAAUAUCCUUAUAUGGCUGAUUGACUAGUAGCAAUAAAAUUGUUUUCAGGUGGCAAGCCAAGUCAAGCCACACAAUUUGGACUAGAGUACAGAAUGACCGCUUCGGUUCAUAUCUACUUAGAAACCAUUUUUUUAAAUUGAUAAAUGUGGCUCUAACCGAAGUGUGAAUCUUCCAUUAUAUUAUUUUCAAAGAUGUUCUUACUCCUGUAAAUGCUAAAUUCUCCUCCCACCCUAAACAUGCAUAAAUCAUAUUGUCAAAUCCAUUGUAAGUCGGUAAUUUCCUACGCUAUAUAUGUAAAAGUCAUGUCUUGGGAGUUCUCGUUACAAAAGGCAUCGGAACAGCAGAUCAAUCAGCAGAUAUUUUCACUAAGCCGCUCUGCCAAAGACAACACAAGUUUCUAUUAAGCAAGCUAGGUGUCCUUGACAUAUAUAGGCCACCAGCUUGAGGGGGAGUGUUGGAAGAUCUUAGAAUCGAUUCUGUACAUAAUUGAUUCUAGUAAAUAUUAGUAAAUAGGAAACUCCGAUACAUGUAUAUUACUUUUCCUAUUUUAUUUUUUCCUUCUGGCACUAUUUAUGUACAAUGUAAUGGCACGAUUGAAUACAAGUCAGACAAUACAAUUUCCCCAAAGUUCCUGUUACCUUUCUGUCAUUUUCCACCCUAGCUUCCGCGACCUUUCUUGAAUUGCCAUUGCUUCCUUCUGAUCUGUAACUGAGGAUCCCUUCCUGCAGAACAGAUUAGCAAAGCAAUUAGGAAUUCAUCCUUGGUGCCAUGACAAAAGAUAAAGAGGUUAUGAAUCCCUUAGUAGAAUCUUCAUCAGUCCAGGAUCAGACAAUGACUUCCCAUUCAGAUGGAUCGACUGGAGAAGAGCAGGUAACCAAUGUUGCCUCUGCUGAUAUUUGGAAAAAUAUAGUUUUUUUCUAACUAUUUUCAGGAAAAAAAAAAGAAAUAUUUUCACAAAAACUAAGUGUUUUGGAUCUUUCAUGCUUUAAGUAAUUUUGGACAAUUGUUGUAUGUAUAAGGCCAAUGGACCAAAAUUGAGUCUAGAAGGGUUUUUUCACAAUUUUUAUCGAGCAGGCUUUUUUGUCCCAAGAGUUCACUCAACCAUUAAUGUUUUGAAAACAACGUCAAGAUAAGGGCCAGCAUGUGAUUCCACCAAAUUCAACCAAUCUAAUCAUUCAUAACGGUUUUUUUUUUUUUAGGGUUCAAAAUAACCAAUUAAUUUAAAUGAGAAGAUUUUAAUAAGAAAAAUUGGCAAUAUAUGUGAUGAUGAUUUUGAAAAAAUCGAGGGAAUUUCACAAGAAAUAUUUUAUAUGCCUUAAAGGAAGUUAGGCAUCAGGCCAUGAGUAAUAAUCGAAUAUAUUUUUGUCCUAUCAAUUGUAAUAGAUGGGACAAUGAAGGCCUAGCUUACCUUGAGGAGUGAUGCAGAGAUGAAAUUACUGUGAUGGGUUUUAGUAGUUGAGAAGAAGUCACUUUGAAGUAGAUCAAGUUGUGUUUGAGUCUCAAAAGACAGUACAAUCUGAGGAUCACCUUCACACCUCAGCCUAAAGCUAUCAAACCAAAUAUAUUUGAGAACAAAAAUGAGAGUCUCAAUGAUUUAUGGUGAUUGGCGUUUCUCCUCUUUAAGCACAAGCACUUGGGACUUGAUAUUUUAAUUUUGUUUAAAAUUGUCAUAUUCUUAAUGAGGUUGGAAAUGUGAGGUAGAGAUAAACAAAUGCUCGUGGUUUGAAUGAGUAUGCUAUCAUCGAGCCUCUCAAUUCAAAUUUUCAAAUCUAAAAAAUUAUUUGAUAUCUUGUCUAUAAAAUAGAGCUAUUGGAUGGCACCAAACGCAGGAGCGGAUGCCCCCUUAGUGCUCUCUUUUUAUGCACUCUUUUUUUCUUCUUAUUGAGAUUAUUGAAUACAAGCAUAAAGACACAAGAAGAACCGCAAAGGAACGACCUGAAAUGGAAGUAGAAUAGAAUAAUUGGCUAAAUUUGUGAUAAUUCAGGUUAAAUUGAUUAAUCACAUUUUGAAGAACGAAUUUAUUGUUUGUAAAGAAAAAGGUGUAAGAAAUGAGUGAUAUACAGCUAGGUGACUCUCCUAAUAUGCGUGUAUGGCCUAAUUUGUUCGAUUGUUUUCAUGUGUGUGUCAUAAGAUCGAUUUAUAUUUUUUUCUUACUAUUGGAUAUCAUGUAAAAGAUCUUAAGAAGUAUCAUACUAUGGACUUUGGUAUGUUUUAUAUUGCGAUGAUUGAAAUUAUCAUGAGUUGUGAGCAGGUAAAAAGUAGUGAUAUAGUUAAAAUGCUCAAACUCUCAAUGUACUUUUUAAUUCCUCAUGUACUUUUAUUUUUUUAAAGUAAAGAAUCGGUCAAUUUUUGAAGCUUUGAAGUGAGAAAAUGAUUUUUUUUUUUUCUUUUUUCUUGCUAAAGAAGGGAGAAAACAAAUUAAAGGUGAAAGGGAAUACACUUCCUAUGAUUAAUGGUCCAACAAUUCGAGUAAAACAGGAUAUUACUCAUUUGGAAUGUUCUAAAGGGAGGUAAAAUUGUCUAAUGAAGUCUCCUUAAGAGAAGAUUUACUCUCAGUAUGAUCAAUUUCAGGAUGAGUAGGUUAUAAACUAAGAAUCAGGAACUAUCAUGUAAUGAUUGGUUAUCCUUUUUUAUAACCGAGAACCAAAUAGUUGACCCAACAACCAGCCUACUAUUAUUUUCGGAUUUAUUUUUCUAUACUUUGAUCUAGGACCUUCAAACACAAAGAAAGCUCACAAUGCAUACCAAAAAAAAAGGAAUGGUCUAUGGAUUCAAUCAAAAUGUGGCAAAUUUGUGCGCAAUAGAGUCUAGCGCCCUUGCAAACCUACUCGGUCUAGUUCAACAAAAGAUCACUACUGAAUUACAGUGCACCUAAGCAUCAGACAACAAGGCCAUCGUUGGAUUAGCCACAUCUAAAGUCGAAAACAAAAGGCUUUCCUUUUUUCUCUGAAGUCAAAUCUGAGCUGGGGACAUACCUUGUCAACAGGCAACAGCGACUCCAAAAGAGAAUAGAAGACCCUCCUCUGCUAUUCAGCAGCCACCCCCACAUCCCCAAUAGACAAAAAGGCCCAGACCACACUUAGUUUAGCCGAUUAUUCCAAUAGUAAAGCAACAGAAUCAACAGAAAUGACACGCUAAUAAGAGAUGAAAAAGUGAUUACCACCUACGAGCUAAGAUGCGAAGAGAGGCACGAGAUCAGAGAGAGAGAGAUCCUAAAAAAGCCUCGGCGAGAACUUUCAAGAGGGAUAAAGAACAGAGGAAGCAAGUGAGGACUAAUCAGUAGAUGAUAGUCUAGAAUUGUUCCGCAAGAGAGAGGCCAAAUGUGAAAGAUAAAGUGCGAAACGAGCGCGCGCGCGAGAAAGAUAGAGAGAGAGAGACUGAGAGAGAGGACCAAUUAGUAGUAGGCAAUAGUCUCGAAUUAUUAUUGAUGGACCGGUACCCUUAUAUGGCUGAUUGACUGGUAGCAAUUAAAUUGUUUUUAGGUGGCAAGCCAAGUCAAGCCACACAAUUUGGACCAGAGUACGAAAUGAUUACUUCUGUUCAUAUCUACUUAAAAACCAUUUUGUUAAACUGAUAAAUGUGGCUCUAACUGACUUGUGAAUCUUCCAUUAUAUUAUUAUCAAAGACAUUCUUACUCCUGUAAAUGCUACAUUCUCCUCCCACCCUAAACAUGCAUAAAUCAUAUCGUCAAAUCCAUCGGAUGUCAGUAAUUUUCUCACUAUAUAUACGUAGAAGUCAUAUCUUUGUUGUAAGCAGUAAAAUCACAUGAAAACCACACUUCAUGACAAGUUUCUCUAAUUCAAUCUGCUAAAAUAAAGUCCAGCUAAAAAUUGUCCACAUAUUAAAUAUGUGUAAGUUCAUUGAAACCAGCAGCUUCGCUCACUUUCAAAUUUCCAUUGUAACCAGCACAAAAAAAUAGUACUGUUGUGAAUUUUUCAUAAUUUCCGGGAAAAAAAUUGAAUUUCCUGUCAUUUUCCAGAAAUUACAAAAAAUUGCCAAUAUAAUGGAAAAUGGUUUUAUAGACAUCCAAAAAUUCUCUAGUUGAUCUGAUCUGUUCAGAUAAAUUUUUUGUUGUUGACAAUUCUGAUUUGUAGCCUUUGAAAGGUUUUGUGCAAUUAUUGAAGAGAAUAGACCAGCACAAUCAAUAUUUGGAAAAAAAAUCUAUCUUUUAAAUGUUUUCAAGAAAAAAAGAAUUAUUUCUGCCAAAACUGAGUAUUUUGGAUGUUUCAGGUUUUAAGUAAUUUUGGCUCCGACCAAAAAAAAAAAAAGUAAUCUUGGACAAUUGGGGUGCACAUAGGGCCGAUGGACCCAAAAUCGGGUGUAGAAGGGUAUUUUCAUAAUUUUAAUCGAACAAGCCAUUUGUCCCAAGGGAAUUUCACAUGUGUUAUUCUGUAUGCCUUUGAGGAUGUUAGGCGCUAAAGCGAUGAGUAAUAAUCAAGUGUAUUUUGGUCCUAUCAAUUGUAAUAGACCGGAGGACAAAGGUCGGACUUACCUCGAGAAGGAGGUAUUCAGAUAUGAAAUAAUGUGAUAGGUGUCAGUGUUUGAGAAGAAGUCGCCUUUGAAGCAGAUCGAGUUAUGUCCGAGUCCCGGAAGGCAACGCAAUCCCGACGAUCACCUUCACGCCUCAACCCGGACCAGCCUGGUUUGGAAAGACGCUGAAGUAAAUUUGCAGAUCAUCUCAGGUCGAACAUCACGAGAAAGGACGAGUAGUGGUUACAAAAUCACCAACAACAGACGGGGAACUUACUAUCUUCCGAUGAAAUCGCAGCUCUUCUCUGGUAUAUCCAGAGAUGCAGACACGAUCCUCGUGUUCCAAGCGAAGACCCCCCAACCCAGGAUCCCUAAUCGCCUCAGCGGAGUCCAUGAUCAGAAAUUACAGCAAGCAGAACACUGAAAAGUUCGAAACUUGACACGAUUCGAGUUGCUUUUACCUGCUGAAUGGUGCCCGCCGAAGAACCCGUCCCUCAAGAUAGAUACCGAUAGGUCGGUCCUUUGAAGCCGGCAGUUCGGAAGGAGCGACUGCAGGUGUUCUUCGCGACGGCCUCGGGUGUACUGCUCGAUGGAUUCGCGAGAUAGAAGAUCCCUGCUUCCUCCGCCGAUUCUAACCGCAGCUCUCGUUCUGGCCGUAGAGGCUUCGAUGUGCUUCAGAUCUAAAAGUGGAGAGAACUUGAAAUUGGGAGUCGGACAACGCAGUUUUGUGUUGACUUUCUGCUGCGGGAAGAUGAUGAUGUUCCACGGUUAGGUGGACGCCCGAGCCUAGUUGGCUAUUUUUCAAAAGUAUAUCCGCGGCCCAUAACCCUAAAUGGAGAUGGGAACGUGAGGGAGAGAUAAACAAAUGGACGUUAAAACCUGCGUUGUAUUCAUUCCAGACUAGCUCCACAUGCUAACGAUUUCAUCUGUAUCCAAUACAUUUUCAAAUGAUACGAUAUCACCACCGAGCUAUUCUCUUAAACUUUAGAUAUUUUAAAUAAUUGAUCAAUAUAGAGAGUUAUAAGGUAUUAGAUGACAUCGAAGGAGGAGCUGAUGCUCCCUUGAUGCUUUCUUAUGCGGCGCUUUUGUUCUUCUUCUUCUUGAGAUGAUUGAAUACAAGCAUAGAGAGAACAAUUGGCGCAACAAGCACCCACAAAGGAACAAUGUGAAAUGAAAUAGGGCAUCUCUUUGUUUCCCUUUCUCUAACUUUGCCCUUUCUCCAUAGAAGUGUUGGAAAUUUUUUUAAAAAUAUGAAAAAUAAGAAUUAUUGGAAAAAUAUUUAAAAUGAUGAGAAAAAUAAGAUCAAUUGUUUGAGGCUUGCAAAUACUAAAAGAUAAUUCUGCCUUUUGGAGUACAAAAUUCGAAUAGGCCCUAACAAUUAUCCUCCUAAGAUACAACAAACUUCUUCUUUAUUCCACAUUGAAUAAUAAUAGGAACAUGAACAAAGUUAUGUGCAUAACCCGGCCAAAAAAGGAAAGAUAUGUGAAUUCUAUUAAUUCGGUGAAUUGUGGUUUGAAAUUUAAUCUUAUAUUCAAACAAAAAAGAGAGCCAUUAAGAAACCAUUAUAAAUCAAUUAAGAAUUAAUAAAAUCGUAACCAUUAUAGAUUAAUAUCACACAAAAACCAUUACAAAUUGAUGACAGUUAAAAACCGUUACAAAAACAGUUACUUUUCACAGCUUCUAUCAAAGCCAUUACUUUCGAAUAUUUGAAAAACUGCCGAAUGGUAGAGUAAUGUUAACACUAUUUUUUCCAAAUAUUUAAAAUUAUUUCAUUGCAAUAUUUAAAUUAAUAUAUAUAGGUAAAAAUGUAAAUUAAGAAAUAGUGUUACUUUGUCAAUAUUUUCUUUUGCUGAUGCACAACAACAUAUAAAAGAAACUUGGGGAAAUGUGUAAAAAAGGCCGACCUAUUGUAUUGGUAUAAUUUAGUCAAAAACUUUUUAAUGGUGCAAAUUUAAUCCCAAACUUUAUGAUCCAGUAUCAAUUCAGUCAUUCAAGAUACUUUAAGUCGAAUAUUGCUAAAUGUCACCAAGCCUACGUGGCAUAAUUGAUGCUAACAUGGAUAAUUUUUAAUAAUUUGAUUUUUUUUCUUUUUUUUUUUUUUUCCCUCCUCUUUCUAGUGGCUGACAUGGCCACGGCUGGUGAGGGUUGGUCUCAUUUGAGUGAGGGUGAACCUUGUCGACCUCACUAGGGUGAGGGUGAGUGCUGGUGAGGCUGCCCCUGCAAGAUCAGGUGAGCCCAGGUGUUGCCUGGGCGAGGGUGGCCUCGCUAGAUUUGGCGAGGGCAACCUCACCGAUGCUUGCCAACCAUCGGAAAGAGAAGGGAAAAAACAAGAGAGAGAAAAAAAAUUAAAAAUAAAUUAGUACCAUUAUGAUUUAUGACUAAAUUGAUAUAAAUAUAAUAAGUUUAUAACUUUCUAACACUUUUACCAAGAAACUUGAGAUUCGUCUCGUAGAUCUACCUAAUCAAAUUUCCAUUGCAAUCUCUACACCUUCCAAUUUACUUCACAUUGAAUCAUACUCAUUCCUUUUUACAUAUGAGUGAAAUUAAAAAAAAAAAAUGCAAAAAUUUUCCGCAUCAAUGCCCGUUAUGCCAUGUAGGAUAGCUAGAGUACGUCAUCAAUUAUCGGUUAAAAUUGGGAGGAAUGACCAUAUUGGCAAAUCAUCAAAAGGUUUAUGAAUCAAUUGGUAAAAUUAAAAAGAUUUAAGAUUGAAUUGGCACAAGUACAACAUGUUUAAGACAUUUUCGGUAAUUUUUCCCAUUGAAAUGAGAAAACAUGGUAUUUGUCUUUUGCAAUAUUGCUUGUUAAUUGGAUUUGGUUGUUUAAUGUGGAAACAAAGAAAUAAUCUUCAUCCUCAAUCACUAAAAAGCAAUUAAAAAAAGAAAAGAAGAAGAAGAUUUGAAUAGAAGGCAUGCGCUUUAAAGAUUUGUUCAUGAAGUUUUGGUUCAUUAUUAGAAGAUAUGUCAAAAAAAAAAUAGAAUGAAAUUUAAAGAUAAUUGAGGGAAGAGUUAUUGAAGCCAAAUAGAUUAUUCUUUUAAUGAAUUCUAAAGGACCAUAAAUGGGACUUACGUUUUUUUUUUUUUUUAGGUCGGUCCUACUUUAUUCAUCUUCUAACUCUCACUCUCACUCUCAAACUUUUGUCUUGCCUCCUUGCAGAGCGUGGGAGUCGAAAUCCAUACUUGAAACUAAAUCAUCCCCACCCCAACCCCUUAAGAAGGUGGAGAUUUGAACACCCCACCUUCACCUUCCAUGUUGGAAGAAUAGCCACCAGGACAAACCCUAUUUGUUGAACUUACGUUUUUCGCUUGCCCAUCAUAAUCAAAUUUUGUCGCACUUUUAUUUUAUAUCAAUCUAGGUCGAGGAAAAUUAAUAAGUCUAAUUUGGCCAAAAAAGAUAAAUUAAUGAGUCUACCCACUUGUUGUCACGCCCCGAACCUCGAGCGCAUGCCCAUCCCUAUCUGGUCGAUAAUAAAUUGCGACUUCCCAGGACGAGUCGCUGACCCUUUCCAUUUUAUUGCACAUGCGGAAGCGAAAAGAAAUCCCCUGACAGUAAUCAUCUCGAGAUAGAAAGGCAGGACAAUAGAUUCACAAACAAACAUGCUUUUAUAUAUACACUGAGUCAUGUACACAAGUCUAUGGCCAAAAGACUACAAAAGACUGGCCUUCCAAAAAGAAGCGGUCCUAACUGACCUACGCUUCCGAUCACCUCCUCUCAGCUCCAGGUCCUCCACUCGAUGACCCUGAAAAUGUUGUCCCACAACGGGGUGAGAUAUCAUCUCAGCAAGUCUAAGCUCUAAACCCCAAUUAGGAGGGAAAUAUGCCAAGAAGUGUCCUAAUCACACAAUCACACAAUCAAUGAGACUUACCUCGUCUCAGAUCUACCCUGCAAGUCAGUACAAUUUAUCUCAUAAACAACAUGAGAGUAUGAGCAACAAAUAAGCUCCAAUAAUUGAAACGCCACAUUCAAUUAAUCAUGCGUUCCUAGUUUUGAUCUCGGCAUAUAGCACGGCCUACUCUCAGUUCGGCGGUCUUCUGGCAUUGCCAGGCUUCGUCUCACCCCAUUGAGCACGGCAACUUCUCUUUAUCAGACGGCUUUCCCAAAGGAGCAUAGGGUCCAAAAUCAACUGCGACCGGCUUCCCGUUGUCCAGGGGGUAUCCCACAUAGGGAUAACGUCUAGCUCAACAGCCCGGGACGAUUUCUCUUGACCAUCACACGAUCACUCAAAUAUGGCCCAGGGCACCGUGCAUUGCACUCAAAUGCUUUAAUUAAAAUGGUGAGCCUGGCCUUUUUCUUCAUAUUAGAAAUUCACAUGAAAUUACUCGUGUGUGGGUACACGGUCAACUUGAUCCAGAAAAAUUGAUAUUCAUCCUUUUUGAAAUCCCACUAUUUUCUAUAGUACUAAAAACCAUUUUCAGUGUCAAAACCCGACACCUGGGAUUUUCUAAAUAAAUAUUGGAAAUUCACAAUUUUUGGAAUUAAAUACCGAAAAUCAAAUUAGCACUCAAUUUGCAUAAUUUAACACUCGAUUGCAAAAAUUAACCACACCAUUGCAAUCAGCACGAAAUUCCGGUCACCGGCUAUCCCGGCCUAAUUUCCGGAAAAAUAAUUAAUAAUUAAAUAAUUACUGAAAUUAAUUAAAUAAAUCAAUUUAAAUUCUAAAAAUACUAACCUAGGGCAAAAUCAUUAAAUUAAUAACCAAUACGAACUCGGAGAAAUUCCCGAACCCUACUAGAUAAUUAGUACAAUUUAUUUAGGCCUUAGCUAAACCAUGCUAAACCACCUAACAUGCUCAAUUAAAUAAUUCAAUUUCUAAUUUAAUCUAACUAACCACCUAAUUCCUAAUAAAAUAAAUCUAACACCCCUUAAACGUUAUUAGCCUACUAAGCAGAGUUUAGAGUAUAAACUCACCGGUUAAUUGCGGAAAUCGGUUCACCGCGACAACGACGCGACGGCGGCCGAAACCUUAAUUUUUGUCAGUGUCGACGAACUUGGGCCGGGCCUAAACUUAGCCCAACACAACUCAGCAAGGCUGGGUUAAGGUCUUGGGCUUCUGCAGGCUACUGGUCACGGGCUUGGGCCUUCUUCUCGAGCCCAAAAUGGCUGAACUUCAAAUGGGCUAAAACCAACUGAACUUGGGCCUGAGCUUGGGCUUCAAAAUUUGCUGGAGAAGGGCUGAAAAUCACUGGGCUGAAGACACUUGCUGGACUUGACUGCACUUGGGCCAAAGAUUGCUGGAAUGGACCGACGUUGCUGCUGCUGAAAGCUGGGCCUCGCUGACUCACGGGCUGAAGAAGAACGAGCGAGCUAGCGGAGAUGGAACUCGCAGAUACUGGGCCAUCGUGGGAGCUGCUGCAAGGACUUUCGGUGCUGAGGGUUUGACCAACAAAACGAGCGGUAGAGAGAAGAUGCGGCAGCAGCUUCGCUUGGUGGACCUUUGGACGGAGAGAGAUGGUUCGGUGGAAUCCCGGGGUUUCUUUGGUCAACAGUAGGGCUUUCGUGGAGGGGUGUGUUGACCGGCGGGGAACAAACCGAAGUGGAGAUUGUUGGAUAUAUUAUUAAUAUAGUCCAAAACAAUAUGUUCACAUACAAGCCCAAUAGGUAAAAGCAUGGUUAUUUGGGUCCAUAUGGGCCGAAGCCCAAUAACGUGCAUAUAAAAACUCUAGGGUUUCCCUACGCUGGAGGUAACACUGUUGAGCGUUCCAAACUUGACGUCUCUUGGUGUAAUACUUCAAGCAACUACUUCUUCUCUCUCAAACCUAUUACCUCUAACAAUCUUGAAGUAUUAGGUUCGUGUGUCGGAUUUGAGCGAGUAAAGUGUGUUCUUGAAGAUUUCGUCAAGACGAACUCGCGGCUGUAAUUUACUUUCGAUUUCGACGGUGAUAUUGGCCGGGAUCUGAGUUUGAAGAUUUGGGUGACCGAAAUCUUUGAUUCAAAAACCCAAAAAUUAUAGCCAAUUUAAGAGGGUGAAACCACUUGGGCUUUGAUCUACUCGUCGCUACGAACGUUUUUAGUGGUCACUCGCGUCAAUCGGAGGUCGGACGGAGAAGUUAUGGCACCCGGAAGUUUCCAUCUGAAUUUCUAGCGAAUUUUGGGGACGAAAUUUGUAGCGAAUUUCGGGGGGCGAAAUUUUUCAGCGAGUUUCAGUAACAAGGGCAGUCCAUCUUAAGGUUUUUGGGUGCUCCAGAUCCGUUUUUGGGGUUUGUUUUGGCAAAUUCCAUCUCUACAGAGCGGUUUGAUCAAGGUUAGGGGAGUUAUUCAACUUUGUUGCUCUGAGGACUUCAAGGUGCACUCUUUCUAACACUUUGCUUUGAUUAAAAUGGCAAAGCGUAGUUCCUAUGAUAUUAUAAAGUUGCAAUCUUUUGAUGUUACUGAAUUUCAUGGCUGGAAAUUACAUGUUCAAUUUGGCAUGAAAGAACGUGACAUAUUCUAUACUGUAUUGAGCGAUUUUACAUCUACCACUGAAGAUGUGAAUGAAUAUCAAUGGAACAAAGAUGAGGAUUUUUGUAAAGAUUACUUGCUGAACUCUCUGAAUCCUAAAAGGAUAGUCCAGUCUAGUUGAAUUGUAUCAUCAAGUUUGGAAUGACACAAUUUUUCCAGAUAGAACAUUUGAAUUAGGUUAAAGUCAUCUUCAUCAAAUUUGGAAUGAGACAACUCACCCUCUUCAAUUAGUCAGCAACUGUGAACAUCAAUGAAACAUAUAAACUGUGCUUAUCAUUGUAGCCAAUAAAGAAAGAUUUGAUAAUUCAAAACACAGGUAAGUAAAUGGUAGUUAAGACUUGCCUAUAUAGUCUUUAACCCCAGUUCCCCCACUGUUUUGAAUAAUCGAUCUUUAGGCAUACCUUUGGUGAGAGUAUCGGCUAUGUUAUCCUUCGAUCUCACAUCGAUCAAGGUGAUAACCCCUUGUUCUCUUAGAUAAUUCAACAACGCAUGUCUCAGUCUCACAUGUCUUCUCUUUGAAUUAAAGAGAGUAUUCUUGACGACUUGGACAGCUGCUCGAUUAUCACAAAAUAGGCUUAAAGAAUUAAUCUUUAGCCGAGUCAAAGGAAUAUCCAUAAUCAGAUUCUUUAUCCACUCUGCCUCUUCACCGGCUGAGGCUAAAGCAAAAAGUUCCGAUUCCAUAGACGACAAUGCAAUACAAGUCUGUCGUUUGGAUUUCCAAGUAAUAGCAGCUCCACCCAAAGUGAAUACAUACCCACUAGUGGACUUACUAUUUCCAAUAUCUGAGCACCAUGAGGCAUCAGAAUAUCCAUCCACAACUGGAGGAUAACCAGAAUAAUAAAGCGCAUAAUCUUUAGUACCUUUAAGGUAUCUCAUUAGCCUAUUAAGGGCAUCCCAAUGCUCUUUACUAGGAUUACUAGUAAAACGACUCAGCAUACCAACUGUAAAGGCUAUGUCGGGUCUAGUGCAACUCAUAGCAUACAUGAGACUACCAAUCAGUUUCGAGUACUUUAACUGAUCCACGCUGGUCCCUUCAUUAAGACUCAGUCUAUUAUUAUAAUCACAUGGUGUCUCACUCGGUUUACACUUAUCGUAUCCCCAAGUAGAAAGUAGCUGCUCAAUAUAAUGAGUCUGGCUAAGGGAGAUGACUUGCCGUUCAAAGCUUACUUUCAUACCAAGAAUGGUAUUAGCAAUACCAAGAUCUUUCAUGUCAAAUUCUUUAGCUAAAGUAGCUUUCACGUCGCUCACUACAGAAUGAUCGGAACCAAGAAUUAACAUGUCAUCAACAUACAAGCAAAUGAUGACUAUCUUAUUUGAUAUAGAACGAUGGUAAAGGCAUUUAUCUGAAUAACUAGACUGAAAGCCAUAACUCUUUACCACUUCAUCAAAUUUAAGAUGCCACAUCUUAGGUGCUUGUUUAAGACCAUAUAGAGAUUUAUUUAAUUUACAAACUUUGUCCUCAAGACCUUUCAUAACAUAUCCUUCCGGUUGUUCCAUGUAAAUUUCCUCAUUUAAAUCCCCAUUUAAGAAAGCUGUUUUUACAUCCAUUUGAUGCACUACAAAGUGUUCAAUAGAUGCCAAAGCAAGAAGAAUUCUUAUAGUUGAUAGAUGACACACAGGUGAAUAGACAUCAAAAUAGUCUAUUCCACUCUGUUGUUUAUAGCCUUUAGCUACUAAGCGUGCUUUGUAUCUGGCUAUUGAUCCAUCACUAUUCAGUUUCUUCUUCAACACCCAUUUACAGCCUAUAGCUUUAGCCCCUUUUGGCAAAUUUACUAGCUGCCAAGUGUAAUUCUGCAGCAGAGAGCUCAUUUCAUCAUCUAUGGCUUCUGCCCACAGUAGAGAUUCCCUAGAUCUCAUUGCUUCUUGAUAGGAGAAUGGAUCAUCCUCAAGAUGGUAAGCAACAAAGUCUUCACCAAAACUUUUGGGAAUUCUCUCUCUUGUAGAUACUCUAACUGGAAUUGGUUCAAUAGCCAACUGUGUGGAAUUAGUGUCAGAAGGGCCUGCUUCAGAUUCUACAGGAAAUUCUGAAAUCAUAUCUGUAGAUCCAGAAACAUUCAAGCCUUGAUCUCUGAUAAACUUGUUUUCAAAGAACACUGCAUCUCUAGAUUCUAUCACUGUGUUAGUAGAUAGAUCUAAAAACCUAUUUGCAGCGCUAUCUUCUGCACUACCUAGAUAUACACAAGUAAUAGUUCUAGAUCCCACCUUAGGUUUUUUAGGAUCUGGUAUACUUACAUAAGCAAUACAGCCCCAAGUCUUAAGAGUAUCAUAUCUACAAGGGCGCUUAUGCCAUAUCUCAUAAGGUGUCAUGGACAACUUAGAGUGCGGCAACCUGUUCAAGAUGUGAUUAGCAGUUAGAACUGCUUCUCCCCAGUAGGAGGAAGGCAUGCCAGCUGUAAGUAACAUAGAGUUUAACAUUUCAGUUAACGUUCUAUUCUUACGCUCUGCAACACCAUUUGAUUGGGGUGAAUAAGGAGCAGUGGUUUCAAGUAUUAUACCUUCUGAAGCACAAAAUUCCUUGAACCUUGACAUAGUAUAUUCUCCUCCUCUAUCACUCCUAAACCUCUUAAUUUUCAAGUUGAGUUGAUUUUCUACUCUAGACUUGAAAAUCUUAAAUUUUUCAAAAGCCUCAUCUUUCGAUUUCAACAAAUAGACAUGACAAUAUCUAGAAAAAUCAUCUAUGAAUGUUAUUAGAUACUUCCGACCACCUUUAGUAAUGUAAUUUCUAAAAUCACAAAUGUCAGAAUGUAUUAGCUCAAGAAGUUGUGUGCUUUUAGAAAUCAAUUUAAAGGGUUUUCUAGUAAUUUUAGCCUGUGCACACACUUCACACUUAUCAAAUCGAAUAGAAGUAUCUAAUGGAAUGUUAUGAGUUUUAGCUAAAUGUUGCAUUUUCCUGUAAUUCACAUGUCCAAGUCUAUUGUGUAGCAACUUUGGAUCGAUCAAAGUAGAAUUCACAUGGUUUAUGCUAUCAGCAUUUAAACUCAACCUAUACAUACCAUUAACCAUGAAUGCACAACCAAAAUAAUAUGAGUUAACAGAUAAAGUUACUCUACCAUUCAUAGUUGAAAAAGACAUACCAGCUUUAUCAAGUAAACUCAUAGAUAUUAAAUUCUUCUUAAGUAAAGGUACUACUCUAACAUGUUUCAGAGUUAGUAAUUUACCUGAAGAAAGCACCAAAUUUGCAGUUCCAGCAUGAGUCACCUUUGCCUCACCACCAUUGCAAUUUUCCACAGUGUCUUUCACUGGGUAGCAGAGUGUAAGUUGCCAAGGAAGCCAAAUAACGACACACCACAUAAUGAGGCCAAUAUGCUUAUUAGAGGAUCUGAGCCUCGAGCCUUUAUUGGAAUGAUGAAGAAUGGAAAGGCCAGCAUCUCUUCUGAGUGGUGGUUGGACAGUGGCGCUACUUGUCAUGCUACAAAUGACAAGAAUUUACUCACUGAGGUCACAGAAGUGCAAGACACUGUGGAAAAUUGCAAUGGUGGUGAGGCAAAGGUGACUCAUGCUGGAACUGCAAAUUUGGUGCUUUCUUCAGGUAAAUUCAUCUUGUUUUUGCAUGUAAGUGCUGUUGUGAAUCAUAAUUCAGGUCCAAUUCAAAUGGGUUACUAAGUCGAAGAGGAAUAAGUUUGCAAAGUACUUCCACCGAAUAUGGGUUCUAGAUUUCUAUAUUUCCUCACAGUUAUUGGCUAUGCCAUUAUCUCAUAGAGGGUGAUGAUCUAUGACUUAUUUUAUCCCAUAAUUGGUUUGAAAUUAAUUUCCUUCAAUAAACAAUGUAUCAUGGUAGCAUGCAAAAUAUUUGAUAUACUGAAUUAAGGAGGAAGAUAUUAUACUGGAUUUAUUAAGCUGAAUUUUUUAGAAAUUUUUUCUAUUUAGUCUUGAAGUAGUUGAUAUAUGUUUCUAGCAGAAAGUAAUUAUAAGACAAGUAGUGACAACUAGUCAUUCCUGAUCAGCUGAAGGUGAAAGAAAUAAUAGUUCCCUUCUCCCUUCCUUUCCUCAUGCGCUCUUCUGAUGUUUUUACCCUUCGUUUCAGCUGCCAGCAACUCUUAAAAUAGGUGUCACGGUUGUUAUAUCUCCCUUGCUAUCUCUCAUUCCAGAUCAAAUAAUUACUCUAACGCUCAAGUAUGGAAUACCAUCUACUUUCUUGAACUCUCAACAAACUGCUGCCCAAGCGGCAGCUAUUCUCCAAGAACUAAGGCAAGGUUUAGCUCUAUUGGACUUCUAGAUUUUUUAUGCUUAGUGUUGUGACUGUCAAAUUAUUAAUCUCCACUUCUGCUUUGCCUACCUUUUCAGAAAAGAUAAACCAUCAUGUAAGUUAUUGUAUGUAACUCCUGAAAGGAAUGUGGAAACCCAUCAUUUCUAGAGAUAUUGAAAUGCUUGCAUAAAAAGGUAUUGUUUCUAAUGUACCUCGAAAGCAAGUUAACUUUCCGAACUUUUCUUCAUUUUUUGUGUUUCUAGCCUAAUUAAAUUGUCAGUGUUACACUAGACCUUUUGAAGUCCAGAACCCUGUGAAGUUCUAAUAGAACAUAAUGCAUCGUUCCUUGUUUGAGAGAUCUAGGUUCCGUCGUUUGGGAACACUUAGUGGCACAUCGUUGAUUGUAUUGAGGAAAGAGCACACGCUUAAUUAAGCUCCAAUGGAAAUUACUUCCCAGAGUAAUUAGAACCGUCUUGUGUUUUAGGGCAUUGUUUCUCGAGAAAUCUGUUACUUUUGAGGUUGCCAUCAUAAGUUCUGUAGGUCAUAUGAUUUGUAAUAUUCCUCAAAAUAUAAUAAUCUGCCAAAGUUUUGGGUAAAUUUCUUUUUCUAUGAUUAGUAAAUUACUGGAUAAAUCAUAACUUUCCUUUGGUGACGUAAUUGUCCUUGUUGGUAGUAAUUUUACCUCUAAAACAUCCUUUCAUAGGUUUGCUUUUGAGUUUGGGGGGUGUACUUUUUCUUUAAAGGUCAUAAAUUAUCUGAAACCUAUGUUUGGUAAAAUUCCACAAAAAUAAUAUUUUUCAGUUAAUAGUAAAUUUGUUUUGUGUAUUUUUACUAACGUAUGUAAAUUAAUUGUAACUCUCCUCUUGUUUGCACUCGACAGUUUUGAGACCUAUGUUUUAGUUAUUUUCCUUACUCAUCGUAACUUUUCUUAAUCAAAUGAUAAUUUGAUCAAGUUUGUGUUCACAAUUUUCCUUUAAUGUUCGGAAGUGAUGAAAGAAAAUCGAUUUUGCAAAAUAGAUUUGACGGAUCAUGUUUUUUCCCUUUUUAUCCAACAAUCCAUGCUGAAUGCAGGAUCAAUCUCGUAAAAGAGAACUUUCACUUAUGAAAUUUCCAUUUCACUUAUGAAAUUUCCAUCACAAUCAAGACGUUUUGGCCAUAAUAAAGUAGUUCUUUAGUUUUUGCCAAACGAUAAAGUAGUGUUGGAAAUGUUAUUUUUCCAAAAUUUUGUAAAUCGUUCCAUUGAAAUAUAUUAAAGGUAAAAAUGUAACUAACCAACUAUAUUACUUUGUCAAUAUCUUCUUUUGCUGAUGCACGGCAACAGAUAAAUGAAAUUUGAAUGUUCUCUUUGCAUCCGAACGUGGGACCCUCCUCAAUCAGGGGGUCUUUGGACUUUGGUAUGGCGAUGGCGGAUCGACUUUGUCGUGACUUAAUUGACUCUGUCGUCCUACCGUUCGUUGGAUCGGUCGCGAACGAGAAGUGCGUUCUUUCCAUUGGAAAAGGCUAGAGAGCCAACUACCCAAAUAAGCUUCAUUCAAUAAACUAGACUCGAACGAAUAAGACUUUGGAUCCUGUAAUUUUCAUGUUUGGAGUGAAAUCGAAAUGCCAAAUUGGGUUCCACAACGAAUGAGGCUUUUCUUGAAAAGCGUGCAGGGAAUGACUCGGCAAUAGCUUAUAGGGAGAUGCCAAUUCCAGAUCUUGAAACCACUAUACCCUCCCAAGCCCAAUUCAAUCACUUUGCCACCACUACUGUUGGCCGCAAGUUGUCACCCCCAUUGGUCCCUAGUCGCCCAUCGCUUAUUUUAGUUGCCACUACCGUUGAGAAGUAUUCCUUUUCAAAAGAUUCAAAUCUCUUACAAUUCAGGCAAAUUUUUUUUUUUUGAACGAAAUUCAGGCAAUUGAAAAGGAGAAAGAGAUUCCUCAAUAUGAGAAUCCAUUUGAGGAAUUACUUGCCAUGGAACUGACAAAGCCUUAGCGUAAGCUUUUAGUUUGAAUAUGAAAACGCCAUCCGAUAAAUAUAUGUUACAAUCCCAAGAUAUAUGAGCGACCUCUCAUUUCAGCAUAUACAAUUUAAUUUUUUUAUUAAUGUGAAACACAUUGCAAUUUUAGAAUAAUAAAAUAAUUCACACUAAACUUUUUUAAGGGGAAAAAAGAAAGAGAGACUAAAGUGUAACCACACCGUUGGUCACUGAAAGAAAUCUAAUAACAUUCAACGCAUAUUCUUGUGAUUGAAAUAAGGAAAAUGGCGUCCAUCCUUCUCCUCCCUCUUGAUCAUAUGAUUUUCAUAGAGAGGCUAUCUAAAUACACGUCAGAAAAUUGUGGCAACUUGAUAAUUAUUUUAGCUUAAUUCCGAGGGAAAAUUAUUGAUUCAUUUCUCAAUUUUCACUCAAGAUUGCUCAUGUGGUGAUCUAAUAAGUAUCGACCAUUUGACGUGGCAUGGUUGGCGACCUGAUGUAGACCACUUUAAUUGAAACGUUUCGUGAAACCCACUUUAAUUUCAGCAGGCACAAUUCUCCAAUUUGUCGAAAGCCUCACUCUCCGUUGGCGACCAAGUUUAGUGUUGUCUCCUUUCACAUCCGUCGGCAAGCCCCUCAUAGGAAUUCCCACGUCUGGAAAAUACAUAUAUCCACCUUAACUUGCUCUUUUUCAUAUUCUAAGGUCUGAAUCUUCACCUUGUUCAUCCUCGAAUCGCGAUAUUUUUAACGCUCUUCUGUCUCCCUGUCUCUCCCAGCAUUCUUUGGUAUGUUCUGAUUCUCGAUGUGAUUCUGAUGGUGAAGUCAAUGGGGAUGCUUGUACCAUCUGUCGCCAUCGCGCUUGAUGGUCUGCUUUUCUUAUCUUUGGGUUUUUACCAUAUGGAUCACGUGCAAGACAAAGGAACUCAGCAGCGACAGGAGAAGAAAGAAACGGGUCGCUCUUCCAAAUCUGUUGCGUAAAUCAUCAUCAUCGCCCAGCCUCAGCCCACAAAAAGCAGUAGGCUCACUGGAGCUUUGUGCCCAUUGCCAAGCCCCCCCAUCCCAUCCCAUUCAAUUCAAUCACGCCCCCUAUCCCAAGAUCAACUUUGGAAAGGAGACGUUAGAUCCCUAUCACCACACCACCCCUGGCCAUCACAAACAACAAAUUUGUGUCCAUUGGAGCUGCGACUAAGUGAGCGAUCCCCUAGCCGCCCCCAGUAUGAUAACUUAACAUGUAUUUUCGCCAAUAUCAGCGACGCAACCGGGCCAACCCCAUUGGGCAAUUAGGCUUUCCAGGCCCAUGCUUGUCUCAAUAUGUCCUAAUUUUCAUAUAUUAUGAUGAUCCGUCUUAUCAUGACGAGUCUUAAGAAGACCCGCAUUCCGCAAAAAAGCAAAAUGAGAAUUUUCAUCAUAGACCCGCCAAGAACAUAACCAUCCAAACUUUAUAAGUUUGACAUGCAAAGUCUUCUCUUUGCAGAGGAAAAAAGAAAAGAAAAGAGAAAGACAUGAGAAAGUAUUUUAUGCGAGAGUUAACUAUUACCGUCGACGUGAGGGGGGUGUUCGUAUAAUUUAAGAUUAGGCGUUAGGUCCAUGGACUUAAAAAUUCAACAUAUGAAGGAAAUAAAGAGUGCACAUAAAAAGAGAGAAGAAAAAAAAAAGGACAACCCUAAAAUAACAAGAAAAAAAAUACGUGACAAAGAAAGGAAAGGAGAUCUUCUUGGAUUCCAUGUUUCAUGUGUCACAAAUUGGAGUUUAUAUAAUUUGAAUUUAAAAAAAAUAGUAAUGCUGCUUAGCAAAAAGUAAAGAAAUUACCUAAUCAAUAAAUUUAUUGUACAUAUGCCAAUUCAAUUCCAAAUUCUUUCAAUUUUAUCAAUUUAGUUUUAAAAAUUUACGCGAAAUUUCAGUAGUCAUUUUGGUCAACUUUCGCUAGAAAUCAUUGAUGUAGCAGUCUAAGUAUCGUCAGCCGUCUUAUGUGGUACACUACAAUGUUAGCAAUUUUAAGCAAAAUUAGCCAAAAUGAUUAUAUUAUGAUUUUGAGCAAAGAUUUUAAAUUAAUUUGAUAAAAUCAAAAAGUUUAUAACUUAAUUGAGGGAAAUUUUCAAAAAAUGACCUGAAGUGCCAUGAUUUUCUCAAAUAAGGACUCAAAGUGAACUUUGUUUCAAAUAAGGACUUGAAGUGGCAUUGAUUGUUUCAAAUAAGGACCUGAAGUGGUUUUGGUUGUUUUAAAUAAGGACUUGACUACAUCGGUUGCCGAUUGAUUAAAUUUUCCAACUGGUUAAUGGUAUUUUAAUUAUUUACCAUUUCCCUUAUUUUCUUCCUUUUUUCUCUUUUAUUUCCCUUUUUUUUUUUUUUUGUUCUUCUUUUUCCGCUUCACCGGUGGUUGGCCAGUCACUGGCAAUGCCCAUAGAGGGCUGGGCGAGGGUUGCCCUCAUCGACAAGGGCCACCCACGCCAGCCACAGGUGAGGUGACGCUCUCCUAGGGCCAUCUGCGAGGUUGGCCUUCGUCUACCCCAGACGAGGGCUCGACCACCCUUGCCAGCCAUAGGCGAGGCCCAAGCGAGGGCUCGACCACCCUCGCCAGCAGGCAACGACCCUCGCUGGCCCUUACCAACGGCCGGUCUGGCAAGGGUCGCCUCGCCCAAGUGAGUCUAUCCCUCACCUAUGGUCGGUGUGGGCGGCCCUCAUCGGCAAGGGUGACCCUCGCCCAACCCUCUGUGGGCAUCGUCAGUGGCUGGCUGACCACCAGUGAAGAGGAAGAAGAAGAACUAGCAAAAAAAAAAAGAAAAAGAAAUGGCAAAUGACAAAAAUAUCUUUGAUCGUCGGAAAGUCAGGUUCAUAUUUGAAAUAGACAUAGUCACUUCAGGUUCUCAUUUGAAAUAACAUUCACUUCAGGCCCUUAUUUGAGAAAGUAAUGUCACUUUAUAUUCUUAUUUGAAACAAGGUCCACUUCAAGUCCUUAUUUGAGAAAAUAAGGGCACUUUAGGUCCCUUUUUGGAAUUUUCCCCUAAAUUGAUACAUUUAUAAAUAAUUUUAGAUUUGAUUUGACAAUCUCCCCGAUAAUUAUAACCGGCAACCACUUUAUUAAAUAAAAUUUGGCUUGUUGACAUCCACGGUCUACUUGCAACUCUCACGUAAAAUACUUACUCUUCUUCUUAUGCUUACAUAGACCCAACGAGCUUCGAUCCAAGGUUGAUCCUGGACUAACCCUGGACCAGCCUAACCCUACUGGUCCUGGUUCGGUUCCUAAAAAGAUUGGGUCGGUCCUUGGUCCUAAAAUUUCUGGACCAGCACUAUGCGGGUUGGUUUUCGGUCCUGAGAGUUUCGAGUUGGUCAAAUCCAAACCAACCCUGAUUAUAUAUAAUAUUAUUUAUAAUUUUUUAUAUAGAGAAAACCUUAAAAUUAAACGGCUUUAACAACAUUAAACGGCUCUUUAGUAAGAAGUUCAAGUAAUUUUACAUUGUUCUUUAAUAACUUAGGUUUUUAAUGUCUUUUACGACGUCAAUUGUCAUAAUUUACGAAGGAUGAAAAUGUUUUUAUGAGGAGUCCUCACGGCAUCCAAAAAGGCACCUUAUGGCAUCUUUUUUUAGUAUUCUUUCUCUUCUAUCUUAUUUGUUUUCUUAGUCUUCAAUUUGCUAAAAUCGAAAAAAAACAACUUCUCCGCUCACCACUUGACACUCGCCUUGCUCGCUUUGGGUCACUUGUGCCGCUCGAUGCUCGCUUGGCUUGUUGCUCCUUGCUCGAUAUUCGAUGCUCAUUCUAUUCAACGCUCACCUCGCUUGAUCCUCACCGCUUGUCUUUCUUAGCUGACCUUGCUCAUCAUCGAAUCCAUUGGGUUGGUACGGUCCCUUUCAAAGAGUACAAAAAAUGAAAUAAAAAAUUAUUGGUUAGUCCUGAGUUGACAUUGAAACUGGACCAAACUUAUUGGAUCAGUCUAAUCCUCAAUCGUUUUUUUAAGGAGUACAAAAAAUGAAAUAAAAUAUUAUCAGUUGAUCCGGGUUGACCCUGAAACUGAAUUGAACCCAUUGGGUCGGUCCGGUCCUCAAUCUCAAGCUCAAUAGGGUCGAUCCUCAGCUCCAAAAAUUGAGAACCGGCAUUGUGCAGAUUGGUCCUAAGGUUAAGGGUGGACUAGCCCAACUUGGAUCAUGCUCACCCCUACCCAAGGGUGUCAAAUGAAACUAGAAAAACUUAUGGAGGGGGGGUGGGGAGCAAAAAUAGAGCUUCCAACAAAACUCAGGUGCAAAACGGAAUUUUUUAAAGAAAUAAAAAAAAUAAUGUGGCUACGGUAAAAAAGCAGAGCAAAAGAACAUCAGUCCCGCCAUCACUAGCAUGGUUUUUCUUCGAAGAGAGCGCUUCAAGCGAGCGCUCUCUCUCUCUCUCGAGACUAUGGAUCGAUUCGAUUACUACCCUCAUCGAUCGAUCGAUUCGAAUCCCGUUGAACAGGUUGAGAUUCCAUGGAGCAUCACGGGUUGGAGGAGGCAGAGAAGUCUCGGGUUGCUGAGCUUGGCUCUCGAUUUCGGCUUCGACAAGCAGUCCUCCAGCAAGUGCCUGGGACUGUCUCGUUUCGCUCUGUAGUAACUUUAAUCGUUACUUUGUCACUCAUCUUUUCUUUUUUCUUUAUGCUGAUAAGCAUUUGCAGAGGUUAAAUUGUGUAGGUAUUUCAUCGUCCACCACGACGAUGGUGAUGAUGGCUAGGGAAUAGUCUGCUCUAAGCUUGAAUAGAUCGGAGCGGGUUUGGUGAAGUAGUCUUAUCUCUGAUGAUAACUGGGCACGCGGCAAAGUUUUUCUUGCUUAUUGGCCAAAAUGCGCUGUAUCUGGUCAUUAGAUAAUGACAGCAAAUAAUCAAUGUCUUGGUAUUAUGCACAGUUGCAAAUGAAUUUAUAUAGAAAUGAAGCUCUUCUGUUAAUGCAUUUUUCAUUUUGACUUUUAAUUCCAAAUUGCUGAUGAGUGUAUUGAUUGAACGUACCAAUGGCAAUACUGGCAUUGCCUUUGGCAUUCAUGGCGGCAACAAAGGGUUACGGGCUAAUCAUUACAAUGCCAGCAUCUAUGAGUUUGGAAAGAAGGAUCAUCCUCCGUGCUUUUGGAGCUGAGGUGGUCCUGACCAAUCCUGCCAAGGGCGUGAAGGGGGCUAUUCAGAAGGCAGUGGAGAUAAUGGCAAGGAAACCUAACUCUUACAUUCUUCAGCAGUUCGAGAAUCCUGCUAACCCAAAGGUACAUGUGUGGUCAACUGUCAUGUCUUGCUGGUUGUGUAUGCAGGUGAUAACACGAACUUCAGCUUGGUUGUCAUUGUUCUGUUUAAAUACAUUAUAAAACAACCGGACCAGAGAUAUGGAAAGGCUUGGGCGCCAAAGUAGACGCCUUUGUUUCUGGGAUAGGAACUGGUGGUACUAAAACUGGUGCUGAAAAGUUUCUGAAAGAGCUAAACCCUCAUAUAAAGGCAGAUUGUUUUUAUGAUACUGUUUAUCACGUGUUGAACGACAAAAUAUUGUCAAUUUUGGGUGAUUAUCAACUAUGGAUGCCUUGAAUAAAAAACCUUGUGCCUGAACAUUCUUUUUGUGUUGAACCUGUUGAAAGCCCCUUAUUAUCUGGAGGCAAGCUUGGUUAGUUCCCUUGAACACGUUCAUACCUUUCGCGAUUAUUAAAUCUCCAUGCACAAUCUAGUUUAUCAUCCAAUUUUGUUUCAUUAAGAUUGGUUGAUGACCUGUGAGAGAUUGAUAUGAUGUGGUCUCAUUUUUAGUCCUUAUAGUUCAAGGCUCAUGGUUUCGCAUCAUUGCAUGGGAAGAGAAACAAACGGUCUCCGUAGAAAGCUAAAACAUGAGAUGCUAAAUUGUUGAUAUAAAUAGGCUGAUAAAAAAAGAAAUAGAAAAGAAAAGAAAUAGAAAAUUAAAAGAAAAUUAAAAAUAAUUCAAAUUAAAAAAAAUAAAAUAAAAAAUAAAAAAUCAUUCUAACAAAAAAAGAAAAGAAGAAAAAGAAAGGGGAGAAGGAAGUGAGGAUUUAUAGAUGUGUGAGAUAAGAGAGAUUAAGUUAGGAAAAUAUUUUUCACUUUUCAAAAGUAGAAAAUAUUUUCCUUUAAUUUAGAAGACUUUUUUUUCCUUUCAUGGAAAACAUUUUCCCGGAAAUUAUUUUCCGCAAAACGAAUGGAGCCUUAAAUAUUGAUAAUUUUCCUUACUCAUUAUAACUUUUUUCAAUCAAAUGAAAGUUUGAUCACCUUGUGUUCGCAACUCUCCUUUAACGUUUGCAAAUCCAAAUUCUAUGACAAAAAGUAGAUUCCGCAAAACAAAUUUGACGAAUUGGUUUUUUUCCCUUUCUUAUCCAGUGGUCCACGUUGAAUGCGGGACCAGUCCCAUAAAAGGAGAGCUUCGACUUAUGGAAUUUCCAUUGUGAUCAUGAUGUUUAUGGCACAACAAAAUAAUGUUUUCUUUUUUGCCAAACAGUAACGUGGUGUUAGUACCAACCAAAAAAAAAAAAAACAAUGUUGAAAACCUAUCUUUCCAAAUUAUUUGAAGUUUGCUCUAUAUAUAUAUAAAGCUAAAAAUUUAAAUUAAGAUAAGUAUUACUUUAUCAAUUUUUCCUUUUGCUGAUAAACAGCAACAGAUAAAAAGAAAUUUGAGAUACUUUUCAUAUUCUUAUGUAUACAAAGAAGCCUUUACCCAUAUUCCGAUCUGCCAAGUUCAAGAAUGAUUCAAGCCCGGAAAAGAAAAAUGUAAAAUAAAAAGGCCCCCAUCCCCCAAAAACCAACCAGACCCAACCGUGGAGGCAAAAAUAGAACUUCAACAAACUUCGGGUGCGAAAACGGAAUUUUCAAAAGAAUGGAAAAAAUAUGGCUCNNNNNNNNNNNNNNNNNNNNNNNNNNNNNNNNNNNNNNNNNNNNNNNNNNNNNNNNNNNNNNNNNNNNNNNNNNNNNNNNNNNNNNNNNNNNNNNNNNNNAUAAAAUAGGAAAGGAAAAACAUCAUCAAUCCCGCCAUAGUUGGCAGGGUUUUUCGAACAGAGCACUUCGAGCGCGCGCUCUCUCUCUCUCUCUCAAGAGACUACGGAUCGAUUCAAUUCCACUUCGUGCAUCAUCGAUCGAUCGCUCGAAUCGCGUCGAGCAGGUUGAGAUUCCAUGGAGGUAUCGGGGCUUGGAGGUAGAGAAAGCUCGGUUGCAGAACUUGGCUCUCGAGUUCGGCUUCAACGAGCAGUCCGCCAGCAAGUGCUUGGAUCGUAACGUUUCCCUCUACGGUAACUCGGAUCGUUACUUCGUCGCCCAUUUUUCAUGCUGAUUACCGUUGGCAGAGGUUAUGUAGGUAUUUCUCGUCCCCGCGAAGACGAUGGCUGUGGAAUAGUUUGUUCUAGGUUUGAAAAGGAGCACUUUUUGUCCUGGUCAGCGUUGCGGAGGUUGUAUAGGUCCUUCUGGAAGUCUGCUUUAGGUUUGAAUAGAUUGGAGCUGGUUUAGCGAAGUAGUCUUUUUGACGAACAAAAUGUCUGGUGCUGUUCCAGUUUGAUGUGUUUAGGUUGCUUUGGGUGGUGGUUUUUCUUGGUUAUUAGCCGAAUCGCGUGAUAUCUGGUGAUUAGGGAAUGACGUAAUUGCUUGUGUUGUGAAGAUAAUUUUUCAUUGAUCGAUUGUGCAUUUGCAAGGAAGGAGAUCUAUUGCUGUCAGUCGUCACUCUGAUGAUGGCUCUGGAAUAGUCUCCCUUUUGGAUUUGAAUGGACCGGAGCUGGUUAAAUCUAGUUCAUUGAGCGUUAAUCCCAUCCCCGUUUCUCCGAGGGUUUUGCGGAGUAGUCUUAUUGACUAGCGAAAUGUCUAACUUAUCUCUGAACUAACCACAAAUUACAUAUGGUGUCUUGCCUACAAUUAAGUAUGGCAUCUCACGGUAUUAGCUGCAGAUUACAUGUAGAUUGUAAUUAUUUGAUCUUUUUUUGGUCAUGGAACUUGCAAAAUCAUCUCUCUUCUUUUGGUUGUCUGAAGGUGAUGAAGGUCAAGAAUUUAUCACUGUGGAGCACUAUGGCGAUGAUUUUCUAGCAGAACUCGCCGAAACUAUGCAAGACACUGAGGAUUGGGAUGAUUUGCAAGCUGCAGAAUCAGAAGCUUGUGGAGUUUUGACUGAUAUGUUUGGCCAAGAUACCCCUAAUGAUAGCAAAUGCAAUGUUGUGCACGAUAUUAAUAUUAUAGAAGAUUCUCCACAACCUGAGAAAAAUCGGACUGUUUUUUUAGGUGGAUUCCUCUACUGACAGUGAAGACGAAGAAAUAUAUUUGGCAGUAAAAUGGACAGGAAACCCUCAUGCUAUAUUCCUGAUCAAAGCAGUACUCCAAGCAAUUCAUCCACUCAACUUCUGGCCAGACCAUCUUCAGAAUACAUGGUAUGCUUCUGAAAACUGUGAAUUUGUCUCGCUCCUUCUGCCCCCACCNNNNNNNNNNNNNNNNNNNNNNNNNNNNNNNNNNNNNNNNNNNNNNNNNNNNNNNNNNNNNNNNNNNNNNNNNNNNNNNNNNNNNNNNNNNNNNNNNNNNNNNNNNNNNNNNNNNNUGUCUCAGUAUUGUAUAGGGUUGGCCUUUCGGUGAAGCAACUGUGGACACCUGAAGAGGCCACAGUAGUUACUGGGAAAAUCCCAGGAGUCUGGCCACAAUGGUCUAGUUGUUUAGGAGGUUGACAAAAAGUUGGCAGAUCUGGGCACUACUUUUUGUUCUUUUAACAAUGAUUCUGCAACCCAUAUAUCCAUUUAUUUUUGUUGCUGAGGUAUAUCGGGGUCAACAAGGACAAUGAGAAGAAUUGAGAACAGACUGUCUUGGUUUUUGAUUGGGAGAGAUUAGAGUAUCCUUCUUAUAAAACUGUUGGGAAACGCUUUCCACUCGUCUCAUUCGUUUUUGAUUGACUCUCACAACUGGCGUUUUGGUUAGUGAGACAUUGAUUUAUUACUAUUGUAAUUCCCUCUUGGUCCUUGUGGAACAACUCCUCCUGUUGACGUAGAUGAAACUGCUCAUCCCCUUAAAUUAGGGUGUCACUGUUCUUUGCUCUUAAAAAUAUGUCUUUCCUGUCAUUUCCAGUUUGCUUGUAAUUCUGCUCCCAGCAAAGGACCUCAUGCAAUGUAACUGUACAAAAGUAUUUAAUAAAUUGCUUAUGAGGUCUCUCAUCUGAUCAAAUGUUUGGUAGACACUCCUAACUUGCCAGUUACUUCCACGGUCUUUAAGAUCUAAAAUGACUUUAUUAGAACUGUUUGGUCAAUAAAAACAGUUGACUUUUGUUUUGGAUGACAUAACAAUACCCAUAUUCCAUACGUCCCAUUGAUGGCCUUAACUGCAACUGCCACUUAGCCAGUUCAUGAGGUACGAAACUUGCACAUUAUCCUCCAGAUCAUGUUAAAAAAUCAUUUGGGUAUGAUCGAAAUGUACAUCUAUUGCAGGAUAUCCUAAAAGCUCUUGGGAUCCGCCAUGCUCUUGUUCUGGAGCCAAGCGUUGACAGACCAAACCUAAAAUAUGAGGUCAUAGCUAAGACCAAUGAACCACUGAAGCAGCUUGGAGAGCUGCUAAAGAAUCGNNNNNNNNNNNNNNNNNNNNNNNNNNNNNNNNNNNNNNNNNNNNNNNNNNNNNNNNNNNNNNNNNNNNNNNNNNNNNNNNNNNNNNNNNNNNNNNNNNNNAUGUUGCAAAAUACUUGAAUGAUAAGUGCGGUAUAAAAGACAGGGUACUAUCAUGCUGGAUUAGCAGCCAUCAAAGAGUAGCUGUUCAAAAGAAAUGGCAUACUGGAGAGGUCCAGGUUGUAUGAGUAACCAUUGCUUUGGGAUGGGAAUAGAGAAACCUGAUGUUAUAAGUUGAAAUGGACUCUAAGCCUUUGCCUGCUUUUAGUUUUAGAAUCAAGGUGACAUGCUGGCAAAUGCUCAACUAUUUCACUUUUUUUCUAAUGUUUAGCUUCGCUGAUCGGUUUGAUAGUUUGCUUGGAAGUAAACUUUGCUGUUUCCAUGGUUGAGUGGCCUGCUAAAUUGUCAUUCUUGGCUAUUGAUUGCGGGAACUAGCAAAUUAUGUGUCUUUUUCAAGUCAAAUUCUUUCUUCCAUGCAUGGAACUUUGGUGUGCUGAAAUUAAGUUAAACUAGGAUAAAGUUCUUUUCUUUACUGUAAAAGUGGCAAAUGAAUCUGAUCUAACUUGACUUUCUGUUAUAAUGUCUGUCAUAUUUCAACUUAUUUUAGUUGGUUCAGUAAUUAUUUUUUUUAUGGCCUGUGGUCAGUGUUUUGUCGUCCACAACACAAUGUCCAAGUCAAUCGAAAGCUACUACCAAGAAUCAAGGAGGGCAGGAAGAGAUAAUCUACCAGCAGUGGGCAUUGCUCUAUAUGGCAAAAAGGAUUUCAGCCGGGUUGUGUCCAUGUUAAGGAGUGGUCAAGGAUGUAAAACAGAAAUCCUUAGAAGUGCAAUGGCUUAAGCUAGGAAAAUGCAGCAAUAUUGUGAACUCAAGGUAAUCCAGUUUCUCAAUUUAUCUCUGAUGAUCUCAACUAAGCGAUGCUUCUAUUUUGUCUUUACACUUUCCAUUUUGUUCUAUUGAUUGUUGUUAGUGUUGGUCUGGCAUUAACUCGUCUGCGUGCUGGAUUAUUAGAUGGGUCUGUUGACAACAUAUUCAAACAAUAAUGGAACCUUUGGGAUAAACUCAUAAUCCGCACACCUAAAUGGAGCAAAGUCUAUUGAUAAACAUGCGUUUCCUCUCUAAUUUGUGAAAUUCUCAGGAUGAGUGAUGGCGGCAAACCUUACUUGGACACUAUGGCAAGUCUUUGAAUCAGAAAGACUGUAAAUACGGUUCUAAUCCCUAUGACAAUUGUCUCAAAGCCUCUAUCGAGCUAAACCUUUCAGGUGUCAACUCUCCUGAGGGCGAAAGGUGUUGACUUACGCAUGACCUUGAGCCGCACAGUUCUAGUUCCAUCAUCCGCAAUUAUUGGAAGACUAAAUGGUAAUGGAGGGGCAGAGGUCCUUAACUAUGGACACAGAAUUCUUCAGUUCCGAUGGUUCAAUAGGACGAUUCGACCAGUUGACCUUUAGACUAGAACCCAAACCGGUUCUUUGACCGUCCGGGUCUGGAAGCGCUGCUUGACACGAUUUCAAGACCCGAUUAUUACAUGUAAACAAUAAUUGCCGGCUCUCACAGCGAUAUUGCUGUGAUAACAUGGAGGUUUGAGCGGCACUAACUUGGCAGAGAUAUGGUGGCUACUCGAUGCUGACAUUAUCUUCCUAAGGAUGAUGCAAGGUCAGGCCGUGGCACUAACUUGGCGGUGAAUAGCGCUAGCUUGUCUGAUGAGUGGUUCGUUGACAAAUGAGUGUCGAAGUUUGGCGGGGUAUGAUGGCACAGAUUGGAGGAGUUUUUGUCGUCCCGUUUCGUGAGGCUUUCAUCCAUGGUGGAGUUGGGUCGCAGUGGACCUCAAUUCAGCAACGUGAUUCUUGGAUUCAAAGUCUUUUUCAGUAGAUUUCUGCAGAGGCUGUCUCAACGGGGAUGGCGAGCUUCGAAACGCUUGCGAGCGACGAAUGAACUGAAGGCCUUUUGUACAUAACCAGAAUGUCUAAUACAGGUACUGGCGAUCAGUUAUGUACACCCCAAAGUAGUAUAGAGAUGCACAAUAUCAUGAAUGUAGACAUAAAAUGACCAUCUACAAGAUGCACACAUUAUUCUGAAUAUGUAAGAGAUUUGGUAAUUGUGUGUUGUUCACCGCAAUCAUAUCUGACAAUUUGUAACAUUGUUUUGUAAAUUAAUGAUUUUUAUCCAAUAUUGCAAUUAAACAGAUUAUGGGUGUUGUUUGAAGGGAGGUUUUUGGCUCAUACUUUUGUUAGACAAAUAGGAGCCUGGUACAAUUUUUACACUUAAAGUUAGGUUUUCCUCUAUAUAUAUAGCUUUUCAGAGUUUGAAAUUAGGUUUUUAUUUAAUGUUAACAUCUCAAUUUUUUGAAACUCGGAGAAUGAUUUUCAAAGCUGGCGUUUUAAUUUGGUUCGUAGCAAGAAAAAUUUCUUGUUAAUUAUUUAUGGGUUAUUGAAUGCGUGAAAAUGAGUAAACAUGGUAUUUGUCUUCUGCAGUAUUGCUUGGUAAUUGGAUUUGGUUGUUAAUGUGUAAACAAAGAAAUAAUAUUCAUCUUCAGUCGCAAAAAAGAUAAAUAAAUAAAUAAAAGAAGAAGAAGAUUUUGAAUAGAAGGCGCGGUUUAAGAAAUUGUUCAAGAAAUUAUGUUCUAUUAUUAGAAGAUAUGCGAAGAACACUAUUUACUAUCAAUUAUUAAAAUGUUUGCAUCUUGGAUAAUGUUUUUUAUUGAUUCAUAACCAAUGACUUUCAAAAAUAGUCGCAGGACAAGUUAUUGAAGCCAAUUAGAUUAUUCUAUCAAAAGAACUAUAAAUGAAUAUUAUCUUUUUGAUAGCUGAUCAUAAUUAAAUUUUAUCACUUCCAUUUUAUAUCAAUCUUGGCAGAGGAUAUUCUUACCUUUUACCAAAAAAAAAAAAAAAAAUCUUGGCAGAGGAGAACUAAUAAGUGUAAUUUGGCCAAAAUAAGAAAAAUUGUAUACUUCGUCAGUCACUAAUUAUUUGUCUUGGUCUUUUAUAAUGGUUUGAGUCUUGGUCUUUGUUUUUUAUUUUUUUUCGCUAGAAAUAGUCUUGGUCUUCGUAGCAUCUUCCACUAGCUAACAUGGAUGGGACCUUAGAUUGUGACAGUCUCCCCAAGGGUAAGAAUCAAUAUUUGCCUUUUAAAAGAUGGUCAUGGAUAAUGAUGUAGAAAUAUGAUAUUCUUAAAUUAAUCAUUGUAGGUAAAAGCACAGCAAUUAUAAUAUUAUUUCAAUUUAAAAAAUAGAAUUAAAUAGGAAAACUACUCUUAUUUAUGAAUGUACUUACGCAAUACUAUCGUUAGAUUAUAAUUAUUAUUGGUUGUAAUCUUGCUGAGAUGAUUCAAUGUUUGCUGAGAUUUCAUGUAUACAUUUAUGAAUGCAGCCAACACUUAGAAAGAUUAUUGAAAUCUCUUGAAAUUGUGACAAGAGGGCAAACAAAGAAAUAAUUAAAUGUUGGAAAUGUGGUACGGUCACUUUUCAACUUGCUCACAGGAAGAAAACGGUAAGUAGAUGCUAAUCUGCAAAUUCAUUAAUUGAUUCUUGUCCAUCUCCUUCUAAGUUCUAAACUUCAUCAAUCCAUUGAAUGUGCGAGUAUAUUUCAGACAAGUUAUAAUAAGGUGCAUAUAAUUAUAUAGUAUUUUCCAUUUGAUAAACAGUGCGAUGCACUAAAUAAACCAUAUAGUCCAACCACAUAUUUCCUCGACCUUUGAGAAUUAAGGAAAAAAUUAAACCAUUUCAUGGCAUCUUAUUUAAUAAGAUUUGAUCAAGCAGUGAAUGGAUUCCAAUUAGAUUGUUAUUUUGGACAUGCAUUGAAAAUGUAUAAAUGGAUGAAUUAUUUCUAGUAUAUCUCAUAUCGGCCUAUUGGAUUACGAUAUAUGGAAAUUGGAUCAGUGCUGAUGGUCAAACUACGUCUUGAGAUAUGUUAUAUAUUUAUAGGCCGGUUUCAUUUCAAGCUUAAUCACAAUUGACAUGAUUUCUAAGCUAACUACAAUCAAUGUAAUUUUCGAGCCUUAUCACCUCCCAAAACGUGACUUGAACUGAGCAUCGAGUUAUGCUUGGGCCAGCACCACCCACACAUGGUCGGCAUGGGCCUAGACAUUUUAAAAUUUAAUUUAAGAAAAAUUAAAUUAAAAACAAUGGUAAUUUUUUUCAAAUAAUAAAAAUAAUGAGAAAUCAGUUGAUGGAAAUUAAUAAGAAAAAACACUCAUUCAGUAAACCAAAUUGAACACAAGUAUAUCUUCUAAUAAUUUGAAAAAAAAAAUUACAUCUAGUGGUGCUCUAAUAAUGAUUACACUCACACAAUCGUGUCAUUCACCAUGAUUCAUAUAAUCCAUUACUGUCGGUGCUCUCAUGUCCAUGUUAGGCACCGUUCCUCCAAAGUUAAUCACUGUUUCGUACGGACGCCUUGUAUGUGCCUCAAAACUAGGCAAUCGAUGUUUCAUGUAUUCCACCGGAAUUGAGUGUUUUACCUAAUCUUUUUUGUAUUUGUGUUCUGCAUCUACCAAUUCCUUUAUAUAGAUAGCCAUUUCCGAAAUUCCUACCUCUUUUUCCUAUUAUUUGCAAUUAAUUGUAUCAUAAGGAUGCGUAUAUUAGUCUUUGGCUUAACAUUAUCUCCCCUGCAAAAUGGAUUCCACUCGAGAAAGGCACUCUAAAGACCAAUGUGGAUGGCUCGCAUGCGAAGGGACAGAGAACAGGAAGCGUUGCCCUGCGUUUGUAGAGACGAGUCUAGGAACGUUGUCGCUGGAUUUACGAAGGAAGUGCAGGCGAACUCGACGGAGCAAGUGAAAGCUCUAGCGUGCACAGAAGCCAUAUGCUUCUUCUCUUCUACUUAUGAACUCAAGUACUAUCUAGAGUUAGAUAAUUAGAUAACGAAAAGCGCGCUUUCAGAUCAAGAACAGCCAACGUGGAGCAUCCAUGCUCUCAUCUCUGAAGGCAAAAACUUGCUGGCCAAUACAAGGGCAUCCGAUUAGCCCACUGUAGGAGAGAAGCGAGCCAAGUAGUUGAUUGAAUCUCUAAGGCCCAUCGGCAAAAAUCCCUUCCCACCAACUGGGUUUCUUAUCCCCAAAAAUAUUGUAGCAUCUAAUUUGUUUAGAGGUUCGCUUAGUUUGUAAUUGCGGAACUACUUGAAAUAAUGAAAGCAGUUUAUUUUGACAAAAAAAAAAACAUUUAGAUUUCUCCACCAUCUCCCGAAAUGUAGAAGAUUGUACAAAAUUUUUGUAGAAACACUUAAUUGCAUAAUUUUUCGAUAAUCAGGGUUCUNNNNNNNNNNNNNNNNNNNNNNNNNNNNNNNNNNNNNNNNNNNNNNNNNNNNNNNNNNNNNNNNNNNNNNNNNNNNNNNNNNNNNNNNNNNNNNNNNNNNNNNNNNNNNNNNNNNNNNNNNNNNNNNNNNNNNNNNNNNNNNNNNNNNNNNNNNNNNNNNNNNNNNNNNNNNNNNNNNNNNNNNNNNNNNNNNNNNNNNNNNNNNNNNNNNNNNNNNNNNNNNNNNNNNNNNNNNNNNNNNNNNNNNNNNNNNNNNNUCUUUCGCGUGGCUCCUCACACUUGCCCAUCCACCACUGCGAGCGAUUGAUUCCAUGAAUCGGUCAGAGUCUUAGGCCUUAUGUGAUAAACAAAUGCAAAAAUGGCGGAUUUCUAGAAGGGCGACGGUGCUUUAUUUUGCUUGAAGGGGAUGAUUAGGAUGAACCCUUUGCCUUCACCUCUCUGUUUCGCUCAAUUCUUGGAGGGAUCGUGGAGAAGAUGAAGAAGCAUUGCGCCCCGGCCAUCGACAGGACCGGUCGGAUGAAUUCGAAGGGAAUGACUCCCAUCGUUUUUAGGCCAUGCAUUCUGAUGAAUUGUCUCUGCCAAUUGAAAAGGUCCAAUCUUGGACUCGAACCCACAACCGUGAGCUUUAAUCCUCAACAGAUGGCUUAUGUUGCAUAGGCAAAUGGAAAAUAAAGCAAUGAUUUUGUUAAUGAAUACAACGCGAUUUACCAUUCAUUGUUAAAAGAUUUGCAUCUUGGAAAUGUUUUAUUGGUUGACAAUCAUUGAUUUUUCAAUGAUAGAUGAGAAGAGUUAUUGAUGGAAUUGAAAGGACCAUCAAUGAGUUUACUUUUUUUGUUGGCUGAUCAUGAUGAAAUUUUGUCGCACUUUCAUUUUAUAUCGAUCUAGGCCAAGGACAACUAAUAGAUUUUAUUUGGCUGAAACAUCUUCUGACUAGGUAACAUAAAUAGAACCUUAGGCUCCAUAUGUUUCGCGGAAAACAUUAGACCAUGUGAUUGCAUUAAGGAGCCAUGAACCCAACCCUUUGCUAAUAGGGAGGCUGUUAUCAUCCGUGAACACAAAUAUUGGUACAAUUCCAUCAUUUAUCAGAUUGUUGUAGUCUCGAAAGCUCAAGAAUACAUCACGAUGAUCACUUCCCCCCUUUGGUGUUGGAGAGAUGAAUGUAGAUGUAGAUGCUCUGGCAGCGCUCUUCUUUUCAGCGAGCGCUAUUGCUUCCACUAUUUUUCCUUGUCUUGAGAAGAUUAUAAGCGCACACCGAAAGAAGAAUUGGCGCGACAAGCACCACUAAAAGAAUGCCCCAAAGCCGAACUGAUGGCACUUCGUUGUUCUCGUUGAUUUGGCUCUUCCCUUCAUCCAUGGAAGUCCAAUAGCAAAAAGAAAAAAAGGGAAAUGCCCUUCCUGUAGCGCAUAAAGGAUAGAUUAACGUAUCAACCGGACUUAUGCAUCAACUUGAAACGAUCGCCGCCACACGCUCAAGAGUGAAGUGCACAACUUCUUUUACCCAAGAAAAAGAAAAAUUACAGACCCAAGGGUGUCAAACGAAACCAGGAAAAACUUGUGGGGGGCAAAAAGAGAGCUUAAACAAACUUCGGGCGCGAAAACGGAAUAUUUAAUAAAUAGAAAGGUAAAACGUCAAUCCCGCCAUCGCUGGCGAGGUUUUUCGAACAGAGUACUUCGAGCGCACGCUCUCCAGAGAGAGGCUAGCGAUCGAUUCGAUUCCGGCUCGUGCAUCGUCGAUCGAUCGAAUCGCUCGAAAAGGUUGGAAUUCCACGGGGGAUUGGGGCUUGGAGGAGGUAGAGAAAGCUCGGGGUUGCUCAGCUUGGCUCUCGAGUUCAGCUUUGAUGAGCAGUCUGCUAGCAAGUGCUUGGACCAUCUCGUUUCGCUCUACGGUAACGCGAAUCAUUACGUCGAGUUAUGUAGCCCAUUUUUUAUGCUGAUUGGCCGUCGAAGCACUUGCUGGCAGACUGCUCGUCGAAGCUGAACUCGAGAGCCAAGCUCAGCAACCCCCGUGGUCCGUCCUCCAGCAACGCGGCGUCAAGGUCCGCGGAUCCGACGUAAGUGCCCCUUUUUCUCCCACGCGCAUUGCGCACGCUAGCAAGAACACUCGUUCGGCAGAUGACUUGACGCGCUAGCUCAGCUUGCGUAGUUCCCGUCCUGCUGGGUUGGCGUCGGAAUUCGCGAUAGCUUCGGUUCAUUCAAUGCACGAAAAGUUUCGCGCAAUGUUUUUUUUUUUUUUUUGGUUACGUGAAAGCCUAGUUGAGGUCUUGUAAUGCUCGGGGCGUCUUGAUUUCAGCUUUUCAUGCUUUGAAAUGUGCGGCCGUGAGUUGUGGGGAUAAGAGGUGGGAGAGUGUGUGAUGUGUUUGAUUUUAUGCUCCAUCCAGUGGAGAUGCGAAUAUGGGUUCCUGGGUAGUUUCGUAUACGGCCUUGCUGUUUGGAUAAUUCUUCUGUGGAUAAAUUGUCCUUGUUCUCAAGGAUUUUUCUGUGCUGGCUGAGCUGUGGUCAUUGGUCAAAUUUUGUACUCUGGACAUGCUUACUAACAAGAUUAGUGAGUUGACAGUCUCUUUAAAUGGGUUCGUAGGUUUUGUGUGAGAGGGUGAGUCUCCCGUUGAUGAACUUCACAUUUCAUAUCUCGAAAUUUGAGUUAGAUUCGAGAUACAGCAGGAUAAGUUUGGUGUGACUGUAAGAGAUUCAUGCCAAAUAUUAGGAUACGGAUAUCCAACAAACAUCAAACGGCAGAGAGGGCGGUCAGUUUGAUGAGUAUCAGCUGUCUCAUAAUUGGACUCGACUAUAAAGUGGUAAAUGAGGAUUGCACAUCGAGUGUGUUUAUCAGGUUGUUCAGUUUGGUAUUUUUCAUACAGUCAUAUAAUUUUUAAUUUCUCGCAUCACUGAACUAAGUGCAAAUCGCAUAUUGUAUAUUGUGUUUAUUUGAUCUCUUAUUUGCCAUGGAAUGUGCAAAAUCAUCUCUUUCUUCUUUUGGUUUUCUUAAGGUGACGAAGGUCAAGAGUUUAUCACUGUAGAGCACUGUGGCAAUGACUUCCUAGCAGAACUUGAUGAAACCAUGCGAGAUUCUAAGGAUUGGGAUGAAUUGCAAGCUGUGGAAAUCAGAAACUUGUGGAGUUUUGACUGACAUGUUUGGCCAAGAUAUCGGUAGUGACGGUGAAUGCAAUGGUAUACAAGAUAUCGAUAUUGUAGAAGAUUCUCCACAACCUAAGAAGAACCAAACUUUUCUUGAGGUGAAGAUUCCUCUACUGAUAGUGAUGACGAAGACAAUAUAUUUUCAGUAAAAUAGGCAGGAAAUCUACAUACUAUGUUCCUAACUAAAGUGGUACUCCGAGCGAUUCUUUCAUUCAACUUUUGGCCGAACAAUUUUUUAGAAUCCAUGGUAUGCUUCAACCAUGGACAUAGCCAAUACAUGCCAAACCACUUAAAUCACUAUGUCACUGUUAUGUUCUCAUAUAAUUUAUUCUCUGCUUGAUCAUUUUUAAUUUUGCUUGCAAUUUUGCACAUAGCAAAGGACCUACAUGAUGUACAUGUACAAAAGCAUUUAGUAAAUUUUUCUUGUGGUGCCUCUCAUCCAAUGAAAUGUCCAAUAGACAGUCAUAACUUUUGCCAAUUGCUUCCAAAAUAUUCGAGAUCCAAAAUGACAUAUUGGAACUCUUUGGUCGAUAAAGAAGUUGACUUUUGUUUUGGAAGAUGUACAAGUACCUAUUUUCUCAAAAUACUUUGAGAGUAUAGCAAAUCAUCAAAGUGUGGAACUCAGUGAUCUAGUGUCUUUGAUAGGAGUGUUUUGCAUAAAUGAAGGCUUGUAAUUUCUUUGUGCACAUUUUUUAUUUUCCAUGACAAUCCAUUUCAGAAACUAUUACGGUGCUAAAGAGGCUUAUUCCUGUUGAAGGACUGUAAGAGCACUGUCACUCAAGGUUCAAUAUCAGUUUCAAAUAAAAACGGCCAAUGUUGUCAUAUUCAGAAAUAGAGCAUUUUGACCAAUGUGGCAUUAGGCAUGUAAAGCUUCUGUAGCCAAGCAAGAUUGCUUCAUUCUCAUGCUCAUUGGAGGUGGUAAAAGUUUAUGUUACUAGGUUAGUGAAUGUUAACAUUAUUUCAUUUGCGCAAUGAUCGAAUGAAGACGUAAGUGUGGAGACAAUGUUUAGAGCGCAAGCCCUGUGCACUUUGCUCAAUGGUUCCACUGAUUAAAUACUAGACAGAUAGACCUGUACAUUGAAAUUUUAAGCUUUUUAAUGAUCUUGUAAUCUGCUUUGUUAGCACUGUUGCAAAGUUUGUGCUUAAACUUAAGGAUGAAAAUAUUUUCGAAAUGCAAAUUAAGCUAUAGGAAGUGAUUCGGGUACAGAACCAUGGGUUCCAAUGUACAGGAUCUGACUAAGUUGGAAAAGAAUAUUAUACUGGACAUUCUUGUUCUGCCUUCGCACAUUUCUAUCUAUUCUGUGAUUUCUAGAAUUUGAGGUCUUUACUAUUCUUCUAGGACCUUCUAAUUACUUACUGAAAAAUUUAUCUUGUUUUUGCAUGUAAGUGUUGUUGUCAGUCAUAGUUAAGGUCCAAUUCAAAAGGGUUAUUAAGUCAAAGUUUUUAAAUUACUUGUGCCAAAUACAUAUUUAGAUCUCUAUAUUUCCUGCAGGUAUGUGCUAUGUUAUCAUCUCAACUGGGGUGAUCAUGUAAGAUGGAUCUUGGUAGCAUGCAACAUAUUUGAUCUACUGAAUCACGAAGGAAGAUAUUAAUCUGAAUUUAUUAAUUUAAGUUAUCCUGAAGUAUUUUCUGUUGAGUCUUGAAGUAGAUGAUAUAUGUUUCUAACUGAGGUAAAUAUAAGACAAACAGUGACAACUGGUGCUUUCUGAUCAGCCGAAGGUGAAUGAACGGAUAAUUCCCUCAUCCCAUCUUCUCUUCAUGUGCUCUUCUGAUGUUUUUACCCUUCGUUUCAGCUACCAACAACUCUUAAACCAGGUGUCACAUUUCAUUAUAUGUCCCCUGCUAUCUAUCAUCCAGGACAAAAUAAUUACUCUAACCCUCCAUAUGUUACAGUGGAUGCACAUUUUUUAUGUAUUUAAUGAAAAGGUUCAUGCCUAAGAUGUUUGCCUCAAAUAAAUUUUAGGAUCUUAGUGUUCCUAGAGAAGUAUAUCAUAGCAUACAAUCAUCAUNNNNNNNNNNNNNNNNNNNNNNNNNNNNNNNNNNNNNNNNNNNNNNNNNNNNNNNNNNNNNNNNNNNNNNNNNNNNNNNNNNNNNNNNNNNNNNNNNNNNNNNNNNNNNNNNNNNNNNNNNNNNNNNNNNNNNNNNNNNNNNNNNNNNNNNNNNNNNNNNNNNNNNNNNNNNNNNNNNNNNNNNNNNNNNNNNNNNNNNNNNNNUGCUUGCAUAGAAAGGUACUAUUUCUGAUACACUGUAACUUUCUUUUUAAAGUUUCUUUUUAACUUUUUGAUGCUCGACUGUCGUGCAUUGCAAGCACAACUAGCUGGUUUUGUUGUUGAUGAGGCACAUUGUGUGAGGUAUGUUCUUUGGCAUCCUUGCAUCUGAAGCAAAGUUAAUGCUAAAGUUACUUCAAAAGGAAUAUGUAUUUAUGAUGUUGCCACUGCAAAACUACUGUCCUUGUCCCAGAUAAAGAAGUUAACUUUUAUAUACACUCACUCAAACUCUCUUUUUUGAACGUUUUUGCAUAUUAUGUAUUUCUAGCCUAAGUACAUUGUCCGUAGUACACUGAACCUCCUGAAACCCAAACCUUCUGUGAUGAUCUAGUAUAACAGAAUGCAAUGUUGAAAUAACUAAUUUUGGAAAUGAUCUAGUUCCUUCUUGUGGGAAAAGUCAGUGGCACAUCGUUAAUCAAAUAAAGCAAAAUGCACACAACUAAAAUGAGUUCCAAUGGGAAUUACUUUCGGAAGUAAUUGGAAGUGUCCAUGUUUGGCUUGGUAGUCAGGUCUCUUUAGGUGGUUCUUGUGUCCCUAUUUAUUAUUUUAACCUUUUUACUAUAUGUUAACAACUUGGGACAUAAGGCAAAAGUUCACCCAUUGGAUCAUUGGUUGUGUUUCUUAUUAGGUCUUUACUGGAUUUGUGCCGCCAGUGCCAUCUCAUGAAAGAAACAUACUGCUGGUUUGAGCUUUUCUCAUAUAUUUGAAUGAUUGUAAAUGAGUAACGCUUAUUGAUCAUUACUUUCUCUGUUGUCAUUAUUGCAGUCCAUGGGAACGUGAAUUUUGUCCAAAUUAUAGAGGACUGGAAUGUCUCAAGCAAAACUUUCCAUAUGACCCUGUGAUGGCCUUAACUGCCACUGCCACCUGUUCGUGAGGUAUGAAACUUGCACAUUAACCUCCAGAUUUUGCUGAAAUAAUCAUUUGGGAAUGAUUGACAUCCUAAAAGCUUUCAGGAUCUGUCACGCCCCAAUCCUUGGGCACGCACACAUCCUUCAUCUUGGUCGAUUUUAUAAUGCGAUAUCCCAGGACAAUGUAUCGCCGACCCUUUUAAUUUUUAAGCACAUGCGGAAGCAGUUAAAAUCCCCAGACAAUAAAACGAUGGGAUAGAAAAGCAGGGCCAUAUUUUUCAUAUUGAAAUUUAUAACCAAACUUUUAUACAAACCACAAACCCUUCAUAACUAUUCACAUCAAAACGGAGAUCUCAAAAGAAGACAGAAACUUAGAUGAACUAGGCCGUACUCAAGGCCCCUCUCAGAAUUGUCUUCUUCUUCCAAAAAAUCCUUUUCUUCAGAUCUCACCUCCGAGUUCUCCUUCUCGGAUUCCUCCUCCACAGCUCUUCAGCGGGGUCCUGAAAUGGUUUUCCCCAAACUGGGAUGAGACUACGUCUCAGCGAGUUCUACCCCACUAAGCCCGAUUAGUAAACUAUUAUACUAAAGGCUGCCUAAACACGCACAGGGCAGAGGACUUACCUUGGCCUCAGAUCUUACCUGCAAGUCAGUACAAUUCACAAUAGGCACCCAUUUACUCAAAACAAAUCGAACCAGUCGAUUACAUGUCAUACAAUUCAAUCCCCACCGUGGGAUAUUUAAAAGCUAGGCCACGUGCAUUCUCCAGGACGACCUUCCAAGUCUCCGAGCCACGUGCCUCAAACCUCGGACCCACGUGCAUUCUCUAAGGCGACCUCUUCGCCAAGGUGGUACAUCAAGCCACCGAGCCACGUGUCCUUUUUACGAUGCCCGGGCCCACGUGCAUUCUCUAAGGUACUCGCUUACCAAAGUGACGCAUCAGAUCACCGAGCCACGUGCCCUUUUAGAUGCCAUUCCGAAUACUGGACCCACGUGCAUUCUCUAAGGUACUCGCUUACCAAAGUGACGCAUCAGAUCACCGAGCCACGUGUCCUUUUAGAUGCCUGGGCCCACGUGCAUUCUCUAAGGUACUCACUUACCAAAGUGACGCAUCAGAUCACCGAGCCACGUGCCCUUUUAGAUGCCAAACUCUGUCACCGAGCCACGUGCAUUCUCCAGGACGACAUACCAAGUCUCCGAGCCACGUGCAUUCUCUCAGGCGACCUCUUCGCCAAGGUGACAUAUUCAACCACUGAACUCACGUGCAUUUUCCAGGUGACAUUCCAAUUCACCGAGCCCACGUGUCCUCUUUCAAGCGGUUACCAAUCUUCUUUCAACACCGACAACCAAUGCCCAACGAUUUCUCAAUCAAAUAAUUAAAUCAAGUCAACAAAGCAUUAUAAAUGCUGAAUAACAUACUUGGCCAAUCACCAAUCAAUAAUUCAAUCUCAAUCGAUUCCAAUCAAUUUAGGGUAAAUCCCUAAAAUAUCACAAUUUAUUCAAUUCCAUACAACGUAGAGCUCAAAUAAAUAAACGGACUGCGCCACGACAAUCAGCACGAGAUUUCGGUCGUCGGCCAUCAACAUCUUAAUUUUUGAAAAAUAAUUAAUUUCGAAAAAUUAAAUAAUUAAUAUUAAAAAUUCAAUUUAGCUCAAAAUAAAGCCCGAUUAAAUAAACGGACUUCACCACGGUCAUCAGCAUAAUAUUCCGGUCCCGGGCCAUCUCAGUUGAAUUUUCGGAAAAUAAAUAAUUAUUUAAUUUAAUUCCGAAAAUUAAUAAUUAAAUACUAAAAAUAUCCACUUAGGCCCGAAAAGCCUAAUUGGAGCCCACUAAGGGUUGGGAAAAUUCCCGAAGCACUUCCAAUAAUUAGUAGACCACGUCUACUUGCUAAUUGCGCAAUCAAUUUAUCUAAAUCGCAUCACAAUUCACUAAUAAUUGCUAAUUUAUUCUAAUCUAACAACCUAAACAUAAUUAAUUAAAUCUAAACCAACCUUAAGCAUAAUUAGCCAACUAAUCCUGGAUUAGUGAGAUUACUCACCAAAUCGCAUCACAAAUCGGAUCAAUCCGACGGCGGCGACGCGAGGAACGAUUGUUCCCAAAGCACGGCUCGGGUUCGGGGCCCGGAAACGGCCCAAAACGGCCCAAGAGCCGGCUGAAAACCCACUUCGUGGGUUGCUGGAUUAGCUGCGAAACAGAGGAAAACAGAGAUGGUUAGAGGCGGAGAGGGGUGGGGAAAGCAAGAGGCGGUCCGGUGAGGCCACACGGCGGCUCCGGCGGCUUGCUCGGCCACUCACGGUGGCUGGACGAGACGGAACAGUGGCUGGUUCGUGCGGAGGGAGGAGCGGCCGCGAGCGACGGACGGCGGGACGGCGGCGGCGCACAGCCGCGGCCGCGGGUGCGGGCGCCGGUGCGGCCGGCGGGACAGCGACGGAGCUGCAACUUCUGGUCUUCUUCCGCUUCUGGUUUCCCGCGAAGAAGAAAGAAGAAAGAAGGAGAAGAAAGGAGCCGGUUCUGACGUGCAGGGGAAAAAAGAAGAGAGAGAGAGAAGGGAUAAGCAUUGACCGGUCAAAAGGGAAGAGAGAGGGAAUAGGCGGUCGGGAAGGGUUUCGCACGAGGGGGAGGGGAGAGAGAGAGAGAGAGAAAAAGAGAAAAGGGAAAGGGAAAGAAAAUAAUACUUUAAUAAGAAAACCCAAUUUUCUUAUUUCUAGUAUUUUCCUUUUUUUCAUUCCCUUUUUAUUUUCUUUCAGGUCUUCGAUUUUUCCUCCGAUAAUUUCUUUCUUGAAAUUUCGGACUCGGCAAUAAAUUGAUAGACGAUGAGACGGUCCUAAAAAUGAAUUGUGACACGUCUGAAUAUUCGAUUCCCGAAACCAAAUCAAAUUCCAUGGUUAAAAUCGACCGGACGUGAUUUUAGUCCAAUCCAACCAAUUAGGUAGCUUUUAGGGAUUUUACCAUGGAUAUAUCCCUUAAUAGCUUCACCCAAUAGGUUAGUUAACUCGUGAGUGAUCAGCUCAAAGAAAAAGGACCAUAGGCACGUCGACGAAAUGCACAUUUCAUUUUAUCGAAACGGGGUCAAAUUUCAGGAUGUCACAGGAUCCCCCAUGCUCUUGUUCUUGAGACAGAUUUGAUAGACCAAAUCUAAUGUCUGAGGUCAUAGCUAAGACCAAAGAACCAAUGAAGCAGCUUGGAGAGCUGUUAAAGAAUCAUUUUGCUAAUUUUUGUGGGAUAGUAUUUUGCCUCUCAAAGAGUAAAUGUGUUGAUGUUACCAAAUACUGAAUGAUACGUGCAGUAUAAAGACGGUGUACUAUCAUGCUGGAUUACCAGCCCAUCAAAGAGUAGCUGUUCAAAAGAAAUAACAUACUGGAGAGGUCCAGGUUGUAUGUGCUACCGUUGUUUUUGGCAUGGGAAUAGACAAACCUGAUGUUGUAAGUUGAAAUGGACUUUGCGCCUUUGUCUAUUUUUAGUUUUAGAAUCAAACUGACACGUUGGCAAAUACUCAAUUAAUCCACUUUUCUUCAAAUGUUUAAGUAUCACUAAUUGGUUUCUUAGUGUGCUUUGAAGUAAACUUUGUUAGUUCUAUGGUCCAGUGGCCUGCUAAAUUAUCAUUCUUGGCUAUUUUUCGAGCCGAAUUCUUUCUUCCAAGCACCAAAAUUAAGUUAAACUAGGAUAAAGUUCUUUUCUUUACUGUAAAAGUGGCAAAUGACUCUGAUCUAACUUGACCUUCAGUUAUAAUGUUUUAGUCAUAUUUUAACAUUUUUUUUAAUUUGGUUCAGUAAUUAUAUUUUAUGGCAUGUCAUCAGCAUUUUGUCAUCCACAACACAAUGUCAAAGUCAAUCGAAAGCUAUUACCAAGAAUCAGGGAGGGCAGGAAGAGAUCUACCAGCAAUUUUUCCACUCGACUUCUGGCCAGACAAUCUUUAGAAUCCAUGGUAUGCUUUAACCAUGGACAUAGCCAAUAUAUGCCAAACCACUUAAAUCCCUGUCACUGUUCUGUUCUCAUAUAAUUUAUUCUAUGCUUGAUCAUUUCCAAUUUGCUUGUGAUUCUGCACACAGCAAAGGACCUACACAAUGUACAUGUCCAAAAGCAUUUAGUAAAUUGCUUAGGGGGCUUCUCAUCCAAUCAAACGUCCAAUAGACAGUCUUUAACUUUGGCCAAUUUCUUUCACACUCUUCAAGAUCCAAAAUGACAUACUAGAACUCUUUGGUCAAUAAAGCAGUUGAUUUAAGCUUUGGAUGAUGUGCAAAUACCUAUAUUUCUCAAAUACUUUGAGAGUACAGCAAAUCAUCAAAGUGUGGAUUAGCAAUCCAGCAUCUUUGAUAGGAGUGUUUUGCGUAAAUGAAGGCUUGUGAUUUAUGCGGAGUGUUUGGACUGUCAAAUUAUUAAUCUUUGCCUGCCUUUUCAGAAAGAUAAACCAUUGUGCAAGCUACUGUAUGUAACUGCUGAAAGGAUUGUGGGAAACCCAUCAUUUCUUGAGAUAUUGUAAUGCUUGCAUAGAAAGGGAUUGUUUCUGAUGCACCAUAACUUUUUCUGAAAGGUUCUUUGUAAAUUUAUUAUAUUCAACCAUCAUGCAUUGCAGGCACAGCUAGCUGGUUUUGUUAUUGAUGAGGCACAUUAUGUGAUGAAUAUGUAAUAUUUGGCAUGCCUUGUACAUGAAGAAAGAUCAUGCUAGAGUUACUUCAAGAGGAAUAAUUAUUUGUGAUGUUGCCUCUGGAAAAAUGUUGUCCUUGUUCCUGAUAAAUAUAAGCAAGUUAACUUUUAUAUAUGCUAACUUAAACUCUUUUUCCAAACUUUUCUGCAUUUUCUGGGUUUCUAGCCUAAUUAAAUUGUCAGUGUUACUCUAGACCCUCCAAAGCCCAGAACCCUAUUAAGUUCUAAUAUAACCAAAUGCAGUGUUCCUUGUUUGAUGAAAAGAUUUAGGUUCCGUCAUUUGGGAACACUUAGCGGCACAUCGUAUAUUAUAUUGAGUAAAGAGGACACAAUUUAAUAAAACUCCAAUGGAAAGUACUCCUAGAGUAAUUGGAUCCAGCAUAAGCUUGGAUAAGAUCCAAUCUCCUCUUUAUGUUUGGCAGGACACUCAGUCUCUGAGUGGUUCUUGUAUCCCUAUUUNNNNNNNNNNNNNNNNNNNNNNNNNNNNNNNNNNNNNNNNNNNNNNNNNNNNNNNNNNNNNNNNNNNNNNNNNNNNNNNNNNNNNNNNNNNNNNNNNNNNNNNNNNNNNNNNNNNNNNNNNNNNNNNNNNNNNNNNNNNNNNNNNNNNNNNNNNNNNNNNNNNNNNNNNNNNNNNNNNNNNNNNNNNNNNNNNNNNNNNNNNNNNNNNNNNNNNNNNNNNNNNNNNNNNNNNNNNNNNNNNNNNNNNNNNNNNNNNNNNNNNNNNNNNNNNNNNNNNNNNNNNNNNNNNNNNNNNNNNNNNNNNNNNNNNNNNNNNNNNNNNNNNNNNNNNNNNNNNNNNNNNNNNNNNNNNNNNNNNNNNNNNNNNNNNNNNNNNNNNNNNNNNNNNNNNNNNNNNNNNNNNNNNNNNNNNNNNNNNNNNNNNNNNNNNNNNNNNAUGCUCUUGUUCUUGAGACAAGCUUUGACAGACUAAAUCUAAAAUAUGAGGUAAUAGCCAAGACCAAGGAACCACUGAAGCAGCUCGGAUAGCUGCUAAAGAAUCGUUUUGCUAAUUUGUGUGGCAUAGUAUAUUGCCUUUCAAAGAGUGAAUGCGUUGAUGUCGCAAAAUACUUGAAUAAGAAGUGAUGUAUAAAGACAGUGUACUAUCAUGUUAGAUUAGUAGCCCGCCAAAGGGUAGCUGUUCAAAAGAAAUGGCAAACUGAAGAGGUCCAAAUUGUAUGUUAUAAAAAGAAAUGGCAUACUAUCAUUCUUGUGUUAUUGACUAGCUAUAUUAUAAAUUAUAUAAUCAAUACAUUGACUUUACUAGCAACUUUUCUCAUGUUAUAUAUAAUCAGUAUGCUCAAAAUUAGAUUAUUUCAUGUUUAAUAUAUUUAACUAAUGUUUUGACUUGUUAGUGCGGCCCGCAUUACGUAUGAUUUAGUGCUUGAAUAUGCAAACUUGGCUUAACAAGUUAGUUAAAGUUUUGGUAAACAACGACCAAAUUUGAAUAUAUGAUUAUCUUGUGGGUAGCUUUUAACUACUAAAGUUCCACUGUUGUAAUGUAGUAUGAUGAAGAGGAACAUUUGAGAGUACUGGCCCCAAAGAAAAUGGUUCUAUUGAAACUUGAAAGCAUGACCAAUGACUACAAUUUGGUGUAGUAGAGUCCAAGUACUAACCAAGUAGAUGACCGUUCAAUGGUUUAGUCCAAAUUUGGCGUAGUAGAGUCCAAGUACUAACCAACUAGACGACCGUUCAACGGCUUGGUCCAAACCAAAUGGAUAUAAAUUUCGGGAAGAUUUAACAUUUUCUUUAUCAGUCAACUAUAGCCAACACCAAAGAAAAUUUGGUUUCAAGUAUGAUUAUGUAUGGCUGUGUCUACACUGCUUUAUAGGCUCAUGCUUAAAGGAAUCAAGUUUGAGAUUAUACUAUCAAAGUGAUUGCAAAAUGCCAAUACGUGAACUUCCCAAAAUCCAAGAGCUGAUUGUACACUAACGAACACUUUUAUGUUGCGCUCAAAAUUCUUCCGAGUGAAAAACUACUGUCUUUUGGGAACCUUUUUACUGAAAAUCUUGCCUGCAAUUGACAGAUUAUUUGCUGAUUCCAUGAUAUUCACUUUUUACAUUAAAGAAGUCUCUCACAUUCACAAAAUUGUAGCUAGAAGUGGACAUCUAAAACGGUAAUCUUGUUGACAAACAUGACUUUAUGCUUAACUUCACAUCCAAAACCACCUGUACAUGCAGUCUUCCUGCAAGCAUUUUGAAAUUCUACCUUUGCUAAAUAAUAGCAUGAUGUCAAAGUUUGCAAAGGACUACUUCACCGCAUUAGAAGAGGUCCCUUUAUAUCAAGAAUCCUAUCAAGAUUAUCAGCAUAGAGCACAUUAUAAACACCUUUAGCGAAGAACUUCGGAACACCUUUCCAUAACGUCUCAUGACAUAUCUCAUUUCGGUCCACAUCUCUGUCCUGUGAUGCUCGGGAAUGUUCUCUGAAUUUUAUGAAAUGCAACUUGAAUCUACACAAGAAGGAUUAUUUACUAAUUAUCAAUAAAUGGGGAUAUUUGAGAUCGGAGCAUCACAAUUUACAUCAUGAAAGAUAAGGUACAAAUGCACAAACAUCAUUUGCACCAAUUGCAGUUGGACCGUAAUGAACAGAGACUUCAUGAGCUGGCCGAUGAAAACGUAAACAACAGGCUUGGAAGAAGUAGCAAUUAGCAACACUUUCCCUGUUUGUGUUUAGGAACAUAAUUGAUGUCAAUAAAAAUAUGCUGAAAGGUGAAGUGCUUAAACUACAUAAUAGAAAGAUAAAUUUAUUAUUUGGUUAUUCUGCAAUAUCCUGUUAGCAAAAUCAGCAAAACAGGAUAGUUUGCUAGGAGGUGAAUUUUAACUUUACAAAGUCAACGUCGCAUGAGAACUGACCUUAUCAAAUUAAAAAAGUCAGAAACCUAUAUGACAACAUUCAAAGGAUAGUAUCACAUUGAUGAACUGAUAGAAAUGAAGGAGAUUGUCCUCAUGCAUACUUGCAUACUUUUCAGGUGCAAUUCCAUAGCUCAUAUAGUAUGAGCAAACAAGUUAUUUUUCCAAUGUUAUGGUACGACUAGUAGUGCAUACCUCCCUUUGCAGAGCCUUAUCAAGUUCCAGAAUGAUAACAUUAGAAUGCAACAGCAUUAAACAAACAUUUCUGCAUCAGGGUGACAUACAAAAAAAUCAGCAGCUACGUAUUGGAUUAACAGAGAGGUUGAACCUCAUGAACAUACAAAAAGCAGAUUCAACUCAAAAUACAACAUCAAAAUCAUUUGAGUAUGUGCUGUCGAGACCAGAUAAAGUGUACUAGAUCCUCACAAGCAUACAAAAUUCCCCAAGUAACAUAGAGAAUCUCAAGCGAAGACAAGUCACCGAUUUCACUUGGAAUUGCUCUUUUAGACAACAGCGUGAUGGGAAACUUAUAGUGCACCAAUUUUUCAACCUUCCUAUAGCACUAGGAAGCUUUUCAAUACCAGAACCACUAAUGUCUAAAUGUUGCAAAUUCUGUAAAUUUCAAGUUGAGCUACUGAUAUCAGUGAGCGACUCACAACAGCUCGCACUCGGUUUCUCCAGCUUCCUCAGAGAACUGAUAGACGUAGGAAUCUCAGUAAUAUCAGCAAAAUCUAAUAUAAGUUCUAAUUUGACAGAUUCACCUCCUUUCAGUUCUCACAUACCCAUCCGCUCUUGGUCCAGUCCGUUGCCACAUUCUUCUUCCAAGAUCCCAAAUCUCCUGUGGAUCCUAAGAUUGCCACACUCUCCCCAAUUUCAACUUGACGAUCCAGCCGAACGCUGAGAUGCACCUUUUCCCGUCCCAGCAAUGAUCUGAUCUUCUUUGCUUUCUUCUCCUCUUCUCUGCAAUGAACACAUUAUUUCAUAGCUUCUACCAAUAGCCUCCUUCCUUGUCUAAACAACUUAAACAACAAUUUUCACUUGAACCACCGAUUCAUUGUUUGUCAUUUAACACCACAUUCAAAGAGAAACCUCAAAUCAAGACGGUGUCAGAUAAUCCGUGCCGCUAGCUUUUAUUGCAACAAGAACUCGAAAGAAAAACAGAAUAACUCUUUUUUCCGCACCAAUUCUUGUUCAAGUAAUAAACCCCACAUAAACUCCAUCCACACUAGAGACUCAGAGAAACCUUUGAUCGAGAAUUCCAUAAAACAACUCAAUACCUCACUCCAAACCCCAGUGCUUGAUCAGACUGACAUAAGUGCACUGGAACAAAUCCAGAGAGAGAGAGAGAGAGAGAGACCUGGUUUUAGUGGUGAAAACACCGCGAACAACCAUGAAGGAGCGACUCUGAGCUGCAUGAGCUCCAUGCAUCCACAUGAGAGAAUCUUGAAGGGGAGAAGUAAUGCUGCUCUUCAAGAAAAAACUGGUCUCUUUACUUGGUUUUAGGUAUGAAAAUGCACAUGGCUGUGUCUCUUUUGCUUUUAUAUUUAUGCUUAAAUAAAUCAAGUUUGAGGUUAUAUGACCAAAAUGAUCGGAAGAUGCCUACAUAUGAAUUUCCGAUGUAACCAGACCAAAUGAAUGAUUUUAGAAUGCCAUUAUUUUGGGUUCAAAAUUCUUCCAAAUGAGAAACUACCGUCUUCUUGGAAACCUUUUCAUUGAAACUCUUGGCUGCAGUUGACAGAUUAUUUUUUGAUUCCACGGCAUUUGCUUUUUCCACGAAAAAAGUCUCUCCCAGUCACAAAACUGUAGCUUGAAGUGGACAUCUAAAUGGUAAUCUUGUUAACAAAUCUCAUUUUAUGCUUGACUUCACAUAUAAAACCACCUGCACAUGCAGUCUUCCUCCAAGUGAUUUGUGAUGCAGCCUUUGCUAAAGAAUAGCACGAUUUCAACCUUGCAAAGGACUAAUACACCACAUGAGAAGAGGUCGCCUUAUAUCAAGAACCUUUGAAGAGUAUUAACAACAUGGAGCAAAUGACAAAUGCCAAUGGCAAAGAACUUCAAAAUGCCUUUCUAUACUGACAUAGCUCAUUCUUGCCCUUAUCUAAACCCCGUGGUGUUUGGGGACUUCCUCCGAAUUUCAUCAAAUGCAGCUUUAAUCUGCACAAGGAAGAUAGCACUGAGUAAUUAUCAAUAAAUGAAGAUGUCCAAGAUCGUAGCAUCAGAAUUUACCUCAUGAGAGAUUAAGGUACAAAUGCAUAAACAUCGACACCAAUCAAAGUUGGACCACAAUGAAAGGUAACUUCAUUAGCUGGCCAAUGAAAAAGAAACCAACAAGCUUAAAAGAAGUAAGCAAUUAGCAACACUUUCCCAGUUUGUGUUUAGGAACAGAAUUGAAAUUAAUAAAAUUAUGCUGAAAAGGUGAAGUGCCUAAACUACAUAACAGAAAGAUGCAUUUCCUACUUGGUUAUUUUGCAAGAUCCAAUUAGCAAAAUUAGCAAUACUGAUCGUUUGCAAAGAGGUCAAUUUCAACUUUACAAAUCCAAUGCCACAUACAUGAGAAUUGAGCUUGUCAAACCUAUAUAAUAACAUUCAGAGGAUAUCAUCACACAAAUAAACUGAUAGAAAUGGAGGAGCCUAGCAAUGCAUACCUCCCUCUGCAUAGCAUCAUCAAUUCCAGAGUGAUAUCAUUAGACUGCAACCGCAUCAAACAACUCUGCAUCAGGGUAAGAUACAAAAACUCAUCAACUUAGUGUUUGAUUAAAGGAGAGCUAGAACCUAAUGAGCAUACAUAAAGCAUAUUUAAUUGAAAAAAAAUACAUGUACAAUCAUUUAGGGAUGUGACAUUGAGAUCAGAUCAAGUGUUUUGGAUCUUCAUGAGUAUCAAAACUUCCUUAGGACACUCCAGUCGGCCCCAAAGCCUCUUCAAGUUUGGCACGCAAGAUGGUCCUCAGCUGUUGCUGAUGCUUCCUCUGCAAAAUCCCUUUUCUUUAUUUUGAUCAAUCUCAAGUAUGGAAUUUGAAGUUCCUCAGCCAAGUGAGCCACACCCAAAUCAGUCAUGUAAUAAAGCAAUUCCAUGGCAAUAAUAGGAUCAAAUGGUAUGCAAACUAAUUAGCAAAUUCUUGAGCUCCUCAUCCUAGCUUGUUUCACGACGGGCAAAACAUUGUUCAUUAAUGCAAAAGUCAUCGAUACAGUUAAUCGAACUGAAGUCCCAAAGUAAGCCUUGAUCAUUACACAGACCAACCAAACCUGUCAUGGAAGCAGAACCAAUUUACCUUGCUUAAUAAUAUUCAAAACCAUAGUUUGACUACUAGUAAUGUUAAGGUGGCGUACAUUCAUAUAUGACAGACUAGCCAAAACUACUUUAACAUUUUUUUUUAUCACAAACCAAAAACACUUGAUAUGUUUUAUUUUAGCUCACUUCAUCAUACUUAAUGGGAAUCGAUGCUAUUCUUAGAAGGUUCAAGAGGAACAUCAAGGGAACAAUAAGAAACUUGACAGGGUUUCUGUUCAUUGCGGAAAACCAAUAUGUUUGUCUCAAACAGGACAUUUGCCAUUAGUCAAAUUUCACACAAAAGAACUCACAAAGUAACUCAAAAUGGCCAAGGAUUUUUUCAAAGAAAGUAUUAAUUAUGGACAGGGAAAUUCUGGGUGUAGUUUAAAAUAUUGAGUAGCAGAAGUUCAUCAGCCUCGAUUUGAAAAUUUCAAAUCCCAGGUUUACUUAUGGAGGAACUGUUAAAUCACUAGAGAAUUCUUGUUUACCUUUGCUUGAUAUUUUCAUCCUUGCCUCGCAAGCUGCUAAUCUGUUUGUAGUCUGCAGAAGCUGCCAAUGGAAGGAUAAACGAAAAUAUUGCUACAUCGUAACCGACAGCAAUAUGUGUAGGCAAAUUUGGAGUUUCCAAAAUCAAUCAAAUAGAUACCCAGCACAGAGCAAAUCAUUCUGAAAGAAAUUAAAAUAAAACUUUAAGAAAACUAUUACUCUAUUUGCUCACGCUGGCUAUUCAAGGAUGGAGAAUCUUACUAUGCCUUCUAUUGACAUUUGGGUCUAUAUUUUGAUCUUGGCUGAAGCAUCAUGUAUGACCAACUCCCCCAUUCCUUCAAUUAUGACAGAACCCUGUCAUGGAAGACCUUCUUGUCAAAAGAAGAUGGGGAUGAAAAGUAGGCCAUGAAUCUUAGAAGAAAAAUGAUUGUUAACUGCUUAUUUACCUCUGUUGAGGAAACAUCACUCCAAAAGUCAAAAGACAGCUCUCGCUCAUAAUUUCUAAAGACACGCAUCUCAGUAUUGCUUCCAAUGAGUCACAAUCAGAAAUAUCCAAAUCAAUUAAAUCCAACUUUUCAAGUCCCCAAAGCUAAGGAGGUUUCUUGCUGUCUCAAACUCUUAGAGAUCCUAACUUCUCACAUCCCAUCAAAUCUGGAAAGUCUCUAUUGAUUUGCAUCCUGUAAAAUCCAAGUCUUCUAAGAACUUCGCACCAUCAAGACCUUGAAUUUCGACUAUAUUGUCGCACCCGACAGCCACUAAUUUCUUCAGAGACCGUGAUUCUGGACAGAGAAGCCUUUUAAUGGAAUUGCAAUCAUAUAUAAAUAUGACCUCCAAGAAUGCCAAAUUAUCAUGCCCUGAAUUUCAACUAGGCUAUUGCAAUGCUCAGCAUGCAAUCAUUUCAGACGAAUCAAUUGUGAAAGGUUCAAUCUUUCAAUGGAACUACAUUUUUCUAUGGAAAAUCUCGAGGGAAGGCAACUCACCAAUUUCACUUUUCAGACAACAGCACAAUGAGAUACGUAGAGUCUGCAGAUUUUUCAGCCUUCCAAUCGCAUUGGGAAGCUUUUCGAUCGCAAAAAAACUCAAAUGAAGAUGUUGCAAAUUCUGUAAAUGCCCAAUUGAGCUAGGGAUUUCUCUCAGAGACUCACAACCAUAAGCGCUCGAUUUCUUCAACUUCCUCAGAGAACCAAUAGACGUGUUCAUGGUCAUCAAGAGAGAAAAAAAAUCCUUCCCAUCCGAGAAAGGGGAGAGGUUGAGAGAGAGAUAGAGAGAGAGAGAGAGGGGGGGGGGGAGAGAGAGAGAGAGAGAUUGAGGACACGGAUGGACCCGUGGUCGCCGAGCUACCAGUCCCAUGGAGUUGGCCAGAGUCUAGAGAUCAUGACGAUUCAAACUCUUAACCAAAACCAGAUGUACUUAGCCAAAUCCCGGCCUCGCAUGCUCGAACACGCUUCACCCCCGCACAGACUAGACAACGUGAAGGAGUCGGCGAUAAAAGCAUCGUGGUGGAAUGAUCCAGAGAAGAAGAGGAAGAGGAGGGUGGCCAGAUACAAGCUUUAUUCGGUCGAAGGCAAGUUCAAGGCUUCUUUCAAAUAAGGGUUCCGAUGGUUGAAGCGCAAAUGCUCGACCUUCGCACGUCGAUUCUAAUUAGCAUAAAUUAAGGAAUACCGUGUCCAUCGUCAUCAAGAGAGAAAAAUGGUGAGAAAGAGGAAACAGAGAGAUUUGCUGUGCUAUUUGGGUGUUCAUCUUUAUAUGUAUCUAAUGGUGAUCAAAUAUUCAGAAGGGUGCCGCUAAUGUUCAAUCUUUCUGAUAUAAUGUUCAUCUGACUCAUUGUUUCAUUCAUCGAUCUCCAACAUUCAAAACAUAGGCAAAUGAGACAACUCGUACGUGAUAGUAAUAUAUAUUUAUAUUUGCCAAUUUUUCUUUUUCUUUUCUGAAUUUUCUUACCUUCUAAUACAUUUGUAACAGGAUUUUGCAUCCAUGCCCAUGCAAAUUAGAAUUGUCUGAUUUGUUCAAUUCUCCUCUUUUCUGUAAGCUCUUUUCCUUAUAAAUGUGAUGCUGAUUGCAAAACCAGAUGGAUACUUGUAUUUGUAGGAUUGACAUUACCAUCUAUUUUGUGGUCGAUUUUGUUGGGUACGAUUUUGUUUUGGCCGAAUGUUGUCUACGCCUUGUUUCUGGGGUUCUUUAACCCCCCCUAAUUUCCUCAAUUUGUCUAGUUCGAUUCCUCUUCGUUGUACAAUUCAUCAUAUGGCAACAUAUAUUGCUGUAGUAGAUAUUCUAAAAUGACAUGCACCGGUGCUAAACAAAACGAAAGGCUUUCGAUGGUUCCAUUUUGAUUUGAGGACAAUUUUUCAUAUUUCGAAUGCCGUCCCAUUGAGACUGGAGUUACGAAAAUGUGGAAAACUGAAAAGCCCAAAGGGAACCCUCUUUAAUUCUAUCAAAACUUGCGUAGUUAAUGUUCAAAUGGUCGUAAUUUAUAGGAUCUUGAUGUAAUAUGUGAUAUAACUUUCAAAAACAAGGUGAAAACGAAGGAGAAGGAGAGUAUGAAAACCCAUGAGCAGAACCGAACUGAUUCACCAGGUUUAACACCUUCAUCCAGUUAUCCAGUCGAUUCACAGUUUUCAAAUUUUAAAUCAAUUCAGCCGAUAAGGUUGUGACUAAAAUCCUAAAAGUAGUCAAAACACAUAGCCAUUGCCCUUUAGAAUAAUGGCUUAGACAAUGGUUAAGCAACUUAGCAAAUAAACUGUAGACUCAACACAUCGACUUUACUUGUGAUUUUUCUUGUGAAAUGUUCAAUCGAUAUUCUGAAAUUUAAUUAUUUCACAUUAAGUAUGUUUAACAAGUAUUUCAACACGACCCACACUAUAUUUGUGUUAAUAAUUAUAGAUUCGAACUUGGCUUAAAAAGCUACCUGGCCUUACAAGCUACUUGGCCUUGUAUUGAGCUCCGGAAAUAUUGAGUUUCAGUUCAAGUAGACAAGCAGCGAAUCAGACAGAGUACCUUGCCAGUAGCUUUCAGCCUUUCGACUACUAAAAUUCCACCAUUGUCAUCUAGUACAAGGGUACAGGAGUAUCAAAGAGUGACCUCAAAGAAAUUGCUUCGAUUGAGGCUUCAAUGCGUGACUGGUUAACACAAUUUGGUUUAGUAGAGUCUGAUUAUUAACCAAUAAGAUGACCCUUUUAAAGUUUUUUGUUCAAACCAAAUGAGUAAAUUUUGGGAAUGGCCUUUUCACCCUUCCAAAAAUUUCCCACAUUUUUCAAUAGUCUUCAAUCAUAGCCUACGCCAGAGAAAAAUAGGUUUCAGAUAUGAAAAUGUACAUGGAUGUGGCUCUUCUGCUUUUAGAUUCAUGCUUAAAUAAAUCAAGCUUGAGAUUAUACGAUCAAAACGAUUGCAAAAUGCCUACAUAUGAUUUUUCAAUGUAACCAGACUAGGAAGAUGAUUUUACACUGAUGAGUGCUUUAUUUCGUGUUCAAAAUUCUUUCAAAUGAGAAAACUACUGUCUUCUUGGAAACAUUAUCGUUGAAACUCUUAACUGCAAUUGACAAAUUAUUUGCUAAUUCCAUGGCAUUCGCUUUUUCCACAAAAAGAAUCUCUCCGCCACAAAAUUAUAGCUUGAAGUGGACAUCUAACUGGUAAUCUUGUUAGCAAAACUCAUUUUAUGCUUAACCUGCAAAUGCAUUCUUCCAGCAAGCAAUUUGUGAUUCGGCCUUCGCUAAAGGAUAGCACGAUGUCAAAGCUCGCCAAGGCCUAAUGCACCAUAUGAGAAGAGGUCACCUCACAUCCAGAAUCCUUUGAAGAGUACUAACAACACAAACACCAACAGGAUAGAACUUCGGGAUGACUUUCCAUAAUGACAAAGCUCAUUCCUGCUCGCAUCUCCAUCCCAUGGUAUUUGGGGACUUUCUCCGAGUUAAAUAAAUUGCAGCUUGAAUCUACACAAGACGAAUAGCACUGACUAUAAUCAUCAGUAAUGAAAAAAACCAAGAUAUGUAGCAUCACAAUUUACCCCAUCAAAGAUAAGGUACAAAUGCAUAAACAUCAUUUCCACCAGUUGGACCACAAUGACAGACGCUUCAUUAGCUGGCUGAUGAAAUAGAAAACAACAGACUUGGAGAAGUAAGCAAUUAGCAAUACUUCCCUUGUUUGAGUUUAGGAACAGAAUUGAUGCUAACGGAAUGAUGCUGAAAAGGUGUGAGUGCCUAAACUACAUAACAGAGAGAUGUAUCUGUUACUUGGGUAUUUCACAAUAUCCUAUUAACAAAAUCAGCAAUACCGGAUAGUUUGCAAGGAGGUCAAUUUCAACUUUACAAUUCCAAUGCCGCAUACACAUGAGAGAUGAGCCUAUCAAAUCAAAAACCUACAUGAGAAUAUUUACGAGAUAUUAUCACACUAAUAAACUGAUAGAAAUGAAGGAGAUUGUCAUCAUGCAUACUUGCGUACUAAUUUCAGGUGAAAUUACAUAGCUCAUAUAUUCUAAGCACACAAGUAAGUCUUUCAUAGUACAACUAACACUGCAUAUCUCUCCCUUCAGAGCCUCAGCGAGUUGAGGAGUGAUAUAUUUAGAAUGCAACUUUAUCAAACAACUCUGCAACAGGGUAACAUACAAAAAGUCAGCAGCUACGUGUUUGAUUAACGGAGAGAUAGAACCUAAUGAGCAUACAAAAAGCAUAUUUAAUUGAAAAAUAUACAUUUACAAUCGUUCAGGUAAGUACUGUUGACAUGAUCAAGUGUUCGGAUAUUCACAAGCAUCAAAACUUCCUCAGGACACUCCAGUUGGCCCCAGAGCGUCUUCAAGGUUGGCACAGAAAAUGGUCCUCAGCUGUUGUUAUGGAAUUGAAGUUCCUCAGCCAAGUUAGAACUAGUAAUCAUGUUAACAAAUCUCAUUUUAUGCUUCAAUUCACAUAUAGAACCUCACAUGCAGUCUUCCUGAAAGUGAUUUGUCAUUCAGCCUUUGCCAAAGGAGAGGACAAUUGCAAAGGUUGCACAGGACUAAAACACCACAUGAGAAGAGGUCGCUUUAUAUCAAGAAUCCUUUGAAGAGUAUUAACAACACGGAACACAUGAUAAACGCCAUUAGCAA
rnacentral:lncRNA from 1 species